rnacentral:lncRNA from 1 species
GAAAGAUGGCAAUGGUGGAGAAGAGAAAGGAAUAGAGGGAAUUGCAGUUGGGAUUGUGGGGACUACGGGAAUGCUUGGCAGAGGGGGCAGUGUGGCCCUUGGUCCACUUGGAAAUAUGGUAGGAAGUGGAGGAAGCGCCCCAGGAUUUGGGAGAUUAGGGAAAGAUGGCAAUGGUGGAAAAGAGAAAGGAAUCGAGGGAAUUGCAGUUGGGAAUGUGGGGAUUGAGGGAAUGCUUGGCAGAGGGGGCAGUGUGGCCUUUGGUCCACUUGGAAAUAUGGUAGGAAGUGGAGGUAGUGCCCCAGGCUUUGGGAGAUUAGGGAAAGAUGGAAAUGAUGGAGAAAAUAAAUUAGCAAUAGAGGGAAUUGCAGUUGGGAUUCUGGGGACUGAGGGAAUGCUUGGCAGAGGGGGCAGUGUGGCCUUUGGUCCACUUGGAAAUAUGGUAGGAAGUGGAGGAAGCGCCCCAAGCUUUGGGAAUGAGGGUAUGGAUGGCUCUGGGAAUGAUGGUUUAGGGAAAGAUGGCAAUGGUGGGAAUGUUUUUUUAAACAAACUUGGCGUUUGAGGUAGUUGCUGAAGGUGACGAGCUGUUACCCCAACAUCAAUGCUUGCAAAUGACAAAGUCAUCAAGAAUGCUAAAGCAAAGGAAUUGACAGAGGCCAUUUUUGUUGAGAGAUUUCGAAAGUAAUGAAGCAGAUGAAACAAAGUUCUUUAUCUAAAUAGUUGUGAGUGAGGAAAACAAAGCAUGGUGUUGGGGGUUUAUAUAGGCAUUAGCAAUUCAGAAAUACACUUAAGGAUAAGAGGCGAAGUGAAAAACAAUAAAUUAUAUAUUUUUAUGAUAGUAAAAUAUAAUUAUAUUAUUUUAAUAGUCUAUUUUUUAUAAUUAUUAGAUAAUUAAAAUAAGUUUUUAUCAUUUUCGAUAGGCCAAAAUAUAAUUUUAUUAUUAUUAAUUUAAACUUAUAUAAAUUAUAAAAAAUCUGAAUUAAAAAUUUUCCAUUCAUGCCUAAUCGCAAUGGGGAUUGCGGGAAAUAGAAAUCCCUGCCCCUAAACAAUGCCCCCAAAAUAAAAUAGCGCCAUGUCUUUUUUAUAUUUUUUCCAUUUUAAUCGUAAUUCAUUUUUAAAUAAAAACAUUAUAAUGGUUUAGGUUAAUUUUUAAAUUAUUAUAAAUAAAAGAUUUAUAACUGUUUUUUUAUAUUAUAUUAAUUUUAAUAUUUCUCCAAUUAACAUAUAGUUUAAAAUUUUAGUUACAAUUUUAUUCAAGAUUUAAAAGAAAAAAAAAACACUUAUUUUAUAAAAAAGAUGAGUUACAACUAAAAGAAAAAAAAACAUGUGGCAUAACUUUAUUAGGGAGCUAGAUUUUUAGUUGAAACUCAUUUUUUUAUGAAAUAAAAGUGGUUUUUUUUAAUUUGAAUAACUUUGUAGCUGAUUUUUCAAACUAUAUUAUUAACUGGAGAAAUAUGAAAAAUAAUAUAAUAUAAAUGCAAAAACAAUUAUAAUAAAUAAAAUUUUAACCUAAGUCAUCAUAAUUUUUUAUUUAUUUAUAGAAUAAAAAGUGAAUAUAGUCAAAGAUUGGACAAGUUUACUAAGUUGAGUUAUGAAAAGUUGAUUAUUACUUUUUAUUUAAUUCUCUACUAGACAAAAAAAAAACUAAAAUCGAAAAAUUGAUUGAGGGAAAAAAUGGAGUUUCUUGGUUUAGAUUUGCUUUAUAUCUAAUUUUUUUAGGAUAAAUAUAAAAUUAGUACCUGAACUUCUCCACUUCUUCUAAAUUUAUAUUUAUGGUUUUGUCCCAGAUUGGUAGAUAAAUUUUUUUUCCAUCCACUAUAUUGAUGCUUGAGACUAAGGGCAUCAAUUUUUUGUUGACAUGACAGUGUUGGCCAAUCGCAUACAGCUACAUAGCGUUGUCUUUGUUUUUCCUCCUCUCCCCUCUUUCUUUUUUUUUUCUUAUAUUUUUUUUUCUUAUCUGUUUCUGCACUUCGUUCUUUCUUUUGUAAAAAAAACCCAUUUGCUUCUUCUUUUACCUCUCCUUACAAUCUCCAUCAUUGAAGAAGAAGAUGAAGGAACUCUAAUUUCUCUAAUCCAUUUCUUUGCUUCAUUUCCCCUUAAUCCCAAUCCUACAAAAAUCCCAAUACAACAAACCUCAAAAACCCAAGCAAUGGCCAGACUCCAUUCGUUCCUGUUCUUCUUCUUUCUCAGAGGUUGAUUCAGUAGGUUCAAUGACCUCCAUGGUUAGUUUUCUUAUUGCAGGUUAUAAUCCUGAAAUGGAUUCUUAUGGGCCAGUCUUAGAAAGGAUAGCUUUGCUCCUGGGUUCCAGGGAUGGCUCCAUCUUCAUCACACCGCUCGCCUCCACAGUGAAGCUUCCGACCACUGCUUCUCACUUACAUCUUGGCUAAUUGAUUCAAUCCCUACAUUUGGAUUUUUUACAAUGGAAUUGGAUCCUGCACGAAAUCGAUUAGUAGUUCGACUUAGAGAGAGGAUUUUGUGGACAAGUGGUGAAGAUUUUGAAAAUAAUUGACACUUGGUACCAUUAAACAUGAAAUAUGAUUUCACUAAUGUUUCUAAUCCAAAUGAGAAGUAUCUUUAUUAUGCUAUUGUAAUUAGUCAAUUUACUCCUGGAGAGCAAAGGAAAAAUGGUCGAUUAGUUUUGCUUGACGAUAGGAGUUUACAAAUUCGAGAUGAUUGGUUAAGAUUCGAUUCACACAUCUGUGAUGGUAGAAGCACAGAGAAUGGUUGCGAGAGGUGGGAAUGACCAAAAUGCCGAAACAAAGGUGAUAAGUAUGAAGUAAGAACCAUACGAUAUACACAUAAAAGAUUCUUUUAAUGACACAUUAUAUGGAAACACCAAUCUUUCCUUGAACGAUUGUAAGGACAUAUGUUGGAAAGUUGGAAAUGUUUGGGAGUUGAAGCGGGAAAGGACCUUGGUUGUCGAUUUCUUUUAGGGCAUUAUGAAGAAGGUGUGUUGGAUGGUUUCUCCCAUUCCAUUUUGGGGGGGUUUUGAAGGGAAAAAAAAAACAAAACAGAUGGAAGAAAGGUAGAAGACGAAGUGGUAAAAAAUGAAAAAAAGAACAGAAAAAAAGUUGUAGCAGUCAAAGAGGUAGAAGAAGACGAUAGGGAAAGGAAAUUUCAAAGGAAAAAAUAAAUAAAAAAUAAAUAAAAGGUUUUUAAAAAUAUAAAAUGAUAUAAAAAUAAUUGAAGGAACAACUUUUUAGGCCAAAGCGAGUGACACGUGGCAGUGCGUGAGUGGUAAGCACUGCCACGUCAGUAAAAAAUUGACGCCAUGGGUCUCAAGUGUCAAUAUAGUGGACGAAAAAAAUAGUUUGGAUAUUAAUCUGAGACAAAAAAACCAUAAGUACCAAUCUGGGAAAAGUGGACAAGUUUGGGUACCAAUUUUAUAUUUAACCUUUUUUUGUAAAUAGAAACAACAUUAAGAAAUUACAAAAAUAAGCAGAAAUGUGGCGCCCCAAACUUGGUCGGGACAAUCCGACCCGGAUUCGAUUGCCACAUUAACCACCGAAAAGACUCUUCGUUUAGACCACCACAAAGCACCCCAAUCAACUAUUCACACCACACAAUUAUUCAAAGAAUAUUUAAAAAGUCUAUAAUCAUGCUUCUGUUGUGCUAGUCUGAUCAUUCAAUUAACAGUAAGAAUAAACUUAAUAUCUAGCAAACAAAAUACCCCAAAAGCUUCAGUUACACAUGCGUGCAUGCAAAAAGAUAUUUUGAAAGGCUAUGUUUGAAAGGAUAUUGGAAACCGUUUUAUUUAAAAACAUUUGAUUAGAUUUAAAUCGUAAUAUAGUAAAAAUAUUAGAAAAAUUCCAUUUCACAAGGUUUGAGAAUAGUAUUAUAGGAUUAUACGUAUAAGUCUUGUUUCGAAAGAUCAAUUAAAACAUUACGUACAAUUUCAUAAAAUUUGUCAUUUAAUUAGUUCGCAGGCAACUAACAGUUUACGUUAUUAGUCCAAUUUUACAUCUCAUGCACACAAAACACAUGUUUGCUUUCAAAACACAUAUGAAACAUUUUGGUCUUACCUCGACGACCAGCAACUCUUCCAGCUACACUUACAAGUUAGUCAAUCAAUUAAUCAAAACAUUAAUCAAGCAUUCAUAAUGUACCAUUCAAUCAUCUAUCUGAAGCAGUAAUAAAAGUUCCAAGUCAAAACAAAGUCUAAUCCUAAAUCCCAUAUUUGGUCCCACUUUGCCUUCCUCAUUAGGGUAGGGAACACAUCAACAUACCCACGUGUAGCCUUGUUUUGGAUCACUUGGAUAACUCAAUUCCACACCUCCUCGCGCUCUAUAUCACUAUAAUGUUCUAAAAGGGAGUUUGAGCUUAUUGAAGCUCAGUGAGUGUUCAAACAUACCACAAAUAAACACAUUAGUCAAGUUUGGGUGGACAUAUCAUAACAAUUCACGUAAUAUUAAAGUUCAUACAAAAUAGUGACUCACGUAACACAACAGUUUUCAUAAAUAAACAGUGCACAUAGACUAAAAAAUUUACAUAAAGUAAGUUGUUCACGUAAAAUAUAAGUUCAUACCACAUCAUAACUCAUAUAUUUCAAAUGAUGAUAAGUUGACAUUUUGUGAUUUUGAAACAUAUAGGGGACUCUAUCACCACAUAUAAGUGAAAUCUAUCACUACAUAUUGGAUAAAUGGAUCUCCAUAUAACACCUCGUUGUUGACUUAAAAGAGCCUUGCGCUAUCUCCGAUAUAAGUGUAGCAUGGAUGCUGACACUCUCUUUACCCAGACUCAUAGACUCUUUGAUGCAUCGUUGAGAGCACCAAAUAUAACCUAUCCCUAUAAAAUAACGAAAAUAAUAGUAUAAGGGAAGUAGGGUCAAAUCCUUAGGGAGUGGAUUUGCACAAAUUCCUAUUCCUCGAGAUCUCGGGCAGAGUCGUGCCUAAGAAAAACGGCGUACCUAGAAAGAAAAAAUUUUAAAAAAAUAGAAUUAAAAGUUUGGAUGAAUUGAACUUGCAUAAACUGAAAUUGAAAUUGUAAAAAAUAAACAGAGUUGAGAAAAGAGAGUUUUUGAUGGAGAGAUUCCAGCCUCCGGUUAUAUCGAUCCUCAUUGGGUUAAAUCCCAGGCUUUUAGGUGAUCCUUCUCGAACAGAAUAAGCCAGUUAUAGUGGAAUAGGACGUCUAUGACCACCAGCUCCGAUUAGAUUUUAGAAUUACGAUUUAGAGGAACCUGACUCUAGCCAACCGUCACUUUUGUGGGACCAUCUUACAGUAGAUCAUCAGUUCUCAAUGGCGAAUGUCACACCAUUUUUUCUCUUGGACUCGACAACCACUGACGCAGUAAGCUAACGAACCGAUUAUGCAACCUUCCCAAAACAUACAAAGUGGCCGCCUUUGCACAAGAUGAAAAGAUGACUUUUGGAAGGACAUGGACGGAAGCGUCAGUCCCGUAAUGUGGAGAAAUGAUGAAUACUCGUUGAGAAGGCUAAGUGCGGAUUCUAAGCCUCAUGAACCUUUUUUGGGGAAUCUCAACAACCUUUGGCUAGAUGAAUUUAGUGGCUCAUGCUUUUUAGGAAAAAAGAAAUAAACUUAAUAAAAAUGGAAUUUUAUUGAAUAAAUGAAAGGAACAAAGGCUAUAGCUUUUUGGGAGAAGGAGUUUUUUUAACAGAAAAGAUCGAGAGCAAUUUGUGUCACUCCAUCCCCUAUUUCUAGUACUAAGAAAACCUAGUUUAUUCUUAUCUCAAUUCUAAAAGAUAAAUAAAGAUAAAUAAAGAUAAAAGCUAAAAAUUAAAUCUAAAUAAUAAUCUUAACAAUAAUCCUAAUAAAAUUCAAAUUUAAAUAGAGUCUUUUGCUCAUAAAUCUCUUCUUUGCAUUUUUGCCCCCCAAGUCUGCCACACGUUGCAUUUUCGGCACCACUUCUUUCCUAUUUCACAUGCUGGCCCAUUUUAUCUUUAAAUUCACGCUUUUUACCUCCAAAUUUCCUUUUGCCUUCAAUUUAGUCCCUACAAGAUAAAAAACCAUAAAUAGCUCAAAUUAGUAGGAUCAUACUCAAAAUAAAUAUGUAAUUAAUACGUAAAAAUAUGUCAUUCCAGAGUAUUAUCAAAUUCCCCCUACUUAGCCCAUGCUUGCCCUCAAGUAUGGCUCAUAUCCACCGUGAAAUUUAGAUUUUACCAUGAAAGAAGUAUCAUUCCAAAGUUUUAUAAAAAUUAGGCAUAAUGCAUAUGAAAAUAAAGAGAACCUUUAGCUUGCUUUAAGUAAAACUGAAAAACUAUUCCAAUUUAAACACACAAAAAUUAAAUCGUCCUGGCCUAUUUCAUGAAAAUAAGGUCAUUUACUAAACUUACCAAGACACCCAAUUUGUUUCCAACUUUAGUCCCCAAAUGCAAUUCUUUAUUAUUAUUAUUAUUAUUAUUUACUUGUUUUUCCUUCUUUUUUUUUCUUUUUUAUGUUUUUCCUUGCUUAAGAAUAUAUUGAACCUUUUGACGCGAAGAGAAAUGACAACCAAUCACCCCACCCCGGUUACUCAGCCUAACAUACUCCUAAUUUAUUAUAUUUAUAUAUUUUUUUCUUAAGAAUAUAUUGAACCUUUUGACGCGAAGAGAGAUGACAACCAAUCACCCUACCCCAGUUACUUAGCCCAAUGUAUUCCUAAAAUUUUUUGUUUAAUUCCGGUUAACGGAGUUUUUCCUAACACGUCACACAACCUUUUGACACGAAGUAGGAUGACAACCCAAGAACCCUACCCCGGUUACUCAGUCAAUCACGUUUUAAGCUGUAAUCAUAACCACAGAGGCAUCAAAAUUUAUUAUUAUCAUGAAACAAAAUUUUAAUUUGGAGGACUAGCAAAAAUAAUCAAGUGUCAAAAAUAAGUUUCGGCAACUCCCUAACAGUCAUGAACAGAAAUUUAGCAUGCAAUUGUAUUAAGUGUCCUCUUUGCAUUUAGACUUAAUCGAUUUUACUAUAAGCAAGAUAGGGUUAACUCUAUUAAUCAUAACUAUUUUAGCCUAAUAGAAAUAAAACAGUGGAGAUGAAAUCAAUCUAGCAAAAUCAUAACUAGCUCAAUAGACAAGAAUCAUGCUCGCAGGUCAAACAAUGGGUGAUUUCUGGUUAAAUUCUUGGGUAUGAAAAGAGGCAGGAUAUACUAUAAAUAAAUGUGGGCAAAAACGAGCACAAGGUAGCAGCAAUAGUAACACAAUAGUAAAAUCAACAAAUAAAAUGACAUAAAUAAUGAGGAAUGCCUCCCUCUGCUUAAAAUACAUUGUCCUCGAUGUGAAAGAAAAAGGAAAACAAAUAUGUGAAAAAAAAGGUUUUAGAAAAAAUCCCCAUGUAGACACUGUUGUUCAUGCAUAGCUGGAAGGAGGAGAAGGUUCGGCGUUGUAUGGAGGAGAGGAAGGAGGGAAAGCCGUUCGCUGACUAAGUUAACGUGUUGGGGCACUGAGAAUCGAUGCCGGUGGCUGUUGACGGUGAAUGAGGGUUUGGCGACGACACGGCUUCUUGUCCUAACCAUGGUGGUGGGGAAAAUCAGUGGCGGGGAUGAGGGAGAAGGGGAACGACGGCUGGAGGGUUAUUUGAGUGAAAAUGGGGAAAAGUUUAAGGUUUGAAGGUGUAGAAGAAAGGGUGUUUGGCUAUAAGGUAGGUGUUUGGCUAUAGGGUAGGUGUUUGGAUGCAUAUUUUGGGUAAGUAUAAAGCAGGGAUGUGCUAUUCCUACUUGGAAUAGGGAUAGAAUAAGGGAUGUUUGUGAAAGCAUGCCAAUUUUUAAGUUUUUUCCCUGCCGAUUUACCUAGACAGAAGAAAAGAAAUUUAUUAAUAUCCAAAUAAAAUAAAGUAAUAAAUAAUAAAAUAAAAUAAAAAUAAAGAAAAAUAAAAAUUAGGUUGCCUCCCAACAAUCGCUUGUUUAACAUCAUUAGCUUGACGCCCCAACUAGUAUUGGGGUUGUUCCAGCUGAAUUCUUUCAUUCGUAUGGGCUUAGGAAUUCUCAUUUGUUACCACAUCCACCAUAUUUGGGUUCAAUUGUCCUUGCGCAUCUUGCUUUGGAUUCAUUUUUUCCUCUAAGAAAAUCUUAUGUGUGUCUGUUAAGGGGUUAAUCCCUUUUAAGUCGGCAAUAGUCUCAUCAUUCUCCAAAAAUACGUAUUUGAGAUGCUCAGAAAGUGGUUUGAAUUCCAGAUCUGGUGCCUGCACAACAGAAGGUAGAAGUUUAGUGUUCAUCGGAGAUAACAAUUCGUUAACAGAUUUAAAAUCAUCAAACAUCAUUUUAGGUUUAUCUCAAUGAGAUGACUCAAAAGUUUCUUCUACUAAUGAGUCAAUUAUGUCGACAUGGUUUACGUUCAAAAUUUCACUAGGAUGACUAAUAGCACCAUAAAUGUUAAAUUUUACGAUCUCUCCAUCAAACUCCAUAAUGAGGGUUUCGCUACGUACGCCAAUCUUAGUAUUUGUAGUACUAAGGAAAGGUUGCCCCAACAAGAUGUCUGAAGACCUAGGAGCAAUAUCCUCUUCCAUUUUUAUCACAUAAAAUUUUUUAGAAAAGAUAAGUCCGUUGACUUUCACUAAUACGUCCUUAAAGACUCCUUCGAGAUGCAUAAUGGAUCUGUCUGCUAAUUGAAUUUUAACCCCUGUUUUCAUCAAAAAACUUAAGUUAAGUGAUUCAUAAACGGAAAAAGGCUUUACAUUUAUGGAAGCUCCUAAAUCACACAUAGCUUUUUUAAUUCCUAAGUGACCUAUUUUGCAUGGUAUUGCAAACAUGCCCCCGUCUUUACAUUUUGCUAGAAUCUUCCGUUGCAACACCGCAGAUACAUUUUCACCAACACUUACACUUUCAUUUCCAGUCAAUUUUCGCUUGUUUGUGUAAAGCUCCUUAAGGAACUUGGCAUAUCGUGAAAUUUGUUUGAUGGCAUACAAUAAUGGUAUAUUGAUCUUGACAUUUCUGAAUAUUUUGAGGAUCUCUUUUUCCUCCUUACCUCUCCAAUGUUGGUUCAAUAGUCUUGGAAACGGAGGUUGAAUUAAGGGCAAUGGAGGUUUUGUUCGGACCAGUUCAUCGUUCUCCUAAUUUUUCUAGGCAGAAUCUUGACCAAGAUUCCUGCCAGGAUUUGGUUCGAGUACUUUUCCACUUCGCAAUGUCACUGCAUUUGCUUUUUGUCUUGGGUUAGGUUUCAUUUGUGGCAGCAACUUUCCUUGUGAGUUCAUUUUCUCAAUGAUGUGGUCAACUCUUUUAUAGACGCCUCAGGUUUCUGUUGAAAAUCCUUUGUUUCUUUUUGGAAAUUAAGAGUUUGCCGUUGUAUUUGCUGUUGGGAAAUCAAUAGUUUUUUGUUGUAUCUGCUGUUGGAAAUCAAGCACAUUAGCUGCUAAUUUAUUGACCAUGGUUUCUAGAGAGGUACCUGAAUCUUGCGCUUAUUAUGAAAAUCGAUUUUGGUAUGGUUGGUUAUAUUGCACGUUUGCCCCAUAACUCAAGUUAGGAUGGUCUUUCCAUCCUGGGUUAUAUGUAUUUACAUAUGGGUCAUAUCGCCUUUGGGGCGGUCCAGGAAAGUUCCCCAUAGUAUGUUCGGGUAUUGCACAUAGUAUUGCCUUUGGGCCAUAGUAUCGUCACACAAACUAGGGCAUGGAUCAUUUGUAUGUUCGGGUAUUGCAUAAAUUCCGUACAGUCGGGCUUGUCCUGGUUUUACUGCAAAAAGAGAAUUCAUAAUAUUAGUAAGUUUAUCAACUUUAUCUUUUAAAGUUGAAUUACUUAGCUGGUGAACCCUUCUAGUGGGUUCAAGAUUGGCUCAGAAUUAUUAAGUAUUUGCAGCCAUCGUGGAGAUCAAGUCCCUUGCCUGUUGGGGGGUCAUGUUGACUACUGCCCCUCCACUAGCGGCAUCUAUUAUAUUCAUUUCCAUGGGCUUCAAGCCCUCAUAGAAGUACUGGAGAAAAGACUGUUUUGCUAUCCCAUGUUGUGGGCAACUUGCGCAUAACUUCUUAAAUCGCUCCCAAUAGUCAUAAAGAGACUUCAUAUCUUUUUGCCUUAUCCCAACAAUUUCCCUCCUUAAUUCAACUGCGCGUGAUGUUGGAAAAAAUCUGUUGAGAAACAAACGGGAAAGAUCAGUCCAAGUUGUAAUAGACCCAGGGGGUAGAUAAAAUAAUCACUCCCUAGCAGAGUCUGCUAGGGAAAAAAGGGAAAGAAUGCAAUUUGAUGUGAUCCUUAGUGCCCUGAGGUUUCAUACUAAGAAAAACCAUAUGUUUUAGAUGUUUGUGGGGAUUUUCAUUUUGCAACCCAUGAAAAGUCGGCAGUAACUGGAUUAAUCUUGACUUCAGUUCAAAAUCAGUAUCCAUAGUAGGAUAUGCAAUGCAUAACAACAGUUGUUUUGCAGGAGCUUCAGCCAUUUGCCGGAUUGUUUGAGCCAUAGGUUGAUGUGCUAGAUUCGGGUUUUCGUUAACCCUAGCAUUAAGCAUUUCUUCUGGGGGAUCGACUCUUAGUCUUUCGUUCUCCAAUGUUUGAGUAGGGUUUUUGUUAACCCUAAACUCAACUUUAUUGCCUGCUUCUAUUUCCGGCGGUGGGUUACUCUGAGUCCCUACCACCUCUGAUUGCUUUUUACGUAGCCUUGUUUCCUUGCGAUUAGCUUUCGCGGUCUUCUUUAUUUCUGAAUCAAACAUAAGAAUACUUAGAGCAGAUCUGGUCAUAAGAAACAAAAUAAACAAGAUUAGUAUACUAGUCCCCGGUAAUGGCGCCAAAAUUUGAUUCGUCGUUGAGAGCACCAAAAAUAACCUAUCCCUAUAAAAUAACGAAAAGAAUAGUAUAAGGGAAGUAGGGUUAAAUCUUCAAGGACUGGAUUUGCACAAAUUCCUGUUUCUCAAGAUCCCGGGCAGAGUCGUGCCCAAGAAAAAUGACGUACUUGGAAAAAAAAUAAAAGUUUGGAUGAAUUGAAAUUGCGUAGAUUGAAAUUGAAAUUGAAAUUAUAAAAAUAAACAGAGUUGAGAAAAGAGAGUUUUUGAUGGAGAGAUUCUAGCCUCCGGUUAUUUUGAUCCUUAUUGGGUUAAAUCCUAGGCUUUUAGGUGAUCUUUCUCGAACAGAAUAAGCCAGUUUUAGUGGAAGAGGACGCCUACAACCACCAGCUCCACUUAGAUUUUAGACUUACGAUUUAGAGGAACCUGACUCUAGCCAACCGUCACUUUUGUGUGACCAUCUUACACUAGAUCAUCAUUUCUCAAUGGCGAAUGUCACGCCAUUUUGUCUCUUGGGCUCGACAACCACUGACACAAUAAGCUAAAGAAUUGACUGUGCAACCUUCCCAAAACAUACAAGGGCCGCUUUUGCACAAGAUGAAAAGAUCACUUUUGUAAGGACAUGGACGGAAGCGCCAAUCCUGUAAUGCAGAGAAACGAUGAAUACUCGUUGAGAAGGCUAAGUUCGGAUUCUAAGCCUUAUGAACCUUUUUUGAGGAAUCUCGACAACCUUUGGCUAGAUGAAUUUAGUGGCUCAUGCUUUUUGGGAAAAAAUAAACUUAAUAAAAAUGAAAUUUUAUUGAAUAAAUGAAAGGAACAAAGGCUAGAGCUUUUUGGGAGAGGGAGUUUUUUUUUAACAGAAAAGAUCGAGUACAAUUUGUGUCACUCCAUCCCCUAUUUAUAGUACUCAAAAAAUCUAGUUUAUUCCUAUCUAAAUUCUAAAAGAUAAAUAAAGAUAAAAGCUAAAAUUAAAUAUUAAUAAUAAUCUUAAUAAUAAUCCUAAUAAAAUUCAAAUUUAAAUAGAGUCUUUUGUUCAUAAAUCUCUUCUUUGAACUUUUGCCUCCCAAGUCUGCCACACGUUGCAUUUUUGGCACCACUUCUUUCCUAUUUCGCAUGCUGGCCUAUUUUAUCUUUAAAUUCAUGCUUUUUCCCCCAAAUUUCCUUUUGCCUUCAAUUUAGUCCCUACAAGAUACAAAACCAUAAAUAGCUCAGAUUAGUAGGAUCAUACUCAAAAUAAAUAUGUAAUUAAUACAUAAAAAUAUGUCAUUCCAGAGUGUUAUCAGUCUUUCGCUGUCUCCGGAUAUAAUGACCAUCACAAUAAAGAGGGUGAGUACUCACAAUUUGAAGAAAACAACAAGUUGUAUAGCUAAUUUGAAGUUGAAUGUGAGAAGAAUAAUGAUGAAUUUAAUGAUGAUUUAAUGAUUUUUCUUUAAAAUUUGAAGGUGUUGAGGUGUUUGGAUAACUAAAAAAUCACUAAGGAUGAGUUAAUUUUGAGAGAAAAUAUCAGAUUUGAACUUGCAGAAAAUUUUGAAUGUGAAGGUAAAUUGGAGGGAAGGGACGCCGGGUUUUUAAAGAAGCAAGGAAGAUGAAUAGUUUUUUUAAAUUAAGGGAAAAUUACCUUUUAAAGACUCUGUUUUCCCUUGUUUUUCAAAUCAGUCCUUAGUCUAAUUAAAACACAUUUUUCUCAAUUAUUUUCAAACCCGAUUUUAUUUUUAAGAUCUAUUUUAAGUUAUUUUAUAAUCGAUCACCUGAUCCUAAUUUUCACUACCUAAUUUUAGACACAAUAAUUAUUUAAUAAUUUAUUAUUACCAUUGUUAUUUAAUUAAUUAUUUUAUCCUAUUUUAAUCUCUAUGAUAUUAAACCCAAUUUUUUCACUCGAAGCUUACAACCAAUUACCCAAUUCUACUAACCCGAUUUUUGGGAUGUGACAAGAAAAUUAAAAGCUCAUAAUAUCCUUUUGGAUUAACUCCCGUACAGCUUGAGGAGGUUCAAAAAACACCUGUAGAUUGGUAAAAUUUAUACCAGCUUGCUUAGCCAUGAAAUCCGCAAUUAUAUUAUGGUCUCUAGGAACAUGUAUGGAUGACACGUAUUUCCAUAAGAGGGCUAUCAAUAAGUUUGCUAGACAAAAUUAAUUUCACCAAAAGAUCAUUAUUAGAUUCAAGUUCAACCUGUCGGUAUCCCUUUUCCCAAGUCAGAUGUAGCCCUUCAAGCAUACACCUCGCUUCUAUCCUGAAAACUUCAAUUUCUCCCCAAUAUCAUCGAAUAGCCACACAACCAAUUACCAUCCUCAUCUCUAAUGAUUCCUCCAAUUGUAGUCGAGUAAGAAUUAAGCGAAACUACAUCAUUUGUAUGAGUUUAACCCAUCCGCUCUUCGACACAGAAAAUUUUAAUUAUAUAAUACUUAUAUUUAUUAUUUGAUUUAUAUAUAAAAAUAAAUAAAAAAAUUAAUCCAUGGAAAAGGUAGUUGAUUGGUUUAAUAAUUCAGAUUUAAUUUAAGAAUCAAUUUAUUAAACUCAACCUUCUAUGAGAUAAUUUUUGAAUUUAUGAUGAACUAACUUAUUUUAUUUUAUUCUUAAUUUAUUUUUAGUAUUUUUAUUUUCUAUUAAUUUUAAGUAUUUUACCAUUAAUAUAUAAUUUGAAAAUGAGUUAUAAUUUUUUUAUUAAAAAUGGUUCACAAAUUCAACUUAACAAAAGAAAACGUUUUUAUUUUAUAAAAGAUACAAGAGUCAAUAACUCUUUUUUUUUUCAAAUUGACUUUUUUUUCUCUCUAAGUUGAGUACAAAAUUAACUUGAUGAAAAAAAAAAGCAAAUUAAUUUUCGGAACUCAGAGUAGCUGAAUCUUCAACUAUAUAUAAUUUUUAUGGUUUAAAAGAGUAAAAAGUCCUCAAAUUUUUUUAAGGAAAAAAUAAUAAAAUUUUUAUUUUUUCUUUUUGCAUUCAAUUGGGUACUUUAACGGUCAAAAUGCAUAAAAAAGGUCAUUUGAUUGUUAACUUUAACAAUUGACCGUUAAAGUUAACUUUCUCUAAUUUUUUUCAAUUAAAGCCACCACGUUUCAUAACCACGACGUGAUAUGUGACAGAAAAAUGAUAAAAAAAUAAAAAUCAAUAAAAGUUAUAAAAAUUAUAAAAAUUGUUAAAUUUUAAUAAAAUUAUAAAAAUACUUAAAAUUAGAAAAAAAUUAUAAAACUCGUAAAAAAUAUAAAAAAACUGUAAAAUUUUAUAAAAAGUGUAAAAAAUUAUAAAACAUAUAGAAAUAUAGAAAAAAGAAUUUAUAAAAUUUUAUAAAGUCGUAAGAAAAUUAUAAGAAAAUGUAAAGCAAUAUAAAAUUCAUGAAAAACAUUAUAAAAAUUAUCGUUCCAAAAGAAGCAUUUAUAAAUUUUAUUGAUUUUUAUUUUUUAUCAUUUUUUGCCACAUGUCACGCUGUGUUGCGACAAAUGAUGGCUUUAACUGGAAAAAAAGGGGGUUGUUAACUUUAGGUCAACGGUUAAAGUUAAUGGUUAAAGGUCUUUUUGAUGCAUUUUAGAAUUUGUUAUGAUUUUUAUAAAAUUUUAUAAUUUUUAAUAAUUUUUUAUUAAAAUUUAAUAAUUUUUAUAAUUUUUUAUUUUUUAUAAUUUUUUUUCCACAUGUCACAUCGUGGUUGUGACAUGGGGUGGCUUUAAUUGGAAAAAAAUAGGGCAGUUAACUUUAACGGUCAACUGUUAAAGUUAAUGGUUAAAUGGUCUUUUUGAUGCAUUUUGACAGUUCAGUACCCAAUUGAGUGCAAAGAAAAAAAAGCAGGGGUUUAAUUGCUUUUUUUGAAAAAGUUUGAGGGCCUUUUUGAUUCAGUUUGAAAAUUUAAUUAUCCAAUUAAGUGAAAAAGAACUGGAGCUUAAUUGCGUUAUUUGAAAAAUUUUGGGAGCUUUUUUAUUCUAAAAAAAAUGAUGACUUGGAUUAAGUUUUUAUUUAAUAUAUUCGGAAAUUUUAAUAUGUUUCCUAUCAAUAUAUAAUUUGAAACUUAAUUACAAUUUUAUCCAAGAUUUUAAGGAAAACACUUUCAUUUUAUAAAAAAAAAGAUGAAUUAUAAUUUGCGUAAUUUUGAGGGGCACGAACCUCCAAUUUAGCAAAGUUUCCCAAACAUGUUAUGUAUGAUACUAGUAUUUUCAAAGUUGAAGGUGUAAAUAAACUACACUGUACUUGUCAAUUGAGAUAGGUGAAUUCAGUUUAAACGAUUUUGACAUCAUUCCAAAUUUUAAUUAAUUUUGUGUUUGAGCCUUUUGAUUUUAGAUAAUUCAAAUUUAGUAAUCAACACUACAGCAGAACAGGUUUUUAGCGGCGUUUUUUUAGGUCUUUAGCGGCGCUUUUUAACGCCACUAACUCCAUUUCUGGCGCUUCUAGAAGCGCCACAAAAAAUGCCACUAACGACAACGUCGCUAACUUUUGCGGCGCUUACAUAAAAAAACGCCGCUAAAGAUCAUGCUCUUUAGCAGUGCUUAGAAUAAAAACGCCGCUAAAGAUCAUGUUCUUUAGCGGCGCUUAGAAAAAACGCCGCUAAAGAUCAUGUUCUUUAGCGGCGCUUUGGAAGAAAACGCCUCUAAAAGUAAUGUUCUAUAGCGGCGCUUAUUCAAAAACGCCACUAAAAGUAGUGUUCUUUAGCGGCGCUUAUUUCACAAACGCCACUGUUUUGAUAUGACUUUUAGCGGCGCUUUUUUAAAAAACGCCACUAAUUUUGGGAUUUUUUUAAAAUAAAUUUUUUAAUUUUUUCAGCCCUCCUGCAACAGCAAAUCAAAAGCAACCAAAUCUAAACUAACAAAAACAAUAAAUUUAUAUAAUAUUUCAAAUUAAAUGACUAAAAUAAUAUUAAUUGAUAAAUAAAAGUGAAAUCAUCCUUUUCUUUACAAAAACGUUAAAAGUAUUUAUGCAACAUACACUAUGAUGGCGGAAGUUGCGACUGCUUAAACAUCGUCAUCAUAAUCUGAAGCUGCUGUUGAAGUUCGUCGUACUUUUUGCCCUGCUCUGUUUCUCUCGAUGCCGCAUCUUUUUGAAGUCGUAGCUGUAGUUCUUCAUAUUUCUUUUGAACCUCUGCUUCUAUUGCUGCUUCUCUCGCUGCUUCUCUCGCUGCGGCCUCUGCUUCUCUCGCUGUAGCCUCUGCUUCCCUCGCUGCCGCCUCUGCUUUAAGUUGCUGCUGAAGUUCUUCAUAUUUCCUUUGAACCUCAGAUGUGGUCACUUGCAUCUGAGCCAUCUGGUCUUUUAACCUCUGAACUUCAGCUUGAGAUUGACUCCCCGAAGCCAUGUAUUGGUGCGAGCUGGAUCCAAAAUAUUGGGUUGGGCUGAUAAAAGAUCCUUGAAAUCGAACCCGACCAUACUUUUCAGGACCCAAAACUUCAGUAAUAAUCCGGUUAUCAAUGUCUUCAAGAUGAACCGAACUAUCACUAGAAGCAAUCGCUUCGUACUCCGUCUUUUUUUCCUUUAGUUUUUCCUAAUAAAUAAAUCACAUAGUUAGGAACGCAAUAAAUAGUAAAAAGAACAAAUGCAAUGUAACAAUAGUCGCAUUACAUGCAAUGAAUUAAACCAUUAGAAAAUAAACACUAUAAAUAACUAAAACAAGUGAAAUCGUAUUAAGUAAACGUACCAUAAUUUCACCAGCUUCAGGAGUCAUAGCAGAUCCAUCUUUCUUCUUAUGUGUAAUUUCAAAAAGUUGUAGGCGUCCAACUUUUUGACCGGACAACCGCUCCUACAAUGCAAUAGUAAAAAUAUUAUUUAAUAGAAAGUUAUACAUAUUUGAGAAUUAAAAAAUUAAAAAUACCUCCGCCUCAGCUACACAUGCAAAACUUCUCGACCCGGCUGUGUGAGUGAAUUUUUGUUGCUGCCUGCUACUUUUUCCAACUCGUUCACGAUCCUACGUUAUAAAAUUGUUAGUACGUAAAUAUUAAAUACUAUAAACCAAAUUAAUUACAAUAGUUUGGAAGUACGUCGUACCUCGCCUUUCUGAGAAUGCCAAAAUCUAACCGCAUCUUCCCAUUGGUACCUCAACAUACCCGGCGGGACAUUUUGCAAUUUCUCAUCGAGGGUUGUUUUUGUCUUAUAAUAAUUUUUCUUCAAAGUACUUUUAUUGUCUCUCCAUCUUUUUCCCAAUGCCUUCUUUACAUAAGCAUCGGAGACCUCUAAAGCAAACCUCGCCUACAAAAAUACUCACAGUGCCCCUACGUAAAUAUAAAUGAAAUUAUUUCCCAAGCAUUACAAAUGACAUUAACAUUUUGUUACCUUAAUAUUAUCGAGGGCUUGGUUUUUGUUGCUAUCGGGCAUUUGACGCCAUGACUCAUAGUUGAUAGGCAACAUAUUCCCAUUUCGUGCUAAAAUGCCCAUGUAUCCUGCUAAAAGUCGAGCUUCUGAUCCAACAGGCUGACCAAAACUGUUUCUGCAUACCUUGACACGCUCGACUGGAUCUAACUCGUAUAACUCUCUAAGUAUCGUACGUCCUCGACCUCUACGCGUCCCACCAUUUUCAGCUACAAAUGGUAUAUUAUAAUAUAAGAAUUUGAAAAAUAAAUAAAUUAAAAGUCAACACGCGUGGAAUUAAUGUAAGUUACUUUGAACUUCCGUAGGAUCCUCGUGUGUAAUCGGAACAUUCGAAGAUCCAAUUGCUGUCUGUUGUUCAAUACUAUUUGUCUCUGUCGAGUUUGGAUCAUUUUGAACAAUGCUUUCCCUUAUAAUUUUUCUUCUAGGCAUUUUAUCUGCAAUACACAUAAAAUGUAAUUAAACUUAAUAACUAAUUACAACAAUAACAGCACAUAUAAAAUAGUUGAGUUAUCUCUACUGAUCUGUCGUCGAUGUUAUCUCUACUGAUUCCACUUCCCAUGUCAAACAAGUCUCUAGGGAUGUUACGGAUUACAACGUACCAACCCUCAACAGUUGGAUCUUUUGAGUAAAAAACUUGUUUGACUUGACUUGAGAAUACAUACGGCUCAUCUAUCAGUUGUUGUCCUGUGUGAAUCAAUCGGUCAAAGUUCACCAUUGUAAAACCAUAUAGAUCUUGCUUGAUUCCACGAGCUGUAUUAACAUCAGCCCAAUCACCUCGAAAUAAGACAACUUUCCAUUUGCCGUAGUAAUCCAACUCAAUAAUGUCAGUAAGCUGUCCGAAAUAUUCCACAUUUCCCUUGACAGGAUUAUUGUCCCUAGCGCUAGCAUAACUUGUAAUUCAUCAAAGCGACGUCGUUUAAAAUUUGUGCCCUAUAGCUCAAGACGAAACGUAGCGUUUUGGUCCAUAUAUUUUUGCGGCGCUUUUGCACUAGCGCCGCUAAUGAUGUGAUUCAGCAGCGUUUUUAUAGAAGCGCCACAAAUUCUACUAUACCUCAAUAUUGUACGCUGCGUUUUGCUUAACUUUUGGCGGCGCUUAUAAACAAACGCCGCUAAUUAUUCAAUUUUUAAAAAUGUUUUAUUUCUCUUUAUUUAUAAGUUUAAUGAUUUUUAAUAGAUUUUUUAUUUUGAUAAUUGUUAUGACAUUAUUAUAAAUUGACACAUUAAUAUGAUUGUUAUGUAACUAACACAAUAUUAAUAUAUAUAUAUGUUUCAUAAUAUAUAAUAUAUAUCGUUGCAUAUAUAUCUUUUUCUAUAACCCUAAUUAUAAUAUUUAAUUAUAAUCCUACUAAUGACAUAUAUAAUAAGAAGUAAAAAACACAAAGAAUUUACAUUUUUUUUGGCUUUUGUUUUAGAUGAGUAAUUAAACCCUAAAACCCAAAGCUAUCAAUCCCUAUAACCCGUAAAUUUUAAAAUUAAAUUAUAAACCCUAACUCGUAUUCUUCAUGCGAAUCCGAAACGCAAAAACCAUGCAUUGCAACAUUCAAAUCAUUAACGCUAAACCAUAAACCAUAAACAGUAAAUUUGAUCAUUAUCUUAUAAGCCGUAAACACUGACCUCACAUUAACACUAACAUGUAAACUGAAACUCUAAACCUUAAAGCUCAAUUCCCAAGCCAUAAUCUAAACCGAAAACCCUGAACUUAAUACUAUAAACCUAAAAUAACGAACAUUAUGUAAUGAACCCUAAAACCCCAAACCGUACACGACAAAACUUAAAUAUUAAUCCUAAAACCCUAAAAUAUAAUUUAUUCAAUUUGCGGCGUUUUUACAAAAAACGCCACUAAUACCAAUAAACAGUAUAAAAACGAUGUCGUUUUGUCUAACUUCCAACCAAAUAAUAAAAGUAAACGACGACAUAUUAGGGAAAUAUUUGCGGCGUUUAUGUAAAACCGCCGCUACUAAAGGUAAACAUCAUCAAAGCGACGUCGUUUACAAUUUGGGCGCUAUACCUACGACGAAAUGUUGCGUUUCGAUUUCACAUUUCCAGCGUUUCUCGGUUAAGCGCCGCUAAUAUGCGGAUAUAGCGGCGUUUUCCUGAAGCGCCACUAUUCGCUCUAUGCCUCAAUACCAAACGCUGCGUUUUAGUCCACAUAUUUUGCGGCGCUUUUGCUUUAGCACCGCUAUUGAUGUGCUUCAGCGGCGUUUUUGCAGAAGUGCCACCAACUCUACUAUACCUCAAUAUUGUACGCUGCGUUUUGUUUAACAUUUUUUGCCGCACUUAGAAACAAACGCCGCUAAUUGUGUUCUAUAAUGGCGUUUCUAUAAUGCGCCGCUACUGCCAAUAUUCCUAAAUAUUACGACGUUUUGUUUAAAAACUCCACUAAUGAUGCUCUUUUGCGGCGUUUUUGUAUAAAAUGCCACUAUGUGUCUGACUAUUUACGGCGUUUUUCCGGAAAUGCCGCUAUUUCCCAAUCUUUACCGGCGUUUUAUUGUUAGCGCCGCUAAUGCCUGAUUUAUUGUGGCGUUUUAUCUAAAAACGCCGCAAGAAAUGCCGCUGAAGCCCCCUUUUGGUGUAGUGCAAAAAGCUUUUAUCUUAAAGUACUCUUCAACUAUGAAACACUAAAUUGUUACAAUAAUAAUUCCUUUUUACUCCCUUUAACUUCAUUUUGAUUUUUUACAAUACACUUUAUGUUAUACUAAAAAUAUUAUUACAUGCGUACGCGUGUUGAAAUUACGUAUUUAGAACACAGAUGCGUGAUUCAAAAUAACAUUCAAUCAACAAUGAAAUGUAUGGUUUGAAACCAAUAAAUAAUAAUUUAUGAAAUAUGUACGACAUUAAAAUAAAAAUAUUAGAUUGAAUUGUGAGUAAACCAAAAUUUAAACAUAAAAAUUCAUCAUAUUAAGAAUAUUAAAUGAUACAAUUGUUUAUCAUGGUGUUCUCAUCAACCCUAAUUUGGUGUCAAGUUACUUUGUGACACAAACUCCAUCAACAUCAUUAUUAACACUAGAAACUCUAUCACACGCGUAUGUGUGUGGAAAGUACAUAUUUAGAACAUAGACGCAUGUUUAAAAAUAACAUCCCAUAAAUAAUGAAAUAUAUAAUUUGAAACUAAUUAAUUAUAAUAACACAUGAAAUAUGUACGAUAUUAAAAAUAAAAAAUUAGAUUGAAUUGUGAGUAAAACGAAAUUUACACACAUAAAUACAUCAGGUUAACAAUGCUAAAUGUAACCCCACACUCAACCCAGUCGUCGAAUCCAAAUGCAUAAUAUUGCAUUUUGUUGCCAAAACAUCACAAACUAUCUCAGAACAUUUCAAAUAGUGACUUAGCAUUUAAAUAUAAUAAAUCUCAUACAUUCUUGAUUUUAUAUAAAAACAUGUUUAAUAAAUGUCAAUUGGUCUCAUUAACUGUUUUGGGUUUAUACGGAGACAAAAAAUGAAGUCAGGUUUCGUGUCCAACUCGAUUUAAUAAAAUUAAGCGGUGUGCCUUGAGACAUUGAAAGUCAUGUCUCGAAACAUGUUGUAAUGACAUGAAUUCAAUCGAUUGUCAGAAAAAAAUACGGUUUUGAAGCUGGAUUUCAUUAAUUGAGUUAGUGAAAAUUUUAAUCAAAGAGUUGCCAUUAUUAAUAUAAGAUUUUAUUAUUGGAUGGUCGACUAAUUAAAUUGAGAAAGCCGUUAUUUAUAGUACAAUGGACAAAUUUCACUCAAUAAAGACUAAAGUAUUACAAAAAAAUAAAUAUUUAACAAUAAAAUUUGUCAUACUCUUAUUUGUCAUUUUACACAUAUAAGCUUUCACCUAUCAAUUAAGUUUUACCAAACACUUUUAAAUAAAUAGUUAAUAGAAUCAGCUGAUCAAAUCAGUUAAUAGGAAGAAUUGGUCAAGUCAAUUAUUGCAAUCAGCAAUAAGUUAUUAGCCAAUUGCCAAAGAUAAUAGUUUAAAAUUUUUGUUCUCAUUUUAUUCCAUAUUUAAAAGAAAAAAAAACACUUAUUUUGAAAAAAAAAUGAGUUACAACUAAAAGAAAAAAAAACAUGUGGCAUAACUUUAUUAGGCAGCUAGAUUUUUAGUUGAAAGUCAUUUUUUAUAAAAUAAAAGUGGGUUUUUUUAAUUUGGAUAAAUUUGUAGUUAAUUUUUCAAAACCAUAUUAUUAAUUCGAGAAAUAUGAAAAAUAAUAUAAUAUAAUAUAAUAUAAUAUAAUAUAAUAUAAUAUAAUAUAAUAUAAUAUAAUAUUAUUCAUAAAAUAAAAAAUGAAUAAAUUGGAUUAAUAAUGUAACAUCCAAAAAUCGGGUUAGAAGAAAUGAGUUAGUGGAACCAAGAGAGGUUUCGCCUUGAUUUUGAAUUAGGACUUUGAAAGUUUUGUAAAAUCAAUUGAUUUGAUUUAGUGGUUAAGUGCUUUGAAUGUGUGUUUAAAGUCUUAUGUUCAAAUCUCUCCUUUAGAAUUUUUGUUAUUUUUUGUCUUAACCUAUAUCAUUGAUCAUCUGGCAUAAAUUCUAUUUUUGAUCAACUGAUCUUAAGAAUGAGCUUGUUGGUUCAAUAGUUAAGCUUCUAUGUACCCUUUGGUCUUGUGUUCAAAUUUUUGCGUAAGUAAUGAGAAAAUACUUUUAUACUAUUCCGUAAAUUAGUUUAGUUUUUUUUAUUAACUUCCUUCUCCUAUGUUCCAAAAAAAAAAAGUUUACCUCUCCUUUUUUUUUUUGCUUUUCUUUUGAAUUCGUUUUGCUAUCUGCCGUGGAAUUGAUCCCGUGUGGGCCUUGAUCUUUUCUCUCGGUUCUAUUCUUAACGUCGGUAAAAGUUCAAUUGGUUAUAUCGCUAGUAUGGUGGUUUUCUUGUUGGUUUCCGAGUUCUAUAGUAAAGGACAAUUCUUCCUUAGGAGUUUGUUAAUUGAUUGUUUGAAUCAGGAAAGGACCGAACAACGUCUAGCAUUCCUUCAACUAUUUAAGAAUCGCGUGUCUGUUGUCCGUUUGUCGGUAAGUUUAGUUUGGGGUUUUGUGUUGAAAGUUCUUCGACAUAGUUUUGGUUUGGAUGCUAAUUCAAAUGAUUUGAUUCGAAUUAAUCAUCUGAUUCGGUCACUAUAACAUUGUUUUUAGGUUCGAGAAUCAUCUUUGUGUCUUCCAUAUCAAAACCGUAUCAGGUGUGUAACAAAAACCCUAAUUUCUACGUUUGGCGAAGGUUGGAAAGCAUGGCUGUCAACGCCUAUAACCGUGUGUCAGGCCGUGUGGUAGGCCAUAUAACUCGCUAUUUGGAAUUAGAGACAUACGGGCUAGAGACACGGGCGUGUGUCCAGGUCGUGUGAGAAGAUCCUUGGGUCUUGAGUCACACGUUCAGGCCGUGUGAAUCCACAUGGGCGUGUAGGCCAAAAAUCGUUAUUUUUCCUUAGGAUCGUAAACGUCAUUCGAAUCGAACGUAGGCCUUCCCUAGGGUUUGUAUUGUAACACCCCAAACCCAGCCUAGAUGUUAUGGCCGAAUCUGGCGAUGUCACAUGGAAUGGGAUUUGAAGACAAGAUUGUCGAGUUAAAACCGUUAUAGUUAGUUAGCUUUUAUUUAAUUCGGAAAAAAAAUAAAUACUAGUUGAUUUGCUUUAAAACUUGUCUCUUAGCAGAAGCUUUUGUAACCAAUUAAUUUAGUGAAAAUUGUUUAUAUUUAUGAAAACCUUAGUUUUUAGAAAAACCGUGUUUUGUUUAGUUGCAGUUUAAAAAAAAACCUUAAAAAUAGUAUAAAGUCCCAAAUUUAAAGCCAACCAGUCCAUAGUCCAAAAGUUACAUAAAAAACCCCAAAUAAAUAAUAAAUUAUAGACAUUAACGGAAAACAAUCUAAAUUUUAUGUAUGGCCACCGUCGAGUCCUCCGCUGCACUGACCCUCAAGUCUGGGGAUUACCUGUACAAAUUAAACAGAAAAAGGGUGAGUUUUCGCAAACUCAGUGUGUAAUCCCCACAGAAAACAUGCACACAGAUAUUCAAUAGCAUUCAAUUAGAUAGUCUGGGGCCUGGGCCCAUCAAAUAAUUAGUUUGGGCCUUGGCCCAUGUCAGAUACAGAAUGCAGAUACAGUAAAUCAGAAUCCUACCCACCAGAUUCUACACAUCAUCUCUGUCCAACCCCACACAAGAUGUGGGGAUUAAAUCAACCACCCAUCCCUACACACCACGCAGUUCCAAAAUACGGCACAUAAUCAGAAGGUUGCAGCUGGGCUGCCAGAUAAGAGGCUUAAUAGCCUUUCAGACACUUCCUCCAAAUAUCAUCAACCCACCCCGAUGCAAUGCAACAUGGAAAAUGUGUCAUGCCAUUGUGCAAUUAAUAGUACAUACAUUUAGAUAUCAUAAGUCAUACUCGGUAUAAAAAUCACACGAACAUAUCACACAUAUAGGGGUCUAAGUAAAGCUUAUCGACCUUAUAGUAGGUCCAUAGUCGACUUGGGCGACCCGUGCAACCUUACAGAACUUUUCAGAAAAAUGGGCUCACACACCCAUGUGGCCUGCCCGUGUAGGCCCACACGCCUGUGUGGCCCACUCGGCCCAAAUUGGCCUUGGCCGUGUGAUCCAUUUUUAAUGUAACCCGUGCUAGCUAAAUAUUCAUAUAUGUUUUCACUAUUUACUUAUAUGUUCCUUCAAAGAUGUCUACUUGACUCACUGUUACUAAAUUAUUUAUAUCUUGAGUUAAAUAAUUCCAAAUUAAGGUCUGCUUGAUGUCUUUGAAACUACACUCAAAUACCUUUCUACCAUAAAAUUUUUAAAAUUUUUGGUUCAGCCAAUAAGUACAGUAAAAUCUUCAAUCUUACCCCUGUUCUGCUGUCUAACAGCUUCGACCUUUCUUUGCUAAAAAUUAAUUAUCUCUUAGUACAAAAUUUGGAUGACAAUACCAUUUGUUUCUAUUCAAAGUAGACUCAUUAAUAAUUUAAAAAUGUAAAUUUUAACCCCUAAUUAUUUUUCUCCAAUUUUUGAUGAUUUUCCAAAGUCAGAAUAGGGGAACCCGAAUUCAUUCUAACCUUGUCUCACAAAACUUAUUAUAUCUCACGAUUUACAAUUUCAUUACUUACACCGUUUCUUCUAUGAGAAACUAGAUUCAAUAAUAUUUAAUUUUAUUUUUUUCAUCCUCUAAUUAGAUUUUCACAAUUUAUGGUGAAUUUUCAAAUUUAGCCAACUUCUAUUGUCCAAACAGCAAGCAAUAUCAGCUUUUCGCCGAAUCCCAUUUUCUACGUUUCGGGUACACACCUGGUUUUUUUAUGCUAAAAUAGUCCCCGAGCACUUCAAAGUCUAUAGUUGAACAAAUAACACUAAUUUAAUCUCACAUAACGUGAUUCCAAAUCAAACUCAUAUCGAGGUUUUAACCCAUAAGUGACUAAACCUUACCUCCAACCGACGAACAGUAAUUCCCACACAAACUAAAACUCCGAUUGGUGAUUACGAGCCCUUGAAUCCUCCCCUAAUUGGCAUAAACAAAACACUUCAGAAGAAAGUUAACAAACGGAGGCAAAUCACUUAUAUAACACUUACCAAACGAUCGUAGACAAACAUGGAGCGACACGAGGCAGAGUGGGAAAAUAAAAGUCAAGAAGAUGAAGGAUGAAAGAGAGCAGAAAUUCGGCAGCAAUGAAGAGAAAAACGACAAGAGGGUGGAAGGAUUUUGAGGAAAGAACAAAAAAGAAAAAAAAAAGAUGAACAAAAUAUUUGAUAACCACCUCAAUCCCUUAUUUCUCUCCAUCAAACUCCCCACUAAAUCCACUACUCAGAUUUUUAGUCCAUCUCAAACUCUCCUGGACACAAGAGCAAAAAUAAUUCCCACGCCAAGAUUCGAACAAAGGACCUCCUUCACACCAACACUCCACUUAUCCACCAGACCAGCAGGCCCAUUCUGUUAAUUAUUUACCAACUUUUACUUAAAAGCCUACUGACCAAAGAUAGGGUUUAUUUAUAAAAAUACCAAAAUUUGCCCAAGUCCUGGCUUGAACUUGGGACUGCCUAAACACACCUAGAACACAUAACCACUGAAGAAGAUAGGUAUUUUGUGCCACACAUUCACAAUACCCAAAAUUAAAACUUUGGGGCGUUACAUUUAUGAUAUGAAAUAAGUUAUAAAAUUUGAUAUUUGAUGAACUGUUGAUGUAUAAUCCGUUAUCUGGUCGUAUGUCUGAUAUGAUAUAAGCUAAGUAAGUACGAUAUGUUAGCGUAUAAUAUGUUUUUGUUGGGACGUGUUUAAGGUAUGUGAUUUAUUCAGGUAUGAUUUGUGCUUUGUUAAUUUUGAUGAUUCGUUUCUGUGUUAUUGUGUUGGAUGAAGACAUGUGAUAUCUGAAUAUGUUAUUGUGUCUGAUACUGAUUCUGAUAUGUAACCAUGCAUGUGAUUUCAUGGCAAGUCUAAUAUGAAUCAUUAAGAUGUGAUCAAUCUGUCUUGCAAAGUGUGGAUUCCCAUGCCUUCUGCUUCUGUUAUUGUACGACAACACGUCCUACAUACUUAUCAUUCUAAUUCUAAAUAUGGAUCUGCUUCAGUGGUUAAGUGUCCUGGGUGUGUGUAUGAGGUCUUGGGUUCAAGCCCCACAUUUGGAAAUUUUUUUAUUUUUUAUCCUAGCCUUAUCCUUGGUGGGUUGGGUUAUAUUUUAUCUUUAGUUAACUCAUAUUAGAAUGAGCCUGUUGGUUCGAGUGGUAAGGAGUUAGUUCGCUGGAGGUCCUAUGUUCGAUUCCCUGUGAGAGCGUGGCUAAUAUUUUUGUUUUGGUUAUGAGAUGGAGGUUGGGUGGAAGUGAAAUUCUGAGGUGGUUAAAAGUUAGUGGGUUAGCGGGGGAGUGGGAGAAAUUUUGGGGAUAUGUUGUCAUAUCUAUUUUUUUAUUUUAUUAUUUUAAUUUCCCAAAAAUCUCUUUUUGUUUUUUUGACGUUUUCUAUUCCCUUCUUCGCAAAUUCUGUUUCUUUUUGUUUUCCCCCAAUUUUUCUCAUCACCUGUUAACUCCUAUCAUUGCUUUUUUAAUUUCGUUGCUUCUCGUUCGGUUAAGGUAAGUAGGGUUUCAUCUAUUGGAGUUUUCAUUUUCUGUAAGGUGGAUUAUAUCCUUCCGUGUUGGCAUAUUGGUGUAAUCAUGGAAUCUAAUUUUUUUUGCGAUUAUUUUUGUGUAGGAGAAAGCUAUGAGUAGUUAGUUUUGCUCUAUUUUCCUGAACGGUGUUAGUGGCAGUUUUCAUCGUUGGUAAGUCGAGUUUUUUUGUCAGAUUUUUGUUGAUGAAUUCAUAAAUUAAUCGCUAAAUCAGUGUUUGGUAUUUUGUUCCUAGGUUUCGAAGGUCUCGAGAUUUUUUUCUCAUAAAAAUCAGGUGUGCACCCUAAACACAGAAAAUUGAGUUUCGAUGAAAGCCGAAAAAGCAUUAUGUCGAUGCACAUAGGCGUGUGCCUAGCUGUGUGGAUGGUAGUGUACGAAACACGACUAUGUGUUUUACGAAGGCAUGGUCGUGCGCAGGACAUAGCCGUGUGAUGGCGUGAGUGUGGCCGUGUGGGUCCAUAAUUUUGAAAUUUUCCCUAGGGUUGCACGGGUCGUUCCGAUCGACUGUGGGCCUAUCGUAGGGUCGGUAAGGGCUAACCAAAUCCUAUUUUAUGUACUAUGAUAAUUUGAUAGACUAAUCUGAGUAGGAUACUAAAUGUAUGUUUGACUGUACCGUUUAAGUAUGCAUGUUAUUUGUAUACAAGCAUGUUAAGCAUGUUAAAUCUAUUAUAUAUGUAUCUGUAUCUAUAUACUGUAUCUGUGUUUGGGGUGGGUAUUGUGUAUGUGGAGGAAGUGAUCUGUAUGGCGACACUUCGCCUAUAUUCUAGUAGCUUGACUGCAUAUUAUCUGUAACAUGUCGCAUCGACACUACAUAGUGUGUAGGGAUGGGUGGGUGUUUUUAACCACACAUAGUGUGAUGAGAUGGUCGGAGAUGGUGUGUAGAGGAUGGGGGUAGGACACUAUAUCUACUCUAUUUAUCUGAUUCUGUUAUCUGCAUCUGUUAUAGACCUAAGUCUGAAUUUGUAUCUGUUUGUAUAUAAGGUUUCUGUGUAUAUUGCGUGCCUACGUGUCUUGUAAUAUCCCGAAAAUUACUACAGUAAGAAAGUAGGUAUCCUUGAUAGUAAAAUAAGGAAAUAAAGUGACAAAAAGGGAAAUUUUGAGUUAUGGCAACAUUGGGAAUUAUAUUAUGACAUAUUAAUUCAAGAAAGGAUUAAAUCGCAAAAGUGAGAAAAAUUUUGUUGCCCAAGAGUAAGUACCCAAAAUUUAAGGGGUUAAAGUGUAAAUAUGAAAAAGUUGAAGGACCAAUAGUGUAAAUAUUUUAAGGGUGGAAUUUUGAGGGACUAAAUCACAAUUUUACCAAAUUAAGUGAUGACUCAAGGUUGAAAUUUUUAAAGAUUAUAAAGGGCAAAAUGGUCAAUUAGAAGAGAGAGAAAUCUAGAAGGCAAUGAUGAUGUUGGUGAUAUUUUAAGUUAAUUAAUUAAUUGAUUAUUAGUUUAUUAAUAUUUUAAUUUGAUUUUUNNNNNNNNNNNNNNNNNNNNNNNNNNNNNNNNNNNNNNNNNNNNNNNNNNNNNNNNNNNNNNNNNNNNNNNNNNNNNNNNNNNNNNNNNNNNNNNNNNNNAUGAAGAAUCUUCAUCUUCUUCUCAUGCAUCCAACGUAUGAAGAGAAAAGAAAGAAAGAAACUUUCUUUUCUUUACAAUUUGGUCCUUUCACCAAAAAAUCACCAUUUUCACUUAGAAAUCAAAAGAAUUUUCAUAUCCAUGAAGAGAGAAAGAUAAAAAAGAGACAAUGGGGAGCUAGAAAAUCAACUUAGAUUCAGGAAAUAGAGGUUGGAGGAGAGAGAAAAUCAAGUUAAAGAUUGAAAUCAAUAGGACAAGGUAAGAACAUCAAGAUUUCAAUGUACUUUUAAGUUUGUUAUUAUUGAAAAAGCAUGGAAAUGAUGUUAUAGUAGAGUUUUCUUAAAUGAAGUCUUAUGUUCUUGAUAUAUUAGUGAAGGGAAAUAAGAGAAAGUGAUGGAAAAUAUUAUAGAGAAAAUGAAUAAGGAAGUUAUAAACUUAGUAAUCAACAUUUUGCACUAAAACAGUUUUGGACAGCAGCAGUAGGCUAACUUUGAAAAAUCACCAUAUAUUAUGGAAAUCUAAUUAUAGAAUGAAAAAAAUAUUUAAUUAAAUCUUAUUAAGUCUAUUUUCUCAUAGAAUAAAUGGUGUAAGUAAUGGAAUUGUAAAUCAUGAGAUAUAAUAAAUUAUGUGAGACAAUGUCAGAAUGAAUUUGGGUUCCCCUAUUCUGAAUUUAGAAAAUCAUAAAAAUUGGAGAAAAAUAAUUAUGGGUUUAAAUUUAUAUUUUUAAAAUCAUGAAUGAGUUUAUUUUCAAGAGAAACAAACAGAAACAUCAUCCAAAUUCUGCACGAGGAGAUAAUUAAUUUUUAGUGAAGAAGGGUCAAAACUGUCAGACAGCAGAAUAGGGAUGAAUUUAAAGAAUAAAUUGUACUUAUUGGCUAAACCAAAAAUUCUGAAAAUUUUAUAGUAAGAAUAUAUGUGAGUCUAGUUUUAUAUAAAAUUAACAGCUCUCAAUUCGGAGUUACAUAUCUCAAGAUAUAAAUAAUUUUGUUACAAUGACUCAAGUGGACAGCUUUGAAUGAACAAAUAAAUAAAUAGUGAAAUUAUAGAUAAUGUUACAUAUAAGCAUGUUAUAUACAUUACGGAUGUGGAAUGGAGAGGAGGAGGAGGAAAAUAUAUGAUUAUUCAACUAGCAUGAGUUUUCAUUAAAAAUGGCUAAUUUGCGUGUUUUAGGUUCAGGGACUAAAUCGAAUAAAAGUAAUAUUUUAAGGGUAAAUUUGUAAAAAUGUCAAAAAGUGACCAAAUUGCAUGAAAUGAAUUGUUUUAUUAUUUAAAUUAAUAAAUUGAAUGAAAUAUUAAUUUAUAUCAAGAUUGAGUGGAAAUUCGAAGGAAAAUAGAAAAUUACCAAAAUAUCCCUAAAUUUUGGUAUUUCUGCAAUUUAGUCUGGUAAGUUCGUGUAACUUGAAUUAUAUUCUUAAAUGAUUGAAAUAUAUAUAUUGGAUUACAUGAGAAAUUGAUUUGAAUUGUGAACAUGAGAAAUUGUGAAUUGAAUGAAAUGGAAAUAAAGCUUUGAAUUACAUGAGUAAAUAUCGGGUCUCGUAGGCCCUAUUUGUUAUGAAUAUAAUAUUUCGAGGAUAUGCUGUAAAGAAUUAUAAAAGCACGUUAAUAAUUUAAAAGAUUUAAUUCGGAUGAAAUUUUGUAACUUGGUUUAAUACGUAUGCAAAUGUAUGUCUUCUAGUAAUACCUUGUACCCUAUUCCAGCGUCGAAUACGGGUCAGGGAUGUUACAAUAUGACAUCAUCAGAUUCGGUCAUAAUGUUUAGACCAGGUUUGGGGUGUUACAUGUCUAAUUCUGUUGGGUUACAUACUAAGUUUAUGAAAACUCACAUCUAUUUGUUUGUUCUGUACAGGUAAUCCAUAGGCUUAGAUGAAUCGGUGCGACGGAGUCUCACGGUAACUACAAGGGUGUGAAAUGUGUUUAAAUAAUGGUUUUUUAUUUAAUUAAGGAUUAUUUCUGGGAGUUUUGUAAUUAUUGGACUCUCCGGACUGUUUGAUUUUUAUUUGGUUUUGGAUGUGUUUUGACUCUUUUACUGCGACGUUUGUUUAAGAUCAUGAUUUUUCAAAAGUAAAAGAUUUUCUUAAAAUACGAGCUGGAUUUCCAAAAUAUAAUGAUUUCUAAAACUUCUGCUAUAAAUUAUGUUUUGGCAAAAGAAUUAAUUAAAUAAUGUUUUCAAUAAAAGUUGUAUAAACGAAAAUGGGAUAUAAAACUGGGAUAAUUUAUUGAACAACUAUACAAAGCUUUAUCGUAGUAACACUGAUUUCAAAACCCUUCAUCUUAACAUUACCAGAUUCUGCCAUAACGUCUAGGUCGGGUUUGGGGUGUUACAAAGUUUCUGGCAGUUUAUUGAUCUGUAUUUAUCUGGUGGUUUAUCUUCAAUUUUGUUUGGCAGCUUGUCUGCAAUUCUAGUGGCACAGUCCACAAUUAUUUGUUAGUGUGAUUUGGUUGGAUGAAUUCUGGGGACUCUAUUUUGGUGUGUCAUGGAGUUGCGUAGAAUGUUUUCUGAAUAAAAAUCGACAUUCUGAUUUUUUGAAAAACACUAUAUUAGCAUAAUAGAACAUUCUCCUUCUGUUUAUACGAUCAAUAUGAAAAUCUCUAUGAUACUCUACUUUGUUCCACUCUGGUUUUAUAAUCGUUAUGAAAGUUUCUACGUUACUCUGACUUGUAUAUUGUGGUUUAUUUAAUCUCUGUUGAGUUUUGUUAUACAAUGAGCUUUAUAGCUCACCCCUUUGUUAUAUAUUUGUCUGUUCAGGUAAAAUCUCUGGCUUAGGAUCGAACGACAUGUGGGAGCUCAAAUAUUUUUUGCAUUUGAUGUAUAUAUGGUGAAUUUCGUAAUCUAUUUCUGAACUCGUUUUGGGUUUUUUUUAAUUCAUCAGUAAUUGAUAUUUUCCAUAGCGAAAUGGUAAAAUCACUUAAGUCAACAAAAUGGAUUUUGGUUUUCAAAACUAAAACUCUGAAAAAGGUUUUUUGCUGAUAAUUAAAUGAUUUCUUAAGUGUUUUCUAAAAGCAAACAAAUAGUUUUUUAAUGACUGUUUGUGAAAGUCGCAUUUGCCAAAUACUUACUAAAACCAGUUUUCCAAAUGAGUCAUUGUAAUUUCUCUAGAUUCAGUCAUAACUUCUAGGUCGAGCUUGAGGUGUUACAUUUAGUUGUAUCGAAGCCAAGUUUGCAAAACAUGGGCUAUGAUUUUCGGGUUCAAAACUCUUCCAGAAAAAUAUUUUAAGUAAGUGGAAUUUCUGACUGACUUUGAGAUUUUAGGGUUAUAAAAAGUGUGUGUUCAGAUUUUGAUUAUUUUUGAGUCUGUAAAUAGAGAAUUCGAGACUUCGGCACCGGUCCUGUAAGUAUCUCUACAUCAGCUAUAUUAAAUGAACUAGCACAAACCAUACUGCUAUGGUUCCUUUGUUUUAGUUAAAACUCUGGAAAUUCUAUGAAAACCUCUGUUAAAGCUUUAGACUUAGGAUUCUUAAUAAACCUAAGCUACGUCUUAAAAUUUUGAAACUGAGGAUUAGCAUAAUGAGUAUUGGUGGUCAUGAUGCCUGAAGAUGUGGUGGACAUAGUUGAGUGACCCGAGUCGAGUUUUCUUCUCGCGGCAAUGAGUCCAAUCUGAAAAAAAAAUUACAAGUAUGGUAAGACGCCCAAAUCUGAGGGCGGUAGUAAAGAAUCUGGGGAUGCUGUUGUGCCACAAGAUGUGUUUGAGGAUUUGCAAAAGGUCAAUGGAAUCCAAUUUAGAUUUGUGGGUCAAGAGUCUGUGAUUGAGUGACCUCAGCCAAAUAAGAGGAGUGUUGUAAGCAUGGAUCGAAUUCUGAUUUGCGAUCACUAUAAUAAGCGUGUCUCAGAUGUGGAUUCGUGGAGAACUGAGUUAGGGAUUGCUCGCAUUACUCUUUUACUUAUGCAAGAAUUAAAUAUAAGUCAAAUAUUCAGAGAUAGAGAAAAGGACAGAAAUAGCAAAUAUUUCAAAAAGAAAGAUUUGAACAUAUGACCUCAAACACACAUUCAGAGCACUUAACCACUGAAGCAGAUAACUUCACUUAACAAAUUUUAAAAAAUCAAAAACUCAAAUUUUGGGGUGUUACAUCCUCUUUUAAUUAUAUAAUACUUAUAUUUAUUAUUUGAUUUAUAUAUAAAAAAAAUUAAUCCAUGGAAAAGUUAGUUGAUUGGUUUAAUAAUUCAGAUUUAAAUUAAGAAUCAAUUUAUCAAACUCAAACAGAGUUAUCUCUAUUGAUUUUGUAAAAUCAAAAGAUAACAUCACGGAUCCGUUAACUAAAUGCUUAAAUCGAGAUCGUGUUGAUAAAACAUUAAAAGGAAUUAAACUAAAUCUCAUGAAAAUAAAAGGCGCUAUGUGAAGGGAAACCCUACCUAGUUGACUUGAGAUCUCAAGAUCUAGGUUCAAAGGGACAACCUAAUUACAUAGACCUUGUGAGGUCAAUGUGGGGGUUCUUAUCCCAAGUUCAUUCUUAUGAUGUAAACAAUUACAAAAAAUGGGAUAGGUUAAGCAAUGCUUUUAAUGACCAUUGUGUGUUUCGGUGAGCCGAAUAACAUAAGUCACCUAUGUGAGAGUGAAGUGAGGUUGCUUCAAGGAGACUAUUAGGGCAUAGUUCUUUCAAACUCUUGCAGAAUCAGGAGAUGUUCAUGGCUAUGUGAACAUACCCAUGAGAACUAAAACCUUGCUAGGGAGGUAAUUGUGUGAGGUAUAUCAUUGUUUACAAAAAUGACAGAACAGUUCAAGGGCAUCACGUCUACUAGUCAGCUAGUAAAGUAAAUAUACUUUCACAGGGGAAGGUUCAAGGGUGGAUGCCUACCUAUCCUAUACAACUAUCGGUCAUAGAUUCUAUCACCACAUUGAGUCAAUGUUUUUCCGUUAAAAUUAUCAAUUUUCAUUCAUGUGGGGGAUUGUUGGAAAAAUUGUAAUUUUUGGAAAAUUUGAGGCAUAUUCUCUAUUGGUAAAGGUGGAGAGUUGAAUCAUAAAAUUAUGGUUUUAUAUUCUACUGCAUGAGACAUUUACAACGGUAUAUCAUACGCUCAAAAUGGUUGAGUGAUGAAUAAGAAAUUGAUGCUCAAAGUAAGCUACUUGGAAAUAUUUGUUGAGGAAAAUAAAAAGCUUAAAUCCCACAUUGGUUAAAUACCAAGUGUGAGAUGUGUAUAUAUAUGAGAACCCACUUGAAGGGUGAUUGAAUGACUAAGCUUGGAACCCUGCCUCGCGCGCAGGGGGUGCAGAUCCAAACCCAUUGGGGUUGGGGUGCACCUGCACGCCGUACUGCUUGAACAUUUAAUAGUAGAAAUGAAUAAAUUUGUUUGUUAUCUCUUCAUCAUUUCAGAAAAUUCCCAUUUUUAUUGUAAUUGAAUUUACAUAAUUUCAUAACCAAUCAUAAAUGAUUGACCAGAGUAUUGAUCCAAAUAAUAUCCAAAUACCAAAAUUGUACCCUAUAGAACUUUCGCAAAGCAAAAAAACCCCUUGGGAAGAUCAAAGAAAAAACAUGUUCUUCUUUUGUUUUCGUAAAAAAUUUUGAACCUAAUUUUUUUCAAAAAAGCAUGGAUAGUACUUUUGUGUUUACGAGACAAAGUUUUAACACAAGAAAAUCAAAGUAUAUAUUUUAUUUGAUACAAACUUUUUUUUUGAAGAUCCAUUGUGAUAAUGAGAAAGAUUUCUAGAUAUAUGCACAAAUCGGUCAAUAAUAUCAGAAUCGGGGGAAUCGGCCCAUGUCGUCUUACUAAUCGGAUGCCCUAAUGUGUUAUAAAAUUUCGCCUUAGAAAAUUAUCCAAUGAGUGAAAUAAUUGGAAUUCUUGUAUCAAAUGUCUUCACAACAUUAUCUAUUAUAAAUGAUUUUUCUAGCAUUUGACUCCGUACCACUGAAGGAUUUAAUAGCACACUUGAAAGAUAGCCCAGAAAGUCGAGCAAAUAUUUAGAUAAUUGAUUUAUACGAACUCUUUCUGAUUGAGACCAUAGGUAAAAAUAAUAUUGUCAUAAAUCGACAAAGUAAUAUUUCCACUUAUUUGUCAGAAGAGACGUAUCUUUUGAGGCCAGAAUUCACUUUCCUUGAUACCUAAUAAAAUGUAUGAAAGGGUCUUUGAACAACCAUAGGUUUUUCUGAAAAUCAUUAUAAACGACUUCACCAAGAUACUUUAUUUUUCCAUAGAAAAAAUUCGUUCAAGAAAGACUCCAGAAGAUGUUGAUAAUAAUGAGAAGAUUGAUUACAGAGAAAAAGGAAAAUGGAUUCGUAUUCACAUGUAUGAGAAUUAUACAGGAACAAGAUAAUAUUGGAUUAAAAUCAAAAUAGAUUCUUUGGAGUAAUAAAACUCUUCAAAUUACAAUAACUCGUAAAGAGAGAACCGUAAUAAAUGCAAAGAAAAAGCAUCUUUUACCCAGUAGCGAAGGCUUGAACUAAGAUUUCUAGAUGGAAGGGAUGAGGUUAUUAGUGCCUCUAACACAUAAUUUAAAUGUGAGAAUUUUUCCUCUAAAAAUGGAAAUAUUGAAAGAAUUGAUUGUAAAUUAUGAGAUUUUAUGGCUUCUGCCCCUUGUGAGUAAGAUAUUAAUUGUAAGGAAAAUGAAAUUUCCACAAUGACUACAAAUCCUGCCGCUAUCAUUUGAGAAUACAAAUUAUUGUUGUGUCCAAAAACUAGAUUUUGGUUGGAAUCAUUAGCAGAACUAAUCAAACUAUUCUGUUGAUCCAUUAGAAGAAUUAAACAUUUCACAAUUAGUGAACUGAAUUUAUUACCAUAACCCUAAUUUUUUUAAAAAAAUCUUCGAUUUAUUUAAACCAUGCUCAUGAGCAAGUGCAUAAAUAUACACUCGAAAAAUAAGUGGGUAUAGGAAAUCAUGUCAGCGGGAUCUAUUUAGUUCUAAAUAUACUUGAAAUUCCUUCAUUUCAAAUUCGAUUUGAACCAAAGAUAGGGGAUCUAUUCGGUUAUUAAAUGAUACAUAGUGCGAUAAAGUCAAAACAAGGUAUUAUAGUAAGUAAAGAAUAGAUACCUCGGAGACAGGCGGAUUCAUCAACGAAUUCUCUAUCCUAUCUUUUGCCAUCUAAUUGAUUUAUGUUCGUUAUAGGAUAAGAAGACGGUUAGAAAUCCUUUAUUUUUUUUCAACCCAAUCGCUCUUUUGAUUUUGGAAAAAAAUAUCUUUUGUUUAUCAAUACCCGUACGACGUGGACGACGCGAAAUGUCUGGACCAGUCAAGCCCAAAAUGGGUCUGUAGAUAUUUUAGCCCAACACGAAAAUAUUUUUUUCCCUCAGCAAAUUACACAACAUUUGAUUCAAAAAGGACACGUAUCCUAAUUUUAUUUGAUUCUAAUCAAUUUGAUUUGAUUUUAAUCAAAUGGAUUUAAUUGCUCCUUUAAUGCAGAUUUUGUAUCCUUAAUACAUGGAUAUUUCCAAAAUUCCUCCAUAUGAAUGCCUAUAAAAGGAUAAGACUUCUUCAAAACUUUUUUGUUAAAAAACACUCUCUCACACCGAGUUUAUUUUGCUAUCCAAAAUUCUACUCUUUUCCUCUCAAUAUUUUCCCAACAUUUCGGUGAUAGAAAAAUGCAACGUUUGUUCAUUGAUUACUGCAGAGGUGCUACUAUUUCAAUCAUCGUGUUGUUGUAUUGUGAGAGACAGUUGACCAACAUUUCUCCAAGUACUGUAGGAGCGACCGAAUUUGUCUUCACGAAACUGUGUUAAACAGGCCUCAACAUUUAAUAAAACUCUAUUCUUCUUUUUGAUUUCUAGUUUUUGUUAUGUUAUUUAUUGGUUUUUUAUAUCUGAUAAUUUAAAUAUAAAUAAUUCAAUUUAUAUUUUAUUUUAUAUAUAAAUAUUUGCUUAUUUAUAUUUAUAUAUUUUGUUCGCUAACGUGUUUUGUCCAACAAUCUUAAGACAUUGUUUUAAUUAUUUUACAAUUCUCUAAUUCGAGACAAACAAGACACCAAGGCGAAAAGAAAAAAAUUAUUUUUUAUUUCAAAAUAAAUAUUAAAAUUAAAUAAAAUCUGUUUCGACAUUUAUUCUCGCCGUUCAUAUUUUAUUUUGUUUCCCAACAAGUAUUAAAAUUAAAUAAAACUCUAUUUCAGGAUUUGUUCCCCCGUUCAACAGAUUUUAUUCCAUUUUUUUCUUUUGUUUCCAAAUGAGUAUUAAAAUAAAAUAAAAUCUAUUUCAGGGUUUAUUCCCGUCGUUCAAUAGAUUUUAUUCCAUCUUUUAUUUUGUUUCCAAACAAGUACUAAAAUUAAAUAAAAUCUAUUUUGGGUUUUAUUCCCGCCGUUCAACAGAUUUUUUUCCAUUUUUUAUUUUGUUGUCAAACGAGAAAUUAAAAUUAAAUAAAAUCAGUUUUGGGUUUUAUUCUCGCCAUUAAACAGACUUUAUUCCAUUUUUUAUUUUGUUGCCAAAAGAGAAAUUAAAAUUAAAUAAAAUAUGUUUCGGGUUUUAUUCUCGCUGUUCAAUAGAUUUUAUUCCAUUUUUUAUUUUUUGCCAAACGAGAAAUUAAAAUUAAAUAAAAUUUGUUUCGGGUUUUAUUCCCGCCGUUCAACUGAUUUUAUUCCAUUUUUUUAUUUUUUUCUAAACGAGAAAUUAAAAUUAAAUAAAAUCUAUUCUGGGAUCUAAUCCCGCUGUUUAAUAGAAUUUAUUCGAUUUUAAUUUUGUUUCUAAAUUAGAAUUAAAUCGAAUAAUCUGUUUCGAGAUUUAUUCCCAUCGUUUAACAAAUUUUAUUAGAUCUUGAUUUGUUUCCAAACGAAGACUUAAUCAAAGAAUUCUGUUUCGGGAUUUAUUCCCGCCGUUUAACCAAUUUUAUUUUGAUUUAAUUAAAUAAUUUUGUUUCGGGAUUUAAGCCUAUCGUUUAACAAAAGUGAUUUUGUUUCAAAAUUUUAAUUUUUCCAUUUAACAAAUAAAAUGGAGUUUUUUUUUCUAUUUAUGGUGGCCUUAAUUGUGGCUUUAAAUUGUGAAUGCUUAAAUUGUAGCCUCAAAAUUGUGACAUCAAAGGUAAAGAAAUUUAUCAACAGUGAAUUAAAAAGACAAUAUGAGAGUGCAUGUCUAGGAUUGGUUCUUUGAAAGACUUGGUAUUUAAGCGUGCUAAGUGCACCACCUCUCUUUUAGGGUUACCUACCUGGUGCAUUGUUUUAUUAUAUUUUUUAUUAGACUGUAUAAACUUUUAUUUCAGGUUUUAUUAGAUUCCUACUGUCUAACAAAAGUUGAUAAUUUUCUAAUUCUAGUUUUGUUUUUUAACAGAAAAUGGAAACUUCCAUCAAUGUUGUGGAAGAUAUGGACUUAUGUGCUGUGAUUUUUUAAGUCAACAUGGUUGACUCAAAUCCAAGAGAAUGGUGGCUUGAUACUGGUGCCACACGUCAUAUCUAUUGUGAUAAAGACUUCUUUUCUGAGUUGGAACCUUGUGAAAAUUAGGAGAAGCUCUAUAUGGGCAAUGUUGCGACUUCCAAGAUCAAGGGGAAGGGUAUUGUGGUCUUAAAGAUGACAUUUGGCAAAAACUCAAGCUUCAAAAUGUGUUGUAUGUGCCUAGCAUAUGCAAGAACCUUGUUUCUAGGACACUCCUUAGUGUACACGACUUUAAAAUGAUCUUUGAAUCCUAGAAGUUAAUUUUGUCUAAAGGGGGAAUGUUUGUGGGAAGGGUAUAUGUAUUAAACUUAAUGCAAUAUCUGUAAAAGCAAAAUUAUGAAUAAGAAUGUUACUUCUUCUUCUGUUUAUAUGCUUGAAUCAUUUAAUUUAUGACAUGGUAGACUCGGACAUGUUAAUUAUGAUACUUUACGUACAUUAAUUAAUUAACUUAGAGCACAUUCCUUCAUUUCACAUUAAUUAUAAUCAUAAAUGUGAAACAUGUGUUCAGGCAAAAUUAACAAGGUCUUCAUUGUAUAAGAGAAAAGACGAAGCUAUAGAAAAAUAUAUUCUAUAUAAGCAGGAAGUUGAAAAUCAACUUAAUAAAAAUAUUAAAGAUGGUGAGAAGUGAUUGUGGUGGUGAAUAUGUUGAACCAUUUGAAUACUGUACACAACAUAACAUUAUUCAUAAAGUAACACCACCAUACUCUCCUUAAUCAAAUGGAGUAGUCAAAGGAAAAAAUCAAACUUUAAAGGAAAUGAUGAACACAUUGCUAGAAAGUUCUAAGUUAUCACAAGAAAUGUGGAGGGAAGCUUUUCUAUGAACUAAUUACCUUUUAAAUAAGGUACCCCACAAAAAAAUGGACAAGACACCAUAUGAGUUAGGGAAAAGUAGAAAACCAUCCUACAACCACUUGAAAGUGUGGGGGUGUCUUGCUAGCGUAAUGUAUAAUGGUAAGUCGAGACAUAAGCGUCGUCGACACAAUACCAUUAAACAACUUAUCUCAAAUGGAGUUAUCUCUAUUGAUUUUGAGUAAAAUCAAAAGAUAACAUUGCGGAUCCGCUAACUAAAAGCUUAAAUCGAGAUCAUGUUGAUAAAACAUCGAAAGGAAUGAGACUAAAGCCCAUGAAAAUAAAAUGCCCUAUGUGAAGGAAAACCCUACCUAGUUGACUUGAGAUCCCAUGAUCUAGGUUCAAAGGGACAACCUAAUUGCAUAAACCUUAUGAGGUCAAUGUGGGGGUUCUUAUCCUAAAUCUGUUCCUAUGAUGUAAACAGUGGCUAAAAAUGGGAUUGGUUAAGCAAUGCUUUUAAUGACCAUUAUGUGUUUCGGUGAGCCAAACAACAUAAGUCACCUAUGUGAGAGUGAAGUGGGCUGCUCCAAGGAGACUAUUGAGGCAUAUUUCUCUCAAAAUCUUACAGAACCAGGAGAUGUUCAUGGCUAUGUGAACAUACCCAUGAGAGCUAAAACCUUGCCAGAGAGGUAGUUGUGUGAGGUAGAUCAUCGUUUACACAAAUGACAAAAGAGUUCAAGGCCAUCGUAUCUAUUGGUCAACUAGUAAAGUAAAUAUACUUUCACAAGGGAAAGUUCAAGGUUGAUUCUUACCUAUCCUAUACAACUAUCGAUCAUAGAUUCUAUCACCAUAUCGAGUCAAUGUUUUUCCGUUAAAACUACCAAUUUUCAUUCAUGUGAGGGAUUGUUAGAAAAAUUGUAAUUUUUGGAAACUUUGAGGCAUAUUCUCGAUUGAUAAAGGUGGAGAGUUAAAUCAUGAAAUUAUGGUUUUAUAUUCUACUACAUGAGACAUUUACAAUGGUAUAUCAUAUGCUUAAAAUGGUUGAGUGAUGAAUGAGAAAUUGAUACUCAAAGUAAGCUACUUGAAAAUAUUUGUUGAGGAAAAGAAAAGCUUAGAUCCUACAUUGGUUAAAUACCAAGUGUGAGAUGUGUAUAUAUAUGAGAACCCAUUUGAAGGGUGAUUGGAUGACUAAGCUUGAAACCUUGUAUUGCUCGCAGAGGGUGCAGAUCCAAACCCAUUAGGGUUGGGGCGCACCAACAUGACGUGGGCGACGUGAAAUGUCCGGACCGGUCAGGCAUGGGCCUACAAAUAUUUUAGCCCAACAUGAAAAUAUUUUUUCCCUUAGCAAAUUACACAAAAUUUGAUUCAAAAAGGACACAUAUCCUAAUUUUAUUUGAUUCUAAUCAAUUUGAUUUAAUUGCUCCUUUCAUGCAGAUUUUAUAUCCUUAAUACAUGGAUAUUUCCAAAAUUCCUCCAUAUUGAAUGCCUAUAAAAGGCUAAGACUUCUUCAAAAUUUUUUGCUGAAAAAACUCUCUCACAACGAGUUUAUUUUGCUAUCCAAAAUUCUACUCUUUUCCUCUCAAUAUUUUCCCAACAUUUCGGUGAUAGAAAAAUACAACGUUUGUUCGUCGAUCACUGCAGAGGUGCUACUGCUUCGAUCAUCGUGUUGUUGUAUCCUGGGAGAUAGUCGACCAACGUUUCUCCAAGUAUCAUAGGAACGGCAGAAUCUGUCUUAAGGAAACUGUGUUAAACAGACCUCAACAUUUAGUAAAACUCUAUUCUUCUUUUCGAUUUCUAGUUUUUUUUAUGUUAUUUGUUUGUUUGUUUUUUUGUAUCUAACAAUUUAAAUAUAAAUUAUUUAAUUUUUAUUUUAUUUUAUAUAUAAAUAUUUAUUUAUAUUUAUAGAUCUUGUUUGCUAACGUGUUUUGUCCAACAAACAAUAUUAAAUGUAACACCCCACACCCAACCCAGUUGUCGGAUCCAAAUGCGCGAUAUCACAUUACGUUGUCGAAACAUUUCAGACUAUCUCAAAACAUUUCAAAUAUUGACUUAGGAUUUAAAUAUAAUAAUUCUCAUACAUUCCUAAUUUUAUGCAAAAACAUGUUUAAUAAAUGUCAAUUGGUCUCAUUUAACAAUUUUGGGUUUAUACGGGGACCAAAAAUGAAAUGAGGACUCAAAUUCAACUUGAUUUAGUAAAAUUUAGUGGUGCAUCUCGAGACAUUGAAAGCCAUGUCUCGAAACAUGUUGUAAUGACUUGAUUUCAGUCGAUUGUAAAAAAAAAACGGUUUCAAAACCGGAUUUCAUUAAUUGAGUUAGUGAAAAUUUUAAUCGAAGAGUUGGAAUUAUUAAUAUAAGAUUUUUAUUAUUGGAUGGUUGAGUAAUUAAAUUGAGAAAGUCAUUAAUUAUAGUACAUUGGACAAAUUUUUCGCUGGAGCGAAAAAUGUUCUGGCACUAUUCACUUGAUGCGUAUGCUCUAGCAGACUAUUCUUUCACUGGGGCAGAAGGCUACCUUACUUGUAUAAAGCUAUAUAUGAAGGACUCAAUUUAGCUUGGAAGAAAGGGUUUCACAAGGUUUACCGAAAGCGACAAUGCAUUGUUGAUUGAUAUAAUUGGGAAUGGUUAUGCAGCUGAUAAUAACCUUUCUAAACUUCGUUUAAUACAUGAUUUAUGCAAGCAAGACUGUCAACUUAAGUUUCGGCAUGUCCUACGGGAGCAUAAACUAGUAGAUUGCAUAGUCAAAGUUGUUCCUAGUAAUCUUAAUAGGUUAUCAGCUUUUGAAGACUCACCUAAUCAUGCUCAAUCUUUGUUUGAAGAAGAUGCUCAUCGAGCAAUGGUUAAUAUACGCUCCCAUCAUCCUUAUUGUAGCUAGUUCCUUGAACUUGAAUCUUUUCUACCAAAAAAAAAUUGAAAAAACUAAAUUUCAAAUAUAAGAAAAAUGGAAGAAGUGGAGCUAUGUUUUACCUAUUUAACUUAGUCUUUUAAAAAUGACUAUAUAACAAAGCCUAUGUAAAAACCAAAUUGGAGUCAAAGGCGAGUAAAAAGAAAUUAUUAUAACAAUUUAGUGUUUCAUGGUUGAAGAGUACUUGAAGAUAAAAACUCUCCGAUAAUUAAGCAAGCUUUUUGGUAGUUCUAAUUUCUAACUUCUUGCUUGCUUGUAGGUAGCCCAAUGCUAAUGGCAGUUUCAACUUGAGGCAAACUUUAUAAUUCUUACUCAACAUUAUUAUUUAACGUAGAAUCAGAAAAUAAUCUAGAUGUGAAAUGAUUUGAACUCGAUAAGUAAUUUAAAAUGACCCUACAUGAAAAUUUUAAUUGUGAAACUCGAAUUACUUAAAAUCAAAAAACACAAACACAAAAUUUAUUCGAACUUGAAAUGAUCUAGAAAAUUCUUUUAAUCGAAAUGACCUGAUCCAGAUUGAUAAAAACAGUAUACUGUAAAUAAUUUACACCAACUUUUAAAAUAUUAACACGGGUAAGGGAAACUUUGCUAACUUGGAGAUUUGUUGAAGUAUACUAUUUCACAUAUUAUUAAUUUAAUUAAGAGGCUAUCUUGAUUACAUGAGGUAGCUUGUAUGCCAACCACAACUACUGCAUUUCACCAAUUUUAAACUCCAAUAUCUCAAGAGAAGAUGAGCUACCAAAACCUUCAAUAUUGAUUAAGUUCUCUUUUCCAACCAUUUAUGAUCAAAUGGCUAUAAAAACCCCAACACCAUGCUUUGUUUUCCUCGCUCAUAACUAUUCAGAUAAAGAAGUUUGUUUCAUCUGCUUAAUUAGUUUCAAAAUCUCUCAACAAAAAUGGUUAUUUCAUUUGCAUUGCUUUAGCAUUCUUGAUGGCUUUGUCGUUUUCAAGCAUUAACGUUGGCCAAGCUGCUCGUCACCUUCAGCAGCUGCCUCCAAUGCCAACUUUGCCUACAGCAACACUUCCACCAUUGCCAUCUAUCCCUAAUCUCCCACAGCCAACCAUACCAACAAUGCCAGGCCUGGGGCUCUUCCACCACUUCUUACCAUGCCUGCUUUUCCCACAUGGCCUCCUCUGCGAAGCAUGCCCACAGUCCCAACUACAAUUCCCUCUAUUCCUUUCCUUUCUCCACCACCUUCUCCUUCUACCCCUUAAAAAUCCCUUUUGGCUUACGGGACCCAGUCCAGAGUCGGGACAUCCUACUGUUCUCAUCUCAUAUGGGAUUGAAAGUGAUACUUACGAACUCGAGUUUUUAAUCAGCAUAUAUAAGUACUUAUUUGUUUACUUUCUCUCUGAAGAUUUGAGCCGUCUUUGUAUGUUGAUUUUUGGGAACUAUUGUUUGCUUAUUUUCACCACAUAUGGUAUUUGUUUGUCUAAAUGGGAGUUCCCAUUAUUUGGUGCACUUAUUUAUAUAUGAUCGAAACUAAUAAAACAGUCACUACGCCAAAACAGGUCUUUAGCGGCGUAUUUUGUGGCGUUUGGAAAACAAACGCCGCUAAAAAUUGAACAUUAGCGGCGCAUUAACGAAAACGCCACUAAUAAUAAGCAAUAGCGGCGAUUCACAACAAGCGCCGCAAAAAAAUAAGGCCAACGACGCCGUUUACUAAGUUUUUGGGCCAUUAGCGGGUUUUUAUAAAAACGCUGCUAAUGCUCGGGGGACUUUGCGGCGAUUUCUAAAAAGCGCCGCAAAAAACCUAAUGCGAACGACGUCGUUUUCGAGUUUUUGUCCCUUUUGCGGCGCUUUUUUAAAAGCGCCGGUAAUGCUCAUAUCUUUCGCGGCGUUUUCUGAGAAACGCCGCAAAAAACCUAAGGGCAACGACGCCGUUUUCUUUGUUUUUGGGCCUUUAGCGGCGCUUUCUUAAAAGCGCCGCUAAUGAUUUGUUCUUUAGCGGCGUUUUUUUGGAAGCGCCGCUAAUAGUAAUAAAAAACCAUUCCAAUUAUCUCAUGAUUUGAUAUAUUUUUUAUUAUAAGAUGAAUAUUUCGUUGUAUUUAUUAUAUAUUGGUCAAAUUUACAUUUAAAUGAUAACAAAUAAUAUUAAUGUUUAAUACAAAAUGUUUUUAUUAAUUAAAGAGAAGUCCUAAUUAAGUCCUAACUAUUUAUUAUUAUUUUGCAAUCACAGUUUAUUUAAACUACUUUAGUAGAAAAAUAUAUAUAUAAAAUUAUGAGUAAAAUAAAAUAUAAUAAAACUUAAAUUGUUGUGUUGUAAAGAAUAAAAAGUAGAAAAAAAUUUGAUAUAUAGUUCGACUAAAUUAAUAUAUAAAUCAAACAAAGUAAUAUAAAACACCAAAUUAAUAUCGUGAUUAAUAAUAUUAUAUAUUAUUUAAUUAGUUGGGUUAGUACGGAUAAUGAUGAAUAAUUAUGAUAAUAUGCAUGGGACAUGGCAUAUAGCUUCCUAAAACGAUGUGGAGUGGGCACCAAACUCUAAUAAUAUUUUUGUAGUCCAUGCCCGAGUAGAAUGGGUUGAAACAUCGAUCUUUUUCUCUGGAUAAUGAUAUGCAAAGUGAGAUGCUUAGGGGUUAGGGGUCUAGAGGUUAGACGUUAGGCUUUAAGACUUAAGGUUUAGGGGUUUAGGGUUAUAGGGAUCGGGUUAGGGUUUAGGGUCUAGAUUAAUUUUUUAAUUUAUAUUUUAAAUAUAUGUUCUUUAUGUACGUAAUUGUCUUAGAGAUAAUUUUAAAUUUAAUAGACUGAAAUUAUGAGUAUAUAUAUAGUUGAAAUUAUGGCUUAAGAGAUAUAUAAUAUAUGUUAUAUUUAAUUACUGAGAUUCAUACCAUUUGAUAUUAUAAGAAUCUAAAAUAUUUGUUUUGUACUACAAUAAUAUUAUGAUUGGGAUUCUUGGUUUUUGAGUUUGGGGUUUAGUUUUUGGGGGUAAGGGUUUGUGGUUUGGGGUUUGGGGUUUGGGAUUUGGGUUUUUAAGUUUAGAUCUAGUUUAAUGUUUGGGGUUAGGGGUUUGGAAAUUUAAGGGUCGGUUUUGGGUUUAGGGUUUAAAGAUAAGUUAUGAUAUAAUAUUUGAUUUUGGGGUUUGUUUAUGGUUGUUUCUAGUUUUUAGGUUCAGGUACGGUGUUCCGGCUAACAGGUCACGGGUCAUGAGUGUAAGGGUUUAAAUUGAAUGUGGAUAUUUUACAAUAUAAUUCGAAUUAAAUUGAGUUUAAAUUAUCAAUUUAAUAAAUAUAUAUAUGAAAAAGGAUUAAAUCCCAGAAGCUUACAAAAAUUAGAUGGUUUUAGGGUUUAAAUUGUAUUCAUUGAAAACGACGCCGUUUCUAGUGGAUUUGCAUUAGAAUUAGCGGCGCUAAACAUGAAACGCCGCAAUAGAUGAAAUAAUACCGGCGUUUACUAUAAAAGCGCCGUAAAAUACUGUAAGUUGUGAAGAAAACGGCGCCGUUUUCUUAUUACAUUUAGUGGCGUUUUAGAUAAAACGCCGCAAGUAUGUUUUCUUUGUUACGGAAACGGAGGCUCAACCAUACCCUGGCAAUGGCGUUACACCCAAAACNNNNNNNNNNNNNNNNNNNNNNNNNNNNNNNNNNNNNNNNNNNNNNNNNNNNNNNNNNNNNNNNNNNNNNNNNNNNNNNNNNNNNNNNNNNNNNNNNNNNAAAGAUUACACGAGUUUGCAUUAAACGACUGCGUUUGACCUUAUAUUUAGUGUCACUAUAUAUAAACGCUGCAAAAUCGAAAUGGUGUUACGAAAAACGGCGCCGUUUUUUAUUACAUUUAGUGGCGUUUUAGAGAAAAUGCCGCAAGUAUGUUUUCUUUGUUACGUAAACGGCGUCGUUUUCCUUUGUUAUUAGUGGCGUUAUACCCGAAAUGCCUCAAAUAAAUUUUAAAGAUUAUAGGAGUUUGCGUUAAACGACUGCGUUUGACCUUAUAUUUAGUGGCGCUUAUAUAUAAACGCCGCAAACUCGAAAAUGGUGUUACAAAAAACGGCACCAUUUUCUUAUUACAUUUAGUGGCGUUUUAGAUAAAACGCCGCAAGUAUAUUUUCUUUGUUACAGAAACGGCGUCGUUUUCAAGGAUAUUUGUGGCGUUACACCCAAAACGCCGCAAAUAUAUUUUAAAGAUUACAGGAGUUUGGUUUAAACGACUGCGUUUGACCUUAUAUUUGGUGGCGCUUAUAUAUAAACGCCUCAAAAUCGAAAUGGUGUUACGGAAAACGACGCCGUUUCCUUAGUUGGUUUUAGUGGCGCUUUUAUUAAACGCCGCAAAUUUGCAUUACAACUUAAGGAAACUGCGUCGUUUUCCAUUGUUAGUAGUGGCACUUUGCUUAAAACGCCACAAUGUUGUUUUAAUUUUAAUACAAACGAUGCCGUUUUCUAUAUAUUAUUCGUGGCGUUUUUUCUAAAACGCCAAAAGGUUUAGUUACUUGAUGGGGAAACGACUGCGUUUGGCGAUAUAGUUAGUGGCGUUUGUUUAUAAAAGCCGCAAAGGGGUUAAAUAUGUUGACGUAAACGACGUCGUUUGUUUUCCACCAUUUUGACCGAAACAAAACCAAAUUAAUUCCCCGAUUCUCCACCCCCCAAAAGAGACAUCUCCCCCAAAUCCCUAAAAUUUCCCCUAAUUCCUAAUAGUUCCCCAACGUAGUCCAGAACGGCGCCGAUUUCUUUGCUGCAUCACAGCCUCCGUGCGUAUCCGGUACCGCAACCAUCGGUAAGUUCGUCAACUUCCUUUUUCUUCUUCAUGCGCCAUCUGUAAUUAUACAAGCUAUCUCCAAUAUUCUAUCAGUCUCAAUAUUCAAACCUGCAUAGACGAGAUGAAUGCGAUUCUUACAUCACAUAAUCCACCAUCGGCGUAAACUAAAAUUAGUCAUAAGUAUCAUUUUCUAGGGUUUACCAGUCAUUUCCAAGUCAAUCCAAACAAGGGGUAACUUGUAGUUUUCCGAAAGCAAUGCCGGUUUCAGUUCAGUUGAGCCCUUCCCAUUGAUUUUGCUCUUACCUGUCAAUCAUAAAAAAAAUUUAUCAAUCAAGCACACCCCCAAAGUUCAAAUGAUUCUAACCCUAAACCCAAAGGCAAUGAUUGAAAGACGAAAGUAGAUAAGCGGACCUGAAGGUUUGGAAGCAGAUGAUGAAGCCGGUGGGGGAUGAUGAUCGUCCACAUCAAUAUCCAGCAACGAAAACGCAUUCGAUAGCCUAUCCAUUCUUCUUCUAAAAAGCUUUUAGGUCAAUUUGAAAUCCCAGAACGAUUUUCCGGCGCUACUCCGGACUUUCAGUUCAGCACGGGUUGAGCCUAAGUUUCUUCUUUUUCCCUUUUCUUUACCUUCAAGUAUAAAUAAAUUCUUCAAUAUCUUUGCCAAAAGAUUUUAUCAUUAUUAUCUCUAAUUACUUUUUUUAAGCUAUUUGUAAAAAAAUAUUAAUAUAUGGCAGAAUUAAAAUGCAUUGUCACUUUUCAUGUGGUUACUUAAUCAAUUAAUAGAAUGUAGUACUAAAUUAGGUCAAGCAGAAAUUUAGGAGUAAAGUGAGAAAAAUGAUAUUUUUAAGAUCAUUUAAGUAUUAUAAUUUUAUAAGAUUUUAAAAAUUAAAUAAUUAAAUAAUUAAAAUUUCAAAUUUGUUUUUGGUUAUUUUUUUAAUUUCAAGUUUAAAUAUAUAUGCAUUAAUUAUUAUUUAUAUUAGNNNNNNNNNNNNNNNNNNNNNNNNNNNNNNNNNNNNNNNNNNNNNNNNNNNNNNNNNNNNNNNNNNNNNNNNNNNNNNNNNNNNNNNNNNNNNNNNNNNNUUGAUGUGGACUAUUAAUGACUUUCCCGCUUAUGCCAAUUUAUCCGGUUGGAGUACCAAGGGUCGUUAUGCGUGUCCUUGUUGUGCUGCACAAACAUGUUCGCAAUGGUUGUACAAUGGGAAGAAGUUCUCUUACAUGGGGCAUCGUCGGUGGUUACCGAAAAAUCAUAGAUUUAGAUGUUAUGCACAUUGAGAAAAAUGUCUGCGAGAACAUUGUGGGUACAGUUUUGAGUGUCGACGGAAAAUCAAAAGACAAUCUUCAGAGUCGACUUGAUUUAGUCCAAAUGGGAAUCCGACCUGAUCUUCAUCCCAAUCCACUUCCGAAUGGGAAAUAUCGGUUGCCGCCUUCUAUUUUUUCAAUGUCAAAGAUGGAAAAAGAAUUGUUCUGCACGGUGUUGAAGGAUAUAAAGGUUCCAGAUGCGUAUGCAUCAAAUAUAUCUCGAUGUGUUAGUGUUAAAGAUCGAAGAUUAUAUUCGCUAAAAUCACAUGACUAUCACAUCUUGAUGCAAGAUUUACUGCCAGUGGCUCUACGAUGUUGUAUGUCCAAGAAGGUGACGUCUUGUAUAAUUGAACUAUCCAACAUAAUGAAAGCCAUUUGUGGCAAAGUUUUGGACGUUCAAGAACUUCAGAAGGUACAGGAUCGAGCCGCUUUGACUUUAGGCAACAUGGAGGAAAUCUUCCCACCUUCCUUCUUCACCAUUAUGGUUCACUUGAUAAUCUAUCUCCCACACGAAGCAAUUCUUGGCGGACCCGUUUUCUAUCGAUGGAUGUAUCCCAUAGAAAGGUGUUAAUUAAAAUUUUUAAAGUUUUCCUUCAUUCACCUCUAUGCCUUUAGUUUCAAUAAUUAAGAAAUGUUGUAUAUUGUGUUUAGGUUUCUAUCCAAAUUAAAGUCUUACUGCCGCAACAAGCGAUAUCCAGAAGGAUCGAUUGCUGAAGGCUACUUGGCAGAAGAAUGUAUGACCUUCUGCUCAAGAUAUUUGGAAGAUGUUGAAACCAGGUUAAACAGACCAAAUAGGAAUGUUGGACUCACGGACCAUAACUUAGCCGAUACUUAUUUGUUCCAAAUUUUUGGAGAACCAAUCGGAAAAGUUAAAAUUGCAGAAUUAGAUCAUUUAUCGUAGGUACAAGCACAUCGAUAUGUUCUGUUUCACCACGAAUUAUUGGAACCUUUACGGAAGUAAGUUCUACAAAUUUGAUAAAUAUUUAUCAAACUAAUAACUGUUUAUCUUCUAACAAAGAUCACAUUUUUUUAACACAGUGAGUACAAACAAAUUUUGAGAUCUCGUUUGCACUCCCGAAGAACACAACAUCAAGAUAUCAAUAAGUUGUUUACAGAAUCUUUUUAUGAAUGGUUAAGCCAAACGGUAUGCAGUUCGAGCUUCCGCUUACAAAUAAUAAUGUUUUCUUAUAACAAAUGAAUUACUCAGUUUACUUUCCAUUCAAUAGGUUUGGAGUGGGAAGAACGUAACCGACGAUGUUAAAUGGCUCUCCCAAGGUCCAAAUCGAGUGGUUAAAAGAUAUAGUGCGUUCCUCAUCAACGGAUUCAGAUUUCAUACAAAAUAUCGCGAGAGGUUGAGGAGAACGCAAAAUUGUGGAAUAGUUGUCAAUUCUGCAAUUACAAGUUAUGCUAGUGCUAGGGACAAUAAUCCUGUCGAGGGAAAUGUGGAAUAUUUCGGACAACUUACUGACAUAAUUCAGUUGGAUUACUACGACAAAUGGAAAGUUGUCUUAUUUCGUGGUGAUUGGGCCGAUGUUAAUACAGCUCGUGGAAUUAAGCAAGAUCAAUUUGGUUUUACAAUGGUGAACUUUGACCGAUUGAUUCACACAGGACAACAACUGAUAGAUGAGCUGUAUGUAUUCUCAUCUCAAGUCAAACAAGUUUUUUACUCAAAAGAUCCAACUGAUGAGGGUUGGUACGUUGUACUCCGUAACAUCCCUAGAGACUUGUUUGACAUGGGCAGUGGAAGUAGAGAUAACAUCGACGAUAGAUCAGUAACUUUGCCCUUUCCAGAACAAAACUUAAACGAUAAUACCCCUAGUACUAGUGCACAAUUUGGAUGGGUUCGUCAGGAUAUCGAUGAAGAUAUUUACGAAUAAUGAUGUAGUAAGAUUUUACGAUUGUUUAAUUAUAUGUAAUAUCAUAAUUUAAAUCUUCGUCUUAUUAUAUAUUUCAACUGUUUUAUAUGUGUUGUUAUUGUUGUAAUUAGUUAUUAAGUUGUUAACUAUUUUAUGUGUAUUGUAGAUAAAAUGCCUAGAAGAAAAAUUCUAAGGGGAGCAUUGUUCAAAAUAAUCCAAACUCGACAGAAACAAAUAGUACUGAACAACAGACAGCAGUUGGAUCUUCAAAUGUUCCGAUUACAGCUGAGGAUCCUACAGAAGUUCAAAGUAAUUUUACAUUUAAUUUACAUGCGUGUUUUUGUUAUAGUUGAUUUAUUUUUCAAAUUCUUAUAUUAUAAUAUACCAUUUGUAGCUGAAAAUGGUGGGACGCGCAGAGGUCGAGGACGUACGCUACUUAGAGAGUUGUACGAGUUAGAUCCAGUCGAGCGUGUCAAAGUUGGACGAAACAGUUUUGGUCAGCCUGUUGGAUCAGAAGCUCGACUUUUAGCUGGAUACAUGGGCAUUUUAGCACGAAAUCCGAAUAUGUUGCCUAUAAACUACGAGUCAUGGCAUCAAAUGUCCGAUAGCAACAAAAACCAAGCCCUCGAUAAUAUUAAGGUAACAAAAUGUUAAUGUCAUCUAUAAUGCUUGGGAAAUAGUUUCAUUUAUAUUUACUUUAUUAACUUGUGUUUUUUGUGUUUUGUAGGCGAGGUUUGCUUUAGAGGUCUCGGAUGCUUAUGUAAAGAAGGCAUUGGGAAAAAGAUGGAGAGACAACAAAAGUACUUUGAAGAAAAAUUAUUAUAAGACAAAAACAACCAUCGAUGAGAAAUUGCAAAAUGUCCCGCCGGGUAUGUUGAGGUACCAAUGGGAAGAUGCGGUUAGAUUUUGGCAUUCGAAUAAAGGCGAGGUCUGACGUACUUCUAAACUAUUGUAAUUAUUUUGGUUUAUAGUAUUUUCUAUUUACGUACUAAAAAAUUUCAUAACGUAGGAUCGUGAACAAGUUGGAAUAAGCAGCAGGCAGAAACAAAAAUUCACCCACACAGCCGGGUCGAGAAGUUUCGCAUGUGAAGCUGAGGCGGAGGUAUUUUUAAAUUUUUUAAUAUUGUCGAAUAUGUAUAACUUUCUAUUAAAUAAUAUUUAUACUACUAUAUUGUAGGAACGGUCGUCCGGUCAAAAAGUUGGACGCCUUCAACUUUUUGAAAUUACACAUAGGAAGAAAGAUGGAUCUCCCAUGACUCCUGAAGCUGCUGAAAUAAUGGUACGUUUACUUAAUACGAUUUGACUUAUUUUAGUUAUUUAUAGUGUUUAUUUUCUAAUGGUUUAAUUCAUUGCUUGUAAUGUGACUAUUGUUAUGUUGCAUAUGUUUUUCAAUAUAUAAUAUUGCGUUCCUAACUAUGUGAUAUAUUUAUUAGGAAAAACUAAAGGAUAAAAAGGCGGAGUACGAAGCAAUUGCUUCUAGUGAUAGUUCGGUUCAUCUUGAAGAUAUUGAUAAUCGGAUUAUUACUGAAGUUUUGGGUCCUGAAAGGUAUGGUCGGGUUCGAUUUCAAGGAUCUUUUGUUAGCCCAACCCAAUAUUUUGGAUCCAGCUCCCACCAAUACAUGGCUUCGGGGAGUCAGGCUCAAGCUGAAGUUCAGAGGUUAAAAGACCAGAUGGCUCAAAUGCAAGCGACUACAAUUGAGGUUCAAAGGAAAUAUGAAGAACUCCAGCUACAACUUAAAGCAGAGGCGGAAGCGAGGGAAGCAGCAGCUGCAGCGAGGGAAGCAGAGGCUGCAGCGAGAGAAGCAAAGCAGAGAAAAAAGUACGACGAACUUCAGCAGCAGCUUCAGAUUAUGAUGAAGAUGUUUAAGUCGCAACUUCCGCCUUCAUAGUGUAUGACAUAAAUAUUUUUAUCAUUUUAACAUUUAACAUUUAACAUUUUUUGCAAAAACAAUAUGAAUUCACUUUUAUUUAUUGAUAUUAAUAUUAUUUUAUUCCCUUAUGUUGAAAUAUUAUAUAAAUUUAUUGCUAUUGGUUGCUUUUGAAUUGUUGCUUUUGAAUUUUUGCUACAGGAGGGCCGAAAAAAUGAAAAAUUUAAUAUAAAAAAAAUCCCCAAAAUAGUGGCGUUUUUGUAUAAAAGCGCCACUAAAGAACAUGUUCUUUAGCGGCGUUUGUAAAAAAAUGCCACUAAAGAACAUGGUCUUUAGCGGCGUUUUUUUUCUAAGCGCCGCUAAAGAACAUGGUCUUUAGCGGCGUUUUUGUUUGUAAACGCUGCAAACGUUUGCGACGUUUUCGUUAGCGGCCUUCCGCAAAGAUCUUUAGUGGCGUUAAAAAGCGCCGCUAAAGGCCUAAAAAAACGCCGCUAAAAACCUGUUUUGGUGUAGUGAGUAAAUAAAAAAAUAAAUUAAUUAUGAUACAACCUUUUAAUUUAUUAAUUCUUUUCCUACAACCAAAUUUACAAUUUUCAAAAAUAGAGAGGAAGAAUCUUUUUAUUAGAUAAAGACCUUGUCAUUAGGCAGUAAUUUAUUGACAAUUUUUUCAUAGGAGUCAACCUAUUGAGAUCAACGAUUACGUUGGUUUUAGUGAGAAUAAACAUAACAAUGAUAAUAGUAUUAGUUAUUAUAAGAGAAUUGAAAAUGAUCACUAUUAAAAAUAUUAAAUUGAAGUAUAUACAGAUAUAACAAAAUACAAAUAUAGAUUAUAUUUAGGGUAAACUAUAAUUAAAAAUUAAACUUAUAAAAUACACUAUUAUAUUUAAGUUCAAUGUUAUAUUAAAUAAUAAUUAAAUGAGGUAAAUAUUAAAUUUAAACAUAAACUUUGUUUCAAUGUGCAAUUUGAUACAUGAACUUUUAUUUGGUACAAUUACACACAUGGAACUUGUAUUGUUGUUCAUAUGUAUAUAUGAAACUUAGAUUUUGAUCUAAUUAUACACUUUUACAGAAUAUUUAUUUUUAUAUUGGAUUAAUAUAGUUAUUUGUAUAUGUAAUAUCCAGUGUAAAAUAAUGCUAAUUCAAUAAUGUUGUUAAUGAUUUUAGAAAAUUGAAUCAAAUCAAAAUUUAAUAUAUAAAAGCGCACAAAAUAAAAGUUCAUGUAUGACAUCACAUAUUGAAUCAAAGUUUAUGUAUGUUGAGUAUAACUCAUAUUUCAGCCAAAUUUGAGAGAUAAUCUCCAGUUAACUCUGUUUAUUUGUUUCAGUCGAACUCCGAUUAGUUUAGAUUAUUUUAUUAUUAUUUGACUUACGAAUUUUCCUAUAAAUAGGCUCUUUUACAACCUUGAAAAAACCACCCAUUAAAGAUUAGAACUCAUAACACUUUUGGAGAAUUUUGUGUUUACGUUUUGAGGGUUCUUUGUUUUCGGGUUUCGGGGUUUAGUUUUUAUCUCCAUCUUUUGUACUCUUCGUUGUUUUGCUAUUAUAGUAAAAUUAUCUUUGCUUGUGGUUUUUAAUCCUCUUUGGAGGGGUUUUUUCACGUCAAAUUAGUGUAUUCAAUUUCUCAAUCUUUUCUCAAAUUUUACUUAUUUGUUGCUUAAUCGGGUUGAUUCCUAACAAGUGGUAUCAGAGCUAAUUCAAUUUUCGUAGAUCAGCCUGUUCAAAGAUGGCAGCAAUAAGGUUUGACAUUGAAAAGUUUGAUGGUUUCACAAAUUUUAAUCUGUGGCAAGUUCGAAUGAUGGCAAUUCUAGUUUAGACCGGCCUGAAAAAGGUCACUACCGGGAAAAAGCCUAAGAAUCUAGAUCAGACAAUGAGAAGAGCUUGAUGAAAAUGUCAUAUCUGCAAUCCAGUUGUGUCUCGCGAAUAGGGUAUUGCAAGAGGUAUUGAUGGAGAAAGUCUCAUCCGCUUUGUGGAAAAUGUUAGAAACUUUUUAUGCGACUAAGUCACUGCCUAACCAUUUAGUGUUGAAAUGACAUCUAUUUACGUUUCGCAUGAACAAAUGUGAGCUUAUUAGAGAUCACAUUAGUCAACUUAUUACUCUUUUGAAUGAUUUAAAGAUUGUUGAGGUUAAGGUUGACGGUGAAAAUUAGGCUAUGAUAUUACUAUGCUCUUUACCCUCUUCAUACAAGUCUUUCAGGGAGAUCCUGAUUUGUGGCAGAGGCAAACUCUCGUUCAAGGAUGUGAAGGGUCAUUUGUUGAGUAAAGACAAACUUGACAAUAAGUUUGGUUCGGAUAGCAAUAAAGAUAGGCAAGCUUCUGUUUUGGUAGCAUCAAAGAAGCGAGACAAAAGAUUAUUACACAUUUAAAUAUAUUUAAUUGUGCUAAUUUUAAAGUAAAGUUAUUACUUAAAUAGAACUCUAAGUCUAAAAUAUAGGGAAAAGAAAAAGGUUCUCAAAAUUAUAAUUAUAAUUUACCAUUAUUAAUUAGUGUAAAAUAGAAUUAUUAUUUGAAUAGAAUUUUAAGCAUUUUAAUUAUCAUUUACUUAACAUUAGGGUUAAUUAUGUUAAUUAAUUAUUAUUUUGAAUAAUAUUACUUUGGACAUAAAAGUAAAAUUAUAUUAUGCUGAAUAUGUUAAAAAUGUUUUAAUUAUUAUUUAAAUUUUUUAUUAUAAUAUUUGAAUUGAUAAGUUUUUAUAUUUUAAUUAUAUUUAAUAAUUUAAAUAAAAAUAUUAUUUUACCUCAAUUGUCGUAAUAUUUAAUAACGCAUGCAUGUGAAGUUCGAAGCUAAUAGGUGAAUUCAUUACUUGAGUAGCUUCCCUGCCAACCACAACUGCAUUUCACCUGUUUUAAACUCCAGUAUGCAUGAGAAGAUGACCUACCAAAACCUUUAAUAUUGACCAAGUUUCCUCCUUUUCAACCAUAUAUAAUGAUCAAAUAUUAACAACUGCUCCAAUGCCUAUAUAAACCCCAACACCAUGCUUCUCUUCCUCACUCAUAACUAUUCAGAUAAAACACUUUGUUUCAUUUGCUUAAUUAGUUUCAAAAUCUCUCCACAAAAUGGGUUAUUUCAAUUGCAUUGCUUUAGCAUGCUUGAUGGCUUUGUCGUUUUCAAGCAUUGAUGUUGGCCUAGCAGCUCGCCACCUUCAGCAGAUGCCACCAAUGCCAACAUUGCCUACAACCACACUCCCACCAUUGCCAUCUAUCCCUAAUCUCCCGCAGCCAACAAUGCCAAGGCCUGGGGCGCUUCCACCACUUCCUACCAUGCCUGCUUUGCCUACUUUUCCUGCUAUACCAACGGCCACACUGCCUCCUCUGCCAAGCAUGCCUUCAAUCCCAACAAUCCCAACUGCAAUUCCCUUAAUUCCAUUCCUUUCUCCACCACCUUCUCCUUCCUCUACUCCUUGAAAUACCCAUUUCUUCCCCUGUCCAUUGACAGAUAAAAUGUGGCUACAUAUAUACUAGAUUUUGAUUAAGGUGUUUUUAGUCGUCUUCGUCUUUUGAUUUGGAGUAUUGUUUGUUCUUCAACACAGAUAGUAUUUGUUUGUAGAAAUGGGAGUUUCCCAUUUUCCAUAAUCUGUUGUACUUUGAUUUGUUAUUUGCUUGUUAUGGGAGUAUAUUCAUGAAAUCUGCCUGAUUAGCUCUUGCAAUGUUCCUCAGAUUAAUCUAUUUUAAUUUAUUUUUUCAAUGUAUUUCCUAGUUUAUAUUAUAUCUUCUGCCUACAUUAACACCCAAUAUAUGUAUUUUAAACAAGGAAGAGUUGAGAUAAAAUACAUUUCUUAAUCCUCAACCAAAUCAACAUUCAAAGGUUUCAACCCUGAAAUUGACGCCUUAUGUAAGAAUCAAAUACAAAACUUCAAAACAUUAAAAUAUGAUUCUAGUUUUUCUAUUUUUCGAUACCUUUAGAAUUUUAUUUUUUUAAAAUUAAUCUUUCUAUUUUUUGAUUUAAAAAUACAAGUUGUCUUCCUAACACUAUUAAAGUUUUUCAAUUAAAUUCAAGUUUAUUAUAAAAGAGUAUUAAUAGGGUUAGCGAUUGGAUUUGGAUUUUAAAAUAUAAAAGGUAAAAAUAAAUAAAUUCUUAAAAAAAUAAAAAAAAUAAAAUUUCGAAUAUAGGCUAUUAAAACUGAUUAUAUAACACAAAGCAUUAUACAAAAAUUAAAUUAGGCGAGUAAAUAGAAAUUAUUAUAACAAUUUAGUGUUGAGUACUUUAAGACAAAAACUCUCCCAAGAAGCAAGCUUUUUGGUAGUUCUAAUUUCCUAUUUCUUGCUUGCUUGUAGACUGCCUAAUGCUAAUGGCAAGUUCAACUUGAGGCAGACCUCUUAGUUUUUACCCAACAUUAUUAUUUAACGCUUCAAAAUUACUUAAAUUUAAAAUGAUUUGAAUCAAACAAAUAAUUUGAAAUGAUCUUACAUGAAAAUUUUGAUUGCAAAAUUCGAAUUACCUAAAAUAAAAAAGCUCGAACACAACAUUGAUUCGAACUUAAAACGAUCUAAAAAAAUCUUUUAACCGAAUUGACCUGAUCCGGAUUGAUGCAAAUUGUCUCAAUUGACAAGUAUUAUAUGGUUAAACAAGUGAAAAUAUUAUUAUUUAACGAUUGAAAAUGAAUCAAAUUUGAAAUGAUUUGAAUCAAACAAGUGAUAAGUUAUAAAAGUAACAUAUUUUAAUCUCAUUCUUAAUGCGUUUAUGGAUGAUUAAUUGUGAAAAUUAGUGAAUUUGAUGCUCCUAAUCAUUUAAAUUCAUGUUUCUAUACUUAGGAGAGCAUUUGGGAGUGAAAGAAGCAAAAAAUAAGCCAAAACCAGACAAAUAGAGUUGUUUUCAGGAGGCACAUGGCCUGGGCAUUUCCACACGGGCAGGACACACAUCCAUGUGUGCCACACGGGCUAGACACAUGCCCAUGUACCAGCCCGUGUCGAUUUAGCACCCUGCUUCCCAAAUACACAGAAAAACAAUUUUUAGGCUUUCUGAGAAUUCUAAAGUCUAUAAAUACCAAUUAGAAGAAGACAUAAGGGGUUGAUCAGAGAAGAUAGAAUAAAACACUCGAAGAUUUCCUUUGAAAUCUCCUUUUAAUUUCUUUUGAAACCAUCGGAAUCAACUCGGAAGCAAAUUUCCAUCAAGAUUGAAGAUCUCCUUUUAAUUUCUUUUGAAGUUUUAUCGAGUUUCUUUAUGUCUUGCGGUUAUUCUGACUUUGAGAUGUUUCCAUUCAGGAUUAUGAACUAAUUCCCUAGAUACCUAGGGAGGAUGAUGAAUCCUUUUAUUUAAUGUCUGUUUUUACACGAUAAAUACUUGAAUCUUGUUCUCAAUUAUGUAUGCUUAUUUCUUGUAUUAAUAUUUUUUGGAUAUUAAUUCAUGUUUAAUGUGCUUAAUUCAAUGGAGCAAAAGUCUGUUUGAAAGUAGAUCUAGUAUAAUUGAGCGGAGUUGCAUGCAAUCCUAAAAAUAGGACGACAUAAAUCUACCGGAUUAGAGUCAAAUUUAAUAAGGGAAUCCAUAGAUCGAGUUAGUGCGAUAAUAGGGAUUUUAAUUAGAAAUAUAUUUCAAUUAAUCAACCUAGAGUCAGUUGUUUUAACUCUCAAAAGAGAUAUUAACAUAAUUUAGGGAUUUCUACGGAUCAAAACACAAGUGAAUAAAUCGUUUAAUUCAGAUUCAUAAUAAUAGGUGAAGUUUAGGUGGAUUCUUUCUUGGAUAUUGUCUAUCUCAUUGGUUAAUAUUCGAUUAUUUCCUUGAUUCAUUCUCUGUUGCGUUCAUAGUUAAAUUAGUUUAGUAAAUUAAGAUUAAAACACAUCACUCCAAAUUGUCGGCUACAUAAUAGAAAAAUGAUAAUUACUAAUACUUUUAGUCCUCGUGGAUACGAUGUUCUCUACUCGCCAUAGAUAUACUAUUGUUCGAUAGGUGCGCUUGCCUUUGUCGUAUUUAUAGUUAGUUUAGUGACCAUUAAGCUUUUGGACCUUUGCCGAGGACAAAAAUAUUAAGAACACUUUAUUUUUAUUAAUUUAGCCAUUUUAUUUUAUUUUUAUAAUUUUGUUUUUAGUUUAAUUUUUACAUUCUAAUUUUUCUUUUAUUUGUUUUAGUUUAUGACUAAAAAGACUCAUCGGAACCAUUAGUGUUUGAUAGUGAAAUUGAAAGUACAACUCAUAAAAACCAUAGAGAAGCAAGACAGAUUACAUGAGGUUGACCGAAUUGACCUGAUCCGGAUUGAUGCAAAUUAUCUCAAUUGACAAGUAUUAUGUGGUUAAUUUACACCAUCAAUAUUUAAAAUAUUAGUAUAAUAUUUAAAAUAUUAGAGUCUGUUUGUUAGAAGUAAAAUAUUUUCCGGAAAAGCUUUUCAGCUUUUUUCAGUGUUUGUUUGGCUGAAAAUGUUUUCCUUAGGUAAAAUCAAUUACAAAACACGGGAAAAGAAGCCCUUAAUUUUGGAAAAUGUCUUACGGAUUUCAUUUCUGUAAGACAUUUUCCGGUUCCUCCUUCAUCCAGGUACGGCUUAUUCUCCUUCUUCCUUUCUUCAUUCCUUUUCCUUCUUCCGUUCUUCAUCUUCUCCUCCAGGUAAGUUGCAAUCCAGUGUAGCGCCCAAUCCUCUCCAUGCCACGUUGAUCGACCGAUUUACUGUAUUACAAUGCCUUUUUGGGGGGUAGCCAUCAAUUUUCUGGCUCUUUCGAUUUACUAACAUUUUUCUCCAAAAUUCUCGAGCAAUAGUAAUUGACAUUUAGGGCCUAGUCUAUAAAUUACAGCAGAUGGCACCGUUCUUUUUCAUUUUUCUCUAGUUCGCUCGCGCAGAUGCCAUGACUAGCUCAUCCGAUCAUUCACGCAAGGUUUCUAUAUUUUUUCUAAAAGAAUUUUUAUGUUAUCUAUUUUCCCUAGUUGAGGUUGCGUCUGCCAAUUUGUUUGAUUUAUUUUCUUUUUUGUUUCUCUAUUUGUUUGAUUUUUUUUUACUCUUUUUGUUUGGAGUAUAUGCUUUUCGUAGGCUUUGAGCAAGAUCGCAUGUAAUAGACUCCAGAAAGAAUUAAUGGAAUGGCAAGUUAAUCCACCCACUCUCCUUUAUGGUUACAUUGUUUCCAUUAGUCAUGUGGUAUUUGUAAAUUACAAUUCAAAUUGUCAUGAUAAAUUUCAAUAAAUGACAUCUGCAUAAAUGAGAGGUCAUUUAAUGUUCCAUUGGUAUUGCAUAUGAUUAGCACUUUUCUUGGAUGUAAGACUAACUACAUAACCGACAUAGCAUCUUAUAUCAUUGUUCAUAGUAGUUCUUGAGCCAUCUAUUUAUAUUGGAACUAUUCACUUAUGGUGUUAUGUUGCCAUUUCCAUCAUUCGUUUUUCUAGUCAAACUGUGAGCCUGAGAGUAUAUUAAGGUUUCUUAGAAAUGUCUAGCAUAUUAUAUUGCUAGACUGAUAUAGGAUAAGUUUCUCCCCAUGUUUUUCUUUCAGAGGUGACUUACUAGAGAGUUUGAGUUUUUUUGUUGCUGUCCUAUGCUUGGAGAUGCUCUGUUCUAGCAUAUUACUAGUUAUGAAAGAUGUCUAAGAGAGGUUGCUUGUUCACCUAAUGGAAAUAUUAAUUAGGAGAAAAAUAUUCACUGGAAGGUGUCUAAGAAAGGCUGGUCAUCUUUUGCAUUAAUGCGACUAACUGUUUAGCGAAGUACUUGUUUUGAGCAGUUUACUUAUCAUAGCCAUGAAUGAGUCUUGACCAUCUAGAAUGUUGUAUGUAUCACACAAGAAAGUAAAAUAUGGUCCGUCUUAAAAGUUUGUCUUUCGUGUCUGUGGGCUUUACAUGAUCCUCAAGGUGUUGGUGAUUAGGUAAAUUUUCAUGAAGACUUUGAAUAUGGCACUCUGGUGUGAACUGUUCUUUCUUUAGGUGUUGAUUAAUUGCAACCUUCCUGGCCAUUAAGAAAUCUAUUUUGCAUUGUUUUGUUAGUGUUGUCUAGGCAUGUUCCUAGGUGCGCUUGCACCUUGGCACUAGACAACAAAAGUGCCUUAGACCUUUUUGAGUGAACCUCAUUUGGGUGCACCUAGGCAAUCUUUUUUGUAAGGCAAUAGGUGCAAAAAAAGAAAGGCCUACUUGAUUGUAGUUCUCUUUAANNNNNNNNNNNNNNNNNNNNNNNNNNNNNNNNNNNNNNNNNNNNNNNNNNNNNNNNNNNNNNNNNNNNNNNNNNNNNNNNNNNNNNNNNNNNNNNNNNNNUUUUCUCACUUAUUCAUUAGAUGUACCUUUGCUAGUAAUAAAGAGAGUGUACCAAACCCUCUACUUCUUAGUAUUUGAAAAUCAAAUAGAAAACCUUGAACAUAAGGAAAUCUUGCAUAUUGAACCAAAAUAACUACAUAUGUCAAUCAUCUUUUAGAGAAAUUAGUCCACAUUCACACACAUACUGUGCUUUACUUUCACUUGGAUUUUUUUUUCUUUUUUGCAACUUGUCUCUGAGUCCAUGUAAAGGGUCUAAUGUAGAACAACAGGAAAGGAUGCUUGAUCAUUAGCAUCCAUUUUGCACUUCUCUUUGUGAUAUGCAUGUGGUCUAUUAUCUAGCUACCCAACAUUCAAAAUCUUGCAUUGAUCCUAUUUUGCAGAUAUUCUGUAUGAUAGCUGGUCCCCAGCCAUGACUGUAAGUUCUAUCUGCAUCAGCAUUCUCUCCAUGUUAUCAAGCUCAACUGCCAAGGUUUGUUGGAAUUAUUAGCAAUUUGACCGUUUGUUUUGCUCCCUAAGAUCUGGCCUUAUAUGUUCAAAGGUGGAAUACUGAAUUCACUCUCUAAUUAUGCAGCAAAGGCCGGCUGAUAACGAUCGAUAUGUUAAGAACUGUCGCAAUGGCAGGUCUCCCAAGGAGACGAGAUGGUUGUUCCAUGACAAUAAAGUAUAAUAAUAUGAACCUAUCAUCUAUAAUCUGUGUAUAAAAACUGAGGUUACAGGGAUAGGUAAUCGUUUACAUUUGUCACGUUGUGUAUGAAAUUAUGACUUAAAUGUAGAUUUAUUUUGAAUAUUGUUACCUAAUGCAAGAAGCAGACUGAACAAUAUAAACCUUUCUUUUCUUCUAUUCCAGUUAUGCAUACACUUUGUUGUUUGUUUUCUCUCUUCUUUAGUUAUUUUGUAGUUGUUGACCAUUUUGCAUUUGGUCUCCAACAUUUUAAGGGAAACAAUUUAACAUUCGCUUUGGAUAUUCUUUUUGGAAGCUACUGUAGAAGAUUGGGGUGAGGAUUUACAUGUUUAGUAGGUACUCAGUUUUUAUAUAAAUUAUUACGGGAGGGAAGAGUCUAUUCGUACUUGUGUAUUAAUUUUAAACACUUUCUUAACUUUUUUUUAUGACAUUUUAACAAUUUAGUUGUUAAAUUUAUCGUAUUUGUCAUGUAUGUAAACUUUUAAAUCAAUUUGAUAUGUAAAAACAAUUUAAAAUAUAAAUUUAUUAAUAUGUGUAAAAACAAUUUUUUUGGAAAAUAUUUUCAGGAAAUCUGCCAAACAGCAGAAAAUAUUUUAUACAGAUUCAUCCAAACACCAGAAAAUAUUUUCCAGUAAAUCAUUUUAUAGAAAAGUAAAACAUUUUCCAGAAAUUAUUUUACGGAAAACAUUUUACUGCCAAACAAACGGACCCUUAGUACCGGAAACUUAACUAACUUGGAGACUUGUUAGAGACUUGUUGAAGUAUACUAUAUGACAUAUAUUAUUAAUUUAAUUAAGAGGCUGACUUGAUUACAUGAGGUAGCUUGUAUGCCAACCACAUCUACUGCAUUUCACCAAUUUUAAACUCCAAUAUCCCAUGAGAAGAUGAGCUACCAAAACCUUCGACAUUGACCAAGUUUUCUCUUUUCCAUCCAUAUAUGAUCAAAUAUUACCAACUACUCCAAUGCAUUUAUAAACCCCAAUAUCAUGUUUUGUUUUCCUCGCUCAUAACUAUUCAGAUAAAGAACUUUUUUUCAUCUACGUAAUUUGUUUCAAAAUCUCUCGACAAAAAUGGGUUAUUUCAAUUGCAUUGCUUUAGCAUUCUUGAUGGCUUUGUCGUUGCCAAGCAUUAACGUUGGCCAAGCUGCUCGUCACCUUCAGCAGCUGCCUCCAAUGCCAACUUUGCCUACAGCAACACUCCCACCAUUUCCAUUUAUCCUUAAUACCCCACAGCCAACCAUACCAACAAUGCCAAGGCCUCGGGCGCUUCCACCACUUCCUACCAUGCCUGCUUUGCCCUCAUUGCCAAGUGUACCAAGGGCCACACUGCCACCUCUGCCAAGCAUGCCCUCAAUCCCAACUGCUAUUCCCUCUAUUCCUUUCCACUCUCCACCACCUUCUCCUUCUCCUUCUACUCCUUGAAUACCCCUUUGUUUUUUAUCUGCUGCAUAAUGGAUUUGGUUUAAUAUGUUUUUGGUCGUCCUUGUCUGUUGAUUUUGAGGAUUGCUUUUUUCCUUUUUCCACCACAUUUAUUUGUUUGUAUAAAUGGGAGUUCCCCGAUCGCAUUAUUAGUUCUACUUCGAUAUGUUAUUGCUUAUUAUGGGAUUAUAUAUAUAUGUUCUUUCUAUGAAGUAAUUAACUAUUGUAUCUAUUGUUAAAAGAUUAAAUAAAAUCCAUUAUAUAAAAAUCAAAUUGGAGGCGAGUAAAAAAGAAAAAAAAAAUCUUUGCUGUCUCUAGAGUCUAGAUGAGUGUUCAUGGUGAGAGUGUUUUUUUUUCUAAAAACAAUUGCCAAUCAAAAUUUCUUUUAUCGAUAACAACAAUUUACAAAAGGAGAUUUGAAAGGUCCCAAGCAGAGCACUUACACACAAAAGAGAUAAUUCAAGCAUAAAAAAAACCAUAAUCAGGGGAUCUCCAGAAGAUUAAGAAAUUAUUUUAUGCAACCAUCCAUUACGUUAUUACGUUAUUUAUGGUUCUCAUUAAUAAAAAUUAUUUGUCCUACCCUUUUUCCUUAUAUUCUUUAUAUUCAUUGUAAAAUAAAAAUUUAGUAUUUAUACUUUUACUUCAAUUUUUUUUUCUAGAUUUCAAAAUUUAGGUUAAGUUUUGACAUUGUUAGUUACAUUGCUGACCGCUUCCGGACGUACUAAUAUUUAGAGUGUAAGUACUGUAACUAAAUAUAUGGAAUUGAGGCGGUAUCCGCAAGUAUAUGGAUCAGAUUAUAAUAUAAUUUUACAACAAAAUAAGUAAGUACUCUGAGGAUCGAUCGUACCCAAAGGAGACGAGUACUAGAUUCAAGUUAACUUAAAUGUAAAUAGAAGUAAUUAGUAGUUUAAAUAAAUUAUAUUACAAUAAAACAUAAAUGAAGGAUUUUGGGGGUUUUAUACAUAAAGAAAUAAAAACUGCAUAAAUAAAAAGGACUUCGGAUAACUAAUUUCUAAACUUAAUCAAAUGUAGACAUGGGUGAUUAGCUCGCUUCGAUGAUCAUAACAAAUUCCUAUUUCGGGUUUCUAUUCAAUCAACUAGUCAUUACCUUAGCAGGAUCUCUCAAUAUUCCACUAAACUAACGAGUCGGCUAGAACUAGUUAUCUCUCGACCUCAAGUCCAGACCGGUUCGGGGCUAAGGUGUUUACGAAUAGACCAUACCAAUUUUGGGUUAAUUCCCACCUAAAUGGCUUCCUAGGGUCGUCAAGCCUAUGGGUUAAGUUCUUCCUCUACCAAACAGUUGAUCCACUAAGAAAAUCUUACAUAACAAUUAGUCAAUCACACUUCCAUUUGCUAAUCCCACAUAUGAGGAUUAGUUCCUCACAGAAUACAUAAACAUAAUAAACUUGAUAACAAAUAUUUGCAUAAAAAAUAAAUCAAUAAUAAAGUUUAGAGAAUCCUAAUUGUAUUUUAUUAAUGAAGUGCAGAGAUCCUUAAACGUUUGAUCGUAUUUACAAAUCAAGUCUUCUGAAGAACACAAAUGAAAAUAAUUGGAAAAGAAAAACUAAAAACUAAAUUACAAGGAAAAACUUAUAAUAUGAAAACUGUCUCUAAACAAGUUUCUAAUUAGCCUAUUUAUAGAGUUAGGGUUGGUCAUCAUCCUUAACCUAGGUUAGCUAACGUUUUCGUAUUAAUUUUCAUUGUGCAGACCAAAAUUCCCUUCGUAUUAAUAUGAAAAUCAAUGAAACCUUGUUGUUACAACAAGCAUACGUGCUGCAGCAUGUUUACAAGCUGCAUGCUCUUCAACAAAAAAAAUUAUCACAGCAGCAUAGUUGGUCAAUUUUCAAUAUUGACACAUGAGGAAACGAGUGUAGAUGAUUCCUUGGAAGUAGUGAAAAGCUUGAUGAAAUGAUCUUGCACUAAGUUCUCUAUAACUCUUCUUUUAGUUAUCCACUUUCCAAUAACAUCAAAGAGCCCCACGAUUUUAUUACAAUUUAUUCAUUUCAUUGCUUGUUGCACGUUUGUGAGCAAGGAAAAUAUUUCUUGCAGCUUGCUUCCUUGUUAUGUGUAUUGUUUUCUUCUUUUGCUGCUGAUAAAACGCCAACCGUCGAUCUUAACUUGCCUUGUUUUCCAAACUCAAAUAUUCAAUUUCUUUUAUUUGAAAUCUCCUUUGUGGAUAUAGAAAAAGCAACUUGGUUCCUCAAACCUUUUAAAGCCCCAAGUCCAAACUACACCCAUUUUCUAUCAACACCUUUGGUCUGAAGUGAAGUAGAAAAUCAUCUCGACGGUUUCUAAGAUUUCUAUGACUUUCCUAAAUGUCGUUGUUCCCACUACCUUUAAUGAGACAUUGGUCGCUCUUAUUCCCAAAUCCAAAGAGGCAACCUCUUUUUCACAAUUCCGCCUGAUUACUCUAGGUAAUACGAUCUACAAGAUUAUCACAUAAGUCAUGGUUAUGAAACUAAGGCCCCUUUUAUAGGAAAAUUUCUCCAUUUCAGGGUAGUUUUGUUCCUGGAAGGCCACUCCUCGAAUAAUGUCACUAUUGUCUAAAAGAUUAUGCACUUGCUCAAAAAGAUGAAAGGGAAAAAUUGUGCUAUGGUCAUUAAGUUGGAUCUUGAAAAAGUGUGUAAUAAGCUGGAAUGGAGUUUUCUCUUCUUUUUUGGUUUUUCAAUUUCUUGGAUAAAUUUAAUUAUGGAUGAAGAAGCAAAUAAAAGCUUAGUUUAACAUUGCUUCUCAAAAGCGCUUUUGAGCUUAAAAGCAUCUUAUUUAGCAAUAUUUUUUUUAUGUUAAGAGUGCUUCUUAGAAGUAAUACUAAAUCGGUCUGAAGUAAAAAUCGCCAAAAAAGAAAGUCUAAAUUUUGAGUUGACCAUAAAAUUCUUUUUGAAAAAUUUUAUAAUAUGAUUCAAUAAGAAAACUGAAAUAUGUUUUUCUUAUGAAUUUUGGUUUUGAUUGUUUUUCCUGAUUCUCAUGUUAAAGUUAAGAGAGAGAAAUUAUUUUGUAGAGAAAUUAAUUUGUUUAAUUUUGAAAUUGAUAAUGUAUAUAUUUACACAAAGGUAUAUUAAAAAAAUACAGCUGUCUAAGCUAGUCAGUGACCCGUUUAAGGCUGCGUACUGAUCCGACCCGACCCAUAUGGACAUGUUUAUUAACUAAACACCCCUGCAGUAAUCCUGGAGAAUUCCCAAAAGGAACAAGUGGGGAAGGGAAGCUUAAGCUAAAAGAGCUCUAUAUCAAUUUCCAUGGCGUCGCGUUCCCUCUUUCUUAGUCUCAGACGGUAACUAUCUUCAUUCUCAUAAAUUUCCAUUUCAAAGAAUUUAUUUUUUAAAAAAAGAUAAUUUUAUUAAACUGGAUCAAAUUCAAUUCUUAUUAGCUGUUCUUAAGUUAAAAUCUUUUCAUUUCUCAAACAUCAAUUUUCCCAAACUGUAAAAUACAUAUAUGUGUGUGUGUGCAGGAGAAGCAGCCAACGGUGCAUGUCGAGGCUGUUGUCUUCGGGCUCCGUCAGCACCGAAUACACGGACGAUUAUAUAAAUAAUUCGGAAACCGAUGAUCUGAGAAGCCGCAUUUUCCGGUUGCGCCUUCCGAAACGGAGCGCCACCUCCGUUAUAGAGAAAUGGGUGGGUGAGGGCAACCGGAUUUCCAUCUCUGAUCUCCGCCAAAUUUCUAAAGACCUUAGAAAAUCUCAGCGUUUCAAGCAUGCUCUCGAGGUAUAUUUUUACUCAGUAAUUGAAGUCAAUUAGAAUGAAAUUAAGAUUUGGGUGUUGUUGGGUUGGUUUGAUUUGCCUAAGGAAUCUAGAAAUGCUUGCUUAGUUUAAUAAUCCUUGAUGAAACUUUCCAUCACUUUUGCGGCUUCAGAAAAAUAAUGCUUGAAUCCUUAGAUUUGAUUAACCUUGAUUGGGUCAAUUGGAGUCAUAGCAAUUAGACUUGUCAACUUGACCCGAAUCCUACUCAAUCAACUUGGAAUCAAACUCAACCCAACCUAAUUUGAUCAUAAGAAGUGUACAACCCAAACCUGAAAGGAUCUGAUUCCAAAACUGGCGCGAACCUGAAUGAACCGAAACUCAAAAUGACUCAAACCAAUAACCCGGCCUAAAAACCUUGGCCUCCAACCUGAAAGAUCCAAUGGAUCUUAACCCAAGGUUUACCUGAACCAAUGUUACGCAAAAAUUUUAAAAACUUCAAUUGACUCAAUUUAAAUUGACUUGAUUCAAAAUCAACUUGACUUGCCCAAUUGACAUGUCUGAUAGUAAUCCAUUGCUUAGGGGAAUGGUCUGAUUUGUUGCAAAUGUUAAACAAAUAAUUAAAGAGAUAAUAUGUGUGUGUGUGUGUAUUUGUCAACAAAUAGAGAAUAUCUUAGUAUGUAUGUUAGGUUAAUCUUUUGUCUACAGAAGAUUUUUGCAACACAUUAGGGUUUGCCGUUUGAUUAGCUUGGAUGUAGGGUGUAAAUGAGACAGUGUUGUUAUCAAACUAUUCAAGUUUGACUAGAAAAAACUUGAAUUUGAUUUAGUAAUUAUCAAGUUGAGUUCAAGCUUUAGUAGCUCGAGUUAUCAAUCAAGCCAAAUUCAAGCACCUUAAUGCUCAAUCCGAACAGCUCAUGAGCCUAAUCAAGCUUUUCAUUUUAAUAUGUUUUUACGUUAUGAAAUUACAUUUUUACCCUUAUUAUAUAGAAAGAGCUUAAGUACAAGCUCAUUUGAACUGGCUUAAUCGAUCUUGAUUUCAAUCUUGAGUAUGAAAAUUGAUAAAUGAGUUUAGUUGAGCUCAAACUCUAGUAGUUCUAUUAAGUCUUGAGCCAAGCUCAAGCUUAGAAAUAUAUGUUUGAUCGGGCUCAAGCCGAGCAUCGAGCGUUGAAUUUUGAGUCAAGCUCGAGCUUGAGCUUACCAUUAUUUGAGUUUGGUUUGAUUCAAUCCAAUUACACCCCUACUUGGAUGUUUAGCUAUAUAGCAACAGUGAUCUUGUAAUGUUAACUACGGAUAUAUCAUACAUGUCUCUUCUUUUGUAGUAGAUUUAAGUCUCUACUAAGGCUUGCUUGUAGAAGUGCACUAUUUACCUCUUUCACUUUAGAGUUCAUUUACUUCCUCUGAUCCAUUGAAAUACGAAAACUUUCUUCUCGCUUGCGGUUUUUAUAGGUGUAAUUUGAUUACUAUUAUAGUGUCUCACAGUCACUUUAUUAUUUCACCCGUUCUUUGUUUCAGUUGUAAGAGGGCAUGUUGUGAAAGUUGGUUUUGAUGAGAAUUUUUAUCGAUACCAAGAAUGAUUUUCUUUUUUCGAGUGUGAGAUAUAAAAGUCCGAUGUUAUGGAUGUAGGAAAGUCCCAAAUCCCUUUUUCUUUCUGUUAUAAUAGUAGUCCUUUGUGAGUUGCACCUUGCAACAUUAGGUUAGUCUCUUUUUCUUUUCCCCUUUCUAAUAUCAGAAACAAAGUUGGUCAAAUUACAGGUUUUAUUCCCUGUACUAUACUUUUAUUUGGAUACAUUGAAGAGGGUGUGUCUCAGGGCUCAAUCCUUGGAUGUAGGUUCCAACACCUAACACCUUAACCACUGCAAUAGUGAGAUGGCCAAUCCGUGUACUGUAAUUUGGAAUAAUUUUGUUCUCUUACUAUUAUUAAUAGUAUGCCUUAGUCCAAAUCAUUGACACCGUUUCUCAUAAGUCAGCUGAUGUAUUUUAUUUAAAAACCUGACAAUCGAAUUUCUUACAUCAUUUAAAAGAUGAAAUUUUGGUAACCAAAAUAGUUAUUUUUCAUUAAUUUGUCAUAAAAAGAAUUUUCAAGCUCAAUCUCAUGACUUGGACUCUUUUUUUCUUUAAAAAUAAUUUCACCUUAGCAGACUAAUAAAUUAUUUUUCACGGUGAGAGCGAUUUGCAUCAAGACAACAUUAAUGAUAGUAAUAGUGGCAGGGUCAGGUUAUGCCAAAUUAAAGUACAAUACUUCAAUCUCCAAGUUGAGUAUAGUGUUAGGCCAAAAACCAUAAUUUGACCAACAAAGCUUCAUCUUGCAUCUGUGUGGAAAUGUUUGUGCCUUAUAGUUCGUGUGGCUUUUGAUUUCGCAGUUAGAAUUGAUUGUCAAUUUUCUUUACCUUACCCAUUCAAGCUUGCAGAUAUCAGAAUGGAUGGUUAGUCAUGAAGAAUACAAGUUAUCAGACACUGACUAUGCUAUUCGUAUUGACUUGAUGACAAAAGUUUUUGGUAUUGAUGCUGCUGAACGCUAUUUCGAAGAUUUACCUCUGACUGCAAAGACAAGUGAAACUUACACUGCUCUUCUCCACUCUUAUGCUGCCGCAAAAUUGACUGAAAAGGCCGAAGAACUUUAUGAGAGGAUAAAGGGGUCAAAGCUCUCGUUCUCUGCCCUUCUCUACAACGAGAUUAUGACUCUGUACAUGUCAGUUGGGCAGGUCGAGAAGGUUUCUUCUGUUGUAGAAGAACUGAAGAGACAGAAAGUUGAACCGGAUAUCUUUACUUACAAUCUUUGGAUAAGUUCAUGUGCUGCAGCUCUAAACAUUGAUCAAGUUCAAAGGAUUCUGAAUGAAAUGAGAUGCGACUCCGGUUGCAAUGAUGAUUGGCAGAGAUAUAUCAACCUUGUAAAUAUUUAUGUAACUGCCAGCCGUCUUACAAGUGCCGAUUCGAUCUCUCCUAUCGAAAUAGAGAAAGGCAUCACACAAAGAGAAUGGAUAACGUACGACUUUCUUGUCAUGCUGUAUGCAGGCUUGGGGGACAAAGAUAAAAUUGAUCAGAUAUGGAAAUCUCUAAGAAUGACGAAACAAAAAAUGACAAGCAGAAACUACAUAUGCAUUCUUUCAUCGUAUCUGAUUCUUGGGCAUAUGAAGGAAGUGGGAGAAGUUUUUAAUCAGUGGAAACAGUCGACAACCACAGAGUUCGAUAUAUCUGCCUGUAACAGCGUUUUGAGUGCAUUUGAAGAUGCCGGGUUGAUGGAGAAAGCCAACGACUUACAUAUGCUUCUGAUUAGUGGGAACUGCAGUCCCACAAACAAGUAGGAGCCUGUCGCAAUUAAAUGUGGGAACACCUCCAUGGAAACUGUACUUGAGAGAGAAAAGAAAUCGAUUACUCGGUGUCGGUGAUUGAAUUGCAGUUACAAGAAAUGGCUGACUGUUGGUACUGGUAAUCGGUAUUUUUACCCUUUUUCUGAAUGUUGGUAGGAUCUACUGAUUCCUGAAAUUUAAACUAUUUGCUUUUGUUUUCCAUGAUUGAUGGAUGAAUAGAAAUACGUAGGAGCCAGGCUUUCCUUUCGCACUAUUACGGAUACGAAAAUAAUGGAAAAAGUUGGAUUCAAUUGUCAACUGCUCCUAUCGGAAAUAGGAUUGACUACGGAUUCGAGCCAUAUACACAUGGUUUCAUAAAACCGUACGAUUCUCCCGAUCUAAAUCAAGCAGGUUUUACAUGAAGAAGGUUUGCCUCAGCAUGUUCUAUUCGAUACGAGUAGGAGAAGCGGUAUUCUUAAAAAAAUAGAGAAAUCAGAACCAAGUCAAGAUGAUACGGAUCAGCCCCUUCUUCUUGCGCCAAAGAUCUUACCAUUUCCGAAGGAACUGGAGUUACAUCUCUUUUCCAAUUCCAUUCAAGAGUUCUUAUGUGUUUCCACGACCCUUUAAGACCCCGAAAUUUUGACAAUUUUCUUUUCUUUUCUUAGGAACACAUACAAGAUUCGUCACUACAAACAGGAUAAUGGUAACCCUACGAUUAAUUACUUCAUUUAUGAAUUUCAUAGUAAUAGAAAUACAUGUCCUACCGAAACAGAAUUUGUAACUUGCUAUCCUCUUGCCUAGCGGGCAAGGAUUUACCUCCGUGGAAAAGAUGAUUCAUUCGGAUCCGCAUGAAAGCCCAACUCCAUUGCAUUGCCAGAAUCNNNNNNNNNNNNNNNNNNNNNNNNNNNNNNNNNNNNNNNNNNNNNNNNNNNNNNNNNNNNNNNNNNNNNNNNNNNNNNNNNNNNNNNNNNNNNNNNNNNNNNNNNNNNNNNNNNNNNNNNNNNNNNNNNNNNNNNNNNNNNNNNNNNNNNNNNNNNNNNGGGAUCACUAACUAAUACUAAUCUAAUCUAACUAAUACUAAUCUAAUACUAAUAGAAUAGAAUACUAAUCUAAUACUAAUAGAAUAGAAAAAAUAGAAUAGAAAAUACUAAUAUAAUAGAAAGAAAAGAACUGUCUUUUCUGUAUACUUUCCCCGGUUCCGUUGCUACCGCGGGCUUUACGCAAUCGAUCGGAUCAUAUAGAUAUCCCUUCAACACAACAUAGGUCGUCGAAAGGAUCUCGGAGACUCACCAAAGCACGAAAGCCAGGAUCUUUCAGCAAAUGGAUUCCUGUUCAAAGAGUGCAUAACCGCAUGGAUAAGCUCACACUAACCCGUCAAUUUGGGAUCCAAUUCGGGAUUUUCCUUGGGGGGUAUCAGUAAGGAAUUGGAAUGUAAUAAUAUUGAUUCAUAUAGGAGGAAAAGGUUCUCUAUUGAGCUUAUCCAUGUAAUGUUUAUAUAUGUUUAUAUAUUUUAUGUAAUGGGCAUAUCUUGCAGCAACCUUGUUGAUUGAUCAUAAAGAUUUCAAAAAUUUUAACCCAUCUAACUUGAACCCGAAUUUUCUGAAAUCCAAAUGGAUCCAAGUCUGGAACUAGCUUAGACUCAAAAUUAUACUAACACAAAUAGAAUAGGAAGUGGUUUGAAAAUUUUUAACAUGCAACAAUUCUAAAAUGAUGUAAAUCCCCCAGUUUGCAGGUCUAUUGCAGGGUCCUAUAGAUAGAUGAUAAAUAUGGGUCAAGAGAUUUUGUUUAUUAUUAUUUUUAUAAUAUCUGUUCUUUUUGAUACAAUGAGUGCUUAAAACUAUUUAUAGUUCUUAUUCAACUCGGAGGAUAAUGUGUUUUAGCGUACUUAAACUCACGUCCUACUCACUGGCAACGAUACUAAUGUCAAUUGAACUAAAACUCAAUUGGUUUAUAAUUAUUAUUUUCAUCUUAAUUGAAAUUAUAGUAAAAUUUAGCUUCUUUUUUUUUUAAAUUGAAAAAAUUGUGUUAACAAUCACGCUAAAAGGAGAUUAUGAUUUGCAAAAAGCUAUAUAGAAAACUGUUGGUUUUUCCCUACUUGUGACCUACAAACGAGUUGAGACCGUCAAGUUAAACUAAACCCACAGAAAGAAGAAAAAGAAGAUUCAAUAAGAAAAAAGAAAAAGAAAAUCAUAACAAAGAUGGCAAAUAUUUCAUAACUAGAGGUGCUGAAGUGUAAUUUUGAAAAAAUUCAAGUUCAAAAAAUAAUAAAUGUGUAUUUAUUUAAAUUUAAUUAUAAAAAUAUUACUAUACAAUUAUUUUUUUUAUACUUUUUAAAUAGUAAAACUAGCCACUUAAAAAAAAUUAAAAUCCAACCCAAGAGGCAGAUGAAUUGGAACGAGGCAUCCAAUCCAACCAUGAACAAGUAAGCAAAACCCGAUUAUCAAGUUAAGCAUUGAUAAAUGGAAUUCACAUUGAAGUUUGAAAUGCUUUAUAUCCCAUAUAUUUCAGUGCAGUGUACAUUGGAAUCUUCUAAUAUUCUUCUUUUUAAGUAUAUUGUCUUCUACCUAGCUGGCUACUUCAUAAUAAUAAUCCCCAUAGUGUAGGCUAAAAUAAAAAUUAAAAUUAACACUGGUAUUUAUGAAUGUGUAUAUAUUUUAAAAAAAUUAAUAAUGUUAAACCUACUUUAUUAAAUCAAUAAAUUUUCUUAUUUAAUAAGAUUGUUGUCACUUAUCAUUCGUGUUUUCGCAAACCUAGAAUUAAAGAUUAAGUUGUCUAAUGGAAUCCCCUACUUCUAAACCCAUCAAUAAUAUAAUAAAAAAUUAUUAAAACAUGCUCUAAGUCUCCGUAUUUUUUUUUUAAAUUUGAAAUUUAAUCACCCAAAAAUUUUAUUUUCAACAAUGUCGUUCUUCUAUUUUUCAUAUUUCGAAACUUAGAUCCAAUUGUGAAUACUGUUAAAUUUUUUCAUUAAAUUUGUUAAUGUGACAUUUUGAAAUAAAAAUAAAUACUCUCUUAAUAGCCAUGUAACUAAAAAAUUGACGUUAUACUAAACUAGCAUUUAACAAAAUAAUUUUAAUACCGUUAAUAGUUGGAUCUAAAUUUUAAAUUCUGAAAAACAGAUAAACUAAAUUUCUAAAACUAAAACCAUAUGAAUUAAAUUAUAAAUAUAUGAAAAAUUUACCUUAAGAAAUAUAUUGGAGCUUUACCUUAAUUUCCAUAAUCCUCAAUAUAUAAAGUGGGGUUGCAAUAUUAAGCAAUAAACUUGCAUUUCCUAUGCUUUCUUUUAAUUAAUUAUUAUUUUUAUUUGCAACCAAACUUAAAAUACAAAUCACUGAACGUGAAGUGAACAUUAAAUUAAAUAAAAUGUUAGCUUUUUCCUCUCUUACACAUCUUCGUAUCUUACUUUCUGCCUUAAAUUCUGGAAUUUAUUUUGCUUUCUAUAUAAAUUUUCAACUUUAUGGGUCAAAAUAGGCCCACUCUACAUUAAGUUAGAUUCAUGAGGUUAGAGUUAAUUAAAUGGUGUAGUAUUAUUACUUUAAAAUAUCAUGCCAUUCUUAAACAACGUAAUAUUUAAUUCAACUUAUUGUAGCUUAAUUCGAAUCAUUAUAUUUAAUCUAUAAAAAAUUAUAAUUGUUUUAAAUUAAUGUCACUUUAUUUAAUAAAUUCCAGUCUCAUAAUAUUAAUGUUGUUUCAAUUGUUACAAAAAUGAUUAAUUUGGUCGUUUUUCUAACCUACAAAGAUGUUUAUACAAUAAAUUAUGAUAUUUUAUCAAUUUUGAAAUCGAUGGACUAAGAAAAAAACAUUUACCAAUUUCUUAAAUUCGUUUAUGAAUUCUUUUUUAAAUCCUAUAAAAUAAGUAUUUUUUUUCUUAAGUGGGUUUCAACAUUAAGCAUAAUUGACUGCCUUCUUGUAAUAAUUUAAUCGCCAACAAACUUAAAAUGCAAAUUAGUAGAAUGUGAUGUGAGCUACUUUAAAAUAUGUAUCUUACAAUUCAUAUGCCUUAAAAUCUGGACCUACUUUUACACUUUAUAUAAGUCAAAUAGAUAACAUGCUAAGAGAUACAUUACUUUAUAAGUGGAAAAUAGUUUCCCACUUUUUGAAUUUCCUUUUCAUUUCCAAUUCCUCCCCUUUUUUCUCUUUUAAGUUUGUAUGUAUCAAAUAAAUUUCAAUUAUAAUAUGGCAUAUAUAUUUUGAGAACUAUGAAUGUUGAUAUUUUUGUCAAAGUGAGAGAAACGUUCCCAAUAUUUCAUUUCAAAUAAUCAAACUAUGUGAGAGAAACCCCAUAUUUACCCCAUAGCCAUGAACAAUUACUCUCCUGCAUUCCAUAGACAUAAGAGCUUGAAACAAGAGAAGAACAUCAUGUUGCCAUUCUCUUGUUACUCUCCCAAGCUAUCCCUUUACAUCCUCGCGACAUGUGUAAUCCUUUUAAUGUUGUUACAGAUCCGCUCCCUCCACACGGUUCUUCCCACUUCCUCAUCUCCUUUACCUUCACUUUCACCUUCAGCUUCUUGGUCUCUCUUCCAACAAUGGCAAAACUUGGUUCUCAACCGGACCUUGGCCGCCGCCUCGCCUGUAAACUGCACCCAAAACCCGGAUUCCAUGAACCAAAAGCUUCGAGAUUCCAUCACGUUCCUCCCGUUGAAAGACCUGCGUUUCUCGAACCAGCCCCUUGAUGGUCACACAUGGUUCAUGAGUUCCAUGUACGACACACGCGAGGAAGGUGAGGUCCAAUACCAACAGUUCCCUUCAGAACCGUCCAAAGGCCGGCUCCUUUGCCUUAAAGGCCGCGACACACACGACGGUUCAUGGAACUACUACGCCUUGGCAUGGCCCGAAGCGCUUCCUACAAACGCCACCCUAAUGAAGGGCCUCACUUUCGUGUCUUACAACCAUUACAACUACGACAACAUAUGGCAUGGUCUGUCGGCUGUCAUGCCUUUUGUCGCUUGGCAUAGGAAAAACAGCUGUGAAAAACCAACGAGAUGGGUGCUUUACCACUGGGGUGAACUUAGGUUCAAGAUGGGGACAUGGUUGAACUUGUUAAUGGAGGCUACGUUUGGCCAAGCUCCUUACAUUGAAGAGUUUAAUGACGUUGAUGAUGAUCAACCUGUUUGCUUCGAAAAGGCUGUUGUGAUGAGGCACAAUGAAGGAGGGAUGUCGAGGGAGUCAAGGAUGGAAGUUUAUGAUCUGAUGAGGUGUAAGGCUAGGGUUUACUGUAAUGCGAGCCUUGAUAGAAGGGAUAGCGAUGAAAGACCAGACAUUGGGAUGACUUUGCUAAUGAGGAGUGGAGCAAGGUCUUUCAGGAACGAGACGGCAGUGAUUGGGGUGUUUGAGAAAGAAUGCAAAAAGGUGAAGGGUUGCCGGUUAAUGGUGGCUUACUCCAAUAAUCUCACCUUUUGUCAACAGGUAAUGGCAAUUUUUAUUUUAAUCGACUUGAAUUAAAUUUCUACACUUUUCAACACUAAUUUCUUCGUCUACUAUUCAAUUCUACAACUUUUAGGUUAAUCAGCAUUUUGUUAGCAUUUGUGCGUUACACGUGAACACCAAAACCCCCUUAAAUAAAGCUAUAGUGGGAUGUUGAGAUUGAUGACAUGCUAAUCCCACUCACUAACGUAUAAAACAGAUGUGUGGGCUACUUUUAAAUUGAGUGAAUUCCAAUUUUUGAAAUUGAAUAAAUUAUUUUAUCAAUAAAUAACAACAUUUCAAAGCAAAGUUUACAAAGAUUUCAAAUUAGUCCCAAUAUUCUAAAAUCUCCGACAAUAUCUUCCAUGCAACUUAAAAGUAUUGUUUGAUUCAACACAUUAAAUUUCACAGAUUUAUCCGCAAUACUUAUAUCCCAAAAUCAAUUCGUGACUCCUCUUUAAGAUCAUAACAGCUGAUAUUUAAUUUAGUAGUUAAUUACAUUAAAAAAAUUUGGUAAUUGAAUUUACAUGUGUGAUGAUGAAAUUGCAGGUGAAGCAAAUGAGUUUAACAGAUAUUCUAAUAUCACCCCAUGGUGCCCAACUGACCAACAUGUUCCUAAUGGACCGAAACAGCAGCGUUAUGGAGUUUUACCCCAAAGGCUGGCUAAAGCUUGCCGGCGUCGGCCAAUAUGUGUACCAUUGGAUAGCUAGCUGGUCCGGGAUGAGGCACCGAGGCGAAUGGCGAGAUCCCAACGGGGAAAGCUGCCCUUACUCCGACGAAGAUCACCGGUGUAUGUCGUUCUACAAGAAUGGCCUAAUUGGCUACAAUGAGACCCAUUUUGCGGAGUGGGCUAGAAAUGUUCUAAAUGAUGUUCAAACAAAGAGAUUUGAAGAAGAGGGUACCAAAAAUGGGACAGCUUCUAUGAAAACUUGUGAUUGCAAUUAAUCUGGUUUUUUGUUUUUUGUUUUUUCUGGUCUUUUGAGGGGCAUAAUUAAUACCCAAAAAAAAAAAAAUCCUUUCAUUGUUCAAUUUUUAAUUUUCAUUUAUAGGGUUUCUUGUAAGAACAAUGAUCCCCGUUCAUAUGCAAUAGUAUUUUAUUUUAAUUUAUUCUAUACUGUUAAUUCAACUAUUGGUAGAGUGGUAAAGAACAGGUCUAAAUUGGAUCCUUGAACAACCCCUAUCUUAUUUUCUUUCUUUUUUUAAAAAAGAUUUGUCUCUUAAUUCUUUGGAUUUUCGGAGUAACCUCAUUAUCAAACUCCAAUUGACGAAGGAAAACUACAAGUUAAGCGGGUUCAAUAACAUUGGUAAGUUUGACUUACACACAUGAAUGACAGAUGAUUUGUGUAUUGAAAAGUAAGAAUAAAAAGAUAAUAUUGGAUAAGAAAAAUAUGAAAAAUCGAGUUUGAAAUCAAAUCAGGAAAGAGUGAGAAAAUUAUUUUCUAGUCCCUCUAUUAUAUUGAAUUUUGAAAUUUAAUCUUUUAACUAACAUGUAAAUUUAUUAUUAAUUAUGGCUGAUUAAAUUUCACAUUAUUUUGAUUAAUAAUAAAAAGAAAGAAUUAUAUUGCUCUUUUCUUUAUACAAAGCCUACUAUUACCACAGUUAAAUUAAAGGAAAAAUUAGAAUUAAAUGUGUUUAAACUCACAAUCUCUAAAUUAUUAUAACAAAAAUUGUGCGAAUUGAACUAACAUUUAGUCCACGAAUUACAUUGCUUUAUGAUAAUAGUAAGUUGUUUUAUCAAUUUCGACUUACCAAUAAUAUUUAAAAAUAAAAAAUUAAACCAAGUGAUUAAAUCUUUGAUUUUUAACAUCUCUUUUAAUCAUCGUGCAGACAAAUCAAACUAUAAAUUGGGCCCUCCAAAAUUUGUGGACCCUGCUAGAAAAACAAAACAAUCUGUCAGGAUGUUAACUUUUGAAUCAAAUUAUGGAUUUCUGUCUUUAUAUUAUAAUGUUAAAAUAUGCUCUAACAUCGAUAAAAUUACCAUGGAGUUAUAGUUGGAUUCUACUUUCUCUCUUUUAUUGAAAAGGUUUCUGUAAAUUAAAAAAAAAUUUACAAAUUAAUUUUUCCGUUAAAAUUUUCAUUCAUACGUGUUGUUAAGUGGUUAUUUAGAUUUUUCAAAAAAAUUUAUGUAAGGGACAUAGAAUUAAAAAAUGAGUAGGAUUAAGUAAAAGUACCGUGGAGGCUCCUGUAUUAAGAGUUGGAUUGCAUUAUGUUCUCUCUACUUGAAAAUUGGGUAAAUUAGUCAUUGUAUAUUAAAUCAAUAAGCAAACUGAUCAUUUUGUUAAAAAUUCCAUUUGUUUCCAUUUUUAAGUGAUGAUAUAACUGACAGAGAAACUAAAUAGUGACACGUGGUAAGCCACAUGUACCUCAUGCUAAUGUGGCACAUUCUAUCACAUCAAAAAAUAUUUAAAAAAUUAAAAAACCUAAAAAAUAAAUAAAUUUAAAUAACUUUGUAAAAAUCACAUCCAAGAGGAACCUAGACAAAUGGUUGUUUAUGUUCAUACCAGACGUGAUUUUAAAAAAUAUAUAUAUUUAUAAAAAAUGUAAAAUUUAUAAGGAAUUAAUUUUUUAAAUUAUUUAAAAUUAUUUUAGAAAUUAUCAAAAAUGAACUUGACAGUUAUUUAUCCAAGUUCAAAUGAAAUUUGUGCUUUCUACCAUCGAAGGGGAUGAUGAGCCAAACAAAGCAUCGAUAAAGUUUGGUUUUAUCUUGAUUUCUGUCGAAGCCAAAAGGGUCAGAGAGAAUGAAAAGAAGGCAAUGAAGUAUUUCUUAUAUUGUGGCCUGCAUAGGAUGCGAGACUAUCCAAAGCAAUCUAAGCUUUCUAUGAUCAGUAAGGAAGAAGAAACAGAACAAGAGAGUGAGGCUUUAAAGUUUGGAUUAAUGAUACUCAAUUCUACGAAAGCAAAAAGGGAUUGCAAGCAGAAAGAGUUGGUGUUUGUGGACACCAACAUCGCAGAUUGAAGGAGGUGUGCUCUUGUUUAUAAUUGUAGAAAACUGUAGGUAAACUUGAUAUCUCAGUUAGCAAAUUGACUAAGAAGAUCAAGACUGUAAAUUCCAAAAAGACCCUAAUUGGGGAGUAGCAUAAGGAGUUGAGCUACAAAUCAAUCAAUGGAAAAACAAGGAAGAAUUUGAGGUAAUUUAUUUAGAUGAUUAUGAAUUUGUUCUUGGCUUGAAUUUUCUUGGAAAGAUUAAUGCUCUAUUGGUUCAUUUUUUUCGAUUAUAUAUGUAUCUUGGAUACUCAGUAGCAACAAUACAUUAUGCUGGUGAGUCGAUACAUGAGGGGUGGAACCAAGGUAUUGUUGGCAAUCCAACUAGCCAAGAAUGUUUCAUGUGGUGGGAACAUUAACUUGGUAUAUCUGAGUGCUAUGAAGACUCCUUCAGAAAUGCUAGAGGUGUAGAAAAUUGAUAUAACCUACCACCUAUGAGAGCAGUGGGUUGUGCAUUAGACUUUGUGGAAAAAGUAGUAAUGCAAACUGGGCAACUAAACAGAGUAAAUGCUAUGAGCGAGGUACAUCUCAAACACUUAUCUAGUGUUUUACAUUAUGACUUACCGUUGGCUUGGCAAAGACAUAAGAGCCCUUUCAAAGUUCUAAAGCGGGUAAGCCGAGGGGCUUACAAACCAAAAUUAGCGACAAUACUCAAGGUUAACACAGUAUUCAAUGUGGGUGUGUCAAAACCUAUUUGCGAGGAUCAAAGGUAUCCCAAUCGAGGUAAGUCACAAUAGGGCUGAGUAAGAGCAAUGAACUCUUGUGAAUGAGAUAUACAAAAGAGAGAAACAAUUCAAGUUAGAAGAUGACGAAGAAAUAAGUCAAGGCAAAUGUUUCGAGGGUCGGAACUACUUGAUAUAGAAACUAGUUGAGAAUCAGUCGAGGAAAUGAGACGAUUCUAAGACAAGUUAAACCAAUCUCAUCCUGAGGACGCGAUGAGGGCAUCGUGAGAAUGGGUGGGGGAGAAUGUCAAAGGCCAUGGAUUAAAGCCCGUGAUGAAUACAUACAUAACAUUCUAUAGAGGUCAACUGAUUAAAUGGGGCUCAUUUGACCCAGUUGAACUAGCCUGAUUCGUGGAAGACAUGGAGAAGCUCAUCUACUAGAAGCCAUGGUGGCUCAAUAAAACACUCUAGUUAAACUAGAGUUACUAUGGUGAAUAUUGUAAACCUUAAGGGAUAAAUAUUGUAUAGAUUUUAAGUCCCUUAAGACUCUCAUAUUAUAGAUAGGCACUAAUCUCAACACUUGAUGUAAUUCAAUUUGUACUGUUGGAUCUAAGGGAGCUUGAUUAUAAAUAAAGGUCAUUCCCCUCAUUUGUAAUCACAUAAUCCAUUGUAUUUCAUUCAAAUUUAUUGAAUAUAUUUGAAAGCACUUAUUCAAACACUUGGUGUGCUAUGAUUUUUUUGUGGCUUUUCUGUUUAAUUUAAGCUCCUUAGUCUUUUAAGUUUGCUUUCACUUUCUUCCAGUACCUUAGAGAAUUUCCUCUAAGAAUUCUCAUUUUUGAGAGAUGAGCUAACUCAGGUGGAUUUGAAGCAAAGGAAUCGCCUAAUGCAACACCCCGUUUUUAGUGAAAUCUAAACAGUGAUUUCGGGACCACAAAUUCGAGUCCGGAAGAAAAUUUAUUUUAAAAUUAUUUUAUGGUCUAUUGUAUGAUAGAAAUAUCGUAAAAAAUUUUGUUAAGAAAAUUUUACCGAUUACAUGUUUAAUUGAUAAAAUGACCAAAUUGCAUAAAUUGCAAAAAUUGAGUUUUAGUAGCUAUAGGUAUCAAAUAGUUAUAGAAUUCAAAAUUGGAGGUCCUUAUAUGGCAAAUAGACCGUUAAGAGGAGUUAGUAAAUAAGUAUGAUGAUUCAUCUAUGGAAAAUUAAAUAAAAAAAUGACUAAAUUGGAAAGUUGAAAUAAUAAAAGAUGAUAUUUUAAUUAAAUAAGAAAAUGUCAUCAUUUUAUAUCAUCUUUUCCAAAUUAAAGACAUGGAAACCCUCGUUAUGGGUGUUGAGAUCAAGCAAACUAUUUUGGCUUAAUUAGGUAUGUAUUCCUUGUCUCGUUUUCAAUAUUUUUAUGUUUCUGAUAUCGUAAUAGCUUAAUCUAACUAUCUCAAGGAUUAAUUUGUAAAGUUAUCAAAGUAUUAGGGUUUUUCCAUGGAUGAAUAUGUAUGGAUUAUGAAGUUUUAUGGUAUAAAAUGAAAGGUUGUUGAUAGAUAAACAACUUUGGUAAAGUAAAUUUUAAUGAAAUUGUGAUUUAGGGACUAAAUUGAAAAGAUGUAAAAUUCAUGAAAAAUUUUUAAAUUUUAUGAAAUACAUGGGCUAUUAUUUUGACAUAUGAAAUUCUACUAGGCUAGGAAUAAGGAUUAAAUUGCAUUACUUUCAUUUUUCGAGUCUAAGGAUAAAAUUAUAGUUAAAUGAAAGUAUAGGGGCAAAAUUGUAAUUUUUCCAAAGGUGUGAAUUGAAUAUAAUUGAAUAUGAAUUGAUAUUUAAUUCAUUUAUAUAGAUUCGGAUAGACCAAAUACGGAGUUAGAACGAGGAAAAGAGAAGGUAUCAGAUUAGUAUAUUACAAAUAAACGAACAAUUGUCGAGGUAAGUUCGUGUAACUAAAUUUUAUAUAUUUAAAUGUUUGAAUGGAAUGUUGUAUAUGUGAAUUUUAAAUUCCAUAUAUAUAUAUAUAUAUGAAAUUGAUCACAUAUCCAACAAUGCUCGACAAAUAUUAAGUCCCGUUUGAAUAAAUGAAAUUCAAUGGAUACAGGAUUCCCGAAUUGGUUGUGGUCCUGCAUGUGUUGCAGACACACCACAGCUUAAAAGAGUGUACUGUUAUUAGCUCUCAUGAGCAUCCCGAUAUUUGGCUCUCACGAGCUUCCCGUUAUAUGGUUCUUGCGAGCUUCCUAUUAAUAGCUCUUCGGAGCAUCCCGAUUGGUUGUGAUUCUAUAUGUGUUGUGGACACACCGCAACUCUUAUGAGUGUCCCGAUAUAUGGCUCUUCGGAGCUUCCUGAUUAAAGGUUCUUUCAUGAACUUAUCGAUUAAUGGCUCUCCUGAGCUUCCCGAUACUGGCUCACUUAAACCUUCCCGUUAUUGGCUCGUAUGAGCUUCCCGUUAAUGGCUCUCCGGAGCUUCCCGUUACAUGGCUCACAUAAGCUUCCCGUUACAUGGCUCACAUAAGCUUCCCGUUACAUGGCUCGAAAGAGGGCUUCCUAUUUAUGUGCUUGUAUGAGCAUUCCCGAAUACGAAUUGGCGGGUUAUAGUUUCGUACACUUUAUGUGUAUUACCCGUGUAUCCAUCGAAUAAUGAACAAUUUGAUGGGAAAAGUUCUGAUAUGAAGUAACAUGAGUUCAAAGUGAACUGUUACCUGUGUAUAUCUAAAUUAUAUAGAAAUGAUAUUAUUUGAUAUAUGUUGAAAUAUGAUAUGUCUAAUAUAAGAAUGUGAAGCAUGUUAAAUGACUUAGUUCACCCAUGAUUAUGAUUUAUUACAUGUGAUUACUUGGCUAAUGUGAUAUGGAUAUAUGUUAGGCUAUGGCCAAGUUGGGUUGGAAUAUAUUUGUAUGCUUACCUUAUGUGUGAAAUAAUGGUAAGUUAAAUUACAUGUUAUAUGAACUUACUAAGCAUUAAAUGCUUACUCUGUUUUAUUUCCUCUGUUCUAUAGUAAUUUGGAAGCUCGUUGGGUUGGAGGCUUGGUGAAGAUAUCCUCACACUAUCUAUCAGCUUAUGUCGGUAUAUAUAGUAAUUACAUUUUGGUUAUAACGGCAUGUAUAAGUUAAAUUUAACCAAUGUUGGUAUGUAAAUGUUUUGGUUGAAACUAGCCAUUGACAUGACUUGUGAUUGGUAUAUUUUGAUAUGUGUAUAAGGCCUUAUCAUAAUUGAUGUGUUUUGGUAUGUUUGAAUGACGAAUAGUUAAUUGGCAUAUUGAGACAUGGUUUGAUUUGGUAUAUUUAAUACAAAUAAGCUUAUAUAUAUAAUUGAUCAAUUUGGUAAGAUUGGAUACUUGGAUAUAUGAGAUAAUAUGUUAUAUUUAAUACAUGAAUUUGGCUUGUUUUGGUUGCUUGGUUAUGGCUUAUGAAUGUGCUAUUUGAUGUGUUAGGUUGAUGCCAAAUUUGGGUGAGAAAUGUGGCCUUGGAAAUGACUUAUUUUCGUCCACACGGGCAGAGACAUGGGCGUGUGUCUCGGCCAUGUGUGACGCACGGGGUUGUGGUUUGGCCGUGUGUCCCUUGCAUAUUAAAAAUUUCAAAACAGAAUGCUCAAAAUUGAUCACACGGCCUGGAACACGGGCGUGUGGCUUGGCCGUAUGACCCCUGCACCUAUUUAAUGCAAGUUAUUAUGCUUACACAACCUAGCACACGGGCGUGUGACUUGGCUGUGUGAUCUAAGUCAGAAAGUUACAUGCGUAUGGACACAGGCUGGGACACGGGUGUGUACCCCCUGCACCUUGGAAAAAUUUUGAUAUUUUGCAAAAAAUUCUCUGAGUUCCCGAUUUAGUCCCGACUUGAUUCGAAGGUGUAAUUUUGGGCUUCGAGGGCUCAUAUAAGGGACAAUAUGGUUGAUUUAUUUUUUAUAUAUAUGAAUGUGAAGUGAUAUGAAAUGUCUGUAUUUGAUCUGUAAAUUCUGGUAAUGCUUUAUAACCUUAUUCUGGUGACGAAUAUGGGUUAGGGGUGUUACACCUAAGGCCGCGCGAAUUGCCAAACUAAAGUUCUAGCCCCAUGACACUAGGAGGUAGAUUGCAUUUUGCCCUCUCUACUUAAAAAAGGGGCAAAUUAACAACCCAUGUAUGUUCGAAAAAAGUGCAAACUGGACAUUUCGUUGAAAAUUCCAUCCAUAUGUGUUGUUAAUUGAUGAUUUGGCUUUCUUCAAUUUUUUUUAUAUAAGUGACUUGGAAAUAUAUGAUGAGUAGGAUUAGGUAAAAGUACCAUGAAAGUCCCUGUAUUAGGAGUUGGGUUGCAUUUUACGCCCUCUACUCAAAAAAUGGGCAAAUUUGUCCCUAUACGUCAGAUCAAAUAGCAAACUGGUCUUUAUCUUAUAAUUUCUAGAAAUUUCUACUGUUAAAUAUUGAUACAACUGAUGAAGUAACCAGACACUAACUUGUGGCAUGUCGCGUUCACCUCAUGCUAAUGUGACAAUAUCUUAAACUAUAAAAAAAAUAUAAAAAUUACAAUUAUUUAAAAACCAUAUCUAGGAUGAAUCUGUACAAAUGUUUUUCUUGGUUUAUUUCAUCCUGGACAUGGUUUUUAAAAAAAUUAUAAAAACUAUAGAAAAUUUAAAUAUUAUUAAGAAUUAUAAAAAUUUCUAAAAUUAUUAAAAAUUAACAAAUUAUUAAAAAAAAGUCCAAAAUGAUAUUGGAGAAUGGUUGUCCAAGCUCAAAUGAACUUAGAGAAUCAUUUGUCCAGAUUCACUCUAAAGUGGUUUGUUAAAUAAUUAUAGGAAAUUGGUUAAAAUUUUUGAGAAUUAUAAGAAAUUAUAAAUAAUUUUUAAAAUUUUUAAAAAUUAUAUAUACACAUAUAUUAUGUUUGAAGAUUUCAAAUAUACCCAUACAUGUGUCUUCUUAAAUGAGCUGAUAUUUUUAGUUAAUUAAGUUGAAGUCCAACUUUAUUAAUUUCUUAUAAUUUUAAAUAAAAUUUAAAUACUUUUCAAUAAUUAUGUAUAAUUUUUAUCAUUAUUUAAGAAAUAAAUCCAGAAUAAACCUAGGUAAAUGGUUGUCUAAGCUCAUUUGAACUAGGAGAAAUGAUUGUCAAAGUUCAUUUUGAACAUUGUUUUUAAUAAUUUAUAAAUAAUUGUUUUAAAAAAAAUAAUUCAUUAUGAAUUUUAAUAACUUAAAAUAAUUUUCUAUGAUUGUUUGAUAAUUAUCUAAAAAAAACCGUGUCCAAGAUGAACAUGGACAAUAAUUUGUCUAGGUUCAUUCAAGGUGUGAUUUUUUUAAAUAAUUAUUUCAAAUUAUUUAUUUUUUAUUUUAAAUAUUUUUUGAUGUGAAAAAAUGUGCCACAUCAGCAUGAGGUACAAGUGGCACAGUACGUAUUGCUAUCUAGUUCCUUUAUUAGUCACGUCAUCACUUAAAGUGGAAAUUGAUGAAAUUUUUAACAGAAUGACCAGUUUGUUCAUUAUCUAAUGUACAUGAACAGAUUUGCUCAUUUUUUUUAGUAGAGGGGGACAAAAUGCAAUUCGACUCGUAAUAUAGGGUCUUCCAUGGUACUUUUACCUAAUCCUACUCAUCCUUUAAUUCUAAGUCACUUACAUAAAAAAAGAAUUAGAAAAAUUCAAGUCAUCACUUAACAACGUAUAUGUAAGGAAUUCUUAAUAGAAGGGUCAAUUUGCACUUCUUUUUUUUCUAGUGUACAAGGGUUAAUUUGGCCAGGUUUUAGUAGAGGGGGCAAAAUGUAAUUCACCUCCUAGUGUAAGGGCCUCUAUAGUACUUUUACCUCUAUGAUCCUAUAUUUCUCAUACAUUUAAUUUUUUUUUUCUUUUUCUUUUUAUUUUGAGAAAUUUAGUCCUCCUCUUUUUUUAUCUAAAAAUAUAAGUUAAUUUGUUAAUACCGUUAAUUUAUUUGUUAAAUUUAGGUCCAUUAUAACUUCAAUUUUGUUAUAUGGUUAUCAAACAAAUAUUUUUCUAUUUCAAAAUGUCACACCAUUAAAUUUAAGAGAAUUUUAGCAGUGUUAACAACUACACUAAAUGUUCUUAAAUCUAAAAAAUAGAGUGACUAAAUUCUUAAAAAUAAAAAUAAAAUGAUAAUUAAAUUCUAAAUGUAAAAAGAAUAAGUGGAUUUGGAGCAUAUUUUAAACCUACACUUAAUUUAGGUAUUUAGUGUAUCUAUAUACAUAUAUAUUAAUUUAACAUAAUUUAAUCAUCCUAUUAUUAUUAGCACUAUUAAAGAAUUUUUUUUGAUUGAUGUGAAAUUCUUUUUAUAAAAAUAAUAAAUCAUUACCUUAAAAAAACAUGAGAUUCACCUAUAAAAGUUUAAAUAAUAAAUUAAUAAAAAUAAUUAUUUUUGAUAAUAGUAUUUUUAUUUUUAUACAACCGUUAAACUCAAAUAAAUCAUCCAAACUUUUAAAUUGGACACUACACAACCUCUAAAUUGCUACAAUAAUAAUGAUAAUGAUGUCACCUGAAUUAAUACUUUAUAGUUAUAAUUUUUUAAUGAUUUAAGUUAAAAAUAAUAGUGAUAAUAUUAUAAUUAAAUUAUGUGAAAUUAAAAUAUAAAACUUAAAUUAAAAAUAACGAUAUUAUCAAAAUUUGCGGCAUUAUUCUUUUGAGUUUGAAAAUUGUGUUAAAAAUGUCAAACAAGUCUUUCGUAUAGUUGGCAAAGGUAGAGGUUUUAGAUUUUGAAUGGCAAACAAGUUAUUUUAGUUUUUUAUUUAAUUUUUAUAUCUUUUAGCCCUUAAUUUUGUACUAUUUGUUUAUUCACCUUAAAAUGGAUAGAAUAGUUGACAUUUGUUAACUUUGUUGACGUGUGGCAUACACUUGAAUUGCUAUAUGAGCAAUUAAUUUUUUAAAAUUUAAAAAUUCAAAAUUUUUUAAAUUAUUAAAAGUAUUAAAAAAUAUAAAAAUAUUUUAUAAUUUUUAAAAAAUUAAUUAAUUGCUAACGUGGCAUACAUGUGGACUGCGGCGUGGAUGCCACAUAAGCAUACUUAACAAAUGUUAAAUUUUUAAUCUAUUUUGGGGAGAUUUGACAAGCAAUGCAAGUUCAAUGUUUAAAAUAAGCGAAAAAUUAAAUGGAGGAUUAAAAUGAUUUUUUUAAAGAUUGAAGGCCAAAUAAGUCAUCAUACCAAUUAUUUAUCACUAUAUUAUUGGCUAGUUGAUGUAGGGAUGGCAAUGGAGUGGAGCAGGGACAAAUAUUUCUAAAUACACUACCGAUCCACAAUUGGUACGUUCUACUCCACCACCUGUCCGCUCCACUAUGGAUGUAUAAUCUUGAAAAUCACUACCAUCUACAUGGAUAUUGGAUCCAUCCAUCUUUGUCCUACCUCGCUCUGCUUCAAUUUAAAAUUUGCUAAUUACCUUUAAUAUUUUUAAUCUUUUUAAAGUCAAGUAAAUAUUUAAACAUAAUUCUUCAAAAAAAUAUUUAAACAUAAAAUAUAUGAUUUUUUCUAUAUUACGUUAUUACAUUUUUAUCCUUUUAAUAGUUUAUAUAUACAAAGAUAAAAUGAUAAUUUUACAUAGUGAAGUGGGUCGGGUGAGAUAAACAAUUACAGUAACCACUCAAUGCUUUCUAUACAAAAGAAAACAUUCACCCCUCCCCUCAUUUACUUUUUAAAUAAAAAAAAUCCACUCCAAAUCAAAAUCUAUCGGAUAAUUUGAAUUUUGUCAUCCCUAAAUCAACCACUCCUUUUAUCAUAUCUUUUCUGAAAGCACGACUCCUUUUAUUGUUAAUCAUUGAAUUAAACAAAAUCGAAUGUAUAAUAUUUUUAGUUUUAUACUAAAUUUGUUCUAUACUUGUAUGAAUCUCUUGCUUAUUCAAUUCGUUCGUGAAAUUAAUCAAUUAUUUAUUUAUAAAUUUAUAGUAUUAAUAGAAUCUCUAAUUUAAUUGGUGUUACGGGUUAAUCGGAUACUAACUCGGUUAAGAAAUUAUGAAAAUAUUCUUCCGUAAUUAAAAUGAGUCAUAUUAUUCAAGGGCAUUUUAGUUUUUUCAUUUUAACAAAAACCAAGAAAAAUAUGCAUAUAGUGAGAUUUCAACCCGUGCCAAUUAAAUUAGUAAAACCUUAAGAGCACGUUUGAUUCGUUGUAUUGGAAUAGAGGCGUAAUGGAAUAGAGGCGUAAUGGAAUAGAAGUGUAAUGGAAUAGAGGUGUAAUAGCAAAUCAAUUGUUUGGUUGAAUGUAAUGGAAUAGAGGCGUAAUAGUAUUCUUGUGUUUGGUUGAAUGGAAUAGAGGUGUAAUAGCAUAAUGGAAAAAACUAAAAUGACUAGAAUACCCUUAGCAUAAAUUUGUUUUGGUAAAUGAUUAUUGUUAUUGUUAUUUAAAUUUUAAUAAGNNNNNNNNNNNNNNNNNNNNNNNNNNNNNNNNNNNNNNNNNNNNNNNNNNNNNNNNNNNNNNNNNNNNNNNNNNNNNNNNNNNNNNNNNNNNNNNNNNNNNNNNNNNNNNNNNNNNNNNNNNNNNNNNNNNNNNNNNNNNNNNNNNNNNNNNNNNNNNNNNNNNNNNNNNNNNNNNNNNNNNNNNNNNNNNNNNNNNNNNNNNNNNNNNNNNNNNNNNNNNNNNNNNNNNNNNNNNNNNNNNNNNNNNNNNNNNNNNNNNNNNNNNNNNNNNNNNNNNNNNNNNNNNNNNNNNNNNNNNNNNNNNNNNNNNNNNNNNNNNNNNNNNNNNNNNNNNNNNNNNNNNNNNNNNNNNNNNNNNNNNNNNNNNNNNNNNNNNNNNNNNNNNNNNNNNNNNNNNNNNNNNNNNNNNNNNNNNNNNNNNNNNNNNNNNNNNNNNNNNNNNNNNNNNNNNNNNNNNNNNNNNNNNNNNNNNNNNNNNNNNNNNNNNNNNNNNNNNNNNNNNNNNNNNNNNNNNNNNNNNNNNNNNNNNNNNNNNNNNNNNNNNNNNNNNNNNNNNNNNNNNNNNNNNNNNNNNNNNNNNNNNNNNNNNNNNNNNNNNNNNNNNNNNNNNNNNNNNNNNNNNNNNNNNNNNNNNNNNNNNNNNNNNNNNNNNNNNNNNNNNNNNNNNNNNNNNNNNNNNNNNNNNNNNNNNNNNNNNNNNNNNNNNNNNNNNNNNNNNNNNNNNNNNNNNNNNNNNNNNNNNNNNNNNNNNNNNNNNNNNNNNNNNNNNNNNNNNNNNNNNNNNNNNNNNNNNNNNNNNNNNNNNNNNNNNNNNNNNNNNNNNNNNNNNNNNNNNNNNNNNNNNNNNNNNNNNNNNNNNNNNNNNNNNNNNNNNNNNNNNNNNNNNNNNNNNNNNNNNNNNNNNNNNNNNNNNNNNNNNNNNNNNNNNNNNNNNNNNNNNNNNNNNNNNNNNNNNNNNNNNNNNNNNNNNNNNNNNNNNNNNNNNNNNNNNNNNNNNNNNNNNNNNNNNNNNNNNNNNNNNNNNNNNNNNNNNNNNNNNNNNNNNNNNNNNNNNNNNNNNNNNNNNNNNNNNNNNNNNNNNNNNNNNNNNNNNNNNNNNNNNNNNNNNNNNNNNNNNNNNNNNNNNNNNNNNNNNNNNNNNNNNNNNNNNNNNNNNNNNNNNNNNNNNNAUUCUUGAUAAUAAAUUUUCUUAUAUGAAUUUAUACAAUUUAAAAUAAUUAAUAUUAAAUAUAAAUUAAUAAUGAUAUAUAAUUUCAUAAAAUUCUUAAUAAUAAAAUGUUCUUAUAUGAAUUUACUAAAAUCAAAAUAUAACUUGAGUGUGAUAUUCUGCAUAAACAUAAUUAACUUAUAUUAAGAAAAGGUUAGAUGAAAAUGAAAUUCUACAUCAUAAUCCAUAUGUUGUAUAGUUUUACAACAUCAAAAAGUUUGAACAUUGAUUUUUUAUGGGUCAGAAAGAAAUCUUCUGACCCAUUCCAAUCGCGCAACAGAAGGUAAACUAAAGAAAACGAUCAUUUGAGUUGGAUGUUCUGGAAUUUUAAGCAAAGCUCGAUACCGCUGAUCGUCGGUUAAACCUUCAAUUUCCCAUAAGGUUGAAUAUAAAUUUGAAGCUUUCUCUUCCAUCUUUUGAUAUUCUUCUGACUUCUGCUGAACUACCACCUCGGAGGCAAUACUCCUACUGAUUUGAUCGCCAACGGCCUUGAUGUUUUCAGCCAAUAAAGUGGCAGCCUCAUCAAAUGAAGAAGACAUAUCACGAGCAUUAGAUUUCUUCUUCCUCUUGUUGGAAGAGGAGGAACCCCUUGGUCUCUAUCUCGUUGCGGCUCCGCAGCAGAAACAUCCAUCUCAUCCAAAGAGAUGUCAGCUUCGCAGUCAUAGAAUGAGUUUCUUUCUUCAUCCAUACCUGUAGUAUGUACACCCUCAGCAUUUAUUUCUUCAAGAACAUCAGCAGCUGUUUGAGCAUCUUUCCCAGUUGCUCGAUCUCUUGCGUAUAUGGUAGUAAGCUGGUCGUAGUAAGGGAAACUACAAUGUCUGAAUUAGCGGCUUCUUUGUGACUCUAAAAAAAUGAAGAAAUCAUAUUAGUUAUAAGUUUGGUAAAAAUAAGAUAAUAAAGACUUGAACUAAUCUUACCUUUAAAUAGGAGUCCCAAACCGCAUCUUCAGCAACAACGAGCUGCCUAUGCUCGUUCCAACNNNNNNNNNNNNNNNNNNNNNNNNNNNNNNNNNNNNNNNNNNNNNNNNNNNNNNNNNNNNNNNNNNNNNNNNNNNNNNNNNNNNNNNNNNNNNNNNNNNNUUAAGCAUGUCAUAGACGAUUCGACCACUCCCUUUUUAGUAACCUAAUCCUCGAUUCAAUAUUAGGUUUCGCCUUCAACAUUGCAUUUGGUAAAACCUUUUGUAGCAUUCUUUCCAACUCGUUUAAAUAACCGGCUUUGAACCCGGUAUCAGCAUUAAAUGUUCCAACAUUGUGCAGGUCCACCAUGCAGGAAACCAAUGCUGCAUCUUCUUCUAGAACCCAUUUUCAUUUGGUUCCUCGAGAAGCUUGAGAAGAAGCAUUUGGUUCUGGAACACCUGACAUAAUUAUCUUAAGAACAAAAUAAAAACAAAUUAUAUUAAUUACUAUUUUAAUAUCAUGAAUCAAAAGGUGAACACUUUAUAAAAUUAUAAUUAAGCUCAAUAUCAUGAAUCAAAAGCUCCAUACCACAAAAAAUUUAAAAUUAUAACACAAACUAUAAUUUAAAAUUUAAAAUUUAAAAUUAUAACACAAAAAAUUUAAAAUUUAAAAUGAGAAGAAAUUAGAUUAUAAUUCAACAAGUUUAGUACAAUACAAAAAUCAAUACAAAAGUUUCACAAAAGUUUCACAAACUAAUUUCUAGAUGUUUUCCAUUCAUCGAACAUUUGGUUCGCUAGUUCCAUCCUCCAAGUAGCCCAAGCAUCCGAUGGAUGAAUAUUUGUGAUAUUUGGUUCAUCGUCAUCCACCACAUUAGUAAGUAAUCCUUCUCCCACCUCCGCUUCAAUGGGAUCAAUACUCAUAUGGGUUCGAAUAAAAUUAUGGAGCAAACAACAUGCAAUAAUAAUUCUAUGUGCACCCUUACAGGAUAGAACGAUGGACUCCUAAGUAUUCCCCAUCUAAGUUUUAAUAACCCGAAGCAUCUUUCAAUAACAUUACGUGCUGAGGCAUGUUUCAUAUUAAAAAACUCUUGCGGAGAACUUGGCUGAUAACCCUGACGCCACUCGUUCAAAUGAUAUCGUUGUCCUCUAAAAGGUGCAAGAAAUCCCUCACAAUUUGUGUAUCCAGCAUCAACUAGAUAAUAACAACCUAUAAAAUAAAAUUGCUACUUAAAAUGAUUAAUUCAGCACAAAAAGUUUGAUCUUAAUGAACAAUAUCAAAGUCCUUUAACUAUCCACUUUACCAUGAGGAACAAUUAGUCCAUGUCUUCUACUGAUAACCCUUAGUUAUUUCUUUUAACUUUCUUCAUACAAUUACAGUAGAAUCUGCUUUCCAACACCCCCUUUUAUAUUCUUUCCUCACUUUUAUGCAUCUAUCAGAAUUAUGGAACUACUAUUACUUUACGAAUUCCAUAUGCAUGCAAGACUGCUUGUUUAGAGUCUAAUCAAGGAUGGUGAGCAAUUUGUUUUGUUAAUUUUAUUUUACAUUCAAAUCUAGUAUUAAAAUGAGGUUGUCUUUUCUUCAUAGGAAUAAGCAAUUUGCUGUGGUCGAAAAUCCUGGCUUAUGGAAUUGGACUUUUACUUUGAAGGACAUUGAUGGGCAACUUUUGGCAGAAAUAGAUCGUGAUUGGAGGGGUUUUGGCUUUGAGGUUUUCUUCUUUAAAAAAUAUCAUCUUUUAAUCAUCACUUGAUUCAUGGGCUCUAGUUUUUUUUUCAUAGUUUUCCAUAACAAAUAUUUGCUUAUACAUUAUUAUGGUGAAAUUUUAUUGACUCGCCAGAGCAGAGGUUUUAGUCCUUCAGUAAACUUAAUUUCAAUCAAUUUUUGAGAUUUACCAAUAGGACAUUACUGGUUCAUCCACAAGAGGGAAAAAAGGCGGGUUAAAAGAUUAAUCCUUUGUUCCAUUUAAGUUUCUGGCCUGAUAUGAGUUCUUUGAGUUGCUGAGACAGGCAUAAAAUGUCAUAGUACCUGAAUUUAUAAUGGCACAUGCUUUGUAACUUUAGCAUACUAAAUAAGAAAGAACAAAGUACUACCUCUCAAGAUAGUUCCCUUUGUAAUCAGAUAUUGAAAUAAACAAAAGCUCUUAUGAGGAGCAAAGUGUAGUAUUUUGAGAUUGGAGGAGUGGGUAGAGCUCCAUGUUUGCUUUAGGAGUUUCUCUUCUAAGAUCUUUUCUCAUACCGUAAGAAAGAUGCUAAUGGAUGUCCAAAAAGUUGAAGUGUGUGAUUUGAUGUGUCAAAGUGAGCAAAAGAGUCAAGUGAGAAGAAGAAAGAUGUGGAUUGAUCAUUGUAGAAAUCUGGUUUACAAUGUUUUGGAAUGGAGAGAACAGGGAGGUUGUGAGUUGUCCUAAUUCUCCUAACUAGCUUGGAUGCUGUUGAUUCAUACAUUUUGCAGUCCCCAUUUUCUAAAUGUAAAGUGUGUUCUAUAUAUUCAUUUCUGUAAAAGGUAAAUUGUUGGUGAAAACCGAUAGUCGGCAUUGACAAACAUUUUUUUAUGCAUAUGAAAAGGAUGAUCUUAUUGUGCAUUUCUAGGGAAUAAGGGUUAGUUUUCUUCAAAGCAAUGAUCAAUGAUUUAUGCUACCCUUUUUUCCUCCCUGUUUCUAAAUCUGUGCUUUCUUUUUUGAUUUUCAAUAUUGAGUUGUUAAUUCAAGAUGACUCGAUAAUCUUAUCUUUUCAAAAGUGCUUAACAGAGCAAAAAAUUAUGAAAAUCUCAUUUUACCAUAUAUCUUUUACCCUUUUUCAUUGGAACUCUUGUUUUUCGUUCUUUUAUCUUAUUUUUUCUCCAUCCUGAUAAAUUCUGUCCUCUUUUCUUUCACCAAAAACGACAAAUAGUAAAAGAUGUUAGAUGUGAAAAAUGAGAUCUUCAUAUAUUGUUUCCUUGAAGCACACUGAUUGCAACUAAUUAAUGAGCCUAUGACUCUAGGACUUAGUGUAGCUGGAAGAAAGGCAAUGCAUAGAGAUCUUCAUAUAUUGUUUCCUUGAAGCACAAUGAACAUUUCAAUCGAACAUGCAAUAUGAACAUUUGCCUAUGGAAAACUAACCUGUAAUGAGCAAAUCGGAUGAAGAAGUCAAUGCACUAACAAGGCAGUGAUUCGGAUCUGCUUACAUGCAGAAAAAACAGAAGUCACUAACAAGGCAGCCAAUGAAACUCAUUACACAGAGAAAAAGAGUGUUUAGAAACAUUAAAGCAGUUUGAGAGCAAAAGAGAGUUAGAAACCUUUACCUUUCAGUUGCAGAAACUUGGAAACCCAACAACUGAGACCAAUCGAAAGAGUGACAGAGAGAAAACAAAAGAAAAGGUUCACUGGUUGAGAAGGCCAAGCAUAAUGUUGUAAAGAAAAAGAAAAGAAACAGAAGACGCAAAUCGGCAGAAAAGAAAAGAAAAGAAACAGAGGGAGCAAAUCGGCAGAAACUGGAGCAAAUCGGCAGAAGCAAAAGGAAGGAACAGAAGACGCUUGGAUUAGAAAUCGGGAGGGUAAAACAGGGAGGGUCAACUGAAGCAGCGCCUAAACUGAGCAGAAGGGAGGGAUUAGAAAUUGGUGGAUUUCACCGAUUAGGUCAGUAAUGGUUUAGCCCCGUAAGAGCAAUACAUUGAACCAAACAACGGAUUAGAGGCGUAAUAAGUGGGGCCAGCCAAUACACCCAACCAAACAUAGUGUAAGUUUACCACUCAACUAAAGUAUUAUUUUAAUUUUUUAUACAUUUUUUAAUAUGCACAAUUUAUUAUCUUCCCCAAUUGUAUAUCUAUACUAUUAAUAAAGUUAUUGAUUGAGUUAGUGUCAACCUCAAUCGGGUCACUAGCUCAGUUAGAAAGUUAAGAGAAUAUCCUUUAAUAAUUAAAAUAAGUAAUAUUAUUCAAGGGUAUUUUAGUAUUUUCACUUUAAAACAACUAAUAAAAAUAUGCAUAUAACGAGAUUUUAACCCAUACCAGUUGCAUUAGUAAAAUCUUUAAUUUACCACUUAGCUAAAAUUUUAUUUUAAUAUUUUAACAUAUUUUUUAUUUUAUUAUGCAGAUUUUAUUACGUGCAUCAGUUGUGUAUAUUAAUGAUGUAUUUUAUUGAGUUGAUGUAACAAAUUAACUCAAAACAAACUCAAGAUUGAUGAUAACACUAUAAUAAACAAUUUAGUCUAAUUUUGUUCAUUUUAAUAACAUACAUAUUUCAUGUGUUAUUAUUAAUUAGUUUCAAAUAAUACGUUUCAUUAUUUAUUGUAUAUUAUUUUUAGAAAAACAUUCAUAUUCUAAUUUUAUAAUUUUCACUGAUGUAAUAAAAUUUUGAAUAUAUUUUAAUAUUAAAUUAUGAAGAAAGCGAAUAUAUAAAAUCCUUUAAUCAAGUCGUUGUAUUCUAUUUCGAGUGAAGCUAUAAUAAUAUUCCAUUGAGUUGAAGUCAAAUUUAAAUAGCGAAAUUUGAAUUAAUUAAGAGCUUAAAUUCGCAUCGACUUCGUUAUAGCCCUAAUAUAUCGUAUUUACUAAUCUAUGAUAUUUUAAGAAAAAAUGCAAAUUCUUAAAACAACUUAAUUCCAACAUAUCAUGAAAAUGUUUAAAAUGAACCAACUCUCAACAGGGUAUAUAUAUUAUUCGUUUUGCACUGCCCAAUGUCCACCCUCCAAUUUAAUGAGAAAUACCCAAAAUAAAAGUUAUAAACAAACAAACAAAUAGUAUUAGAGAGAGACAUUUGGAUGGCCCCAUUUUCUACAAUAAUGAACCAAAAUUUGGUAUUAAAUAAGAGUGAUUGGUAGUAGUAAAAUUAUUAUUUAUCGAUAAAGAUCGUGUUACAUCCAGCAAUACAAAGUUAUAUGCUUUUUAUUUAAUUUUUUUAUAUAUAAUAGGAAUAAAUAAAUUUUAACAUUUUCGGUAUCUAUAUAAUUUUCUUUUAAAAAUAAUUAACGAGGUUUUAAUAUUGUUGAUAAAAUUUGAGAUUUUAAAUUAUUGAGUAUUGAGAUUCGAAUCUCAUUACACAAAAUUGAUAUAUGCAGAUCUCCAAUUCUACUUUAUGUUAGUACAAAUCUCCGAUGAGGAAAAUCUCGAACACACGAACAAAAUUCAAAUGGAAAAUGAAGAAACAAGAUAAGGCUCCAAGGCGUGUAUCAAGCCACUAUCUUUAAGGUUAUAUUCGCCCCCACCUAUCUUCAGGGUGCAAAAGAGUUUCAAGCAAAUUAAUCUCGAUGAUACAAUGAAGCUGAUGACUAUUUACGUUUUGCACUGACGAGAAUCGUCCACUAAGCACUGAGCAAUGUAUAACAAGAAACUCAAUUUCUACAAAAGAUUUCUGUAGUAAUACAUUAUAGAAUAAUCUAAUAAUAUUAGAAAAUGGAGGAAGGAAAGAAAGAAUUUUAGAACUUGUUGGUGUGUUUUCCAAAUGAAAUCACAUUCCUAUUUAUAAGAAUUCAAUAAUUGUUUUUUCUGAAUAAUAAUGUAUUUAAAAAGACACAUAACUAUUCAAAUAAUAUUAUUUGAAUAGUUAUAAUUUUGUUAAAAAUCAAGUGAUAUGACUCUUGACCAAUAAUCAAAAGUUUUAACUUUUGAUUAAUUAUACCAUUUGAUUUAUAGUUAUUAAAAUACUAUAAAUAUUUAAAAAUAUUCUAACACUUUAUCAUGUGUGGAUUUCAAUUAGUUAUAUCCUACCUAUAAUUAUACUGUUUUUUACACUUUUAAACUUUCAAAAAUAAUAUAUAUAUUUCUGGUUUGGUGGCAAGGAUCCAUCAUUGACCAGACAGGUGACGAAGAUUUGAUAAUUGAGUACAAAAACCUUUAUGGGGACGUAUUAAUUUUUUUGUAAAAUAAACUUUUUUUGGCUUGAUAGAUAAGAUAAUGUUAUGUCGGUAUACACUUAAUUAUUUUUAUUAAAUAUAUUAUCUUUCAAUAUGACAAAAAUAUUUUUGUAAAUAUUAUAUUAAUACACAAAUUAGUUAAAUUAAUUGAUAGGUACUAAAAAUAACAUGUUUUAACCUCAUUCUUAAUGCAUUUUUGGGUGAUUAUUCGAUGUUAAUAUUAAAUUUUAUGCUUCUAAUCCUUUAAAUUCAUGUUUUUAUAUUUAGGAGAUCAUUUGGGAGCAAAAUAAGCGAAAAACGAGCAAUAACCGGAAAAUUUGAGCCAGUUACAAGAACCACACAGGUUGAACCAUUCCACACAGUCGUAUGAGACACACGGGCUACCACAAGGCCAUGUGGCAAGCCGUGUCGAUUUCGUGAAUUGCACUCUAAACAGUGAAAAAAACGUGAUUUUCAAUGUUUUUCAAGCUUUCUAAAACCUAUAUAUGAAAAAAAAUAAGAACAUAGGAGAGAGCCGUUAUAGAAUAUUCAAUAAAACAACUCGAAAAACACCAUUGAUGUAACACCCCAAACCCGUGUCUGUCGCCAGAUUAGGGUUGCGAGGCAUUACCUAUCAAAGUACAACUCAGAACAGACAUUCAUUUCAAUUCAAGUACCAAAUAAUAUAAUCAUUUCAAUUCUAUUCAUCUAGUAAAAUUUUAAACCAAACUAACAUGCUUCGAUUCUAUAAUUCGUACACUACCCAAAUUAAUAUUCAAACAUUAUAACCAAUGAAUCAUGGCAAUCUAAUACUUAACUUAUAACUAAGUAUGAUUUAUUUCAUAUACCAAUCAUAUAUUAAGACAUCUAUUCAUAUAAAUCUAUUUCAUUAACUACUUUCCAAAAAUACUAUUUAUAAAUGUGCACUUCUUCACAUUUUACUAAGUCAAGCCAAACCACAUGAUUUAUUAAACAUUAAUAUAUAUAUAUAUAUAUACACACACACACGACAUUAACAACUCCACACAAUGGUCAAAUAUAAAAUUUGGUUUUACCAUAUUAUGCACAUUUUACCAAAAUAAUAACUACCAAUUUUAUAUAUAUAAGACCCGAAUCAAAUCAUACAAUAAUUACAAUACCCCUUGACUAAUAAAUAUGCAAAAUACCUAUCUAUCAUUUACUAAAUUCAUAAAUCACAUAUAUGACACAUUUUAAACUCAAGCAUUUAACUUAACAACUUAAUCAUUAAUUACCAAAAUCACGAACAAAACAUAUCAUAGGCAUGGAUAAGUAUAUUUUACCUAUUAUUAGCCAAAUAUAAAUACACACCCUUUUACCAUUUCCAAAAUACAUAUACACAAUCGACCUUUUAUCGAUACAUUCGAUCAUAAAACUUACCUUCCGACAAUCCAACCAAUUUCAUAACUCGAAUCAAAGCUAACUGUACCAUUUAUAACCGUACAUAAAAAUCCAAUAUACAAGAAAUCAUAUAAAUAUAACUUAGCUCAUAUAAACUUAUCAUGGUCUAAAUCACAACCAUCAACACAUUAACAUCACAUAACCGAAUCAUAAAACAAAUACAUUACACAUAUAUAUAUCAUGACUGAAAAUUCACAACCAUUAACAACAUGAGCAAGCCAUUUUCGCAUGGCUUGGCUAUAUAUAAACACAAUUCCAAAAUCAACCAUAUCAAGCUAGACUAUACAUGCCAUAAGUCAUAAAUACAUGUUUUCUUUCAAGGUACAAAAAUAGAUAUCGAUAGUGUGAUGAUGUUCCUCAACGUUCCUGAGCUCAAGCUAGCUUUCAAAAUCUAUAAAACAAAACGAAUAAACAUACGAAGUAAGCUUGGAAAGCUUAGUAAGCCAUAAGCAAAUAAAUUAACACAAGAACAUUCAUAAUUCAUUUCGAAACAACCAAACCUAGCUAACUCCAUAUAUAUAUAAUCCAAUUUCUCAUAAAGUUCACAUGAUCACUAUAAUCAUCAACACUUGCCUUUUCUUUCAAAGUUCGUAUAAACUUAAUACUUACCUUAAUCGUUUAAAUCGAACUCACAUUCGGUCUUACCAUGUCUUUGCCCGUAGAACCAUUCGGAAUCAAAAAGGAUACUUGGAUGGCUCAAAAAGCUCGUGCAAUGCCAAUGUCCCAGACGUGGUCUUACAUGUAUUCAAAUAACGAUGCCACUGUCUCAGAUAGGGUCUUACACGAAAUCAUAUACGAUGCUAAUGUCCCAGACAUGGUCUUACACGUAAAUCUUAAAUCGAUGCCAACGUCCCAAACAUGAUCUUAUACGAUAUCACGUAUCGAAAUUCCUGUGGUUCGUAUGGCUUUUGGAUGCCAUAAAUCAAUCGAAUUAAGCUCGUAAUUAAUCAUCCUAUGCUAAAUUCAAUUCGACAUUGUAGUAUCACACAUAACUCAGUCCGGCUAUGUAUGAAAUAAAUACAUUCAAUUUAACAUUAUUUAUUCACUUACGAACUUACCUCGUACGGAAACAAAUGGAUGGAAUCGACUACUCGACCACUUUCGACUUUUUCCGAUCUAAUUCCGUUUUCUUUUGUUCUUGAUCUAUAUAAAUUCAAAUUUGGCUAUUUAAUAACACAUUUUAUUCAAAUUUAUUCAAAAAUACAAAUGGUCAAAUUGCAUUUUAUCCCCUAACAUUUCACAUUUUUCACAAUUUAGUCCAUAUUUCACAAAACACAAAAUACUCAAAAUUUCACUAAACCCAUGUUAGGCCGAAUUCUCCUUAGGUCCCUAGCAGCCCUUUAUUUCAUUUAUUUCACGUUUUGACUCCUAAUUUUACAAAUUUCACAAUUUAAUCCUUAAUACACAUUUUCAUAAAAAAUUACUUAAUUAAACAUAAUAAUCUAAAAACAUAUAUUUAUCCUUAAUGAAAGCUAAAUGCAUGGCCAUUUUGCAUUUUAUUUUAUCUAAUAUCAUGUUAUUUACUUUUUACUAUUUUAACCUUAAUGAAAGCUUAAUAUAAAUUACUUGAAUCAUGGACAUAAAUGUCCACUAACCUUAUAAUGGCAUGUUAACCUUUUAAGGACUUCCCAUAAAUCAAAUCAUAACAAAUUAGCAUAUUAACAAUGAGAAUGCCACUUUUAUUUUUUUAUGCGAUUUAGCCUUUUUCACAAAUUAAGCACAUAAACAGAUAAAUUACAUCACAGAAAUUUCACACAUGUCAAUUCGCAUACUAUAAGCACGGAAAGUAAUAUUAAAAUUUUAUUCUGACUUAGAUUUAUGGUCCCGAAACCACUAUCCGACUAGGGUCUAAAUCGGGCUGUUACAAUUGAAGCCGAUUCUGAAGCAAAUUUCUGUCAAGAUUGAAGACUUUAGGAGAUUAUUAUGAGUUUUUUUUAUUUCUUUUGGUUAUAUUGUCUUUUGGAUGUUUUUAUUUGCAAACAUAAACUAAUUUUCUAAAUACAUAAGGAGAUGAACCCUAAGAUGAAUUUUGUCGUUUGAUUUUUAUUUUUCACAAUAAAGACUUAGAUCUUAUUCUCAAUUAUGUGUGUUUAAUUCUUGGUUUGACAUUCCUAGAUUAUUGAUCCAUGUUUGAUGUACUUAAAUCAGAGGAGGAAUGACCCUGUUUAAGAGUAGAUCUAGCGUAAUUGAAUGAAGUUGCAUGCAAUCCUAAAAAUAGGAUGACAUAAAUAUAUUGGACUAGAGUCAAAUCAAAUAGGGAAAUUCAUAGAUCGAGUUAAUGCGAUAAUAGGGGUUUUUAUUAGAAAGAAAUUUCAAUUAAUCAAGUCAGAGUCAGUUGCUCUUAUUCGUGAAUAGGGAUAUUAGCAUAAUUUAGGGAUUUCUCCAGAUCAAAAUACUAAGUGGAGAAAUUGGAUAAAUUUAGAUUGAUAAUGACAGAUGAAAUCUAGGUGAAUUCUUUCAUGGGUAUUGUUUUGCUUCUUGGUUGUUUACUCGAUUAUUUUCCUAUAUUGUUCUUUGCCGCAUUCGUAGUUAAUUAAUUUAGUUAAUUUUAAUUUUAAUCAAUCACUCAAAUUUAUCGGUUAAAUAAUAGAAAUACGGUAAUUACUAGUACUUUUAGUCUUCGUGGGAACAAUAUAUGUUCUCACCGUAGCUAUACUAUUAAUUGAUAGGUGCACUUACCUUAGUUAGAUUUUUAGUUGGUUUACGACUACAUCAAGUUUUGGCGCUGUUGUCGGGGACUAAAAUAUUAGAAAAACUUUACUUCUAUUCAUUUAGUCAUUUUUUAUUUUUAUUUUUAAUUUAAUUUUUACAUUCUAAUUUUUCGUUUGUUCGAUUCUGACAGGUUCUUUUGCUUUAUGACUAAAGGAAACUCGUUGGAACCGUUAGUGUAUGAUAGCAAAAUUGAAAAGACUGCUUGCAAAAAUCGUAGAGAGGUUAGAGAAGCAAAGCAAGGUCAACAUAUUUUAAUAGACAAUCAAGAGGAAAAUGACAUUACUAUGGAGAUGGAAAAUAAUCAAAAUAAUCAGCAGCCUCUUAUGUCUUCUACUCCUUGUACUAUGUUUGAUUAUGCUAAGCCUACUCUGAUUGGGGCUGAAUCAAGUAUCGUCAAGCCGACUAUUUCUGCAAACAAUUUUGAGCUGAAGCGAAACACAAUUCAGAUGGUACAACAAUAUGUCUAGUUUGAUGGGUUACAAGAUGAAGAUCCAAAUACUCAUUUGGCUAACUUUCUAGUGAUUCGCAACACGUUCAAGAUUAAUGGCAUUACUGAUGAUGCCAUACGCUUACGGUUAGGGGUGUGCAAAAUUCGGGUAAAAUCGAAAAAAUUCGGUUAACCGACCGAAUUCGGUUAAUCGGUCGGUUAACUGAAUUUUUUCGGUUGGGGGUCGGUUAAUUAUUUUUUGAUUUUUUGGUUAACGGUUAAUUCGGUUCGAAACCGGUCGGUUAACCGAAAAAAUUAACAAAUAAAAUUAUAAUAUAUAAAUAGGCCCACUAUUCACCUAAACCCAAUCUAAUUCCAAGUAUUCAACCCAACCCAAUUACCCAACCCAACCCAAUCAUAAAAUUAAAUUACAAAUAAUUUAAUAAAUAAAAAUAAAAUUUUAAAACUAAGACUAAAACUAAAGUCUAAAAAUAAUUUAAUUAUGUAGUGAUUCAAUUUGGUUAAUUCGGUUAAUUCGAGUAAUUCGGUUAAUUCGGGUAAUUCAGUUAAUUCGGUUAAUUCGGUUAAUUCAGUUAAUUCGGGUAAUUCGGUUAAUUCGGUUAAUUCGGUUAAUUUUUAACCAAAAAUAAAAAAACAUAUAAUUUUCGAUUAAUUCGGUUAACCGACCGAAUUAACCGAAAAAAUUUCGGUUCGGUUAAUUUUUUUGAAAAAAAUUUCAGUUCAGUUAACGGUUAAAGAUUUUAAAAGGUCGGUUAAUUUGGUUAAUGUUAUUUCGGGUCGAUUAACCGGUCAGUUAACCGAAUGAACACCCCUACUUACGGUUGUUUUCAUUCUCUUUGAGGAGCAAGGUAAAAUAGUGGUUGAAUUCACUUCCACGGGAUUCUAUCACGACUUGGGAUUAAAUGACUGAGAAGUUACUAUUGAAGUACUUCCCACCAGCUAAAAUAGCUAAGUUGAGAAACGACAUCUCUUCUUUUUCUCAAUUUGAUAUAGAGACAUUAUAUGACGCAUGAGAGAUAUUUAAGGAUCUUUUGAGAAUGUGUCAUCAUCAUGGGUUACCUUUGUGGUUACAAGUUCAAACCUUUAACAAUAUAGUUUAAAUCUCUCGACUAGGCAACUAAUUAAUGCAACAGCUGGCGGAACAUUGAAUAAUAAGACACCUGAGACAGCUCAAGAGUUUAUUUAGGAGAUGACACUGAAUAACUAUUAGUGGGAAGUCAUGAAAAUGAAACCAAUUAAAGCAAUCAGUGUUUUUAAUAUUGAUGUCGUUUCUAUGUUAGCAAAUCAGGUUGAAACGCAAUGUUGUGCCUCACGAUUGGUAGUUGUUUUUAUUUAUGAGAUUUCUUUGUUUUAUUUUAUUUUUCUUCUGAAUUUUAUAUUUUAUUAUUUUAUCGGUUGUUUUCUUUUAAUUUUACUAUCUCUUUAUCUUAUUUAUUUUUGUCCAUUUUCUUAUUAGUUUUCUUGGAAAAAUAUACUUCAUUUAGAUUUGCCUAUGAUUCCAGUUUUCACUAUUCUGGUGAAAUCAUCCAAAUUCAGGGCAGUUUUAGUUCUCUCCUUGCCUUAUGAUAUUGUGCUUAUUCUGUGAUUAUAAUUGUUUGUACAUUGAGGGCAAUGUAUAUCUUAAGUGUGGGGAGGUUGUUUAUAUGUUUAUGCGAUAAAAUCUCUGAAUUGUUGUUUGUGUUUGAGUAGUUUUCUCAUACCUAGCAUUGUAGUAAUAUAUUUUAAUUUAAAGUUUGUAUUGAUUCUGUUUUGGAAUAAUUUGUGGAUUUUUGUGAAUUGUAUGAUUUAUACUUUAAGACGCAAGAGAGUCAAGCAUGAUAAUUUUUUUUUAGAAAUUAUUAUUUUAGGUUGUCUCCCUGAAUUGAAAUAUUAUUUUGAAAUUUUAAAUUUGCAAGUUUAACAUCAAAACUAUACUUUUUUGUGAGCUUUUUAGCCUAUGGAGCAUAUAUUUAUUCGUACUCAAUUUAUUUUUGAUUAUGAGUAUGUCAACUUGAUUUGUUAUUCUAGAACUUGCUUUGAUUAUACAUGUUGAGACCACAUUAUUGAUUUGAUAUAUUGAGAUGAUAGAGGCACUUAGGAUUUAACCCAUUUAAACUUUAAUCAGCUUACCUAUUGUAUUAACCCUUAGACUCCAUUGAUUCUAACACAUUUUUUCACCCAUUUAUGUUAACCCAUAACCCAUAUGAAUGUUGUAAAAUUAUCCUUUUUAUUAACUCUUUUUUUGUCGAGAUUUGAUUUGUUUAGUUGCCUAACUAUGUUUCAUUAUUUGAAUUGCUGAAUUUUAUUUUGUUCUUAAAAAAUUGAGAGAAAAAAAUGAUGAAAAAAAAGAAAAAAAUUGAGCUUAAAUCAUUAGUUUCAUAUUUUGUUGAAAAGCUCGUUUUCAUUUUUGUUAAUUUCUUGUUGAUGUAAAUUCUUUUAAUUCAGCAACUGAUUUUUUUCUAGUUUGGUAACUUAUCAAGUAGACUCUCAGUUAUAAAAUUUUUUUGACCUUUUCCAUAUCCUUAACCUAAGCCCCAUUACAACAUUGUAAAGACCUAUUGAUUGGUGUGUCAUCUCAUUUAUAGUGGUGGAGAUUUGAAUUUCAAGUAAGCCUAUGGUAAUAACAUUUCUCUUUUGACCGUUGAGUGCAUAUUAUUUGAACCUUAAACACUUUAAGUGCUUUGAGUGAAUAUUUAGUGAGGAUGUUAUUUCUUGUUGAGUUUGAAUUUCAGGUAAUUAUUGAGAUAGGGGAGAUGCCUAAUGUUUUUAAAGCUUAAAAUUCUCUGCUUGGAUUGCUUGUGUUAUUUAGUGUCAUUUUAAUGAGAAUUUCCAAUGCAUGAUUACCUCUAGAUUAUCCUAAGACAUUAUUAGUGGAAAUAAUAAAUUGAGAGAAGUUAACUUGAUUGUGGGUUGAGGAUUUUGCUUGAGGACAAGCAAACGCUUAAGUGUGGAGAUAUUUGACAGGUGCCAAAAGUAACAUGUUUUAGCCUCAUUCUUAAUGCGUUUUUGGGUGACUAUUCAAUGUUAAUAUGAAAUUUUAUGCUCAUAAUACUUUAAAUUCAUGUUUUUAUACUUAGGAGAUCAUUUGAGACCAAAAUGAGAUAAAAACGAGCGAAAAUCGAAAAAUUGGAGUGAGUUACAAGAGCCACAGGGCCUGGACACACAGUUGUGUGAGCCACACGGGCUGCCAUAUGACCAUGUAGCAAGCUGUGUCAAUUUCGCGAAUUGCACUCCAAACAGCGGAAAAACACGAUUUUCAGGGUUUUUCGGGCAUUCUAAAACCUAUAUAUGACCAAAAUAAGAAGAUAGGAGAAAGCCAUCAUAGAAUAUUCAUGAAAACAACUCAAAAAACACCAUUGAAGUCGAUUCUAAAGUAGAUUUUCGUCAAGAUUGAAGACUCUAAGUUGAUUUCUUAGGAGAUUAUCAUGAGUUUCUUUAUUUCUUUCAGUUAUACUGUCUUUUGGAUGUUUUUAUUUGCAAGCAUGAACUAAUUUUCUAAAUACCUAGGGAGAUGAACCCUAUAGUGAAUUUCGUCGUUUGAUUUUUAUUUUACGUAAUAGAGACUUAGAUCUUGUUCUCAAUUAUGUGUGUUUAAUUCUUGGUUUGAUAUUUCUGGAAUUUUUAUCCAUGUUUGAUGUUCUUAAAUCAGAGGAGGAAUAGACCCGGUUUAAGAGUAGAUCUAGCGUAAUUGAGUGGAGUUGCAUGCAAUUCGAGAAAUAGGACAACAUAAAUCUACCGGGUUAGAUUCAAAUCUAAUAUGGGAAUCCAUAGUCAAAUCUUUAAGCAACUCAAGAUAAGUCUUGAAUAUUCAGAAUAUACUUUUUAGUUUAGCUCGAUUCAAUUUGAUCCACCAAGCUUGGGACUUUGAUUGCUUCGUUCUAAAUUUAAACCAAUUUUUAAGAUAUGUUUCUAUUUGUAGUUUGGAUAUCAAGGAUGGACUGAGAGUAGUCCAGAGUAAUUACAAGAAUCACAACCCAAUGAUUUUUGUUGCCAAAAUUUGCCAACUCAAACAUGGCAAGUUGUUGAUGCAUAAUAUCAACGGAGAUGUGGAAGGAAGAGAGGGGAAGGUGUCUAGGAAAUUUAGUUCACCCAUUCUAGGACCAAGAGUAAAAAAAGUAGAGGGACUCAGGUAGAAGAAUUUGAAAGUGUAGUAUGUUAGGGUUUUGAGAGUGGAGAGGAGUCCUCUUACAAUGUUGAUACCUUUGAGUAUUUAUAGGUAAGUAAGAGUUCCUACCCAACUAUGCCACUUAGUGGGCCCCAGGUAGCCUAAUAGAGGGUCUAACUAGGUCCAAAUUGAAGUAGGGAUAUAAUAGUAGUCCUCCUAGUCGAAAGGUAGGUUACAAAGUGACCUUUCCUCGAGACCAUUUGUAAAUUAACUUUGCCGGUGGUAGCUGCUGCAAAUAAAGUAGCGGGGCGGAGGGUAAAAUUUAUUGUUCAGAUAACCUUAGGAAUGUAUGAUUCCUUGCAAGGCUAUUGAAAUUCAUUCGUACCCUUAAUAAUGUGUGGGCGGAUGGUGUUUCUAUUUAUGAGGACGCAAUGAGGGCGUUGCGAGAAUGAGUGGAGGAGAAUGUCAUGGGCUGCAGAUCAAAGCCGGUGACGAAUGCGCAAAGAGCACCCCAUGGAGGUUAAUUGAUGAAAUGGGGCUCAUUCAACCCAGUUGAACUGGUCCGAUUUGUGGAACAUGUGUAGAAGCCCAUCUACUUGGCCUUGGUGGCGCAGUGAAGCACUUAUGAAAAAUUAGGGUUACCUUGGUAAAUAUGAAAAGUAUUCUUAGAAGAUUUCUAAUAUGAUAAGAUUUGAUUUUGUAAUCUUAAAGGAUUGAGUCAAUCCCUUAAGAAUCUCAAUUGUAGAUAGGCUUUAAUCUCGAUCGUCGAUGUAACUCAAUCUUCCUCAUACUUAGCUGUAAACCUUCAAAGUAAUAGAAUAUUUUUUAGAGCAUUUACUCAAACACUUAUGUAUUAUUUUUCUGUGGCUUUUUGUUCAUUUGUAGCUUCUUUUGUCUUUCGAGUUUGUUUUCGCUUUGUUUUGGUGCCUUAGAGAAAUUCGAUGAGAAUUCUCACUUUUGUGAGAGUUAGGUUGACUUAGGGGAGUUUAAAAUCAAGAAAUCUCUUAAAAUUAUAUGAGUUACGAAAUGAAAAUUCUAACCCUGUGACACAAUAUCCUAAACAACUACCAAAUGCAAUAUCCAAGUGAAGUACAUAUGCUGCAUCAACCUACAUAUGACAUUCUCCUAAAUAUUAUAGUUUCACAAUGCAAUAGUAAUAAUAAUGCAUUUCACCUAAAAAAACAAAAAAAAAAAAAACGUGAUAAUGUAUAUAAUAAAUCAAAAGAUGGCAAAGCAAUUCAGGGGCAUUCAAACUUUUGCCAGGAUAAAAUUUAACAUCAAAAUUAGGACUGGAAAGAAUCCAUAUGAACUGUGUUGAUUAGAUUGGUAUUAUAAUGUUAGUUAGGCUGCAAAUCGAAUAUUAAAUGUUAAAAUUAGGAAUUCGGAUCAAUUCCAUCUCAGAAAAUUAAUUUUUCUUAAAUUAAUUGUUUAUCUAAAUAUUAAUAUAUUAAUAAUAUCUAACACAAUCUUUUAAAAAAAAAAAAAACUUAUUUUCAAAAUAGAUGAAAUCAAAACCAAUGAAACUUGAGUCGAACAUGAUAGAUUAAAUUUCAGAGAAAUUUUAAAAUCUCAUAAAUAUUAACAUUAAAUAAAAUCUACUUGAAAUAAAGUCGUCAUGAGACACUGAUUAGUGCAAGAGAACUUUUAAUGGUAGAAAAAUUAUAUGAUUAGUAGAUAAAUUAUUCAAAUAAAACAUGGUGAUGUAUACAAUAGUUAAAUUGAAAUGGUGAUUGCUCUAAUGGUCUAGUAAUCUGUGGAUUAAAAAUUGAUGGUUCAUACUGCAAAUUUCAGAGUUGCCCAACUUUUAAAUUCAUUAUAAAGGUGUUUUUUUCCUGAUUCAUUAUCAAGUUUAAUACAGAAUAUUACCCAAAAAAAUCAUUACUAAAUCAAAUAAAUCAAUUUAGAAUUACUCAAUUUAUUUCUAAGAUUUUCUAAAAAUAAAAGUUAAUAAACCAUUAUCAAGGAAUAACUUUAGAAAGCAGAAUUAAAUUAAUUAAGUUCUUUUUUCAAGAAAGGGCAACGAAUAAACUAAAAGUCAAGUUAAAAGAAAUGGAAUAAAAUUACCUUCUUCUUCUUUGAACAAAGAUGUGUUCAAUCUAAGAUCAAUUAAUAAUAGUUUCCAAUAAUCAGGUUUAAUUGGAAAAGUGGAAAAAAUCCGAGUAAGAGUUGAUUUCAGCAUUAUCGUGAUGAACAAAAAUUAGCUUAUCACAUAAACGAUUGAUGUGUGUUCGGUCUACAUUCACCGUACCAUUGUAGAACAAUGUUAAACGAAGAUAGGGAAGUAGGAGAGAGGUGGUGUCGAGGAAAGCUAGUUCAUCCAUUUUAGAUGGAUUCAGGCAGAGGUGGUUGAGAGUUUAGUAUGUUAGGGUUUUUAGAGUAGAGAGGAGUUCCUCUACAAUGUUAAUAUCUUCCUAUGUUUAUAGGUAAGUGAGGGUUUUUACCUAAUUAUGCCAUUGUGCUGGAUGACCCAAUAGAGGUUUCAACUGUGUUCAAACUGAUCUAGGAUAUGACACAAGUAUUUUAAGCAAAUAAUAUUAUUAUCUGUUGACAUUUGUUUAGGCCCCGUUCAAAAAUUGCCUUCAACAGUUAUUAUCCUAAUUAAGAAAAAGAAAACCCUUAUUUUUGACAAUCUUGGCAAACAGGGAUAUGAUAGUUUUCUUAGAAGUGGGGGGUUUUGGAGAUGUUUCCCAUGUGACCUACCUCUCGAACAGCUGCCCUCUCCUCUCAAAGGCAUUGCCGCUCGAGAGCGGGUACGGCUUAUGUAGCAUCUUGCCCUUGUUACUAUCUUUUUUCCAGAGGGUGAAGGCAAACAAGUCACCGUAAAAGAUAGGGAUGGGAAUGUUGCUAGUUCAGGAGUUUGACCAUGGUUGAAGGAUGCCAAUUGUGGGAAGUUCUUCAAAAUGUGGUGACACUUUGGUGUCCUUUUGCGAUUUGGUCGAUGUUGAGUCUGCACAAUCACAAUUUUUAUAAGGGUUGCUUGCCUUUUAUGAUAGGUGAAAAAUAUCCUAGUGUUGCUAUCUUUAGCAACAACAUUGUCGUGGAUCAUUGUAAUAGUCUCACCAUUGCUUUCUUUAUGCUGGCGGAUUUCUGACUUGAUUAAGAGAAAUCUUUGAAGUAUCGUUUAUCGGAAGAUGAUAAAACCCUCAACAUAUCUGAAAUUAUUUUUAUGAAGUAUUUAUGCUUGAUUUUAGCUCUAGAAUUUUGUCUCUUAUCAUGGGGCACCUUUUACAAAGAGUGUAAGGUGGUUCACAUGAUAGUAAAGAUACGCGUUGGCUAACAUUACCUUUUAAAUUAGCCCUUAUAAGAGAUAGAAUUAUCCUUAUAAGAGAUAGAAUUAUCUUUUAAAUUAGCCCUUAUAUUAUUAAAUAGAUUAGUUUGAUCUUAAACUAUUAAAAAACAAAUAAAGGUAAAUUGUAGUAAAAUUAACAUUUACAAUUAAAAAAUGACAUGAAAAUCAUCUUUUUCAUUUGCAUUUAACUCAAAACAAAAGAUUUCAUUUGUAAAACUAUAAAAAGCUUUUAAAAUGUUAACUUUGCUAAUCGUAAAUGUUAUUUUUUAAAACAAUAAAUGCUAACCCUAUUGAAAUUUAAACUUAUUUGAUUCUUUUUAAUAGUAUAGGGACUAAAUUGAUCUAUUUAAUAAAAAAUAGACUAAUUUAAUCUGAUCACAAUAAUAAAGGGACCUUUUAAGUACAUUCCCCUUUUUUUUCUAUUUUUCGGAAAAUUUAAUGCUACAAAAAAGAAAUUCAAAAAUCGAAAAAAUUAUAAAAAAGAAAAACAAAGACAAACGAGCAAGAUCAGUAACAAUAGAGAAAUUAAUGAAGAAAAAUGAUCCUAAAACUAAAACAGUAAAAAUUUCCUCACUACAGCCACACAGUUUGUAUGAAAAAUCCGUGAGAAAACCGACAAUUCAACAUAAUUCCAAGCAUCCCAUGUGGGAUUCUUCCAUUUUUUUUUCCCACAUUAGCUACCUCUCUGUCGUCGUUGUUCUGGUUCUUAGGAUCUUUUUUAGUGUAAGAGCCAAUUUCCAGUUGAAAAAUCAAAACCCAGGUUUCAAAUUCCUCUUGGGAUUUCUUUUUUGUAUUUCGAAACUAUGUGGGAAUCCGAGACUGAGUCUGUUAGAGGGAGAGAAUUCGGGAAUGGAUUCUUUAGCUCCACCAAACAUGGCUUCAACACUGAUGGAUUUCAGCUUAAGGGCCAGUCCUGGUAUAUAUUGAAAGUAUCUUGUUUGUUUCCUGAGAAUAAAAAAGAGAAAAAGUUAGAGAAAAGUUAGCUUUUCUGAAAUAUUUUGAUUUUUUUUAUGCAGGUACGUUGCCACUGAUAUUCCAAGUGACCUUCUAAUUCAAGUCGGAGAUAUUAAUUUCCACUUGCAUAAGGUAGCUUAUUGCUCUGUUUACAAUAUGUUCGAUCAAAUUACUCCUAAAAGCUUCUUUUUUUUUUCUAUUGGUUUAGAAUCAUGUAACUCACUGUAUUUCAUUAUUUUCUCAAACAUGGUGGGAAAGUAGUAUCCUCUGCUUUCCCGAAGUGGGAAAAUGAACAGGCUUAUCUACGAUUCAAAAGACCCAGACCUCAAAAGAAUUGUUUUCGAAGAUCUUCCAGGAGGGUCCGAGGCUUUUGAGCUAGCAGCCAAAUUCUGCUAUGGACUUGCAGUGGAUUUAACAGCAGGGAAUAUAUCUGGUCUCAGAUGUGCUGCCGAGUAUCUUGAAAUGACUGAGGAUUUGGAAGAAGGCAAUCUCGUAUUCAAAACCGAAGCGUUUCUUAGCUAUGUAGUGUUAUCUUCAUGGAGAGACUCCAUUGUUGUGCUGAAAAGCUGCGAGAAGCUCUCACCAUGGGCUGAGAACCUUCAAAUCGCAAGAAGGUGCAGCGAGUCGAUAGCUUGGAAGGCUUGUGCCAAUCCGAAAGGCAUCAAGUGGGCAUACACUGGGAAACCAAGUAAUGUUUCAAGCCCCAAAUGGAAUGAUUUGAAGGAUUCAAGCCCCAGUAGGAACCAGCAUGUUCCUCCUGAUUGGUGGUUCGAAGAUGUUUCGAUCCUCAGGAUCGAUCAUUUCGUGCGAGUGAUUACUGCAAUCAAAGUGAAAGGGAUGAGAUUUGAGUUGAUUGGGGCAGCAAUUAUGCACUAUGCUGCCAAAUGGCUUCCAUGUUUGAUUCAAGAUGUUGAGCUCCAAGCAGAUGAAAUGAGCAUAAGCAGCCAUAGUAAUAGCUGGAAAGGUGGAUUCCAUAUGAUCAUUCCCGGAACUAAAGAUGACAAUCUCUCGAUUCAAGCCAAGGAUCAACGGACCAUUGUUGAAAGCCUCAUCAGCAUCGUACCACCACAAAAAGACAGUGUGUCGUGCGGCUUCCUUCUCCGGCUUUUGCGGGCGGCAAACAUGUUGAAAGUGGCACCGGCUUUGGUGACCGAGUUGGAAAAGCGAGUCGGGAUGCAAUUAGAACAGGCAACAUUGGCUGAUCUUCUCAUUCCUAAUUACAACAAAAGUGAGACAUCGUACGAUGUGGACCUCGUUCAGAGGCUGUUGGAGCAUUUCCUUGUCCAGGAACAGACGGACAGUUCGAGUCCGAGUCGACGGUCUUUUUCGGACAAACAGAUGUACGAAGGAACACAUAGGGGAAAUAAUCUGAACCCAAAAAGCCGAGUGGCAAGGCUAGUUGAUAGUUAUCUCACAGAGGUUUCUAGAGAUAGAAACCUGUUGAUGACAAAAUUUCAGGUACUGGCUGAAGCUUUGCCCGAGUCUUCAAGGACCUGUGAUGAUGGGCUUUAUCGAGCAAUUGAUUCCUAUCUUAAGGUAAUCUAUUUGACAUAUAGAUGUGAGAAUAUAAUCUCAAGAAAAAUCUUUAAAAAAAAAGUCUAACUAUACGCUUAUCAAAUAGAUACUCAUAUCAUAUACUCACACUAGAGUUGGAGUAAAAAAAUCGACCCAUCCCACCUUGAUGCCAUCCUAUUUCUAGGUGCGUUAAUGUGCAAUACCAAUUAACAUGCAGGCCCAUCCGACACUUUCGGAGCACGAAAGGAAGCGACUCUGCCGUGUAAUGGACUGCCAAAAGCUCUCCGUUGAUGCCUGCAUCCACGCAGCUCAAAAUGAAAGGCUCCCGCUGCGGGUGGUGGUCCAGGUACUCUUCUCGGAGCAAGUGAAAAUCAGCAACACGUUGGCCAACGCCAUCACGCUCAAAGACCCUGCAGAAACUCGGUACCAGCCAUUGAUAACCAACCGCAAGACCUUGCUUGAAGGAACGCCGCAAUCGUUCCAAGAAGGCUGGGUCACAGCAAAGAAAGACAUCAACACGCUCAAGUUUGAGCUGGAUGGCGUGAAGUCAAAGCACGUCGAGCUCCAAAAGGAGAUGGAGAACUUGCAACGACAAUUCGAAAAGAUGUCAAAGCCGAAACCGACGUCUGCGUGGAGCAGUGGGUGGAAGAAACUUGGUAAACUUACUAAGAUGACAACCGUGGAAAACCAUGACAUUGGACCUCAGAUCUCAACUACAAUUGAACAUGUUAGAAAACCGCCUAGAAGAUGGAGAAAUUCAAUUUCAUGAAAUAAAAUUUUGAAAAUUAAGAUGAAAAUAAAUAAAUCAACGGUUGCCAUGGAAAUAAUGAAACGGUGCCUUCACUAUUUUUUCUAUUCUAAAACGCAAUAUUGUAAGAGUUGAAUCCAUGAAAAUAUUGAUUUUUAGUUUAAUAAAUUGAAUUGAUAAUUAUAUUUGUUAAUUUUCAAUUUUAAAAGGUGAACUUGUCAUCCAAAUUUAUUUAUUGCCGCCGUUGUUUGAUUUGCCAAUUUUCUUUUGGGAAGAGCGAUAAUUUUGCAUGUUUUCACCCAAACCUCAAACCAUCGUUAAUUUGUUCAUUAUUAUCUGUAUAGUGUCUCAGAUUAUAUUUUAGUUACUUAUGUUUGAAAUUUUAUAUUUUAGUCACUUACAUUAUCAUGUUGUCACUGAGUCGUUAAUUACCGUUAACGGUAUAACGGUAAACUAACGUGACACAUUAAAUCAUCAUUUCAAACAAAAAUUUUAGGUUAAAUUAUCCAAUUGGUCCCCAUAAUUUUUUUGUUUUGAGCAAUUUGAUUUUUUUCUUUUAUGUUCUUUCAACUUUCUUUCUUUUUUCUCUUUUUUUUUUUCCGUUCUUUUUUGUUUCUCCCUCUGUUUUCCUAUCUUCUCCACUUCUUUUAACAUAUCAGAAAGUCGAAUUGGCAGAGAAGAAAAAAGCAUGGUAUGGGUUUAUGGGUUUUAGUUAGUUAUAAGCAAUGAUGACUUUUGACUUCUUGCUUCUUUCUUCACUGCCAAUUCGACUUCCUAAUACGUUAAAAGAAAUGAAGAAGGUAAGAAAACAGAGGGAGAAACAGAAGAGAAUAGAAAAUAAAGAAAACAAAAAGAAAAGGAAAGUUUAAAUAACAUAAAAGAAAAAAAAUUAAAUUGCUCAAAACGAAAAAGAUAUGGGAUAUGUUGUAUAAAUUAACCUAAAUUUUUUGUUUGAAAUGUUGAUUUAACGUGUCACGUCAGCUUCCCAUUACACCGUUAACUGCAAUUAAAGGCUCAGUGACUAAAAUGUUAUAACACAAUAACGUAAGUAACUAAAAUGUAACAUUUCAAAUAUAAGUGAUUAAAAUGUAACUUAAGGUAAACAAAAGUGACCAUUGGCGCAGUUUACCCAUGUCAAAUUAUGGUUUUAAUUUCAAUUUGUAUUGAAAGAAGUUUUUAAUUUUUAAUUUGUUUUUAGUUUUUUAUCUUUAAUUUAUAUCUUCUUCUUCAUCUUCCUUCCUUCCUUCUUCCAUGCCUUUGAUUGCUGUACGCCAUGAACAGUUCAUCCACCAAGCCAAUCAUCACCUUCUUCUCCAUGUCAUCCCCUCCACCAAAGCAUGUGUAGUUUGUUAACAGUAACUAGUUGAGAUUGUUAGUAUUUUGAAUGCAGUUAUUGCAGCCAACAAGGUGUAUAAAUAUACAACCUGUUGUACCUGAUAAACCACUCUUUGAAAUAUACAGUUUUCUAAAGGGCUGAGUAGAGAAACCGAAACCUCACCGUUUAGUUCAGUUGAGACUUUGUUUUAUUCAGUUCGGUUUUGAAUUGAUGUUACCAUUCAAAUCUCAUCAUUCAAUUUAGGUUCAAAAUUUUCAGUUUUAUCCAAAUCAAACCAAAUAAAAAAAUAUUUAAAGAAAUAAUCUUAAUAAAAUAAUAAAAGGACCGUUUCAAUAUUUAUAUAAAUUAAUUAAUUUAACCAAAUUAUUAUUAUGUUAUUAAGAAACCAAAUUAUAUAAUAACUAUAAUUAUAAACAUAAUUCUAAUUUUUUAAAAAAUAGUUUAUAGAAUUUCAUAAUAUUUUAUUUAUAAAAAAAAUUAUUAUUCACAAGUUUUAUACGUUGGACAAUUAUAAAUUUAAUCAUUUAUAUUAUUAUAAUGGCACAGUUAUAACUAAUUAAAGCUAGCAAAUAAUAAUUAAAUUAAUUAAGAGAUGACGUGGUAUAUCAUUAUGUAUAUAAAUGAUUUAUGUAUUAAUUUUUCUUUUUUAACAACUUUGAAUAUUUAUCAAUUUAAUAAUUAAAUUUAAAAUGUUUCUUUAAAAUAGUUUGUGAAAAUAUUAAUUUAACCAUUUAAUUCACUUUAUCAAAAAUAAUGAAAACUUUUUUAACAAAUCUACUAUUUUGGUUUUAAACUCAAAAGGCGAAUGGAAUGAUUGGAUAGAAUUUUUGUAAAAAACUGAAGGGAAUACCCCUUAUGGUUUUCUCUAAGAUUUGUUUUCGUUUUUCUGAAUUCAUGACUUAAUUCUUUGGUUUUGGUUGACCUCGUUUAAAGGUAGGAUAAGAUUCUAAAUGUAAUUAAAGUAGAAUAUGUUGGAAAUAUUGUACUGUUGACAGUAAAUAAAUAAAGUAAUCAUUGUUCCGUGGAAGAAUAACUGUCUUAGAAGUGAUUUCGCCCUGAUCGGUAUAAUCAGAAAUGGACGUCGCUUAAAAGGAUUGCUCUUCUUGUAAAAAUCAAGAAAUAAAUUGAAAGAAACUCGGGUACUAGGUUCAAUUUUAAGGAAGAUUAGAAGGGUCACAAACGGUCUCGGUUAAAACUCAAUCCCUUAGAUAGAAUAUCGCACUGAUGUAAUUUAGUAAAACACCAUAAUUUUUAGAGAGCAAGAACGAGAGAGAAAAGAGAGAACUGAGUUUUCUUAUUUUUCUGUGUUGUGAAAAAUGAGUAGAAUAGCCUGCUAUUUAUAUUAUUUUCAAAAUGGGUAAAAUGGUAAAAUAUCAAUGUCAAUUUCUAGAAAUAGUAGAGGAUUUUCCUCAACGGAAAAUAUUCUGCAACAAUCAUAGGACUUUCCUCAACCGAAAAAUAUUCUACAACAGAAAAUAUUUUGAAAAAAUAUUUCUGAUUUUGCAUUACCAACAUUCCCCCACUAAUGCAGAAAAAUUAAAAAAUUUUGUAAACAUGAGAAAAGGUAAAACGUGAAAAGAAUAAUAAUGAUAUUAACCGCUUAAACACUAGUAUCUUGUGGAUUUGAACUAGUACGUAGUGAAAUGAGUGAUUCUUCUUUUUAACAAGUGAACAAAUCUUGAACUUGUUAAGAUAAGAGUUAACCCAUGACAUACAACUAAUCUCAGGUCCAAUUGAGUUUCGCGAUAGAUCAACAAUUUAGCCAAUAUACCUCGGGAUGCUAGUAAGUGCUCUAGAAAAAUGGUCCAACGUCUUUCAUAGAAGGUGGUUAAUCCUUCACACUUAUGUAGGUGAUUUCAUCAAGUCUAUCUUAAUAUAGACCACUCGAACCAAAACUAUGAAAUCAUUAAGAACAUUUAAUAAGGUCAACCUCUCAGUUUUAUAAUUCAGUGAAUUCAUCAAGUCUGUCUCAAUAGAACCACCCAAACUUUAAGAUAUGAAUUCAUUAAGAGUAAGAAAUUCAACCACACACGUUGGUGAAUCCAUCAAGUUCGUCUCACGAGGACCAGUCAAACUUUGGGCUAUGAACUCAUUAAGAGCAAGGAGCUCGUCCUUAUGCAUGUACAUUGUGCGCCAUAGGGAUAAGUAAAGAUGUACACUAUGAGUCUUUCCAUGGUUCCGUUUGACCACAUUGAACUUAGAAGACUAAGUUGGGUAUCCACCAUGAAUUCCUCAACCAGUGGGCUUAAGACCCAUCCCUCUCAACAAAUUAAGAACUAUUUUCCUACAUAACCUUUUGGUUAAUGGAUCAGCUAGGUUCUUUUCAGAUUUUACGUACUCUAUGAUGAGUACUCCAUUCUUUAUUAAGAGUCUCACAUAUUCAUGUCUUAUUCAUAUAUGUCUUUUCUUAUCAUUGUAAGCCUGGUUUUGAGUAACAAAAAUGAUGGUUUUUGAAUCAUAUAAUAAGGACACAGGAGGUGUAGGUUACCCUCAUAAAGGAAUCUCGGCACGCAUAUUCCUAAGCCACUCGGCCUUUUGUCCGACUCAAUCAAGAGUUAUAAACUCUGAUUCCAUCAUGGAGUGAGUAAUACACAUUUGUUUAGCAGACUUCCAAGAGAUAGUUGCUCCAUCUAAAAUAAAGACAUACCCACUUGCAGAGCUAACUUUACCAGUCACCCAGUUUGCAUAGCAAUAUCUCUCUAGGACUACAGGGUAUCCAAAAAAUUCUAACUUCCAAGUUAUUAUACUUUAAUUUCACUCAAAAUUAUUUGGGGAAAGUUUAACUUUGAUAGCAUAGUAACUUACGAACCAUGACACUUUCUCCCACUUACUAUGCUGAUGUCCUUAUCAACAUGAAGCCACACUUUUAGCAACCUUGUUGCAUCAAGUUGACAUUUCAGUCUCAAGUCCAUCUUCAGUCUUCAAGGCCGAAGGUUAUGAUCCAUUCAAUGCACAUUAGACAUAGACUUGAACUUGGUCUCAUCUCAAUCGUUGGUGUAGUCUUGUCUAUGCCCAUUCCUCUACCGAACACUUGGAAUCAAUGCCACAACAUAUAGUCUUUAGGUUACAACCUUGAGGAACCCUUAAUGGUAUGAACCUUUGAUGACUAAAUAUUACCAUGUCUUUGAUACUUAAAAAUGCAUCCCUCUAAAUGUGGCACCAAGCGCGCUCUUGAGGCCUCAACACUAAAGUUUUCAACAUGGGAAAUUCAGACACAUUGGCCAUCCCUAACUUAGCCCCUCUCAAUCACCCCAUUGGGCGUGGCCAUCUUGGCCAACUACAACACAUGCAACACUACUGAACUAGGUCGAUCUCAAUAUCAAUUUUGGAUUUUAAUGCUCAUUCACGCAAACUCUAUCACGCUGUUUCUUUCUCUGCACAAUCUCAUAAGUUGCCUGAACAAGACAUCGCCCACUAGUUCUCUUAUUCAAGCUCUCAAACUCAAUAAUCCUCUAGUCUACUUUGGUUAAAAAUUCUAUGACGCUUGGACUAACUUCACAAAUCUCAUGUAUUAAUAGGUCAUAAUGGAUAAAGACAUCAUAAACCUUAUUCCAAACACAAGGAUCCAACGAUCCGCUCAUGGUCCUCCGAUCAACUCAAACUUAAGCUCGCUAGGCCUUCCAAGCCCAUCUUGACUGCAAUGGCCUACUAGCCAACAUAAAUGGAGCUUGCAACUGCUCCAAUGCUACUUAGGCACACUCUUGCACUACUCAGGUACCUUCAAAUUGAUUGCUUCAAUAUCACACUAACAUAUUUAUAAAUCCAGUUUUCCCUUCAUUGUCUAUUUCUUUUUCUCUAUUUUAAGAUUUGAACCCUAAGACCCUUUAGGAUAUCACGAUACCUAUAAUUUAUAGUUAAGUCUCAUAGGCUCAACUCUCAACUUGGAACGGGCAAGCCAGAGUUAAACCACCCGAGAUCUGAAUCAACAAAGCCAAACCCGCGUUCCAGCACCUUGAAGCCCCCCACUCAGUUUACAAGCUCAGUUUCUAAAUUGCCUGUGGGUGCCUUCAUUGGUUCCAGCAGUGAGAAAUGAAAACUAGUCUCACAUUUAAAUAGUAGCAAAGAAAUCACUUCUAAAUUGUUUGAAAUAUACUACUGCAAACAAAACCGUUAGCAUUGACAGGAAAACAGACUAAGUGUUGUGGAAGAACCACUGCCUUAGAAGCGAUUUUGCCUUGAUUGGUGUAAUCAGAAAUGGAAGUCGUCCCCCAAGGUUAACACAAUACUUCCAAAAUCAUACACCUGAAUAAGGAAGAUGAAUCUCAAAAGGAUUACUCUUCUCGUAAAAGUCAAGAAAAAAAUUGGAAGAAACUCGAGUAAUCACACUAGGUUCAAUUCCUAGGAAAGAUUGGAGGGGUUACAGAUGGUCCCAUUUAAAACCCAAUCUGCUAGACAGAAUAUCGCACUAAUGUAAUUUAGUGAAACACCUAGAAUUUUUAGAAAGCAAGAACGGGAGAGAAAAAAGAGAAUUGAGUUUACUUGUUUUUCUGUGUUGUGAAAAAUGAGUAGAAUAACUGGCUAUUUAUAUUGUUUUCAGAAUAGGCAAAAUGGUAAAAUAACAAUAUCAGUUUCCAAACAUAAUAUAAAAUUUCCCUCAACAUAAAAUAUUCUACAACCGUUUAAGAGAAUUUUCUCAAAUGAAAAAUAUUCUAUUACAGAAAAUAUUUUUAAAAAAAUAUCUCAUUUUGCAUUCCCGUAUAUAUUUAGCAGAUGCCGAAAAUAAUGAGUAAAAAAAUGGAGGUUACAGUAAUCAUUACUUCAUCAAAAGAACGUAAAUAUAUAUUCCGUAUAAGUAAUAAUGUAUCAAAAUCAAAGUAAGAACAAAUAAUGGGAUUUGGAAAACUCCCAUACAUAAAACAACAACAACAACAACUGAUUCUCAAAAUCGACAGACAAAGAUGGCUCAAAGCCUAUAAGAUCUUCAGAGAGAAAGUAAACAAGCUAUAUGCUACGUAAAAGAACACAUUUAAAACAAAUCCAGUAUGUAGCAGCAGAUUCUAUCUGUCAAUAUUAUACAGUAAAAGAGGAUUUAAGGAGAAGGUGGUGGAGAAAAGAAAGGAAUAGAGGGAAUUGUAGUUGGGAUUGUAGGGACUGAAGGCAUGCUUGGCAGAGGAGGCAGUGUGGCCCUUGGAACACUUGGCAAUGUUGUAGGAAGUGGAGGAAGCGCCCCAGGCCUUGGGAAAGAUGGUAUGGAUGGCUGUGGGAGAUUAGGGAUAGAUGGGAAUAGUGGGAGUGUGGUUGUAGGCAAUGUUGGCAUUGGAGGUAGUUGCUGAAGGUGACGAGCUGCAACCCCAACAUCAAUGCUUGCAAACGACAAAGCCAUGAAGAAUCCCAAAGCAAAGCAAUUGAAAUAACCCAUUUUGUCCAGAGAUUUUGAAACAAAUUAUAAGCAGAUGAAACAAAGAUUUUUUUAAUCUUGAUAGUUACGGGUGAGGAAGACAAAGCAUGGUGUUGGGGUAUAUAUAGGCCUUGGAGCAGUUGGUAAUAUUUGAUGAUAUAUGGUCGGAAAGGAGGAAACUUGGUCAAUAUUAAAGGUUUUGGUAGGUCAUCUUCUCUUGCAUAUUGGGGUUUAAAACAGGUGAAAUGCAGGUGUGGUUGGCAUAGAAGCUACCUCAUGUAACAAUGAAGUCAGCCCACUUAAUUAAACAAAAAUACUACACCAAUCCUCGAGGUUAGCAAAGUUUCUGCUAAGUGGCCUGUUAUCUAAGAACACUACUGGAAUUGUUUUACUUAACAUGUUAGGUACCAUACUAGUAUUUUCAAAGUUGAUUAUAUCAGUAAACUUGAGUUGUUGGGCGUUAAGCAACAAGUCGAAUUACUAUUUAAGGGGUGGAUUACCUGCUUAAAAUUUAAGCUUUAUCCAAGAAUCUAGAUAAAAAUAUUAUAAGUGAAAAUAAUUUCAUUAAAAGAAAAAAUAGAUCCAUUUAAAAUAUGUAUCGAAUUCAAACUUUCAAUAUCGAAAUCUGAGUUAAACUUAUUUUCAAGUUUUUAAUAUGAUAUUUUUCUUUUCUUUUAUAUAUUAUAUGAUUUAUAUCAAAUUAACCUAAAUAUAUUAGACUAUAACAUAAAUAUUAAAAGUUAUGUUAAAUUGUUUUUGUGUAUAAAUUUAAUAAAUAUAUAGGUGAUAGUAAAAAUAUAUAAUUAUGAAAUAGUAAAUAAUUAUAUUUUAAAAUUUAAAAAAACAUGGACAAAUUUAAAAAGGUUUGGAACAAUCAUUUAUACAUAUAAAUAAGCUUAGACAAAUUUUAAUAUUUAUAUUUCGAGCAAAGUUGAAUUUGGAUAACUAUGAUCUCUUUUCGAUUUCAUGACAACUAUGGUGAGAUCACAUCUCAGAGGAAUGUGCCUUUUUUAUUAUUUUUUAAUACUAUCUAAUAUCCUUUUUUAGAAAAUAUGAGUUUUACAAAUAUAGUUAAAGAGUUUAGCUCAAGUCACAUACAAUCUUAGGCUCAAUUUUGGAACAACCGAUGAUUAAGGAGGAAAGGUUAUUGGAACAUAGGAGAAUGCUUGUGGCUUAAAUACAACAAUGCUUUAUUAUAUAAAGCAAAGUUAACAAUACAAUGGGGAAAAUCCACGUAUAAGUCAAUUAACAUUUUAUCUUUUGUUUGAAAUAAAAAAAUAUAUAUUUUAGGAAUUUUAUUACGAAGUGUAUCUCUUUCGGAGGAACAAUUCUUAUUUAGAAUAAUUGUUGUUAAGAACAACUAUUGUUCAAAGAAUAACUAUGUCCAGAAUAGCUAUGUUCAAAACAAGGCUUUAGUUAGAACAAUUUUCAUCCAAUGUAGUUGUUAUUUGAAAACAACUUUUGUUGAGAAUAGCUAAAGUUCGGAAUAACUCUUGUUUAGAAUAAUGAUGCUUUAAGAAUAACAAUGAUUAGAACAACCAUUAUUUGGAAUAACUUGUAUUUUAAACAAUUUUGUUUUUCUAGAAGAGUUAUUAUUCAAAACAAGCUUUACCAAAAAAAAACAUCACCAUGGAACAACUCUUAUUCAGAAUAGUCUCUACAUUGAGAACAACCAUGUUGAGAACAACUUAGGUUUGGAACAAGUCAAAAUAAUCAAUUAUUCAAGAACAACUCAUCCAAGAACAACUGUCGUCUUGCAUUUCAAGAGAUGUUCAACGAAAAAUUUUUCACAUGGUACCACUUCACUGAAGUAGAAGAAGUGGAAAUAACCUUGAAAUAUGGCACGGUUCUUGGGUUCUUCACUCUUAGGAUGUUCUUGAAAACUUGGCUUGGUGGAUUAAAUAUGGAGGUAGUUAAGAGUUCUCCUAUUAACCUUUUCCUAUAAUACUGAGUGUUUUUCCCUCUUUUCAAAAACAUAGUGGAUUCUUCUUCACUAUUUACGAUCACCAACAAAAUCUUUCACUAUUCGUUCUUAAUCAUUAAUGAAAUUGUUACUGAGAAUUAAUUACAUUAUUCAUAUUAAUUAUCAGUUUUAUAACUCCUAUUCUUGAAACACUAUAAACAUGAGUAUUUCACAACAACUGAAAGGACUUUUGGUACUUUUGGCAUUUUUAGCAUUUUGAACUCUUAAAGGAUUCUCUUAGAAAUUCUCUUAACUUACUUCUUUGUUAAGCUUGAUCGGCAGUCAUAUUUUCCUUUUUCUACUUUAUCGGUCACCACCUACCACUACGAUCAGUGCUACCAGAUCUACUCCAAUCUUCCUCUCCGCCUUCUUCUAGUAUUUCUCCUUCACUUGUUUGCAACUCUUCCUCUCUCUAUCAAAAGAAUCCUCUACACCUAUUUAUACCCAAAUCCUCUUACACCCAUUGGACGACAUUCCUAAGCCUUCUUGGCUAUCUAAACCGACCAAACCCUAUUGAUCGAAAAGAGGCGGUUUAGCACAAGCGGGGUUGCUCCAGCACCUAUAGGUAUAGUAAAUAGUGCCCCAGGUAUGCAAUCACCUAUAUGAGGUGGUUUAAGCCCCAUACACUCAAUUCACGCAUCCAGGUAGGUACCCAUCUACCUGGCACAUUUGGAAGGCCCAUUAGGGGUGACAAGAUGUUGUUGGCACCUCGUCUAGUGGCCCUGCAAUAGGCUUGCCUAACUGUUACCUUGUCUCGAGCAUAUUCACACCUAGCUAGUUUGGACGACUGUGCAUGUUGUUUAAUUGGCCCCUUGGCUUCCAAGAGUAAUCCCUUGACUCCGAUAACUUGCUUAUGCCUUGAGAAUGUCCAAAACCUUAUUUAUCGAAAGGCCCCCAAGCUGCGUGUUCAGUGUUUCCCUUACAUGCUUCCUUGUUGAAUUGCUCCAUUGUUGCUCGAUCCAAGCACCUCAAUCUCUCAAGCCAUGACAAGCUCCUUUAGCUUUAGUGAGUAGGAACUCACUCCAAUGUAAAGAUGUUUUUACAAAUAUAGCCCCAUUUAUUUUUCUUUCUCAAUCUUUCCUUUAUUUUAUUGGAUUUAAAGGUAGAUAAUGAUCAGGUAAUUUGUUUCCUUAAUGUUUUUUAUCAAAAUAAAACAUAGUUUAACUAUAUUUGUAUACAAAGUGAAUACCCGAAAAUCAUCAUCUGGAUAUGAUAGCAAAUUAUAUAUGUAAUAACUAUAGAAAGUGAAUACAUUAUAAAUUUUGUUAUUGUUUUUAUAUAACAAUUUAAUAAAUAUAUAAAUUUUAUCAUCAUAAAUAUAAUUUUAAUUCUUAUUUAGUAUAAAAUUAUUUUAAAUAUUUUAUUUUUAAUGUACCUAUGGUUUUAAUAUUUUUAAUUAUUUUUAGCAAAAAACAUGAUUUAAUUUUUAAUAUAAAAUUGUUUUAAGUAAUUAUUUAUUACAUUUUAUAUUAAUGUUUUUAAGAGUUAUUACCAUUGUCACUUCACAGUUACAACAGCAUUUGAAUCUAAAUAAAUAUAUCACCAUUGAUUGUAAUUUCACCGCCAUAAUAAUUAAUGUCAUCGCCAUUGUUGUUUUUAAUCUUAUCGAAGCUCAUCUCAUCAAUCAUUCAAGGCAUCAGCUCGAACCUAUCCUAUGAACACCUAAUCCAAAUAGAUUUGUCAAUUAGUUGAGUUUGGUUAGUUUUGGAGUAAGUCAAUUAAUUAGAUGAAGUUUAUUCGAUUCUAAAACUUUUAGGCCAAUUUAGGUUUGGAUUGUUUCGGUUUCAAGUCAUUUUGGCUUUAGAACAUUAGGGUGAAGUAAUUAGAUAAUCUAAUGUUCAAGUCAUUUCGAAUUACUUGUAUUGAUCAUUUAGAGUUUAAAUCAUUUCAAAUUCAAAUUUUUUUAAGUUUUGGUUUUUCUAAUCCCAAAUAUUUUUUAGUUCAAAUUAUUAUUUUUUUAUGAUUAAAUUCACAUCUUUUGGAAUUUGAAUUCACAUUAGUCAAUUAGAUUUGUCAAUAUUAAAAUUAAUAAGCUUUCCUCCAAGUUAAACCUGUUGUAUGGCAUUAAGUUACCUACACGCAAGAACCUGGAAGUUAGAACUAUCAAUUUGAAGUGUUUAACUGUAGUGAUCACUGUAAUGCCCAAUUUUGACCCGGGCCGACUAAAAAAAAAUAAAACCAAUAUAAAAGCAAAAAAUAUUAAAAGACCAUUUACAAAUAAAACAAUCCAAUUACAAUGGGCCAAAUUCGGGUUUUAAGCCCGAUCACUAAAAGAAACCCUAGGCAUUCAGCCCUAGCACGAGCGCCGCAACAGCUUCCAGCGACGUUCUCCCCACGCCUUUAUGCGCUGCGCCGUGCCACGUCAUCGUACGGCCAUUCCUGCAACAAGCGAAAGACAAACAACGCAGCACCAAACAAAAAAAGGACAGAUACCAGUUGUAAAAAAUUCAGAUUUUGAUUAUUUCUUUUGGAUUUUUCGGCAGUAUAAAGACCAAUUUAAAAAAAUCUGUAAAGGAGGAGACCCACGAAUAUUGUAUGAAAGUUUUUUUAAAAAGAAAGGCAAUAGAAAGAAACAGAUUCAAGAAAGGUGAUUGGAAAUUUAUUUUAUUUUGAUUUCAUCUUUCUUUUUUGCUUCUUCAAUGUUAGUUUUAGAUUUCUUGUUUGCAAAAGAGAAAAUAAAGGGAAAUAAAGGAGAAGGUUACCUGGUAACACCUUCAGAUCCGCGCGAGGAGGAGCUAAAAAGCCCCUAGGGGUGCAGCUCCGACCACUGUUGAGUGUAAUCGCGGCGGAGAUGUGGCGUAUUGACGGCGGUGAAGGCUAGGGUCAAAACCCUAACAGAGAAAACAAGAAGCAAAUUUUUUUUAAAACUAGGCUGCUAAUGUUUUUUUUAGAAAAUUUUGUUUAAAUAAUAAUAUAAUAUAGCGCCGUUUUGAGCUAGGGUUCCUAGCGCCCAAACGACGCCGUUUAGCGACCAUACCCGAUGACCCGAUCCAACCGCGGCUAGAUCCGCGCGUUUUGGUAGGGGGAGGGAUAAUUGCACUCUCGGUCCUCUCUCUUUUGUUCUGGGUUCAAAUCGGUUCUUUUCUUUUUUUUAAUUUCACCCUUUAAUUUGCUUUUCAUUUUAUUUUAGUCCAUGCCGCAACGUAGCGUUUUGGAGGGUUGGGAAUAUUUUCGAAUUAACCCUCCAUGUUAUUCGCGUAUUGUACAUUGGCCCUUAUUUUGUUUAUUUAUGUUUUUCCCGAUUAAUUUCGUUUUAGUUGUAAUUUAAUCCUUUUUUGUGUUAUUUUUUUAAUUAGUUUAAUAUCUCCAUUAUUAUUAUUAUUAUUAUUAUUAUUAUUAUUAUUAUAAUUAGUUUUUUAGUUAAUCUUAUUAUAUAGAUCCUUUUAUUUUAUUAUAUGAUAUUAUUUUAUGUUUUUACGUAUUAUUACUUAUUUUCACAAAUAUUUUUACUAUAUACAUUUUAUAUUAUCUUAGUAUAACUUAUAUAUAUAUAUAUAUAUAUAUAUUAAAAUUCAUAAAUGUAUAUAUAUAUAUAUAUAUGUUUAGCUCCAAAAUUUUUCAUAAUAAUAUCUUGUGUUUUUUCCAUACAUAUAUAUAUUGAAUUAUUUUAUGCACAAAUAUUCUAUUCCUUUCAAAUUUGCUAUUCUAUUUUACUUAUUUUUACUUUAUUAUAUAUUAUGACUAUAUAUACUAUUAUUUACAUUAAGAUUUUUUACUUAUAUAAAUCAAAGUGUAUAUAUAUUAAUUUUAACAUUUAUUCAUUUUUUUCCUUACAAUUCUUCCGUUAAAAUUCAUUUAAACAUUUUAUUUGUUUUUUAGUUCUAUUAUCAAAUCGUUCCAAAUCUUCAUAUUAAUUACUUUUUUGGUAUAAUCUUGUGUAUAUUUUUAAAUCCUAAAUUUAUUUAUUCUCACUUUUAUUUUUUACAUUUUAUCUUCCUUUUAAAUUAAUAAUUUUUGAAUGUUGAUGUUGAUAUUGGCAUAAUGCAUGAUUGAAACUAUUGUUAUUGUAUUUAUUGAUUUAUUGUUCAUCACUCAUUGAUGUAUAUUACUAUUCAAAUUUUGAAUGAUUCAUUGUUCAUUUAAUCACUGCGUUUUUUUUACCGUGUUUCAAUAAAAGCAUUAGAUUCAUCUUAUUUCGCAAUUUGUCAAAAUACCCGCUAUUCAUGAUUCUCGAGAGAAUUGUGCCCUAACUUACUGGGCUUCAAUUUUUCUGAUGAAUUUAGAUAGCCGAGUAUCUCUUUUAUAAUAAAACCUUAUGAUUUCUAAAUAAAGCUUUUCGGGAUUUCAAAAUGUUGGAUUCUAACUUACUGGAUAUGACAUUUUGUUAUCUCGAGUUAAGGAUUUUAAAAUAAAGGCAAUAUUCGAUGUUUAGGAAUGUCGAGAAAUUGAACCCUAACUUACUGGAUUAUGAUUUCUCGAUUGACCCAAAUAGCCAAAUAUCCUUCUCAAAAUGCAUGAAUUUUUAAAAUUUAAUAAAAGGACAAACCUAAUUUCUAAGAUUGAACUGUUGCACUCUAACUUACUGAGUUUGACAAUUUAUCUCUUUGAAAUAAGUGAGUCUUAUCAUCCAAUUUAUUUUAUUAAAAUUUUCUUUUCAAAGGAUCGUAUUUUAAAACCUUUUCAAAUUCUCGACACUAAGGCAUUAAACAAUUGAUUCGGUACCAAUUUUGGGCGUCACGAGGGUGCUAACCCUUCCUCGUGCGUAACCGACUCCCGAACCUAUUUUCUCAAAAUUCGUAAACCUAAAAUCGUUUUCACGAUGAUCCGAUCACACCUCAUUAAAAGAUCGGUGGCGACUCCCAUUUUAUUUUCGAAGUCGAUCCCCGUUUUUUUCAAACAUGAAAAAGGUUUCGACAGCUUGGCAACUUCGCUGGGGAUAAAGAGAGUCAAGCCGUAAAAUUGAUUGUUUUUUGUCUUAUUGACAAAAAUUAAAAAUUUGAUUUGAAAAAUUAUGAUCCUCUCUUUGCAUGUGUUUGUAUGAUUACUGUAAAUUAAGUUUUAUACCUUGGCAUCAUAUUGCAUAAAGACUGUUAGUCUUUCCCUUUUAAGUGUGAGUGAGAAGCUACUCAUUCGUGAGGUUUUCACCUCCGUGCAGGAUAGUGGAUCACUUUCGAAAUACAUCCGUACCUAUGUCUUCGUGAGAUCUUCAUCUCCGUGUAGCCAUAGGGAAAUGUAUUCCCCUGAACCGAACUCGGUCUGUAUGAGCCUAUAAUGGGUGAGGAUCGAGGAAUCUGUUGGUUUGGGUACCUUGACUUUAGAGCCAAACCGCAUGUAGAAGACCUUAGGAACCCAUCCUAGGUAAAGCCGCUCCAAAUCCCUAUUAUUUACCCGACUAGGUACUUUUUUUUCCUUGUUUGCUUCUAUUUUGUACUAACCCCUCUUGUUGUGUUUUGAUUAUGAUUGCAUUGUAUUUGCAUCUUAGGGAAGAGAUAUUGAUCCAAGUCUGAUUACUAAAUUAGAAAGCUUUUCAUGGAAUACGGAUUCCUUGAUAAAGUGGAAAAUAGUACGACUGCCCGAAUAUAUUCCAAAAAACACAGGAAUGGUGAUGAAAGAGUUCGUGACUUUACUUCGUGGCCCGAGGAUUCAAGAUGAUUGUCUAAGAGCCUUCAAUGUUCCAAUUCUCUUAAAGAAGCUGUUUAGUAUUACGAGGAUAGGCAAACAAUGGAUCGUGAUUAGAAUCAAGAAAAAGGGAGCUAGUAGUGGCAACUAUUGGAAAUUUACGGGAACAUGCGGAUGAAGGAAAAGAUUGAUGUUGUCUCUUGGAAUAUAAGAGCGAGGCCGUAUAUAUAUCCGCUUUAUGUAAAGAAAUUUACCUUCUAGUAAAGUUUUCUAAAUGUAAUUUAAUCAGAAUCAACGUCUCUUUAGGCAUGCAUUUCAUGCAUCUGCAUUAUAUAACAUCAUAUGCAUUAAAAUCCAUUGAAAGGGUCUAAUUGAGUAAAUUUAUUUCAGUUAAUUUGGAACACCAACACCCUUACGCUAUCCAAGCAAAGGUUAGAGAAAUGGAACAAAGGUUGGAAAAAUUAGAGCGAAUGCAGAUGCAGAUGAAGGAGCAAUUGACCAAAUUUCAACAGGAAAUGAGAGAUCAGAUGCUAGAAUUACAGAGAACUAUGAUGAGCCAGUUCGACCGAUUGCUAGCUGGAGAGUUAAAAGAAGUGAAAGACUUGAUGAUCCACUUUGGGGUUCAUAUGGAAGAUCUUGCAUACUCCCCAGAUUAUAUUCCGAUAAGUGUCAAGGUCCAACUAGAUGGGCGUCCACAAGGGGCACUCUCUACUAUCAGAUCCCAACAUUAUCAGACUGGUACAUCAACACCGGUGAAUUGCUUGACAGGCCUAGGAUCCAAUUUGAGGAACAAUUUUCCUGUUGCUUUUGUUAAACAAGCAGAAAUAAAACAAUCAAGGGUGGAGUACCUAGAUACUACAAAGGCCCCGAGGAAGAAGGGGAAUAAAUGGGAUAAUGCAGGCAGGUAUAACAAGGGCCACUCAAAACUAGUCACUGCGGGCCGACCAAAGACAGAAACCACCAGCUAUCAAAGCCUUUUAAAGCAAGAAUCUUACACGAAGACAAACACUGAGAAGCUCCAGUUCACACCAAUUCCGAUGUCGUAUAAGGAGCUGUAUCAAAGCUUAUUCGAUGCACAAGUUGUUGCACCUUUCUACUCAAAACCCCCACAACCUCCGUACCCUAAAUGGUAUGAUACAAGCGCGAUAUGUGAUUAUCAUGCGGGAAUUACGGGGCACUCAGUAGAGAAUUGCAUUGCCUUCAAAAAGCUAGUUGAAAGACUCAUCAAUAUAGGCGUUUUCAAAUUUGAUGAUUCAUCCAGUGCAGAAAAUCUGCUACCCAAUCACAUUGAUGAUGAGGUGAAUACAAUGUAUGAAGAAGUAUUAGGAAGCUAUAUGAAGACACAAAGGAAAAGGGACCUUGUUAGAUAUCCGCCCUUAUAAAUCUUGAGUUUUCUAAGCAAUUGGACUGCGGAAGAAGUCCCUGUAGUUUUUAGAACUUAUUUAGAUUAAUGUUCAGAACAUUUUGUUAUUUUUAGCCUAAAAAUGAUAGAAAUUCCUUUGUGAAAUAGGCUCAUGUCUGAACGUCAUUAUUCUAAUAAAAUACAUUUUUGCAUUCAUUUUUUAGCCAAUAUUCUUUUAUUCUUUUCGAAUAAUUAUUCUUUCAUUAUUUUUUAUUUUCUUUCACAUCAUUCUUUCAUUCAUAAUUAUAUUGUACAAAUAAUUAUUCAUAAAUUCACACAUUCUUUUGUAUAUUCUUUUGCACUUACUAUGGGUCCCUAGAUAUCAAUGACAUGAAUGACAGUAUUGCAGACUUUGGAUCUCCUUUUGAGCGAGGCAUGUGUUUAGAGGGAUCUCAUGACUUUGAAAAUGACAUAGAUCGUAGCUUAUCUCCGGACUUGUUGAGGAUGGUAGAACAAGAGGAUGGACAGAUCCUACCUCACAAGGAAUUAUUAGAAAUUGUGAGCUUGGUGAAGAUUAGAAUUGACUUGACCGUAAAGACGAAGAAAGACCUUGUUGAGUUAUCUCUAGAUUUCAAAGAUGUCUUUAUAUGAUCAUACCAGGAUAUGCCCGGGUUAACCGCUGAUAAUGAAAUCUGCACAACAGCACGAUGUAAGAAAUUUGCAGUAUGAACGAUGUAAUUUUUUACCGGGGCAAUGGCUUUCUCGUUGACUCAACAUAGCUUUGCCCAUUUGAAGUCAAGUUCUCAUCUCUUCAGGUUUUGUUGGAUUUUAUCCUGAUUGAAAAGGAAUAUCCAAAUUUUUUCAUCAUAGCUAAGUUUCGCCCCAAAAGGCUCUACGAGAGAAAUUUGGUAUUAAAGAAGAUUUUUCGCAUGCAAUAUGAAAGUGGAAGAUCUUAUGUGGGAGACUUUAUUGAAAAAGCAUUUGUUCUGAUCAAAAGGGAUAACAAGGACUUGCCUAAUCCCAAGAGUUCAGAUCCAAUUUAAAAAAAAGAGCAAAAAGAAAAAAAAACAACAAAAUCAAGAACAAAAAGAAAAAAGAAAAAAAUCAAAGUCAAAAUAAAAAUAUGAAAAUGAUAAAAGGAAAAAGAAAAAUAAAAGGAAAGGCCAAUGCGAAAACCCGCAAAGGGCGCUUUGUGACCAAAUGUGGUUUUGAGUCGAAAAACCGAAAAGGGCGACUCAAAUUUUGAGCAAAAUGGGGCAUGGACAUCAUUGAGAUCAUUAAUUACUUCAUCAAAUGGAUAGAGGCUGCUUCAUGCGGCAAUGUCAUCAUAUGCCGAUAUAGAAUUCCAAAGAAGAUGAUGUUGAAAAAUACAUUGAACUAGAAUGAUAACACGAUGGCUGAGGUCUGUAAUCAAUUCAAGACCAGACACCACGGUUCAUCACAGUAUCACCCAAAAUGAGUUAGAGAAAAUAACUAAGACUUACGAGGGCUGGCAUGUGAAGUUACCAUUUACCCUUCUUAUUUUUCGAACGUUUAUCGGGACUUCAAUUGGGGCAACACUCUGGUUUACAAGACAAAAGUAGUUAUACCUAUUGAAGUAGAAAUCCCUUCUAUCUGGGUAUUAGUUGGAUGAAGUAGAAUGAAUUCAAUCUGAUCAAAAGGAAAAAGGCUAAAAGCUUUCAUCAUGGACAUAUGUACCAGAAGCGAAUGAUGUGAGCCUAUAAUAAAAAGGUUCGUCCCAGAGAAUUUCAUGAGGGGGACCUGGUGUUGAAAAAGAUCCUUCCUCUACAAAAGGAUUUUAGAGAGAAAUGGAUGCCAAAUUGGGAAGAUCCUUAUGUCGUAAAGAAGGCCUUUUCAGGAGGAGCUUUGAUUUUGGGCGAAAUGGAUGGUAAAAGCCUGACUAAUCCGGUAAACUCAGACUCAGUCAAGAAAUACUUUGCCUAAAAAGGAGGAAAGACCAAGGUGAAAACCCGCCAAGGGCGCUUUGAGUCAAAAAAAAUGGAGAGGCCAAGGUGAAAACCCGAAAAGGGCACUUUGAGACCAAAGGGGAUUUGAGUUGAAAACCCAAAAAGGGCGGCUUAAAUAUUGAUCAGAAUGGGGCAUGAGGUGAUCAGAGCAAUUCAAAUUUUGGUCAGAUUGGGGCAUGUGGUGAUUUUGCUAUACUUGAAUCAAAAGGAAAGGGUAGGCGACAUCUUGGGGCAUCGACAAAGCACUGUAGAUCUCCUAAACACAUGUCAAACUCAGAAUGGUCUUCAGAAAGUUUGUACAGAGAAGUUCAAGUUGCGAUAUCUGGGGCACCAAAUUUUUAUAUUGAAUUUGUUGUUCUUGGAAUACUUCAUUCUUUUCCAAGAUACACAUUCCCAAUCAAUUUCUUUGUUAUUCUUCUUUACUAUUUUUGGUAAUUUAUUCCUAUCGAGCUAUGCUCAGAACCAAAUUUAUUUUUAUCCAUUGUUAUGACCUUCUUGCGAGCAUGUUGCAUUGGAACAAUGAUUAAUGGACUAAUAAAACCAUAGAUAUUAUCUCUCUGAAGUGGAGCGGAUUAAAACCAUAGAUAUUAUCUCUCUGAAGUUGCAGUAGAGUAGAUCGCGUCCAGUCUUAUCUCAAUGAAUUGUAGUGGAGCAGACCAAAUGUAGCAAAUUUUGUUCUCUUGAGAAGUUAUGAGUUACAAAUCCUAUCUCCCUGAUGUUGUAGUGGAGUGGAUCGAAGCACCAAUCCCUAUGCCUUUGAAGAUGCAGUAGGAUGGAAUGAGGCUACUUAAAGAAGAAGAGCACCAAGAUCCAACACGAUCGGACAAAAUUGGCCAUUUAAAGUCUUUACUCUGUUCCCGUUACACGACAACGAGCAAAGAGGGGCAGCUGUAAUCCCAAUUUUGACCCGGGCCGACUAAAAAAAAUAAAACCAAUAUAAAAGCAAAAAAUAUUAAAAGACCAUUUACAAAUAAAACAAUCCAAUUACAAUGGGCCAAAUUCGGGUUUUAAGCCCGAUCACUAAAAGAAACCCUAGGCAUUCAACCCUAGCACGAGCGCCGCAACAGCUUCCAGCGCCGUUCUCCCCACGCCUCCAUGCGCUACGCCGUGCCACGUCAUUGUACGGCCAUUCCUGCAACAAACGAAAGACGAACAACGCAGCACUAAACAAAAAAAGGACAGAUAACAGUUGUAAAAAUUCAGAUUUUGAUUAUUUCUUUUGGAUUUUUCGGCAGUAUAAAGACCGAUUUAAAAAAAUCUGUAAAGGAGGAGACCCACUAAUAUUGUAUGAAAGUUUUUUAAAAAGGAAGGCAAUAGAAAGAAACAGUUUCAAGAAAGGUGAUUGGAAAUUUAUUUUAUUUUGAUUUCUUCUUUCUUUUCUGCUUCUUCAAUAUUAGUUUUAGAUUCUUGUUUGCAAAAGAGAAAAUAAAGGGAAAUAAAGGAGAAGGUUACCUGGUAACGCCUUCAGAUCCAUGCGAGGAGGAGCUAAAAAGCCCCUAGGGGUACAGCUCCGACCACUGUUGAGUGUAAUCGCGGCGGAGAUGUGGCGUACUGAUGGCGGUGAAGGCUAGGGUCAAAACCUAACAGAGAAAACAAGCAAUUUUUUUUUUAAACUAGGCUGCUAAUGUUUUUUUUAGAAAAUUUUGUUUAAAUAAUAAUAUAAUACGGCGCCGUUUUGAGCUAGCGUUCCUAGCGCCCAAACGACACCGUUUAGCGACCAUACCCGAUGACCCGAUCCAACCGCGGCUAGAUCUGCGCGUUUUGGUAGGGGGAGGGAUAAUUGCGCUCCCGGUCCUCUCUCUUUUGUUCUGGGUUCAAAUCGGUUCUUUUCUUUCUUUUUUUUAAAUUUCGUCCUUUAAUUUGCUUUUCAUUUUAUUUUAGUCCAUGCCGCAACGUAGCGUUUUGGAGGGCUGGGAAUAUUUUCGAAUUAACCCUCCAUGUUAUUCGUGCAUUGUACAUUGGCCCUUAUUUUGUUUAUUUAUGUUUUUCCCGAUUAAUUUCGUUUUAGUUGUAAUUUAAUCCUUUUUUGUGCUAUUUGUUUCUUUUUAAUUAGUUUAAUAUCUCCAUUAUUAUUAUUAUUAUUAUUAUUAUUAUUAUUAUUAUUAUUAUUAUUAUUAUUAUUAUUAUUAUUAUUAUUAGUUUUUUUUACUUAAUCCUAUUAUAUAGAUCCUUUUAUUUUAUUAUAUAAUAUUAUUUUAUGUUUUUACGUAUUAUUACUUAUUUUCACAAAUAUUUUACUAUAUACAUUUUAUAUUAUCUUAGUAUAACUUUUAUAUAUAUAUAUAUAUAUAUAUAUAUAUAUAUAUAUAUUUAUUUUUUUUUAAAAAUUCAUAUAUGUAUAUAUAUACGUUUAGCUCCAAAAUUUUUCAUAAUAAUAUCUUGUGUUUUUUCCAUACAUAUAUAUAUUGAAUUAUUUUAUGCACAAAUAUUCUAUUCCUUUCAAAUUUGCUAUUCUAUUUUACUUAUUUUAACUUUAUUAUAUAUUAUGACUAUAUAUAUACUAUUAUUUACAUUAAGAUUUUUUACUUAUAUAAAUCAAAGUGUAUAUAUAUUAAUUUUAAGAUUUAUUCAUUCUUUCCUUACAAUUCUUCCGUUAAAAUUCAUUUAAAGAUUUUAUUUGUUUUUUAGUUCUAUUAUCAAAUCGUUCCAAAUCUUCAUAUUAAUUACUUUUUUGGUAUAAUCUUGUGUAUAUUUUUAAAUCUUAAAUUUAUUUAUUCUCACUUUUAUUUUUUACAUUUUAUCUUCCUUUUAAAUUAAUAAUUUUUGAAUGUUGAUGUUAAUAUUGGCAUAAUGCAUGAUUGAAACUAUUGUUAUUGUAUUUAUUGAUUUAUUUAUUGUUCAUCACUCAUUGAUGUAUAUUACUAUUCAAAUUUUGAAUGAUUCAUUGUUCAUUUAAUCACUGCGUUUUUUUUACCGUGUUUCAAUAAAAGCAUUAGAUUCAUCUUAUUUCGCAAUUUGUCAAAAUACCCGCUAUUCACGAUUCUCGAGAGAAUUGUGCCCUAACUUACUGGGCUUCAAUUUUUCUGAUGAAUUUAGAUAGCCGAGUAUCUCUUUUAUAAUAAAACCUUAUGAUUUCUAAAUAAAGCUUUUCGGGAUUUCAAAAUGUUGGAUUCUAACUUACUGGAUAUGACAUUUUGUUAUCUAGAGUUAAGGAUUUUAAAAUAAAGGCAAUAUUCGAUAUUUAAGAAUGUCGAGAAAUUGAACCCUAACUUAUUGGAUUAUGAUUUCUCGAUUGACCCAAAUAGCCAAAUAUCCUUCUCAAAAUGCAUGAAUUUUUAAAAUUUAAUAAAAGGACAAACCUAAUUUCUAAGAUUGAACUGUUGCACUCUAACUUACUGAGUUUGACAAUUUAUCUCUUUGAAAUAAGUGAGUCUUAUCAUCCAAUUCAUUUUAUUAAAAUUUUCUUUUCAAAGGAUCAUAUUUUAAAACAUUUUCAAAUUCUCGACACUAAGGCAUUAAACAAUUGAUUUGGUACCAUUUUUGGGCGUCACGAGGGUGCUAACCCUUCCUCGUGCGUAACCGACUCCCAAACCUAUUUUCUCAAAAUUCAUAGACCUAAAAUCGUUUUCACGAUGAUCCGAUCACACCUCAUUAAAAGAUCGGUGGCAACUCCCAUUUUAUUUUUGAAGUCGGUCCCCGUUUUUUAAAUUUAAAAAUGGUUUCGACAAUCACUAUGGCUUAGCAUUGCAGAAAACUAUACAAACAAAACUAUAUAACACCAAGGAUUCCAAUAUCUUUGAUCCACAAUACAAUAAGUGAUUUACACCCUAUCACUCCCCAAGUAUAGAGAUCUCACCUUUGUACCUAAAGACAAGCGCACUCACUUCCCUGAGAAUUUAGGCAGUAAACUCUCAAUGUUUACAAUAAUAGUUUGCACUCUCUUAUAAAAUAUUUCCUCAAUGAACAAAUUAGAAUGCUCUUAAUACGCUCUCAUAUAAAACCUAUAAAAACCUCCAAACAUAUAUCAAUUUUGGCUACUUAACAUAGAAUCUAAGUGAAUACAAAAUAACUCUCUAACCUCCUUAACCUGACCCAGAAGUUACUGUUGGAUUUUGAAGCUUACAUUGGCCACUGAAAUGACUCAGUAAAAAAAUGAUCAGUUUCUCAGAGAAUUCCCUUUUAAAAUAAUUUGCCUAUUUUAUUUCGGAAAAAUUGUAGUGGGCUUCUCGUAGUUUUAUUAUUCUAUUUUGUUUAUUAAAAAAAUAUUAUACAUGCUUACAAUCACCAAUUUGUAGGUUCGUCCAAUUAUUUAACUUAACCAGUUUUAACGAUAUUGCAUGCAAAAUACCAAAAUAACCCAAAAUAUAGAACCCAUACCACAAUCUGUAUAAAAAUUAGUGAUAAAAAUUAUAAUAUUAAACUGAAAAAUCUAGACGAGACCUCUGAACUCCGAGUCUGGGUCCUAACCUCUCAGGUUACCUAUAAGAUAAUAAACUAAGAGAAUGAGCGAUAAAACUCAGUGUGAGUCUUAAUAAUGAGAAAUUAGUGUACCAAAUAUCACAAAAGCAUGCAAGUAAACAGAGAUAACAGUCCUAACUGUGUCACAAAACACAGUGUUUCAGAAUGUUUAGAAUCACAAAGUAUUCAUAAUUUAUGAACAUGUCCCUAAAUGUUGGUGUUAUUUCCUACCUGUCCAUUCGCUACACACCAUAGAACUCAUCCAUUCGUACACACCAUAAUAAUGAGAGUCGUAGCUCAUUAUGGAUAAACCACCAGUAACAGUAACUAUUUAUAGAUAAACUUCCAGUAAUUUACGAUUAAACUGCUACUAAAAAUUUGUGGACGAACUGCCAGAACUCCAAACAAUACUCUAGUGUUGCGGCUAUACCGCUAGAACUCCAAUAUUUACGGAUAAACCACCAAGACUCCCAUAUUUACUGAUAAACCACUAGAACUGCUCUGUCACCAAUCUUUCCAACCCUAUGCAACAGAAUGGCAUAACAUGCAUCACGAAAUCAUGUACAAUACAGAAUAGUGGCAUGUAUUAACAUGCGAUCAGUAACUUGGUAACAGUGGCAUGCUUUACAUGCAAUCAGUAAAUACAUAACAGUAAACAUGCUCUCAUGCAUUCAAUAAAACAAGUAAUAAUUAUAUAGUAUCAUACAUUAGUAGUUUAUACUUAUUCAAUCGUAGUAGACAACCCUUAGGCACAUUUAGACAAUCAUAGAAGUAAGCACAAGUCACAUUCGGCUAUUACCAAUAGGGGCACAUAUGCAUUUAAUUUACACAUUCAAGGCUCACGACAUUUGGUUAAUCUCAACUUGGUAACAUACACAAUCGGUUAAGUCUUAUAACAUUCACCACGUAAUCGGCCACCCACAUCACUUACCUAACAUUCAGCCAUAACCCAAGAAGACAUACAAAUUCGACCAACUUGCAAAAACACAUGCAUACAUUUCAGCCAACUUACAAAACACAUACAACACAUUCGACCAUGGUAUAAGGGUUACACACACACACACUGAUCACAAAUGUUUAAGACACACACCUCAAUGCACGUCUAUAAAGCACUAUCAAUUGUUCGAAGCACCACUACGAUUCGGAUCUUGGUCGGUUCCUUCCAGAUCUAAAACUUGGAUACAGAGUACACAAAAAAAUAUAAGAGUCAAUCAAAUACCACUAUAAGAUUCGACCAACACAAGAAAAAAGAAAUGUGAUACGAAAUUGGAUCUGAUUUUAAUAUCAACUUACUCUUCCACCAGAUUUUAAAUCUGAUAUGACAAUUGAUCAAAGAAUUCAAAUGUUCAUCGAAAAAGUAGAAAGAAAAUGGAGAAAAAAGAGAUGAGCAAAGAGCAAAAAAAUUUCCACAGUAAUGGUGAAAAGAAUAGGCGACACAACAAAAGUAAAACUAGGAUUUAGGGGAUAACAAAAUAAAGAAAAGAGAAGAAAAUUGAAGAAGAUGAGAGAAAAAAGGAGGAGGGGUGGUAACAGGAAUGAGCAGAUGAUGAAGAAAAGAGAGGCUGAACAGGAAAAAUAUAUAUAUACUAGGGUUUUAUUAGACUUAUGGACGACACACUCUAGGGUUUGGGAAGCAAAAAUAAGCUGAAAAUAAAGAUAUGUGAGGGGAGGGAAUCAAAAUCAGGUCUCAAGGAUAAUUUUACUAGCACUUAAUCAUUAGACUAGUAACUCAUUUUAUCCUAACAAACACACAUAAGAUAACCCUAAAAAAUCGGGGUGUGACAACUCUCCUCCCCUUAAAAAAUUUCUUCCUCGUAAUUUCCUGCUGAUAUACCAGUCAUUUAGCCACAAAGUCUGUUACCCUCUUUUCAACUCAGAUCACCACUUUUUCGCUACACAACUUUGAUUCUAGUGCAAUUCUAGGAAAAACUUCACCCUAAACUUCUAAUGGACAUAUCUUAAAGAACUAAUUAUAGAAACAUUACUAACAGAUUCCUCCACCCCAAUUUCCUAGUUUUAACAGAAAAAAUAUUAACAUCAAACGAUUGAGCAAAACCAAUAUUAAUCAAUGCAAAAUAAAAAUUUUGAAUGGAUGCUAGCUAUAUAAACUAAUGUUGUCUAUCUAGCAUCAGUUCUGGUCAGACCCCUCAGAGAUAAUUGUCUAGCUCUCUGAUUCUGAACUUAUACCUGACCAGGAGGAUGACGUGGACAAUCCUUUAUUUGAUACUCGACAAACCCACAUCUGAAACAUACACCCAUAUUUUUAUAACACUCACCCGGAUGUCGCUUAUCACAAUAUCUACAAACCUUAAUCCUCACUGAUCCAAUAGAACCUCCAGCAUUAGCUCCUGCAUUAAUUUGUUGUGGCUUCCAUUCUCUAGCCCUCCCAUGCUGAACUUAUUAUUUUCCCUUAGUCUUCUCAACCAAGGCCUCAAACACUCUUUCCUAAUGAGGGGCCACUUAGAUUUUCAAGUCAUAUAUGAGUCUAUCUUCAAAUCGCAAGUUUUUGUCCUACUUAGUUGUCAUCAUAUCCUCAACAUAACAGCUCAAUCUAAAAAACUCAGCCUCAUAUUCAACUACUAACAUGUCUCCUUGCUUAAGUUAUAUAAAUUCCAACCGAUGGGCCUCGACAUACGAAGUACCUACAUAUUUCUUUUGAAAGGCCUCCUGAUAGUAGGUCUAAGUUAUACGCUCAACCUAUGUACCUCUAACCACAGAUUGCCACCAACUAUAGGUUUCGUCCCUCAGCAAGGGCAUAGUACCCUUAAGCUUCUGUUCUUGAGUGUAAUCCAUAUCCUCCAAAAUCCUUUCAGUGGUCUCUAUCCAAUAUUCUACCACUAUAGGAGUUGUUCUAGCAACACCAGUAAAUAACUUGGCCCUAUUAGAUCGAAGCCUCUUAGUAACGAGCCCACAAUUUUUAGUCCCAAUCUAAGCUCUAGCGACCAUUUGUAAAACCCUUAACAGGGUCACAGCCUCAUCCCCAGUCUCUUGAUUUUCGCCUUCAGUGGUAGGUGCAUCAACAGUGUCGUUCAUCUCUAGGUUGGACAUACGUCUUAGAGAUUCUCAGAAACCUUCUUUUUAAAUCAUUUGCCUAUUUUAUUUCGAAAAAACUGUAGUUGACUUCUCUUAGUUUUAUUAUUCUUUUUUUAUUAUUAAAAAAUACAUUCUUACAUGCUUAUAAUCACCAAUUUGUAGGUUCGUCCAAUUAUUUAACUUAACCAGUUUUAACGAUAUUGCAUGCAAAAUACCAAAAUAACGUAGAAUAUCGAACACGUACCACAAUUUGUAUAAAAAUUAUUACAAUCCAGAAUAGUGAUAAAAUUUAUAGUAUUAAAUUGAAAAAUCUAGAUGAGACCUUCGAAUGUCGAUUUCGGGUCUUAAACUCUCUGGUUACUUAUAAGAUAGUAAACUAAGGGAAUAAGCUAGAAAACUUAGUACGAGUCUUAAUCAUAAGAAAUCAGUGUACCAAAGAUCACAAAAGCAUGCAAGUAAAUAGAGAUAACAGUCCUAACAAUGUCACAGAUCACAGUGUUUCAGUAUAUACAGAAUCAUAGAGUGUUCAUAAUGUAUAAACUUGUCCCUGAAUGCCAGUGUAGUUUCCUACCCAUCCAUCUACUACACACCAUGAGUUCUCUAGAACUCAUCCAUCCAUACACACCGUAACAGUAAGAGUCGUAACUCAUUGUGGAUAAACCACCUGUAACAGUAAAUAUUUACAGAUAAACUUCCAGUAAUUUGCGUUUAAAUUGCCACUAAAAAAUUACGGACGAACCGCUAGAACUCGAAAAAAAAUAUUCUAGUGUUGCGGUUAUAUCAUUAGAACUCCAAUGUUUGCUGAUAAAUCUUCAAGACUCCCAUAUUUACGGAUAAACCACUAGAACUCCUCUAUCACCAAUCUUCCCAACCCCAUACAACAGAAUGGCAUAACAUGCAUGAUAGAAUCAGGUAUAGUAAAGAAUAGUGGAAUGUAUUAACGUGUGAUCAGUAACGCGGUAACAGUGGCAUGCUUUACAUACAAUUAGUAAAUACAAAAUAGUAGACAUGCUCUUAUGCAUUCAGUAAAACAAGUAAUAACAAUAUGAUACCCUAAAUCAAUAGUUUAUACUUAUUUAAUCAUAGCAGGUAACCCUUAGGCACAUUCGAAUAAUCAUAGAAGUAAGCACAAGUCACAUUUGGUUGUUAGGGAUAGGGGCACAUAUGUGUUUAAUUUACACAGUCAAGGCUCACGACAUUCGAUUUCCACAAUUUAGGGUUCAUGGCAUUUGGUUAAUCUUAACUUGGUAACAUACACAAUCGAUUAAGUCUUAUAACAUUCACCAUACAAUCAGCUACCCACAUACACUUACCUGACAUUCAGCCAUAGCACAAGAAGAUAUACAUAUUCAACCAACUUGCAAAACAGAUACAACAUAUUCGACCAUGGUAUAAGGGUUACACACACACUCUAAUCACAAAUGUUUAGGGCACACACCUCAAUGCAUGUCCAUAAAGCACUAUCAAUUGUCCAAAGCACCACUACAAUUCGAAUCUAGGUCAGUUCCUUCUAAAUCAGAAACUUAGAUAGAAAUACACACAGAACAAAAAGAUAAGAUUCAGUCAAAUACCACUAUAAGAUUCGACCAACGUAAGGAAAAAGAAAUGAGAUACGAGAUUGGAUCUGAUUUUAAUAUCAACUUACUCUUCCACCGGAUUUUUGAUUUGAGAAGACAAUUGAUCAAAGAAUUCAAAUGUCCAUCGACAAAAAGGCCAAAUCAGCUUCGGCCAAAAUGAAACUUGUUAUUUCAAAAAUAGUAAUAAUGAAUGAAGAUAAGGGAAAAAAUGAUGCGGCAAUGGUAAGAAAAAGUCAGCAGAGAUUUGACCACAAAUGGAGUGAAGUAGAAGAAAGAAAAUGGAGAGAAAAGAGAUGAGUUGAAUGCAAAAAAAAAUCGAUAGCAAUGGUGAAAAGAAGGGGUGGCACAACAGAAGUAAAACUAGGGUUUAGGGGACAGAAGAGUAGAGAAAAGAGGAGAAAAUUGAAGAAGAUGGGAGAAAGAUGGAAGAGGGGGCGACAAUAGGAAUGAACAAAUGAGGAAGAAUAAAAAGGCUGAAUAAGAAAAAGAAACUAUAUACUAGGGUUUUAUUAGGCUUAUGGACGACAUAAUCUAGGGUUUGGGAAAUUAAAUUAAGCUGAAAAUAAAGAUAUGCAAUGGGAGGGAAACGAACUCAGAUCUCAAGGAUAAUUUUACGAACACUUAACUAUUAGGCUAGUAACUCAUUUUAUGCUAACAAGCACACAUAAGACAACAUUAAAAAAAUCGAGGCGUAACAAAGUCCUUAAAAAUAGUUAUUACCAUAUCAACAUUCAACGCACAAUUAAUCGAAUAUUUGGUCUCCAAAAUCAACAAUGUAAUCUCGAUCGAAUCUCCACAUUCUAAGGACUUAAUUGAUUCACUUGAAUCCAAUUCAAUCUUCAAAAUUCAAUGAUUGAUUUCCAAAGGUAAACCACAAUAUCUUCAAUAUAAUAGCACAUUAACAAAUCCAAAUAUAUUUUUCAUUAAAUUGCCAAUCCAAAUAAUGCAAGUAAUUAAACUAUCUCAGUAGUAGUUUGCAGUGAGCACUACCGAGUGCCAUUUAGCAUCAAUCGACUUAUCUUGCCUCCACAACAUGUAUAAUAUAUAUAAGUAUGAGUUUGGAAAAAUUUUUGAAUUGACAAGAAUACCCUUUAUUUUCUACCAUAUUACUAAAUUGAUUUUUAAAAAUAUUUAUAAUUUAAUUUAGAAUUAUUAGUUAUAACUUUAUUUAUUAAGGAGAAGUUGUGAUAAUUUUAUUCACUCUAAAAUAGAAUCAUAACUUGAAUAAAAGUCUAAGCAUGCUCAUUGGAAAUAACUAAUAAAUUAAGGUUAAAAUAUUAAAUUUAAAAAAUCCAAAUUAUUUUUAGUUUUUACAAGUAAUUUUUUUAUUUUCAUAUUUAUUAGUGUAAUAAAAUAAAGUUAUAACUUGAAUAGAAGUCUAAGUAUAUAAAAAAAGAUUAUUUUUAUCAUUUAAUUCUUUUUUAGUGAAAAUAAAGUAGAACAUUAUAAAAAACUAGAAAGGCACUAGAGGAAAGGUUUCAAAUAACUGUAAACCCUUCUCCCUACCAAAAGCUAGCUUGGUGAUGCUAUCAACUUCCAUGUUUUCGUCUCUAGGAACAUGUUCGAUUGACCAAACUUCCACAUUUUGCAAAAGUUGCAAGAUACAUCUGAGUAGCAUAGAAUUUGAUCCAUUCGAUAAAGACUCCUUAGUAGUUCCAAUGACUUCCAUAUCAUUUGUUUGCACCAAAAUUCUAUCAUGUUGUCUACCUUGUGCCAGUGUCACACCAUCGAGAGUGCCCCACAGGUCAACUUCAAAAAUCGAACAUUUCCCCAAUCUUCGAUUGUAGCCAAAUAUCCAAUCUCCAAUUAUGAUUUCUCAAUACGCUACCUGCCGCAGCACAACCUGUGUUAGUUUUAACAGCUCCAUCAGAUCUUAUGUAGAUCCACCUUUCUAUUUCCUCUAUCUCCGCUUUUGAUGUAAGUGUCACAGCAAUGUCUCCCUUACAAGCUAUAAUAUAUUGAUUAGCCCAACUGUGCAAAACUUUGACAAUCUCCUCUGCACUCCACGAUACCCUAUUAAAGGUGCUAAUAUUCCUGUUUUUCCAAAUUUUCCAAGCAACUAGGCCAAAAAAACACGACCAAUCGACAUUCUUCCAAGCUAUGUUUAGACAAUUUUCCAAAUUAGACUCAAUCCAUUCUUGCAAAUUACCUGUAAAGAAAAUGGUUAGUUUAUGGGGGGAUGAUUCGGCUCCAUACGUUCAAAUCUGUGUCGCAAUCCUUUAUAACAUGUAACACGUCCUCUACUUCAUGUCCACAAAUUAGACACCUGGAGUCACUACCCACACCACGCCUUAGUCAUUCUACUUGAGUAAGUAACCUCUGUUUUAAAGCCAGCCAAAGAAAAACCUGCACUCUUUGAGGUCCCUUAACCUUUCAUGACAAAUUCCAAGCUUCCUCCCUAGGAUUCCACGAACUCUCCCUAAUCUUACAAUAAACACUCUUGAUAGAGAAGCACCUAGAAGAGGUUCCCAACCAAUAAAGUAUGUUAGGCCCUGCUGCAGGAUGUAGGGGAAGAAUUCUCGUAAUGUGCCCAAUUAAAUCUUCAAAAAUCCAAACUCGAAAAAGUUCUAUGUUCCUUCUUUUGUAAUCAUCUCCCUUAAACAACAAUCUGUGGCGUUAUUGGCACUUGCUGGGAUAAGGUUAAUUAGUGGGCCAACCUCCGAAAUCCAACUAUCCCUCUAACACUUAAUGGAGUUGUCGUCUCCAACUGACCAGAAAAUAUUUUCUCUAAGUCGUGGUUAUACCUUAAAUAAAGCUCUCUAAAAAAAAGAGCAACUACCUACAAAGCCUUCAAUCUCGACAGAAUGUUAAACCCCAACUUUAGUAGAAAGAUGGUGUUAUGAUCUUUUAGCUAUCGAAACGUAAGCCCUUUUACAAGUUUUGGGUUGACAAAUUGAGUUCCAACUGACAAGGGUUAUUUUUUUAUUCCCUACAGUGGACCCCCAAAUGAAUUGUCAAUUUUAUCACAAAUAUCUUGCGUUAUUCUUAAUGACUACAUGAAGUAACUAGGUAUUGUGAGAAGGACCGACUGAGCUAAGGUAACUUUGCCAGCUAGAGACAAUUGCCUAACAUCCUACCUUUGUAACCUAGACUUAACUUUUUCCACCACGAACUUCAAAGAACUAUUGAUUACAUUUUCGUGAAAGAGAGGAACUCCCAAGUAUGAACCCAAAUUAUGCACCUUGCGGAACCCAAGCAUGUCGCACAGACUCCUUGCCAAAACAUCAUCCAUACCUUUGGAAAAGAAAAUGUUCAUCUUGUGAGCAUUCACUCAGUGCACAGAAAAGCUACAAAAAGUAUCCAACAGGUCCUUAAUUAAUCUGGCCUAGUGUUCAUCUACUUUUCCAAAGAUAACAAGAUCGUCAGCAAAUAACAAAUGAGAAAGUGGCAGAACUGAAAUGGAUAGGUGAAUAGGAGACCAGAUACCAAAACUUAUAGAUGAAUUAAUGCUCUAACCCAACCAUUUCAAGUAGAGAACAAAAAGAUGGGGUGAUAGAGGACAUCAUUAUCGAAUGCCCCUUACAAGACUGAAUUUUUGAGUCGGCACCCCGUUCUAAAGGAUCUGCAUAGUAGAAUUUGUGAUGGCAGAGAUAAUAACAUUCCUGGGGAAAUAUGAAAUGGAUGCGGCUUGAAGGGAGGCGUCAAUAAAUUUCCAACUAACCUUAUCAUAAGCUUUCUCCAAAUCAAUCUUAAUAGCCAUCCAAUUUUUAUGUUUGCUUCACAUUGAAUGGAUAACUUCUUGAGCCACUAUGAUGUUGUCUGUGAUUCAUUCCAGCAAUAAAGCCAGCCUAUUCAAAUUAUAUAAUCAUAAGAAAAACCACCUUAAAUCUAUUCACAAUCAUCUUGAUUACCAAUUUGUAAAGAACCAAACAAAGGCUUAUAAGACGAGACUGAGAAAAAUUUUCUAGAUUACGAAGCUUAGGAAGCAGUAUAAGCAAAGUAUUAUUAAGCUCUCUAUCAAUGACCUGUCCAUCAAAAGGUUUUCUUACCCAGUCAUAGGUAGCGCUACCAAUUAACUCUCAUUGGCUCUGAAAAAGAGAGCGUGAUAACCAUUACUAUUAGGUGCUUUCAAUGUAGUCAUAUCAAACAUGGCGGCCUUUAUCUCUUCAUUCGAAAUUACUUUUCUUAAGAGCACCUCAUCAUUCUGAUCAAGUUUAGGGAAUGAACUGAUGGGUAUAGUUAUCGUGGGAAUCGGUACCUCACUAUACAGUUUCUUAAAAAAGCAAACUGCUUCAGAUUAGAGCCUCUCAUCCUUGAAAAUCCAAUCACUCUCUUCAUUCUUCAAAGCAGAAUUUUUAUUACGAUUUCUCUUUUGAAUCGUGCGCGAGUGGAAGAAUUUAGUGUUUCGAUUCCCAAAUUACAACCAAUCACAUCUAGCUUUUUGUUUUCGAAGAAGCUUUCCAUGAUGAAGAGCACACUCCAAUUCCUCUUGUAUCUAGUUUUCCAUACUGCUUAAAUGCUCAGAAUGAAGUUUCUCUAAGGCUUUUUGAACAUUAGACAAUCUAUGCAUCAAAUUCCUCUUGCAUAACCCAAUAAAGCCAUACAUAGAACAAUUCCAAUCUUUAAUGUCAUUAGUGAAUAAAUUUAAAGAUUAAACCAUAUUACCUUUAAAACACCACUUCUCUUUGAAAAAUACCGAAAAUUUAGGGUGCUCAACCCAACCUGCAAGGAAUCGAAAAGGCCGGCCUUGAGGCAAGGUAGCAUCCAACAUAAGAGAAAGCAAUAGAGGUCUAUGAUUUAACUUAAUUCUUGGCAGGUGAGUGACAAAAUAGUUUGAGAAUGCUCGCAACCAAACGUUGUCUCCAAUUUCCCUUCGAGUCUUUCAAAAAGACCUCUUUGAUUUCAAGUAAAUAGGGGCCCUUGAACCCCAAAUCCUACAAAUUAGACAUCCCAAGAAAAUCAUUAAAAAGAGUACAACCUUUCCCAACUGUACGCCCUCCUUUAUUCUCAUUAGAUGAAAGCAAAGCAUUAAAAUCGUCGAUAGUCAUCUAAAGGGUGUUGCCUAUCGGGAUAACAAAUAAAAAGUCUUCCCAAAGCUUCCUUCUCUUUUUGUUUAUUCAAGCUUCCAUACACAAUAGCAAUAUGAAUAGGCAAAACAAAAUCAGUCUUAAGAACAUGAAUGCAAAUGAAUUGGGGUUACUACAGAGAAUUUCAACAGAAAUCGAGUCUUUCCAACCAACCCAAAUGCCUCUAGAGAAUCCAAUAACCUCCACCCUGUGAGAAAAUUGAAAACCCAAGCUUGAUAUAAUUUUAUCGGCUUUGAAACCGCUUACCCUCGUCUCCAACAAACUCACAAUAUCAAGAUUAUGCUCUCUAUUGUAUUCACGGAAUAUUUUAGGAAAUUUCGGAUUAACACAAUUCUGGCAAUUCUAAGAAAAAACUGUCAAAUUCAUAAAUAAAAUAGAUAAAAGAAGAAACUAGCUUAGAGCCCCUAAGCUCUAGAUUUUGCAUUCCUUUCGAAGCAUCUAAUCUUUUGUUAUUUUCCGUAUCAAGGUGGGUAAUAAUUAACUCAACCAAGGAGCUUAUAUAUUCAGACAACAGAACACAAGUGGAACCAGCUAAUUUAAAAUUAUAUAUGCGGUUACAAAUGAUUCGAUUAAGCUUUCUACCGCUACGAUUUGUUUCACCUUUGUCGCUUAAACCCCAUGAUUUGGAAAUAAGCUUUUCAUUUUUAACCCCACCAUCUUUUACGUCCCCCAUUAAUUGACCUUCUUGGAAGUAUGAUAUUCCUUGAAAAAUACGGCCGAAUGCUUCCCAUGAUCUGAAACAUUCUUAUCUAAAACCACCACCACUCCUUUCAAUUCUUCAGAGGUGGGAUUGAAGUGAGUAAUCGUCAUGUUGAGGUUACUUGAUACAUUAGAAAACUUUGGAGGAUCACUAACAUGUUUGAUUGGGGGGGCUUAUGAAUUGAUUCUAGCCCAAUUAGGUGGGCCAACGACCGAACAUUAGUUUGGUUGACUGUAAUAUCUAUUAUAGUCCGAGUGGAAUAGGGUGUUAUUCCGGGAAAAGCCAGCAUAGUUAUUCCCUUUCUUCAGCACUGAAUCAUGAGGAGUAAAUUUUUUCCCUAUUUUCAUUUUUUGCCCCUAACGUUUCUGAAACAGCCUCCUCCCCCCUCAACUUGACAGCCUCUCUCACCCACCUUCCUCAGUCGAUACCAUCAAAUCUGCUGUUUUGUUUUUCUAAAUCCAAAAUUAAGGUCUUCGAAUUGUUCUCCCAUUAAGCUAUUUUGUCGCUGAAGAAGAUGUUACGUUGGUUUCUUGUUUGGUCGACUUGUACAAUGUUGGAACCUAUAACACAUAUACGAGAUUCAAGGCUGGCUACUUAAAUGAUUUGGAAAGAAUGCUAGAAAAAGUUUUACCUCAUGCUAUGUUGAAGGCUAAGCCUAAUUUUGAAUUGAGGAUUAGGACAUUCAAAAGGAAUUGAGCAAUCGUUUACGACAUGCUUAGUGGAAAAGACAAUAGCGUCUUUGGUUGGGACGAGGAUAGACAGAUGGUUGUUAUUGAAGAUGUUAUGUGGAACUCAUAUAUAAGUGUAAGAAUUAUUUCUUAUCUUUGUUGAAAUAAUUUUUUUGAAAACGGGAUCGACUUGGAUUUUGAAAAAUAAAACGAGUAUGGGAGUCGCCACCAAUCUUUCUUUGAUGAGGUGUGAUCGGUCCACCUUGAAAAAUGGCCGUUUUUAAUAAACAAUUUGAUUUUAUCAAAACAACAGUUUUGGUCUACGAAAAUCAGAAAACGGGUUCGGGAGUCGGUUACGUACGAGGAAGGAUUAGCACCCUCGUAACGCCCAAAAAUUGGUAUCCAGUUGAUUAAUUAGUGUCUUAGUGUCGAAGAUCAAAAUUUUUUUAGACAAAUACAUAUUUUUCUCAUUAAUCAAGAAAGAGAAUUACGUCCCGUAAGUUAGGAUGCAAUGCCCAAAAUUCUCGAUACAAGAAUGAAUGCCGAAAAAAAUUAUUUAAAAAAAAGAUAUUCAAUUAUCUCGAGUUUUAGAAAAGACCAUGUUCCGUAAGUUAGAACACAAUCUUUUAUUAAUUCCCGAAAUUAUUUUAAAAAUGUUUGAAAAGAUUCGUGUACUUGGAUUUAUCGAGAAAAUCGAAACCCCGUAAGUUAGGGUACGACUUUUCGGAAUCUCAAAAUAUAAAAUGCUAUUCAUUUAAAACAAAUUUUGAUAUAUCGAGUAAAAUGAAAUACAAUGUCAAAAAAAAUGCGAAAAUGGAUUAUAUCGUUGGCAUGCAAGACAAGCAACAAUAUACGAUGACCAACACGAAUAGCAGAGUGCGAGUAAAAAAACAAAUUAAAGAGAAACGGUAAACAAACGAGUUGAAUUAAAAUGCUUUUGAAAUUAAAUGGGCAUAAAGGCAGACAUUACACGAAACAAUGGAACAAUAAAAUAUAUCCAUAUGUAUAUACACAAAAUUAUAAAAAUAAGAAGAAUGUGUGCAUAUAUAUUAUGAAAUAUAAAAAUAAAUGUAAGAAUGUAUAUAUACAUAUGUAAAUUAAAAUAUGUACCUAUGUGUAUAUAUAUAUAUAAGAAUCAUGAAAUAUAAAAGAAUAGAUAAAAGCGUGUGUAUAUGUAUAAAUAUUUAUGACAAUCAAAGAAAAUAUUUGUAUAUACGUAUAUUAUAAAAAAUGUAUGCAUGUAUUUAUAUUUUGAAAUUAUAAAAUAUGUAAAAAAAACAUAUAAAGAUGAAAAACCGGAAAAUGUAUGCACGUAUAUAUGUAUAUAUAUUUAUAAAAUAAAAAUAAAAAAUGUAUAAGUAUGACAUAUAUAAGUAAAUUAUGAAAGUAUGUAUAUGUAUGUAUUAAAAUACGUGUAUAUAUAUAUAUAAGUACAUAUAUGUAUAUAAAAAAUGCAAAAUAUGCAAAAAAAAAGUAUAUUCAUAAUAAUUUAAAAAAUGUAUGUGUAUAUAAUAUAGAGAACGUAUGUAUAUUUGUAUUUUAAAAAUAUAACAUGCAAAAGAUAAAUAUGUAUGUAUAUAUAUAUUAUUGAAAUCUGGAAUUUAAAAAACAUAAAUACGUGGCAAUAUUAAUAAUAAAAACAACAACAACAACAACAAUAAUAAUAAUAAUAAGAGUACAUAAAUGAUACAAGGACUAGUUUAAAAACAUAAAUACGUGGCAAUGUUAAUAAUAAAAAUAAUAAUAAGAGUACCUAAAUGACAGAAGGACUAGUUUGAAAUCCAGGUAGAAAUUUAAGAGCCAAUUUGGAAUAAACACAAAUAUGCGAACCCCAUUGAACAUGCACAGAACAGAGAAGGAUCAAAAGGGAAAUUAAUCCCUGCCCCUUAAAACGCUGCGUUCCAAUAAGGAUCGAAGUGCGACAUGCAAGAAAUUAUGUGGCCUUAUUGAAAAAAUCACAGGGGAACCACAUUGCACAACAGAGAAAACACGGGGGGACCAUUCGUGCAAAUAUCCCCCCAAAAUGAAAACACGCGGAUCCUGAGAAAGCGAGUCGGGUCGCAUGCAGGUGGCCCCAUACGGCGUUGUUUUGGCACCGAGGGCACUAACCCAAAACAGCGUCGUCCUCAUUUAAUACUAAAAUCAAAAUUUUCCUUUAAAAAACAUUUCUAUUUAAUUUUCUUUAAAAAACAGAGGGGAGGGGGAAAAUUCUCUGCUAAGGUUUUGACCCUAGCACCUCCACGCCGCCGGCGUCAUGCCCACCGUGAAGCCACCACGAGUGGCGCUCGACACCAGGUAAAGCGCCUUUUCUUUUAUUAUUAUUAUUUUUUUUUUAAAAAAAAGGUAUGAAACAAAGAUGAAAAAAAAAACAAUAGAAGAAAAACUCGAAGUGAAAAGAAAAGAACAAACCCCCCUUCAAACUGUUCUCUGAUUCUUUUUAAUAGUUUUUGGUAUCAUAUCCGUCCCCUUUUACAAAUUUCAUUUGGCUUUAUAUAGCCGAAUCCUUACAGAGAAAGAAAGAAAAAAUAAUAAUAAUAUUUUCUUUUACAAUUUUGCUAUGUUUUCGAUUAUUCUCACUGUUCGCGGUUCGUGGUUCACUGUAGGGAGAAUGCGUUGGAGCGCGGGGCGACGUGCGCGACGUGCGGGAGCUGUUGCGGCGCCAGUUUGCUGCGGCGCUGAGGAAGGGAAGCUAGGGUUUCUUUUUGUUUUUUUUGGUUCUAGGCUGAUAUGGGUUUGGGUAAAAUUGGAUAUUGGGCCUUAGUUAUUUGGGUUAAUUUUGGACUGGUGUAAUGAGUAUUUGGGUUAAGUUAGUGGUUUUUGGGUUGGUCUUAUUUUGAGUGGGCCGGGCAAAAUGGGCUAUUACAGUCUUUAUUAUCUUAUUUUGACCAAACUUAUAUCUAAUGUGGAUUCCUUUUAUUAUGACCAACUUAUUUCCAUAUAUGCAAAAGAUCGAGCCAUUGAGAAAGAUGCUCAAACAGUUGUUGAUAUUGUUGAAGAAAUAGAUGCUGAGGAUGUAGCUACUGCAAAUAAUCUUGAAGAACAAAACAAUUAUCGUGGAUGUGAAGAUGAUGUUUUCUUGGAUGAGAUGGAUGUCUCGGCUACACAAUCACAACCGUUGAAGCCAAACCAAGAUGGUUCUACAUAUUCAAAAAAGCAAAAAAAGAUUUCUGAUGGAAGUGAAUAAAUUUCUACUUCAAUUACUGAUGAUGCCAUGUUAUUGGGGGAAAACAUACGGGUUGUUGGCCUUGAAUUAAGUAGGAGCAUUGCCUCCGAGAAAGUGAUUCAAGAAAGUGCUCAAAAAUUAUAUCUCGCCUUAUGCGAAGUAGAAGGAUUAACUGAGGAUGAUCGUUAUCGUGCGUUGAGCAAAAUUCCUGACCAUCCAACGCAAAUGCUCAUUUUUUUUCAGUCUACCUUUAGUGCAAUUGGAAUGGGUGAGAAAAUUUCUUUCUGACCAUUAAAAAUCAUGAUUGUGUUGGUGAUGUUUUGGUAACUUUUUGUAUAUGUAAUAUUUGGAUGGCAAGAAGCAAUUAGUAGAAUGCCACAAACUGCUGUAACUUUUUGGUGUUGUAAAAUUUAACAUACAGAUUAUAAUAUAUAAACUAAUGACAUCAUGUAACUUUUUGCUAAUGUAUGAAUAUUAUGUUUGGAUGUAAAAUAUAAUUCUCGAGCUAUUUAUUAAUUCUAAUAUUUUUUCUUUUUAGUUUAGAAGAUAAUUAAAUUAUUUGUUUCGCUAAUGAUAUUUUAGUACAUUAAAUACGCAUUGUAGUUUAAAAAUUAUAAAGUAAGUUAUUUAUUAAUUCAUAUUUUAAUAAUAAUUAUAUUAAGAAUGUUAUUAAAUUAUAUAUUAUUUUAUUAAAUUGUAUUUAAUAAAAUUAUGUUAAAAUAUGAUUAAAUUAUUAUUUAUUAUUAAAUUAUAUUUAAUAAUAUUCUUAUUAAAAUUUAAUAACAAUAACAACAAUCAUCUACCUAAAAAAAAAUUCUGUUAAGGGUACUUUGAUCAUUUAAAUAUUUUCCUUUAUACUAUUAAAACAUCUAUUCCAUUCAUCCAAACAUAAUAAUAUUAUUAUAGCUCUAUUUCAUUCUAUUCAACCAAACAACUGAAUUACUAAGUACAGCUCUAUUCCAUUACAAUCGUAUUCCAUCCCUCUAACGUGUUGUAAGGGAAUUUUACAAAUGUUUGUUAUCACCCAAAUCAGCUACUGCCAGUUCCGUUGCAUCAAGCUGCAAUUUUGGCCCAAGUAAAUUACCUACAGAAUUUUCCUUUGGGUUUUUUUAUCGAUUGCAACCCAGCAGAGGAAAAGAAAGGUCCAGCCGUAAUUUUAAAUGGCCCACUACUUUUGUUCUGCCUCUGGGCCAACGCCUUAGCUACCUGCCCAACAGACCUCAAGCCCAAAUCUGUUCCAUCAUUUGAAUCCAGCACAUGUCCGUUAACCCCUGUAGACCGAACCUCCCCCAACUUGGGCUUACGGCUUGCACCAUUUGUGAGUGGACAAGGGCCUUCACCAACCUUGUUUUUGCACGAGUGUUCCUUACUUUUUUCAACGACCACUGCAUACCUGGAGCCCACAUCUAAAAUUCGAAUGCCCCAUAUUAACACCUAUACCAUUCUCUAGACUUUCAUUAUUUUCCACGAAAUUGGCGCAGACAGAUUUUCCUUUCCUUUUGAAUUUCCACCUUUAACCACCGAAAUCAUCUCAACCCUAUCAUCUGUCCUCAAUUCCUGAUUUUCCAAUCCCUUCAAUGCCGAAAAUAUUGAUCCCAAAAUUUCCUUUUCUGUGUCACCCUCCCUCUGAUUUUGCAGAUUCCUCAGUCCUCGCUUGAAUUUUCGCUCCACCACCAUCCAAGGUCCGAAUGCCAGUCCCUCACCAUCAGUCGUCGAUUCCGUUACCUCCGAAAAACCACUUAUUUUCCUGGUCUCAUUUCCUUUACCAGUCGCCGGUGAAGCACACAACUUCUUCAGAUGGCCAUAUUUACCACAGGAAAAGCAAAUGGUAGGUAGAGCCUCGUAUUCGACCCGUUGUAGUUCUCCAUUUACCAGCACUUGAGAAACCAAGGGUUUGUCAAGAUCAACAAACACAGCCAUUCUCGCAAACCGACCCCUGGUUUUUCUAUCCGUAUUGAAGUCGAGUUUGACCACUUUUCCCACCAACUCUCCAAUUACUUCUAAAAUUCUUCUUUUAUACAUGAAUCCUGGGAGCCCCGAUAGCCUGAUUCACGCCAACACCAUACUCGGGUAAGGUUUCUUGGGAUUAAAAGAUUUUUUCCAUGGGCGAACAGUAAGGUAUUGGCCAUAAAUGGUCCAUGGUUCUUGCGUAAGGGCUGUGUUGUAAUCCUCGACACACUGAAGUUUAGCCAGAAAGUAUCCGUUCACAUUAUCCAUCAGAUGGAACGGUUUUGAUGGGCGCCAUAAACUGUUGGUCCAAUUGUACAAGGCGUCAUAACCAAUAUUACGGCCCAACAACUUCAGAACCACCAUAGUUUCCAUAUCCUUGAACAAGAUCUGUUGGAUACAAUCUGAAAAUUCUAUAGCCGGAAUACUAUUGAAAAUAGUUUUUUUAACAUCGCCUUCUAGGAAUUCAAAAUCUUCAGUGCAUUCGGCUUCAGAAGAUGGAGACCCUUUUUCUUGAUCUGACACCCCUUUCCCUAACAACAUCUGUUUCCAGGAAACCUUUGGUUGCGGGUCCAAAUCCGUUACCAUCUCAACAUCCGUAUCACCAUUCUUCUCUUUGAAUCUUACCUUUUUCGUUUCUCGGUCAUCAGUCGACCGGGAUUCAGUGACCGGAGCAGUUUCCAGAGAAGAAGCCAUCUUGACCGAUAUCAUUUUCAAUAUAUAUUAUCAAACAUCAUCAAUAUUGUUUUUAUCCUUUUAUUACCACUUAAUUAGUGUAAGAGUUUUAUACAAUUUAAAAUCUAAGUUUAAAUCUAUAAAUAACAUUUAUUAGUAGCAUUUAAGAAAAAUUAUUAGUAUAAAGAAAGAAAAUGGUUAGCAUUAAUAAGUUCAAAGGAUCUCAAAAAGAAAUAUUCAAAUGACAUAUUAAUGGCACUGGAGAGCACCAGAAAUAUAUGUAAGAUUAUUUUAUCACCUAAUUAUCUUAGAUUUUUGGGUGUUUCUAUUCUUACAUUAGUCAGCUGGUGACCAAAAGAAAUAAUUGAAUAAUUGGGUGAUCAUUUUGUAACUUUUCAUAGUUAGAUGAUCUAAAAAGAAAUGUACUAUUAGUUAAGUGGCUACUAGUAUAGUUUGUCCUAUAAUUAAUUGUGCAUGCAAUAUAUAAAUAUAAGAUGAUGUUAUAUGGAUAAUUGUAUUAAUAGUUUACAAGAAUUGAAUCAAAUCAAAAUUUUAUGCAUAAAAUUGCGCAAAGUCAAAGCUCUUAUAUAAUAUUGCACAUUAAACCAAAAUUUAUGUGUAGUGUUGAAAUUUAUCACAUACAAUAAUUCUUACUUUGUCAAAACAACAUAAAUGUAUAGGGUAAACUACAUAGAUUAUAAAAAAAAUUCUCAUUUUAGGCAUCCAAAAUAUUACAAUUUAAGCACCCACGUUACAUGCUUCAUUCAUUUUGGUCACUCUCAUUAAAAGUUCUAACAAAAAUCUAACAUGACAUUUUUUUUGACAAGUGGAUCAAUCAUUGGAUGCCACAUGGUACAAUUUACCAUUGCAUACCACUUUAAACUUGAAAGGACUAAAAUAUAAUUUCCCCAAUACUGAUUAUUAACCAAAUGAAUAAAUUAGUAUUGAGUAAAUUAUAUUUUAGUCCAUUCAAGUUUAAAGUGGUAUGCAAUGGUAAAUUGUGACAUGUAGACAUCUAAUGAUUGAUCCGCGUGUCAAAAGAAAAUGUCAUGUAAGAUUUUUGUUAGAGUUGUUAACGAGAUUGAUCAAAAUGAAUAAAUUAUUUAAUGUGAAUGUUUAAAUUGCAAACAUUUUUAGUUUUAGUGUUUAAAAUGAAACUUUUUUAAUAUUUGAGUGGCUAUCUAUCUAAAUUACCCGAAUAUAUAUCCCAUAUAAGUGAUAGCGUAUCAAAGUACAACAAAUUACAAACUAAAAGAAAGUACAAGAAAUAAUGGGAUUUGGGAAACUCCCAUUCAUACAGACAAAUAUAUGUGGUGGAAAAAAAGAACAUACAAUACUCAAAAUCAAGAGACAAAGACGACUAAAAACACAUUCAAACAAAUCCAGUAUGCGGCAGAUAAACCAAAGGGUAUUUCAAGGAGUAGAAGGAGAAGGUGGUGGAGAAAGGAAAGGAAUAGAGGGGAUUGCAGUUGGGAUUGAGGGCAUGCUUGGCAGAGGAGGCAGUGUGGCCCUUGGUACACUUGGCAAUGUGGGCAACCCUGGCAUUGUAGGAAGUGGAGGAAGCGCCCCAGGCCUUGGCAAUGCUGGUAUGGAUGGCUGUGGGAGAUUAGGGAUAGAUGGAAGUGGGGGAAGUGUGGUUGUAGGCAAAGUUGGCAUUGGAGGCAAUUGAGGCAGCUGCAGAAGGUGACGAGCUGCUAACCCAACAUCAGUGCUUGCAAAUGACAAAGCCAUCACGAAUGCUAAAGCAAAGCAAUUGAAAGAUGCCAUUUUUCUAGAGAUGUGAGUCCAAUUAAGCAGACGAAAGAAAGCUCUUGUUUUGAUAGUUGUGGAGUGAGGGAGAGAAAGCAUGGUGUUGGGGUUUAUAUAGGUCAUGGAUCAGUGGAGUUGGUAAUGUUUGAUCAUGUAUGGUUGGAAUGGAGAAAACAUAGUCGAUAUUAAAGGAUUUGGUAGGUCAACUUCCCAUGGGUAUUGGAGUUUAAAACAGGUGAAAUGCUGUUGUGGUUGGCAUAGAAGCUUCAUCCAGCCACUUAAUUAAACAGUAUACUUAAACAAUCCUCCAGGUUAGCAAAGUUAUUGCUAGUUGGCCAGAUAUCUAACAGAAUUAGGAUUUGUUUACUUAACAUGUCAGGUAUGAUACUAGUAUUUCCAAUGCUCAGUUGAGUGGGCUUUAACAUAUACCUUCAUAUAGAUUUAUUAAUUUUGACUUGAAGUUGAAAUGAUUCAAUCAAGUAUUUUGAAAUGACAAAUAAAUAACUCAAAAUGACCUAAAUUUGAAGUAACUAAGAUAUGAAAUAAUCAAAACCCAUAAUGACUCAGCCAAAAAACUCGAGCCUCAAACCCAAAUUAAAUUAAAUCAAAAUCAUAAUUUAUUAUAUACAAUUGCACAAAAUUAACAUAAUUUAAGUGUCAUAGUGCACAUAAAAUUAAAAUUUAUGUUUGACAUUAUAAAUUGAGGCAAUAUUCAUGCGUAAAAUUUUGAGAUUUAUUCCCUUAAUUAAAGUAAUAUGUCAAAUAGAAUACUUGAACAAUCCUCCAUGUUGGCAAAGUUUAUGUACAUUAGAAGCGAACUAAAUAAUUAGAAUAAAUCUAAAGUAUGGCUUGCAUAUAAUUUAUUCACAAUCUGACUUAAACUUUGGUCUUCAAGAUUUCAUGGUCUCAAUUUAUGUCUUAAAAUUUUAACAUCAUUUUAGGUUUGUUAAAAAGUCAAAAGUUUAGAAAAUUAAAAUUGUUGCUUGAGGCGUGAAUAUACCUAUUCCUAAGGAUAUUCGCGGAUUUACUACCUCUCAGAAUUUAGUUGGUAUCAUGUGCAAAGAAAUAAAUGGCAAAAUUUACCCAUUUAAAUGGAAUUGAGCUAUUAAGCUCAAGCUUCUCUUAUUUUGAGUCUUACAAGUUUAUAGUAAACCAAAUCUAUAUAAACAUCAUUUAAUAGGUGUAUGUAAAAUAUGUGUAAUGUGUAAUUCUUUAAAAUACAUGAAAACUUCCAAUAUGGUUUAGGUCAUUUUCGGAUUUGUCUUAUUUUAGGUUCAAAUCAUUUGAAUUUGAGGCUAAGUUUUUCAUGUCUAAUCAUUAUUGAUCUGAAUCAUUUUAAAUUUUGAUCAUUUUAAGUUCGAGUUAUUUUGUGAUCAAAUCAUUUCAAGUUUAGAUAAAUUAGAGUCAAUUCGAAUUUGAUUUAAUUACGUAGUUAAUUUUUUUAUAAUAAAUUAAGUUGAAUGAAAUUUGGAUUGAAAUUUAUUUAGUGUGAUUUUGUGCUUAAGUCGAAAUUUAAAUAUCUAUCUCUGAAAUAAAUAUGUUAAGACAAUUUUAUUUUAAAAACAAUAAUACCACAGAGUUGAUUUGAGAGAUAAACAUGUUAAUUUUUUAAUCUCAACCCAAAAAAUAAAAUAUACCCUUAAGCCGUUCCAUCCCAAAAUUUUACAUAAUUCUUUUAUGUCAUAUUAAAUAUAUGUAACGUCUUAUAAAAAUUGUCAAUAAAUUAUGCCUAGCGACAAUGUUAUUCAAAUCUAAUUUCAUUGUUAAUACCUAUUUCUAUUUUUCUUCUACUGUCUUCAAUUUUAAAUAUAAAGGGAUUGAAAUUUUAAGAAUUGAGAUUUCUUUUCUUUGUAUUUGUGGACGUUUGAUUUUUUAUUUGAUUUUAUUUUCCUUGAAAUUGAUAGAUAUCUUUUCAGAUUUAUCAAUAUUUUUUAAAAUUAUUUAAGAUAUGUAUAUAAAUAUAUUACAAAUAUAAAAUGAAUGAAACUAAAUACAUUUCAAAUAUAAAAUAUUCAUUAAUAAACUUAACAAAUAAAAAUUUAUCAUUCAAAUAAAUUCAAAAUUAAUAAUAAAAAUCCAUCCUUCAAUAUGAAAAAUUAAGGAUUUAGCUCAUUUACUUAAUAAAAGAAGCCGGAAGGUGAAUUAUUUUUUUUUGAUAAUCGGGUGAAUGAUUUUUUCUUAAUUAUAUUUUGAAUGUGAAAGUAUAUUCCAUUUUUUUAAAAACUUUACAUUCGGAUGUAGCAUUUUUAAUUAGUCACGUUUCAAUUAAGUUCUUAGCAUAAUAGUAAAUAAUUAAAAGUUUUAUAUUUUUAAUAUUAUUCAUGCAUAGGACAGUGCACUAUGUUCUGGUAGGUGUGACUGGAAUUGAUCGGAAUGAGUUGGUGCAACUGGUACUAACUGGAAUUUUCACCAGUGUAGAAAAAGGGUGUUGGGUGUUUUGCAAUGUUAUUGAAAUCAGACCAAACAGACCGAGAACCAAUGAACCCGAGAACUAGAGUAAACUGCAGUUAAAUUGCAAAUCGUUAGCCAAUUAAGUUGUAUUUUCACAUUUCUAGACCGGAAAAAUAGAAAUUUCACUUCAAAUCCCUUGAGCUUUUGUUACACUUUAUCUCAGCAUUCAAUGAAAUAUAACACAACAUAAAAAAAUAACUACCAUUUCUUUUCUUACUUUUUCUACUAAAAUAAUUUUUUUUUUCUGGUAAAAAACCUAAGAUGGACUUAUAACAUUCAAUCAAGGUGGGUUUUAGGGUUUAGGGUUUUUAAUAAUUAAUAUUAUUUUAUAUUAUUGAAUAGUAAAUUAAUUGUAUUGGUGGUUGAACCUAUUAGAUCGAGAAUUAAUGAUUUGAUUGAUUUGAUUAUCGAUUUAAUUUUAAAAAAUAUUAAUAUUUUGGUAUAAAAUUAAAACAGUGCACACAAAUUAGUAUAAUCGAAACCGACCACCCUAAUUUAGUACAUAAUUUGACAUUCAUAUAAAAUAUUAUCUCGGAAAUAUAUUGAAAGAGGGAAAGUAAUCGUAUGUAAAUGGAUAACUUGGAAGAGAUAAUGAAGCAGGAAUCAUUAUAUCAGCAGUGUCAUCUUCUCGAUGUAUGGCUGCUCACUGUCUUGACUGCAUUUAUCAUUUGAUUCUUUUCUUAAUUAGCCAAACUCAUGUUAAAAAUGGUAUAACAGUAAUUAAUUAUUUCAUGGACAGAACAUCAAUAUAUAAACACCCCAUAUAUAAUAAGCAACAACGUAUCAAAGUACACCAAAUAAUGGGAAUUGGAGAACUCCCAUUUAUACAAACAAAUAUAAGUAGGCAAAAUCAAUACUCAUAAUAAAGACACAAAGAUGACUAAAAACCUUAUUAAACCAGAUCCAGUAUGCAGCAGAUAAAAAAAGGGGGUAUUUCGAGGAGUAGAACGAGAACGUGGUGGAGAAAAGAAAGGAAUAGGGGGAAUUGCAGUUGGGAUUGUAGGGACUUAAGGAAUGCUUGGUAGAGGGGGCAGUCCUCUUGGCAAUGUGGUAGGAAGUGGAGGAAGCGCCCCAGGGUUUGGGAGAUUAGGGAAAGAUGGCAAUGGUGGAGAAGAGAAAGGAAUAGGGGGAAUUGUAGUUGGGAUUAUGGGGACUGAGGGGAUGUUUGGCAGAAGGGGCAGUCCUGUUGGCAAUGUGGUAGGAAGUGGAGGAAGCGCCCCAGGCCAUGGGAAUGAUGGUCGGGAUGGCGUUGGGAGAUUAGGGAAAGAUGACAAACUUUGCGUUUGAGGCUGCUGUAGAAGGUGACGAGUUGCUACCCCAACAUCAAUGCUUGCAAAUGACAAAGCCAUCAAUAAUGCUAAAGCAAAGCAAUUGAAAAAGGCCAUUUUUGUUCAGAGAUUUCGAAACAAAUGAAGCAAAUGAAACAAAGUUCUUUAUCUGAAUAGUUGUUAGUGAGGAAAACAAAGCAUGGUAUUGAGGUUUAUAUAGGCAUUGGACCAGUGAAUAAAAAUCCCCUGCCCCUAAACAAUGCCCCAUUCAUGCCCCCAAAACAAAAUAGCGCCACGUGUUUUUUUUAUUUUUUGUAGUUUAUUUUUUAAAUAAAAAUUUAUAAUGAUUAUUAAUUUUUAACUUAUUAUCAACGUUUUUGUUUUAUUUUUAAUUUCUAUUAAUUUUACCUAUUUUUUAGUUAACAAAUUUAUAAUGACUUAGAGUUAAUUUAACAGAGUUUUUUUUAUAAUCGUUCUUAUAAUAAAAUUUUACAAGGUGGGAACAAGUCCCACAAUGACAAAAUGAUCCUUAAAUUUUGGGUGGUGGCAUGCCUUUAGUCAAAGGAUCAGCUAACAUCUGCUCAGUGUUAAUGUGCUUAAUUACAACUUGCUUUUCUUUAACAUGUUCCCCUAUUCCUAGAUACUUAAUGUCGAUAUGUUUACUUUGACUUUCACUUUUGUCGUUCUUAGCCAUAAAGACAGCAGUUGAAUUGCCACAAUAUACCAUAAAUGGCCUAGAAAUCGAAUUCACAAGUCUAAGCCCAAAAAUGAAACUCUUCAACUAUACUCUAUGUGAUGUAGCCUCAAAACAUGAAAUGAACUCAGCCUCUAUAGUGGAAGUAGCAGUUAAUGUCUACUUGACGCUCUUCCAAGAUAUCCUCUGUUGGAAAAUAAUUAUUGAGUGAUGAAUGAUAAUUGUAUCUCUUGGUUUAAUAUUGCAUUUUUCCAUACAGUUGUAUCUUUUGAAAAAAAUGUAUCUCUUGGUUUAAUAUUGAAUUUUUUCAUUCAUUGUCUCUAUUCACUCAUGUCUAUUGAUUUUUCAACAAAUCUUUUCAUUCAUUUUCUCUUCUCUAUAUAAAGCCAAGUUAGGAGAUUUCAAAAACAUAUAAUCAAAACUAUCAAUAUAAAAAAGUUCUUCUAAAUUCAUUUCUCCUGGUAAUAGAGAAAGGCAAGAUUGUGUUCAAUUAAUCACUGUUGUUGUGCUACUACUGUGAUCGUUUGUUGUUGUAUCCUGGGUUACAGACGCCCAACAUUACUCAAAGCACUGAGGAGAGGACGAAUUUGUCUUAAGGAAAUUGUUUAUACAGGCCUUGACAAAAUUCUUCUUCUAAAUUUUAACUUUGUCUGAUUACAAGUAUUCUGUUGUGUUACUACUACUGCAUUGUAUUGCAUUAUCAUUGUUAUUGACAUAUUAAUACUACAUAUGAUAUCAAAAUUUUUUACAUUCUUAGGACAUAUUAAUUGUUGUAGUUUUAAUCUAAGGCGUACAGAUUGCCAUCAUAACUUAUUUAAGAUUGGUUUAUACUUCUGUUUCAGAUUUUAAUUUAUUUAAAGAUUCUGGUUUUUUAUUCCGAUUACAGAAAUGUCUCAUACAUGAAACAACUCAUCCAAUUCAAAGGUUGAGGCGAUUGUCACUGCUCAGGCUCAGGCUCAGGCUACAAGCCAAACGUUACCUGUGACUAUGAGUCAUAAUGAAAAGACUGCGAAAUUAACUGGAGAGAAUUUUAAAACAUGGCAACAGAAAAUGUUGUUCUAUUUGACCAUGUUGAAUAUGGCAAAAAUUCUGAAGGAUGACAGUCUUAUUUUUAGAGAGGAUGAGGAUUAUGCUAUUACCGUCUUCAACAUUUUCGAAGCAUGGAACAACUUUGAUUUCCUAUGCCGUAACUACAUUUUAAAGAAUUUAUCUGAUGAACUUUAUGAAGUAUACAGUAUUAAGAAAACCGCUAAGGAAUUAUGGGAAUCGCUGGACCAUAUAUACAAAAUUGAAUAUGCUAGUGCUUAGAAAUUCUUAGUUUUCAAGUUUUUAAACUUUGUAAUGGUUGAUUCUAAAGUUGUUGUAAAUUAGGUGCAGGAAUUCCAACUAAUCAUUCAUGGUAUUUUGGCAGAAGGGAUGGAGAUAAGUGAACCUUUCAGGUGGCAACCAUUAUUGAAAAACUUCCCCUUGUAUGGAAUGACUUUAAGAACUAUCUUAAGCAUAAAAGAAAGGAAAUGAUGGUGGAAGAUCUGAUUGUUAGACUUCUAAUUGAAGAUGAUAAUCGAGGUGCGACUAAAAGGCUAAACAAAGCAACCAAUCCUAACCUUGCCAAGGUAAACGUAGUAGAAGUCAAUAAGGACUCAAAGAAAAGAAAACAUUUUCAGACUAGGUCUAAAUUAGGACCAAAAUGCAGUGUUUUCAAGAAGCCAAAAUUACAAGGAAAAUGCUUUAAUUGCAAUAAGAUGGAACACAAGUCAUCCGACUGUAGGCUUCCAAAGAGGGUCAGAAUAAACGAGGCCAACGCUGUGGAAAAUAUUUCUAAGGAAGUAUUUGAUCUUGACCUCUGCGCUGUAAUUUCUAAAGUCAACUUGGUUGAUUCAAAUCCAAGAGAAUGGUGGCUUGAUACUGGUGCCACAUGUCAUAUUUGUUGUAACAAGGACUCAUUUGUUGAGUUGGUUCCUUGUGAGAAAGGGGAGAAACUCUAUAUGGGCAAUGCUGCAACUUCCAAGAUUAAAGGUAAAGGUACUGUGAUUUUGAAGUUGGCUUCUGGCAAAAAGUUGAAACUUCAAAAUGUGUUGUAUGUGCCUGACAUACGCAAGAAUCUUAUCUCUGGGACCCUUCUAAGUAUACAUGGCUUUAGGAUGAUAUUUGAAUCCUAGAAGUUAGUUUUGUCAAAAGGGGGAACAUUUGUGGGAAGGGGAUAUGUAUUAAAUGAUAUGUGGAAACUCAAUGCUACCUCUGUAAAAGCUAAUACUAUGAAUAAGAAUAAUGCUUCUUCUUCUAUUUAUAUGCUUGAGUCAUUUGAUUUAUGGCAUGGUCAGCUUGGGCAUCUUAAUUAUAAUACUUUAUGUAGAUUAAUUAACUUAGAGCACUUUCCUUCAUUUCACAUUAAUUAUAAUCAUAAAUGUGAAACGUGUGUUGAGGCAAAACUAACAAGGUCUUCAUUUCAAUCUGUUGAAAGACAUACUGAAUCACUUGAUCUAAUACAUAGUGAUAUUUGUGACUUAGAAGUUUAUUCAAACUAGAGGAGGGAAAUGUAUAUUUGCUUAAAAGAAAAGAUGAAGCUAUAGAGAAAUUUGUUCUCUAUAAGCAAGAAGUUGAAACCCAACUUAAUAAAAUAAUUAAGAGGGUGAGAAGUGGCCGUAGUGGUGAAUAUGUUGAACCAUUUGGUAAAUUUUGUGCAGAACAUGGUAUUAUUCAUGAAGUGACACCACCAUACUCUCUCUUAUCCAAUGGAGUAGCAGAUCGUAAAAAUCGAACCCUAAAGGAAAUGAUGAACGUAAUGCUAGGAAGUUCUGGGUUGUCACAAAACAUGUGGGGGAAAGCUUUUUAUCAGCGAAUUACCUUUUAAAUAAUGUGCCUUGUAAGAAAAAGAACAAAACACCAUAUGAAUUAUGGAAGGGCAAGAAACUUUGCUACAACUACUUGAAAGUGUAGGGGUGUCUUGCAAAAGUAAUGGUUCCUUUGCCGAAGUAAAUGAAAAUAUGUCCUAAAAUGGAAGAUUAUAUUUUCAUUGGUUAUACACACCACCACAAUGCAUAUCAGUUACUUGUACAUGAAUCAAAGAAUCCUAAAAUUUACAAGAAUAAGAUAUUGGAAUCUAAAAAUACCUCAUUCUUUGACAAUAUAUUCCCUUGUAAAAACUAGGGAAGAUGGGUCAAGUUUAACAAAACGAACUUCAGAAACUAUUGAUAGUUAAGACUUUCAACAAGAAGUUGAAGUCAAGGUAGAACCAGGCAUAAGUAAAAAGGAAAGGGUGGAAAAGUCCUUGGGAUCAGAUUUUCUAACCUAUAUGCUAGAAACUGAACCUCAAACUUAUAGUGAAGCUAUAUGCUCAUCUGAAAACAUUUUUUGGGAAGAUGCUAUCAAUAGUGAAAUUGAUUCUGUCAUGAAAAAUCAUACGUGGGAAUUAAUAGAUCUACCUCAGGGAAUUAAACCACUAAAUUCUAAAUGGGUUUUCAAAUGAAAAAUGAAAGCAUAUGGAACAAUUGAUAAGUACAAGGCCAAAUUGGUUAUAAAAGGUUAUAGACAAAAGGAAGGCAUUGAUUACUUUGAUACAUUUUCUCUUGUAUCAAGAAUAACUUCUAUAAGGGUGAUAUUUGAUAUUGCCGCUUUGCGGAAUCUAGAAGUUCAUCAAAUGGAUGUUAAGAAAACUUUUCUAAAUGGAGAUCUUGAUGAGGAGAUUUACAUAGAACAAACUAAGGGUCUUGUAGCUCUAGGACAAGAAAGAAAAGUCUGUAGAUUGGUAAAAUCUUUGUAUGGACUUAAGCAAGCACCAAAGCAGUGGCAUGAAAAGUUUGACAGUGUUAUGAUAUCAAAUGGAUUUAAAAUUAAUGAGUGUGACAAAUGUGUAUGUCAAAACCAUUGUUGAUGGAUAUGUAAUUCUAUGUUUAUAUGUUGAUGACAUACUCAUUGUUGGAAGUAACAAUAAAAUGGUAAAGCGUACCAAAAACUUGUUAAAUUCAAGAUUUGAUAUAAAAGAUAUGGGACUUGCUGACGUGAUAUUGGGUACCCAAAUCAAAAGGUCAUCUGAAGGGUCUCGUAUUGACUCAAUCACACUACAUAGACAAGAUUCUUGAUAAAUUUGGCAAAGAUGAUUUUGGUGUUGCCAGACUCCGAUAGAUAUAAAUCAACAUCUAUCCGAAAACAAAGGUGAAAGUAUUGACCAAGUAGAAUAUGCAAGAGUCAAAGACAGUCUAAUGAACCUUAUAAGUUGCACUAGACUUAAUAUUGCUUUCACUGUAAGCAACUUAAGUAGAUUCACAAGCAAUCCAGGGGAGAACCACUGGAAAGUGAUUGUGAAGGUACUGAUAUGUCUCAGAUAUACUUAGAACUACAGAUUACAUUAUUCCAGAGAUCCUGCUGUGUUAGAAGGAUUCUCUGGUGCUAGUUGGAUAUCUAAUAUUCAAGAUGCCAAAGGCACAAGUGGUUAUAUUUUCACAUUGGAAGGAGGAGCUGUGUCAUGGAAAUCCUUAAGGCAAACGAUUAUAAUAAGAUCCAUAAUUGAAUUUGAGUUUGUAGCUCUAGACAAAUCUAGAAAAGAGGCAGAAUGACUAUGAAACUUUUUAGAGGAUAUUCCUAAAUGGCCAAGGCUUGUGCCCACAAUAUGCAUAUAUUGUGAUAACCAAGCAACAAUUGGUAGAGCACAGAAUGUAAUGUAUAAUGGUAAGUCGAGACACAUGCGUCAUCGACACAAUACCAUUAGACAAUUAAUCUCAACUAGAGUUAUCUCUAUUGAUUUUGUAAGAUCAAAAGAUAACACUGCUGAUUUGUUAACCAAAGAGGUAAACUGAGAUCAAGUUGAUAAAACAUCGAAAGGAAUGAGACUAAAGCCUAUGAAUAUUUAAGGCGCUAUGUGAAGGAAAACCUAACCUAGUUGACUGGAGAUCCCAAGAUCUAAGUUCAAUAGGAAAACCUACUUGCAUAGACCUUGUGAGGUCACUGUGGGGGUUCUUAUCUUGAGUUCAUUCCUAUGAUGAAAACAAUGAUUAAAAUGUGGAAAAGGUUAACCAAUGCUUUUAAUGACCAUUGUUUGUUUCAGUGAAACAUACAACAUAAGUCACCUAUGUGAGAGUGAAGUGAAUUCGCUUCAAGGAGACUAUUGGGGCAUAAUUCUCUAAGCUCUUGUAGAACCAAGAGGAUGUUCACGGCUAUAUGAACAUACCCAUGAGAACCAAAAAUCUUGCCAGGGAGGUAUUUGUGUGAGGAACAUUAUCGUUUACACAAACGGUAAAACAGUUCAAGGACAUCGCGUCUACUGGUUAGCUGGUAAAGUAAAUAUACUUUCACAAGGGAAGGUUCAAAGGUUGAUGCCUACCUAUCCUAUGCAAAUAUCGAAUGUAGAAUCUAUUACCUCUUUGAGUCUUGUUGAUCCAUCAACUUCAUUUAUGUGGGGGAUUGUUGGAAAAUAAUUAUUGAGUGAUGAAUGAAAAUUAUUGAGUGAUAAAUGAUAAUUGUAUCUCUUGGUUUCUUAUUGCAUUUUCCAUAUAGUUGUAUCAUUUGAAAAAAUGUAUCUCUUGGUUUAAUAUUGAAUUUUUUCAUUAAUUGUCUCUAUUCACUCGUGUAUAUUAAUUUUUCAACAAAUCUCUUCAUUCAUUUCCUCUCCUCUAUAUAAAGCCAAGUUAGGAGAUUUCAAAAACAUAUCAUCAAAACUAUCAAUAUUAAAAUUUCCUUCUAAAUUCAUUUCUCCUGGUAAUAGGGAAAGACAAGAUUGUGUUCGAUUGAUCACUAUUGUUGGGCUACUAUUGUGAUCGUUUGUUGUUGCAUCCUGGGAGACAUACAUCCAACGUUACUCAAAGCACUGAGGAGAGGAUGAAUUUGUCUUAAGAAAACUAUUUAUACAGGCCUCGACAAAUUUCUUCUUCUAAUUUUUAACUUUGUCCGAUUACAGGUAUUCUGUUGUGUUACUGCUACUGCAUUGUAUUGCAUUAUCAUUGUUAUUGACAUAUUAAUACUACAUAUGAUAUGAAAUUUUCUUACAUAGCUCCGCCAGCAAACAUAAAUAUAUAACCUGAUGUUGAUUUACGUGAAUCAACACAACUAGAAAACUCUAAAUUGGAGUAGGCAAUCACCUUCAAAUUGCCUUAUUGUUGGUACGUAAGUAUGUAGUCCUUUGUCCCUUUAAAACAUCUCAAAAUUUUUUUUGUAGCUCUCUAGUGGCCAAUACCUGGAUUACUUUGAUAUCUUCCUGUCGAGACUAUAGAGUAGAAUAUUAAAAAAAAUGGCUUGAUUUUCCAUUGAUUAAGAAGGAAUAUAUAUACACAAAUUGGGCAACAUAUAUAGGAACUAUUCUAAAUUUAGGGGAUUGCAACUAAUUACAAUAUAGAGAACAUCUUUUGGAAUUAAUUCUCUAAUAUGCCCCCUUAAGAUAUAGCUUCGGAGGAGACACCAAUCUUGGCCUUUAAUUCUUGGAAGUGUUUUUGUGCAAGCGGUUUGGUAAGAGCAUCAACAAGUUGAUCUUUUUAAGAUUCUAUAGAGAAAAGGAUGGAGCAAGGUUUCUGGUUCCAUUCUGAACAAGAGCAUUAAAGUCAUCAGUCAUAGCUUGUGUCUGAGAUCUUUUAAGGCUUGGUUAACAGUAUGAGGCUCAACGUUUGAUCAUUGAGGAAGGAUAGCAGUGAGAGUCAUAUUGGUUAGGGGUUUGUGGAUGUUGUUUUUUGCUCUAGUGGUCACGGGAUAAGUAUUUUUGAUGGGUGGGUUGAGUUGUGGUUGAAGUAGAGUUAGUUUUAGAAUUGUGUAGUUCAAGCUAUAAACUUUUAAUUAAACUAUGUCCAAGUAAGAGAGAUUUGAGGACUGGGGUGAGUAAUCGAUUGGUAAGGGGGGUUGGGAAACCGUUUGGGCAUGUAGUGAUGAAUGUUGACAUGAGGAAUCCUUUUGUGGAGAUGUAUUGAGUGAGCUACGUGAAAUGGGGAGAAUUUGGAUUAAGGGAAGCCAUUUGGAAAUAAUCUCUGGAGUGUUACAAGAUAGAUGUGACUGGUGAGUAGUAAAGGGAAAGGAGUUUUCAAGAAAUUUGACAUGAUGAGAAAUAUAUGUUUUAAAAGUGGGCAGGUUAAGACAGAUAUAGACACUUUGUGUGGAAGAGUAACCAAGAAAAACACAAGGUAUGGAACGAGAGUUAAGUUUAUGUUGAGAAUAAGGAUGAAGCCACAGAUAACAUAAGCAGUCGAACACCCAAAGUUUAGUGUAGUUGGGUGGAGACCCAAAGAUUUUUUCANNNNNNNNNNNNNNNNNNNNNNNNNNNNNNNNNNNNNNNNNNNNNNNNNNNNNNNNNNNNNNNNNNNNNNNNNNNNNNNNNNNNNACUUAAGGAUCUUGUUUCUUAGGCAAUUUAGUAUUUCAUAUUAUGUUUUCAGUAUUGAGUACUUAGGAUUAAAUAUUAGUAAAAUAAGUGUUUUAGACACAUUUUGUGAAUGUUGUGACCUAUUAGGCUGACACGGGCCUUAGGUAGUGGUAAUAUGUUAAAUUGAGUGUGUAGGAUUGAUCUAUUGUAAUUUGGUGUAGUAGAUUAAACUAGUUUUAAUACUUAAGGAGCUUAAAUAUGAAAAGUUUCAUUAUGUUUUAGUUAGUUUUCUUAUUGUAGUUUGAAUUCAAUAAAAAGUGUAAAAUGAGUCUUUUUAUGACCUUUGGGGUCGAAUGAGACCUAAAGGUGAGCUAACGUACUUAGUGAGUGUGUAGGACACCAUUAAAAGGAAUAGGAACUUAAGGGAAAUUCAAUGUCGCAACAUAGAGAGCAGAAUACAAGAAUUACAAGACUGCCUUUGGUGUCACAACAUAGCCAUAGGAUGUCACGACACGCCCCUGAAUCUAAACUUGAACUAGAGUACACUGCCUUCAAUGUCACGGCACAGGCACUGAGUGUCACAACACCGACUUUGCAUGAGAAGAAUUAAGAGCGAGGGGCAUUUUAGUCCGCACAAUGAAAAUUAACACAAAAACGUCAGCCAACCUAGGAUUAAUGAUGAUGACAGAUCCUAACUCUAUAAAUAGGCUCAGUUAACACUUGUUUAGGGACAAUUUUUACAGUUUAGAAUUAUCUUUGUAAUUUUAGUUUUAGUUUUCUUUUCUUUUGGCUUUAGAUUUCUUUUUAUUUAUUUACGUUCGUGUUCUUCAGAUAACUUGAUUUGUAGACCCAAUCAAACUAUUGUGGAUUUUUACGCUUUCAUCAGUCAAAUACAAUCAGGAUUCUCUUAACCUUUAUUCUUGGUUUAUUCUUUAUACAUAUCUUAUUUAUCAAGUUUAUUGUGUUUAUGGAUUCCAUGAGGAACUAAUCCUCUUAUGGGACGUUAGUUAGUGGAGGUGUGAUUAACUAAUUACUAUGUAGGGUUCUUUUAGCGGAUUAGUUUUUUAGGAGAGGAAGAAAUUAAACCAUAGGCUUGACGACUCUAAGAAGUCAGUUAGGUGGGAAUUAACUCAAAAUUGGUAUGGCCUAUCUGUGAACACCUUAGCCCCGAAUCGGUCUAGACUGUGAAGUCGAGAGAUAAGUAGUCUUUCCCAACUCAUUUGUUUAGUGGAAGAUCGAGAGAUCCUGUUAGGGUAAUGACUAGUUGAUUGAAUAGAAACCUAAAAUAGGAAUUAGUUAAGAUCACUGAAAUGAGCUAAUUACCCAUGCAUAGAUUUGAUUAAGUUUAGGUUUCAGUUAUUUGAAGUUCACUUUAUUUAUGCCAUUUUUAUUUAUUUAUUUUUAAAAACCUUAAAAUCUCUUCUUUAUGUUUUCUCGCAAUAUAAUUUAUGUAAAGUACUAAUUAAUUCUAUUUGUGUUUAGGUUAACUUUAAUUUAGUACUCGUCUCCCUUGGGUACGAUCCUUAGAGUACUCACCUACUUUGUUGUAAAAAAUCUAUUACAACCUGACUCGUAUACUUAUGGACCCCACCUCAAUAUUAUAUCUUUAGUUGCAAUAUUCACACUCUAGACGUUAGUACAUCCAGAGGCGAUCAAGUUGGCGUCGUUGUUAGGGAGGCAAAACUACUAGAUUAAUUUUAAUUUUUGUGUUUUUAUAGAAUAAUUAAGAAAUUUAUAAAUUAUAUAUACAAUUUUUUCACUUUAUUUUCUGUAGCGCCCUAUUCCUAACCCUUAAGGAGGAUCUAGGAAUAGCGUGUUAUAGCCUUAAAGUCUUUUCCUUACAGAAAUGUAUUUGGCGGAACCUUAGGUUUUACAAAAAUAGUUAGGUAUAUGCUAUAGCAGUAAUAUAUAAAACAUUUAAGCUUAAGGACCCAAACACUUUUAAAACAUAAAACUUCAUUGUAAAUAUUUAAAGAAAGAGAACAGUUUGGCGAACACAAAUUUUAGUUACAAAAUAUUGUUCUUCAAAUUUCAAGCAUUGACACCACCCUCAUUUGUCAUAUGCAUAAUACAAAAUCACUAGAAGCCUCACACAAAAUGUAUCCUCUGGCAUAGUCCUUGAAGGUUCCUUUUAUUUCUUCGGUGGUCAUGAGAAGGGAAGAUAAACGGAUUAAGUUCAUAGAACUUAGUGAGUUAUAGAGUGACCAUUAGGAUAUCUAUACGUCACAGAGAUAGAAGGACUCUUUCCAACUCAGUGGAUCAUACAGUUCACCCAUUGGUGAAUUCACCACACAAAUUGACUUCAUGUAGCUCGCCUAUUGGUGAAUACUGAACUUACACAAACUUUAAUAGAAUAGGACUCAUUUUGGUGCAUACAUUGCGUCCAUGUAUUCAUGCAGACAACCUCCAUCGUGCUAGCCAAAAACCCUAAUAUAUGUUUAGAGAUCGUAUCGUUUGUUCAUUGCUUUUUCCUCUGUUAUGCUUUGCCAAUUUGGUUUGCAUUACACUCUCCCUACUAGAGGCUACAUAACAUCAUUCAUGUAUUUCGAUCUGUCGGUUCAAUGCUUUUUGCAAUGAAGGUAAUACCAUGAAUUCAUUUCUUUUGUUUUGGCCAUAUGGUUCCUUUUUCAGAGUAAGGUGGGUAAUGACUCAGAACGAAGUAAGGCCCUUUCAUUUCUUGCAUAGACAUGCAAAGCCAGACUUUUCACCAGACAUGUAAACUUACCUUGAACGAGGCAUGUACAACACACACAUUGGGUAUGAAGGAACUCGCCAGAAGGUGUAGUAGAGACUAAACAAUAGGUCCCUUGCCCUUUUCUUGAGAGCCUUUAGGAGUUUCUUGAGCUAUAACAUAAAUAGUUAACUUAUUAGACCAUGUUUUCUGAAGAACUAAACAAACUUUCAAGAACACUUAAUUAAGAAACCCGAAUCUAAAAGUUUCCUUCCUUUAAUCUUUAGUCUGUCUGUAAUGUAUGAAACCCUAGGAUCUUAUAAAUAAUAACAAAAAUAGCUAUAUUUUCAUCAUUAUUUACCAGGUUUUACGAUGCUUAAGUUAGUUGAUUACAAUGAGUUCUAAUCCUUCAAACAGGCCUUGGCUCUAACGCUUUCCCGAAAAAUGCAGAGAAAAUUUUGAAAGGAAGUAUGAAUUGCCAGAGAAAGUAUAGAAAUUGCUUAGGAAGCUAAGGUUGGCUUAUAUAGGUGCACAAGAAAAGGAAAACUUAGUGGACAAGCUUAUUUCCCUCCGCUAACUUUCUUUUGGUACCUGUGACUAAUAGUUUUCUCUUUCAUCUUAAAUGCAUGUCCUUUCAUUUUCAGAAACUUUGUCCAAUCCUGACUAGUGCUCAUUAGGCCACCUAAAUAGUUUAAGCAAAUAAUAAAAUAACAAUAUAUUUAUCGUUCCUACUAGAUUAGGGAUUUAACAAUAGGACUUACUAUUUUCAUCUAGUCGCUGGGGCAAUGAAUACUUUAUCGAAGAGUCUAGCAAACCUCAACGCUCUCCUUAAUCAGGGCUUUGUCCAAGGGCGUAUUCGUAGACCUUAAGUACCUAAUAAAUUUGUAAUCAUUUUCUUACUCGGGGGCCACAUUAUAAGCAUAAGUUCAAUUAACAUGACUCAGGUACUACACUUCGUCGGGCGAGAUGUUACAACUCUCCCCCGCUUAGGAAAUUUCGUACUCGAAAUUCAUACCUGAAAACAAUUAUAGAUAUUGUUCUUUCAUUAUGCUCUCCCUUUCCCAAGUGACUUCCUUAGUUUUAUGAUUCCUCCAUAGUACCUUUACUAAGGGAAUUCUCUUAUUCCUCAGCAUUUUAAUUUCCUUGGAUAAAAUACGGAUUGGCUCUUCCUCAUAAGAUAGGUUUGGUUCAAUCUCAAGCUAUUCAAUUUGUACCAUGUGCUCAGGGUUGGAUCUAUUCCUUUGCAACACUAACACGUGGAAGGCGUUAUGAAUCUUAGAUAGUUUAGGAGGCAAAGAUAAUUUAUAUGCCACUGGAUCACAUCUUUCCAGAAUUUCAUAAGGUCCCACAAAUCUUGGGCUUAGCUUUCCUUUUUGGCCAAAUCAUAUAAUCCUUUUCCAAGGGGAUACCUUUUUAUAAUAUUGAUUGUUUUUCCCUCUUUUCAGAAACAUAGUGAAUUCUUCUUCACUAUUUACUAUCUCUAACAAAACCUUUCACUAUUCAUUCUGCAAUGCCCUAAAAUUUUGAGAAUUUAAUUGUGAGAAUCUGCAGUAAUUAAUUUCUAUAUCUGUGGCUCUGUGUUCUGCUAUCGUGUUUAAGGUCUGGAGUUGGAGCCGCAUCGUUAAAAGUUUUAUUAUUUUUAAAACAACCCCUAUCCAUGCGUUACAAGUUAAGUGCAAUUCUGUGUGAAUCUAUGUCAGGAAUGAGCCUGUUGGUUCACUGGUUAAGCAUCUGUAUUCUAUAUGGUCCCGAGUUCGAAUCCCAUCAUAUGCAUUAGGAAAUAUUUUUCUUGUUGUCGGAAAACUUGCUGGUGGUUAAGACAAUAUGUUUCAAAUGUUCUUUUUCUUUUUCUUUUCCUCUUACGAUUUUCUUCCUUCCCUUUUAUUUUCUUUUUCCUCUUCUUUUGCUUUUGUUUUUUUAUAUAUCGUUAGAGCUCUGUUGAUGAUAGUUAGACUCUCAUUCUGAUUUGUUGUACGAGUUAGGUAAGUACAUCUUUUGUGAUAUCAAUUGUAGUAAUUCGUUAAGAGUUCUAAGAACGACGGUGUCAUAUUAUUGGUUGUUUGCGUUAAAGAAUGAUUUCGCAUUGUUAAACGAUAUUGGUUCCUUAUUUUAGGAAUAGGUGUUGGAAGUAGUGAAUCUUGGCAGGAUAAUUUGAGUAGUCACAAGUAAUCUUUCGGUAGGUGACAAUUUUGUUGAAGGUUUUGUGUCGACAUAAGUUUUUGUGUUUAAUUAUGCUUCAUUGGCGUUAAGGUCGGUUGAUUAAACGAUUGGAUGGUUGUUUUAGGUUUCAGGGACUCUCUAUAUUCGUAUUACUUCAAAAUCUCUUCAGGUGCGUAUUGAAAACCUUAAAUUCUGUGAUUUUCGGACGCCAAAAAAUGUGGCAGUCAAUGCCACACGGCUAGCUACAUGGGCGUGUGCCAGGCCAUGUGGGUGGCCGUGUAACUCACUGUUCAUUGAUUUGGAGCCAUACAAGUAAGGCACAUGGGAAUGUGUCAAGGCCGUAUGUGGCAUGUUAGUGUAGGGUUCACACGGGCAAGGACACGAACGUGUGUCUAAGCCGUGUAACUCUCUAUUUGUGACUUAGGGCCACACAGCCAGGGACACGGACCCGUGUCCAGGCCGUGUAACUUACUGUUUAUGUUUUAGAACCACAUGGGCAGAGGACAUGGGCACGUGCCCAGGCCGUGUGAGUCACACGGUCAAGGACAUGGGCGUGUUUCUAGGCCGUGUGGCAUAUAAAUAUGGUCUGAAUCUUGUUUUUGAGGCCAUGAGUGUUGCCCAACACUAAUAUUGACCUCCCCAAUGUGUGAAUGAUCUAAAUUUUUUUGUCUGAGAACUUUUUGAUGCUCUAUAACUGACAUAUGAAUAACAUAAUUGUGUAUGUACUAUGAUAGUUAUUUUUGAUAUUGAACUGUUCUAUCUAAUCGUGAAAUAAUUUAGAAAGACUGGACACAUAUUGUGUAUAUUUGUACUUUGCAUUUGCAUGGGUUAGGAUAUUGUGUAGAAGGAAGUAAUAUGCUCUGAAUUAGUGGUUAAGCCACAAUGCGUAUAAUUUUGAAUUUGGCGAUUUGUCGUAUUUUGAUCUAGCAGGUAAGCUGCGCCUCUGUAAACGUGUCAGACAUACACUCUAUGGUGUGUAGUGUUGGUUGGGCAUUGAACACCCUUAAUGGUGUGUUAGGAUGGCUAAAGACGGUGUGUAGAGGAUGGGGUUAGUAAUAUUUGCAUCCGAAUCUGAGCUGUUCUGUAUGUGAAAUUGAAAUUGCUUCUGCAUAUGCAACUGAUCUGUUCUGAAUCUGAAUUGAAAUUUUUUUCUAUUACUAAAACGAAUCUUGGGAUUCGAGAACUAUUUGAUAAAUUGUUCUAAUUGAAUGAACGUCUUUUAUGAACUGAGUUCACAACUCAUUUUUUUUUAUUGGAUUUCAAGUGGUUUUCAGACUUGAAUGGGUCGGCACCGCGAGAGUUCGGUCAAGCUUUUAUCUUUUCUUUAAAUACUACUAUUAGGGGUUUUGGUAUUCUAUGAUAUUAUGAUGUUUGAGAAGAUUCUAUACUUAGUUAAUCGUGGUGUUUAUAUUUUGUGCUGAAUGGUUAUUUUGACUACGUUAUAAAUGCGGUAUGUUUAAUGUUGAUGAUGUAACCCUCUGGACUUGGUUUGGACGUCUAGGCCGAUUUUAGGGUGUUACACAUUCUUAAUAAUUAAUACAAUUGUAACUAAGAAUUAAUUACAUUAUUCUUACUAAUUAUUAGUUUUGUAACUCCUAUUCUUGAAACAUUAUAAAUAGGAGUCUUUCAUAAUAGGUGAAAGGACUUUUAGUACUUUUGGCAUUUUCAUCAUUUUGAACUCUCAAAGUGUUCUCUUUGAAAUUCUCUUAACUUACUUCUUUGUUAAGCGCGAUCGGCAGCCAUAUUUCCUUUUUCCACUUUACUGACUAUCACCUACUGCUGCUAUUAGUGCAAUCGGAUCUUCUCCAGUCUUUCUUUUUGCCUUCUUUUAGUAUAUCUCUUUCACUUGUUUGCAGUGCUUCCUCUCUCUAUCAAAAGAAUCCUCUACACCUAUUUAUACCAAAAUCUUCUAACACCUAUUGGACCACAUUCCUAAUCAUCAUUGGUUAUCUACACUGGCCAAACCCCAUUAGUCGAAAAGAGGUUGUUUAACAUGAAUAGGGGUGCUCUAACACCCAUAGGUGUAGUGCCCCAGGUAUGCUGUGAGGUGGUUAAAUCCCCACACACUCAAUUCAGGCAUCCAGGUAGGUAAUCAUCUACCUGGCGUAUCUAAAAGACCCAUUAGGGAUGACAAGAUGUUGUCGGCACCUCGUCUAGUGGCCACGCAACUGGCUUGCCUGUCUGUUACCUUGUCUUGAGCAUAUUCACACCUACCUAGUUCAGAUGACCGUGAAUGUUGUUUAAUUAGGCCCUUGGCUUCCAAGAGUAAUUCCUUGACUCUGGUAACUUGCAUGCUCCUUGAGAAUGUCCAAAACUUAUUUAUCAAAAGAUUCCCGAGCUGCGGGUUUAGUGUUUCUUUGACAAUCUUCCUUGUCCAAUUGCUCCCUUGUAGAUCAUUCCAAACACCUCAAUCUCUUAGGCCAUGACAAGCUCCUUUAGCUUUAGUGAGUAAGAACUCACUCCAGUGUGAAGAUGUUUUUACAAAUAUAGCCCCACUUGUUUUUCUUUUUCAAUCUUUCCUUUAUUUUAUUGGAUUUAAAGGUAGAUAAUGAUCAGGUAAUUUGUUUCCCUAAUGCUUUUAUCAAAACAAAAUAUAGUUUAACUAUUUUUGAAUACAAAGUGAACACACGAACCUAUCCUAUGAACACCUAAUCCAAAUAGAUUUGUCAAUUGGUUGAGUUUGGUUAGUUUUGGUGUGAGUCAAUUAAUUAGAUCGAGUUUAUUUGGUUCUAAAGCUUUUAGGCCAAUUCAGGUUUGGAUAUAAGCUUGCCUCCAAGUUAAACUUGUUGUAUGGCAUUAAGUUACCUACAUGCAAGAAUCUGGAAGUUAGACCUAUCAAUUUGAGGUGGUAGUUGUUUUUUUAUAAGGAUGAAAAUAUAUGUUGCCAUUCUAAGUUACUUGUUAGUUGAAGUACAAAAUUGUAAAUGGAAGUGUGUUAUUGUAGCGAUUAGUAUGGUUUAACACUGCGAAAAACUGUGCAAACAAAACUAUAUAACACCAAGGAUUCCACUAUCUUUGAUUGAAAAUAUAACAAGUGAUUCACACUCUAUCACUCCUCAAGUAUAGAGAUCUCACCUUUCUACCUAAAGACUAGAGCACUUACCUCUAAAUUCUCAGCAAACACUCAAGAAUGUUUACAAUAACAGUUUGCACUCUCUCAUAAAACAAUUCCUCAAUGAACAUAUUAAAAUGCUCUCAAUAAGCUCUUAUAAAAAACCAAUACAAGCCUUCAAAUAUAUAUAAAUUUUGGCUACCUAACAUAGAAUCUAAGUGAGUAUAAAGUAACUCCGUAACCUCCUUAACCCAACCCAGAAGUUAUUGUUGGAUUCUGAAGGCCAUAUUGGCCACUGAAAUGACGCAAUAAAAAAAAUGACCAGAUUCUCAGAAACUUCCUUUUUAAAUCAUUUGCCUAUUUUAUUUCAAAAAAAUUGUAGUGGGCUUAUCUUAUUUUUAUUAUUCUUUUUUUUAUUUAUUAAAAAAACAUUUUUACAUGCUUAUAAUCACCAAUGUGUAGGUUCGUCCAAUUAUCUAACUUAACUAGUUUUAAUGAUAUUGCAUGCAAAAUACCAAAAUAACCCAGAAUAUCAAACGCAUACCAAAUUCUAUAUAAAAAUUAUUACAGUCCCAAAUAGUGAUAAAAAUUAUAAUAUUAAACUGAAAAAAUGAGACGAGACCUCCGAAUGCCGAGUUCAGGUCCUAACCUGUCAGGUAACCUAUAAGAUAGUUAUAGGGUUUGGGAAGCAAAAAUAAGCUGAAAAUAAAGAUAUGAGAGGGGAGGGAAUCGAAAUCUAAUCUCAAGGAUAAUUUCACUAACACUUAAUCAUUCGACUAGUAGCUCAUUUUCAUUUUAUGCUAACAAACACACAUAAGAUAACAUUAUAAAAUCGGGGCGUGACGACUCUCCCCUCCUUAGAAGAAAUUUGUCCUCAAAAUUUCCUGCUGAUAUACUAGUCACUUAGCCACAAAGUCUGUUAUCCUUCUUUUCAACCCAAACCAACACUUUUUCACUGCACAACUUUGAUUCCAACGUAAUUCUAGGCAAAACUUCACCCUGAACUUCUACGAACAUCUCUUAAAGAACUAAUUACAGAAACAUCACUAAUAGAUUCCUCCACCCCAAAUUCCCAGUUUUAACAGAAACAUUAUUAACAUCAAACAAUUGAGUAAAACCAAUAUUAAUCAAUACAAAGUACAAAUUUUGAAUGGAUCAUAAAAUUACCUGCAUUGAUAUUGGAUACGUCUCGGUCCUCUCAAUGCCUAGCUCCAUAAAUCAGUGUCGGCUAUCUAGCUCGAUUUUGAUCGGACCCCUCAAAAAUAACUUUCUAGCUUUCUGAUUUUGAAUCUGAUUCUAAGCUUGCAUCUGACCAGGAGGAUGACGUGGACAAUCUUUUAUUUGAUGCUCGACAGACUCACAUCUGAAACAUACACCAAUCUUUUUGUAACACUCACCUAGAUGUCGCUUAUCACAAUAUCUAAAAACCUGAAUCCUUAUUAAUCUAAUAGAACCUCCAGUAUUAGCUCCUACAUUAAAUUGUUGUGGUUUCCCUUCUCUAGACUAUAUCAAGGGUCGUAAAUAUAAGCCAGUAGGUCAUGAAUCCCUCUCAUGUUGAACUCUAUUCUUUUCCCUUUCCUCACUUUCCCAGUGCUUAGUCUUCUCAAUAAUCUUGGUUUUCUCAACCGAGGCCUCAAACACUCUUUCCUGAUGCAGGGCCACUUGGAUUUUCAAGUCAUAUCUCAGCCGAUCUUCAAACUGUAGGUUCUUGUCCUUCUCAGUCAUCAGCAUACCCAGAGCAUAACAGCUCAAUCUAAAAAACUUAGCCUUAUAUUUGGCUAUUGACAUGUCUUAUUGCUUAAGUUCUUUAAAUUCAAACCGACGGGCCUUGACAUAUGAAGUAUCCACAUAUUUCUUUUGAAAGGCCUACUAAAAGUAGGUACAAGUUAUAUGAUGAGCCUGUAUACCUCUAACCAGUGAUUACCACCAACGAUAGGCUUCGACCCUUAGAAAGGGCACAGUACCUUUAACCUUCUAUUUUGGAGUGCAGUCCAUAUCCUCUAGAAUCUUUUUAGUGGUCUCUAUCCAAUAUUCUACCACUAUAGGGCUUGUUCAAGAAGACCCCUAAAUAAUUCGGCCUUAUUAGAUCGUAGCCUCUCAGUAAUAAGCCCACUGUUUCCAGUCCUAGUCUGGGCUUUUUUCCAGCAACCCUUUGUAAAACGCUUAACAUGGCUUGGGUCACAGCCUCAUCCCAAGACUCUUGAUUUUCACCUUCAGCGAUAAGCGCAUCAACGGUGUUGUUUGUCUUUAGGUCAGGCAUACAUCCUAAAGAAGAAAAUGACUCAACUUUAGCCACUUGACAUCGCCCUUCACGGGUUCGCAUACCACGAGCUCGUGUACCACUAUAUUCAUAGCUGAUUAUACGGUCUUAAGUUUUAUCUACAGUUUGAGAAAGAUACAAACUCUAAUUAAUUCUUGAAAGUUUUCAGUUCUAAUGUUUACAUUUUUAAGCAACACAAUCCUUAGUGUUUGUAUAUAAUUUCACGCGUACUAUGAGGUCCGACAUUCAUUUUUUAAAAUAACACUGUCUUUUUUCCAAAUAUUAUGGCAUGUUUUUUUCCAGAAUACCACUUUUCAAAAUCAUGCAAGCAAACUCAUUUAAAACCUCAGGCUGAGUUUAUGAACCAAGCUUUGAUACCACCAAAUAUAACCUCCCUAACCCGACCCGAAAGUUAUUGCCAAAUCCUAAAGGCCACAUUGGCCACUGAAAUGGCUCAAUAAAAAAAUCAGAUUCUAAGAAACUUCCAUUUUAAAUCAUUUACCUAUUUUAUUUCGAAAAAACUAUAGUGAACUUCUCUUAGUUUUAUUUUUCUCCUUUUUAUUAAAAAAAUUCUUACAUGCUUAUAAUCACAAAUUUGUAGGUUCGUGCAAUUAUUUAACUUAACCAUUUUUAACGAUAUUGCAUGCAAAAUACAAAAAUAACCCAUAAUAUCGAACCCAUACCACAAUCUGUUUAAAAAUUAUUACAGUCCCGAAUAGUGAUAAAAAUUAUAAUAUUAAACUGAGAAACUGAUACAAGACCUUCGAAUGUAGAGUCCAAGUCCUAACCUCUUAGGUUACCUAUAAGAUAGUAAACUAAGGGAAUAAGCUAUAAAGCUAAGUGUGAGUUUUAAUCAUAAGAAAUCAGUGUACCAUAGAUCCCAAAAGCAUGCAAGUAAACAGAGAGAAUAUCUUAACAGUGUCAUAGAUCAUAGUGUUUCAGAAUAUACAGAAUCACAGAGUUUUCAUCAUUUAUGAACAUGUCCCUGAAUGUCAAUGUAGUUUCCAACCCAUCAAUCAGCUCAUUUUGUAUAAACCACUAGUAACAGUAAAUAUUUACAAAUAAACUACCAGUAAUUUACGGUUAAACCACUAGUAAAAAGUUAGUAGACAGACCGCUAGAACUUCAAACAAUACUCUAGUGUUGCGGCUAUAUCGCUAGAACUCUAAUAUUUGUGGAUAAACCACUAGAACUCCCAUAUUUAUGGAUAAACCACCGGAACUACUCUGUCACCAAUCUUCCCAAUCCCAUGCAACAGGAUGGCAUAACAUGCAUGAAAGAAUCGGAUACAAUACAAAAUAGUGGCAUGUAUUAACCUGCUAUCAGUAACUCAGUAACAGUGGCAUACUUUACAUGCGAUCAGUAAAUACAAAGCAAUAGGCAUGCUCUCAUGCAUUCAGUAAAACAAGUAAUAAAAAUACGAUAUCCUAGAUUAGCAGUUUAUACUUAUUCAAUCGUAGCAGACAACCCUUAGGCACAAUCGGGCAAUCAUAGAAGUAAGCACAAGUCACAUUCAGCUGUUAGGGAUAAGGGCACAUAUGUAUUUAAUUUACAUAGUCAAGGCUCGUGACAUUUGAUUUCCACAAUUUAGGGUUCAUGGCAUUUGGUUAAUCUUAACUUGGUGAUGCAGUCGUUGAAAGCACCAAAAAUAUCCUAUCCCUAAUAAAUAAUGAAAAAGAAUAGUAAAAGGGAAGUAGGGUCAAAUCCUCAGGGACUGGACUUGCAAAAUAUCUUGUUCCGUAAAAUCCCAGGCAGAGUCUUGCCCAAGACAACUUGCGUGCCUGAAAAAAAUAAAAUAAAAAAAUAACAGAAUUAAAUGUUUGGAUUUGAAAACGAAAAAUAAAAUAAAAACAAAUUUAAGAAUAUUGAAUCGAAAAUUAGAGAAAUUAAAAAUAGAAUUGAGAGAAAGAAAAUUCUUAUGGGAGAUUCCAGCCUCCAAUUGUCUCGUUCCACCUUGGGUUCAAUCCUCAGCUUUUAGAUGAUCCUUCCCAAACCGAAUAAGCCAGUUAUAGUGGAAGAGGACGCCUACGACCACCAGCUCCAAGGAUUUAGACUUACGAUGUGGUGGAACCUGACUCUAGCCAAGAAUCGCUUCUGUGGGAUCGUCUUAUGCUAGAUCAACGCUUCUCAAUGGCAAAUCCCACGCCAUUUUGUCUCUUGGGCUCGCCAACCUCUGACGCAGUAAGCUAACGAACCGACUGUGCAACCUUCCCAAAACAUACAAAGCGGCCGCCUUUGCAUACGUUGAAAAGCUUACUUCUUAAGGGACAUGGACGAAAGCGUCAACCCCGUAGUGCAGAGAAACGAUGAAUACUCAGCGAGGAGGCUAAUUAUGAAUUCUAAGCCUCAUGAACUCUUUUGGAGAUUUUUGACAACCUUCGGCUAGAUGAGUUUAGUGGCUCAUGGUUGUGGUACAAAAGAAAAUAAAUAAAAAAAUAAAGAUUUUAUUAAAAAUAAAUAUGAGAAGAACAAAAGGCUAAACUUUUGGGGAGAGAGUGUUUUCAGAAAAAUAUCUGGGAUCCCCUUUUGAGUCACUUCACCCCCUAUUUAUAGUGCUAGGGGGGAUAGUCUAAUCCUGCUUAAAUUCCUAAAAGAUAAAUACAUUUAAUUGAAGAUAAAUAAAGAUAAAAUAAAAUCCUAAAAAUAAUCCUUAAUAAUUAUCUCAAUAUUAAUUAUCCUAAUAUAAUUAAAAUAGAGUUUAAUAGAAUAAAAUCUCUUCUUUUUGCAUUUCAACCCUUGUGUCCUCCAUGCUUGCACUUUUGGCACCAACUUUUCCUUGUGUCACACAUUGGCCCAUUUUAUCUCUAAAUUCACGCUUUUGGCCCUUAAUUUUGCUUUUGCCUCAAAUUUAGUCCCUAUGAGAUAAAAGAUCAUAAAUAGCUCAAAUUAGCAGGAUCAUACUCAGAAUAAAUACAUAAUUAAUACAUAAAAAUACGUUAUUCUAGAGUGUUAUCACUUGGUAACAUACACAAUCGGUUAAGUCUUAUAAUAUUCACCAUACAAUCGGCCACCCACAUACACUUACUUGACAUUCAGCCAUAGCACAAGAAGACAUACAUAUUCGAACAACUUGCAAAACAUAUGCAUACAUAUUCAACCAACUUACAAAACAAAUACACACAUUCGACCAUGGUAUAAGGGUUACACACACACACACACACUCCAAUCACAAAUUUUUAGGACACAUACCUCAAUACACGUCCACAAAGCACUGUCAAUUGUUCGAAGCACCACUACGAUUCGGAUCUGAAACUUGGAUAUGAAAUACACACAAAACAAAAAAAAUAAGAUUUGGUGAAAUACCAUAAUAAGAUUUGACCAACACAAGGAAAAAGAAAUCAAAUACGAGAUUGGAUUUGAUUUUAAUAUCAACUUACUCUUCCACCAAAUUGUAGAUCUGAGAUGACAAUUGAUCAAAGAAUUCAAAUGUCCACCAACAAAAACAUUAAAUAAGCUUCGACCAAAUGCAAAUUGUGAUUUCGACAACAAUAAUAAUGAAAGAAUAUGAGGGAAAAAAUGAUGCGACAAUGGUGAGAAAAAAUCAACAGAGAUUUGACCACAAAUAGGGCAAAGUAGAAGAAAAAAUAGAGAGAAAAGAGAUGAACUGAGUGCAACAAAAAUUCGAUAGCAAUGGUGAAAAGAAGAGGUGACUCAAAUAAAAGUAAAACUCGGGUUUAGGGAUAGAAGAACAGAGAAAAAAAAGAUAAAAUUAAAUAUGGGAGAAAUAGGGAAGAGGGGUGGCAACAAGAAUGAGCAAAUAAGGAAGAAAAGAAAGGCUAAACAGGAAAAAGAAAAUAUAUACUAGGGUUUUAAUAGGCUUAUGCACGACACACUCUAGGGUUUGGGAAGCAAAAUUAAGCUGAAAAUAAAGAUACGUGAGGGGAGGGAAUCGAACUCAAGUCUUAAGGAUAAUUUCACUAACACUUAACUAUUAGGCCAAUAACUCAUUUUAUGCUAACAAACACACAUAAGAUAAAAUUAAAAAAUCAGGGCGUGACAAACUCCUUAAAAAUAGUUAUUACCAUAUCAACAUUCAAAGCACAAUUAAUCAAAGAUAUUCUCUCCAAAAUCAACAAUGCAAUUUCGAUCAAAUCUCCACAUUCUAAGUGUUGAAGUUGACUCCUAUUUCAGUCAAAUUUGAGAAAUAAUAUUUCAGUUAAACUCUGUUUAUUUGUUUCAAUCAAACUCUGAUUAGUCUAGAUUAUUUUAUUAUUAUUUGACCUAUGAAUUUAGCUUCACUACACCAAAACAGGCUUUUAGCGGCGCUUUUAGUGGCGCUUGGAUAAAAAACGCCACUAAAAAUCGAGCAUUAGCGGCGCUUUACAGAAAACGUAGCUAAAGAUUGAGCAUUAGCGGGGCUAAAAAAAAGAAUUAGCGACGUUUUUGAGAAAAUGCCACAAAAAACCUAAGCCCAAUGACAUCGUUUUUUGACCUUUCGGGGCUUUAGCGGCGUUUUUGGAGAAGCGCCGCUAAUGCUCUGGGCUUUAGCGGCGUUUUUGGAGAAGCGCCGCUAAUGCUCAGGGCUUUAGCGGCGUUUUUGGAAAAGCGCCGCAAAAACAUUUUAUCUGUCUAAUUACUAUUUAAAUUGUUUAUUUAUAUUAAUUAAAAUUUAAUUUAUUUUUAAUUGAAUGUUUGUUAAAAAUGGAAAAAUUAAAAUAUUAUUAUUUAAAAUAAUUUUAAAAUUUUUGGAUACAUGACUGAUUGAUUUUUAAUUUAUAUAUUAAAUAAUUUCAUAUAUAAUUGUAAAAGAUACGAUAGUAUUAAUUUUAAAAUAUUUAAUUAAUUAUCAUUAUAGUUUAGGGUUUAAUAUAUAUGGUUUAGGGUAUAUGGUUAAUUUAGGAUUUAAGGCCGGUUUAGGAGUUACAAUUUUAAUGUUUAUAUAUUAUGGAAUUAGGGAUUAUGGAUUAGAGGUUCUGGUUUAAGGGUUGUGAUUUAGGGGUUAGGGUUAGAGAUUAAGAGUUACAGAUUUAAGGUUUAUGGAUUCAGUGUCAGGUUAGGAUAUAAGCUUUAGAUUAAUUAGUGUGGUUUAAUUUAUAUUAAAUAAGGUUUAGGGUUAGGGGUAGGGAUUCGAGUUAUGGUUUAUGGUUUAGAUUAAUUAGUGUUUUUUAAUUUAUAUAUUAAAUAAGGUUUAGGGGUUAGUAGUUAGGGGUUAGGGGUUUAUAGUUAGGGGUUAGAGCUUAGAGGUUAAGAGUUAGUGAUUUAGGGUUUAGAGAUUCGGGGCUGGGUUAAGGUUUUGUUUAGAUUAAUUAGUAUUUUUUAAUUUAUAUAUUAAUUAAGUUCUUAUAUAACUGUCAAAGAGGGGUUAGGGGUUUUAGGGUUUAUGUUUUAUGAUUUAGGGCUUAAGAGAUAGGGGUUAAGGGUUUAGGGUUUAGAUUAAUCGAUGUUUUUUAAUUUAUAUAUUAAAUAAUUUCUUAUAUAAUUAUAAAAAAGAUAAUAUUAAUUUUAAUAUAUUAAAAUUAGGAUUAUAGUUUAAAUUAUUUAAGAGAUAAUAGAUCAAUUUUAUAUAUAUUAAAUGGUUUAGGAUUUAAGGUUUACUUUAGAUUUGUUAAAUGAUGAAAUUUUAUACAAUUAAUUAAUGUUUUUAUAUUUAAAAAUAUUUAAUCUAAAUUUAGAUUAAAUGGUUUAAACCAUUUGAUAUAUUUAAAUAUUAGAUUUAAAAAAAUUGAUAAAUAAAUAAAUUCAUGUAACAGAUUGAUCAUAUGGAUAGGUAAGUAUAUAUUUUGGAUAGAACCAAUUUAUAACAAAUAAAAAUGAAAUACAAAAACUAAAAUCAUUCCACAUUGAACAUGUAGCAAAAUAGCNNNNNNNNNNNNNNNNNNNNNNNNNNNNNNNNNNNNNNNNNNNNNNNNNNNNNNNNNNNNNNNNNNNNNNNNNNNNNNNNNNNNNNNNNNNNNNNNNNNNNNNNNNNNNNNNNNNNNNNNNNNNNNNNNNNNNNNNNNNNNNNNNNNNNNNNNNNNNNNNNNNNNNNNNNNNNNNNNNNNNNNNNNNNNNNNNNNNNNNNNNNNNNNNNNNNNNNNNNNNNNNNNNNNNNNNNNNNNNNNNNNNNNNNNNNNNNNNNNNNNNNNNNCUAUUACCCUUUCCCCUCUCCCUUUCUCUCUUUCCUCUUCACCUGACCCUAUCAAAGGAACCCAGCUUUCCAUCUCGCUACCAGAUGACGAUGUUUUAAACUCCUUCUUCAUCGUUUUCUCUACUUCCCCUUCUUCUUCUACUCUCCAAUGGCUAACCGAAAAAUACGAGUCCCCACCCAUUCCACCAAACAUGUUUAUCUUGUCUUUCAGAACAAAAGAAACAACACCACCAGUCUAAGCCUAAACAGAUCCGAGCUUUCUAUUUUGGCUAAACCAAUACUAUAGCUUGUUCUAUACUGUUGGUGGGUCUGUUUGUUUCCAAAGAUAACUUCACUGCAUUUUCUUUGCUUUUUCCCAAUGGAUGUUUUCUACCUUCUUUCUUUUGGAGGUUAGUUAGCUUUUUUUCUAGGUUUUUAUUUCUAUUUGGAGUUCUUUUCUUUUGGGGUUCUUUUCUGGGUUUAAAUUUGAAACUUAGAUUGCUUUUCUGGAUCUGCUACUUCUUUUAUUUCUUAUUCCAUUAUUCAGGCAUAUAUGUUUGAUUAUGUGUUAAGGCAUGAUAGAUUGAGACCUGAUAUAUGUAUAUGUAUGUAUUAUUCACCUCAUUACCUUUGCAAGGAUUAAAGAUUGUUGAAAUUGAUAUUGUAAAUAUAAAUUCUCUAAGUGGGAAUUUGUAAUAAAAUAGGUAGAAAGAACACCUGGCCAAGGUAUUAAAGAAUGAUUUCUUACAAGUUAUUAAUAACCUGGAAAGAUAGGUGAUAAACUGUGUGGUUUAGGACAACUUGCUGUCUGAAACUUGAAAGUUUUCGCCUUUUUUGUUGUUUAAAAUAUACUUUUGAUUUCAAUCAUUUCAUAUAGAAUUCCACCAUAGAUGUUCAGUUUCUGAUACUAUCUUAUAUCGUUAAUUCGUAGUUAACAUAAUAGUUAAUACAGUACGGUGGAAGUGAGUGAGGCCCUUAUAAUCGAUUUACAGAAUGGAACUGUGCUUCGGUUGGUUCUUAUUUGUGUCUCGAUUCCUGUGAUAUUUGCUCAAGAUAUUAGUCAUGGAUCGAUUGUAGUUGAUGGAACUAUGACUGUUGCUCAAGAUGUUAGGCACAUACAUAAUUUUUCAUUCACUAUAUGUCAUAUUCAUGGUAGGCACAUACAUACAAUCAUCAUUUUUGAUGCAGUCAGUUGGUUCAAGGAAAUCAAGGAAGUGUAACUGCAGCAUUGCAACAAAUUCAGGCAUUGAUUCUACUAACUUUUUUUUGCUANNNNNNNNNNNNNNNNNNNNNNNNNNNNNNNNNNNNNNNNNNNNNNNNNNNNNNNNNNNNNNNNNNNNNNNNNNNNNNNNNNNNNNNNNNNNNNNNNNNNUCAUCUUUUAAACUUUUUUUAUUUUAUCUGAUUAAUAUCUUUUUUGAGUUUUAAUUUGUACUAUUUUAAUCAAAUAAAUAUAAUUUUGAAUGUAAAAAAACAUUAAAGAAAAAUAAAAAUCACCAUCGUUAUUAUGCUAAUAUUUUUAAAAUAAAAUCAUGGUACAAAAGAGAAAAGAUCAACUGUUCUCAGGUUAAUAAUUUAUAUUAUGUCUAUUACUUUUGGUUAUUUGAUUGUCAGUUCUCUAUAGACCGUAGAGGAAAUGUAAUUUAUUUUCUUGGUUACAGGUUGCUUUUUACCUCUGCUAUGUCAUAAUGUUUUAUAAAUUGGAUAUAAGUGACUAUUUAAUCUUUGCAUUUUAAGGAGGAACUUAUCUGUUAUUUAUUUUAGAAUUGUUUUUCUUUAGCUGAAAUAACCCUUGACAAAUGUGACAUUGAAUUCCUCACUUGUAUUAGAUUUGAUGAACUGGAGACAGCAUUGAUGGAGAUGGUUAAGCAGGACAAUCGACGCGAAUUAUGUGCUAGGGUAAACUGGAAUAUGUUAUUCAAUUUGCCAAAAUUUACAGUCAAUUGCCGACUUGUUUUUAAAGAUAAUUAUAAAACUAUGUAAUUCCUGUCAUGCAAAUCAUUUUGCUUACUUUUACCUGGCACCUUAGGCUUCUUCAUGAAAUUUAAUGUCAAUAUGCCAGAACUUGCUAAAAAACCCGUGUUUCUGGUUUUCAUGAAUCAUGAAUUGGAAGUUGCUAGUUUUCUUAGCAGUUUGAAGAUUAUUUUCUUCUAUCGAUAUGUAUGUCUUUAUGAUAAUGAUGUUUGUUAAAUAUUUCAUAGAUCUUAAUGCGAUUUGAGCAAGAUCAAAAGGAAACGGAAGAUGCUUGUAGAUUUGCCGAACAAAAUCCAGCUGCACAGAGAUAUUCGUGUUCAAGUUUCUUUUUUUUUGUUUAUAAAAUUUCCCCUCAAACAUACCUUAUUGAGGCACUUGAAUUCUCGAAUCUUUUAUUUAUGCAUACUUUUAUGUCUGCAAGUAGAAGUAUAGACGUUUUGAUAAUACAGUGGCGUCAUAUGCCUUUUGUGUUAGAAUUUGAAUUGUUCCCCCUAAACAAUUUUCUCUAUGUACAGGUUUGAUUGUGGCAUGUUUAUGUAUUCUAUAUAUCAACUUCUAUAGCAGAGGCUUAAGUCUUUGUUUUGAGCAGGUAAGUCCAUGGAACAAUUUUUUAUCCUUGUAGUUCAUGUUUUAUUUUGAUUUUUCUAUGAUUAAACUCUAGUACUCAGGGCAGUAGUUGUUGGGAUGUAAAAUCUAUUGUCUAUCUGCCUAAAUAUAUGACAAAAGGCAAAAGUACAUAUUGAAGAUACUCUCACAUGCACAUUCAUUCGUUUGAAACACGAUAUCUAGUCAUUUUUCUUUGAACUGAGUUGGAUUUUUCCAUGCUUAUGUAGGAACACAUGCCUAUGCCCUAUUUUUGUUUAAGGACCGCCAAGGAAAUUCUAAAACUGAAAGCUGAUUGAUCGGAUGUGUAUGCCGGCUUUCAUCAACUACUUUCGAAGGCCUUACUAGGAAUUGAAAUGGUGUGCAAAGAGAUUGCUUCUUCUGAUCUGAUUUUUCGAUAUAAAUACUAGACAUUUUACUGCUGUUAGUAAAAUAGGAUUCUCUUCUUAGGAUAUUAGUUUGUUCACUUGUAUUAGACUCAACAAUGGCUUGCAUUGCAUUGGUGUUGAUUUGACUUAAAUUUCGAGGUUUACGAUUUUUAAUUUUUAUUAAUUAUUUACGUUUUCUCACUUUUAUUAAUUUUUAUUUUUAUUUAAGCUUCCUUUAUUUGCCUUCUUUUAUCAUUUUCAUAGAAAAAUUAAUUUAAAUAAUAUUUUUUUAUUUAUCCUUAAAAGUAUAUUUAAAGUUCAAAAUUUAAAAAUAAAACAUAAUAUAAUAUUUAUCAUAAAAAUAAAUAUUAUUUGAUUAAAAUAAUUUUUUUGCAUGAUAUGUUUUUAGCGGCGUUUUUGCGAGAAGCAUCGCUAAAGGUUUGUUCUAUAGCGGUGUUUGUGAUAAAAAGCGCCGCUAAAGGUCAUGUUCUUUAGCGGCGUUUGUGACAAAAGCGCCGCUAAAGGUCAUGGUCUUUAGCAGCGUUUGUGGGAAAAGUGCUGCUAAAGGUCAUGGUCUAUAGCGGCAUUUGUGUGAAAAGCGUCGCUAAAGGUCAUGAUCUUUAGCGGUGUUCGUGGUCUAUAGUGGCGUUUGUGGGAAAGCGCCGCUAAAGGUCAUGACUUUUAGCGGCGUUUAUUUCUAAAAGCGCCGCAAAAGUUAGUGACGCAUUCAAUAGCGGUGUAUUUUACGACGCUUGUCAAAGCGCCGCAAAUACUUUUAUCGGCGCUAAAAAACGCCGCUAAAAGACUGUUUUCGUGUAUUGCUUAUAUGUAACACCCCAAACCCAGCCUAGACGUUAUGGCCGAAUCUGGCGAUGUUACAUAGAAAGGGAUUUAAAGACAAGAUUGUCAAGUUUAAAAACUGUUACAGUAAGUUAACUUUUAUUUAAUUCGAAAAAAAAUAGUUGAUUUGCUUUAAAACUUGUCUCUUUUAUGAAGCUUUUGUAACCAAUUAAUUUAGGGAAAUCGUUUCUAUUUACGUAAAACCUUAGUUUUUAGAAAAAAAUCAUGUUUUGUAGAGUUGCAGUUUAAAAAAAAAUCCAUAAAAACAAUAUAAAGUCCCAAAUUUAAAGCCAUCCAGUCCAUAGUUUAGAAGAUACACUACACCAGAACAGGUUUUUAGCGGCGCUUCUUAGCGCCACUAAAGGUGUUUGCGGCGCUUGUGGAAGCGCUGCAAAAAAUGCUGCUAACGACAAUGUCGCUAACAUUUGCAGCGUUUACAGAAAAAAACGCUGCUAAAGGUCAUGUUCUUUAGCGGCGCUUCGAAAAAACGCCGCUAAAGGUCAUGUUCUUUAGCGGCGCUCAAAAAAAAGGCGUCGCUAAAGAUCAUGUUCUUUAGCAGCGCAUAGAGAAAAACGCCACUAAAGAUCAUGUUCUUUAGCGGCGCUUAAAGAAAAACGCUGCUAAAGAUCAUGUUCUUUAGCGGCGCUUGGUAAAAACGCCGCUAGAGAUCAUGUUCUUUAGCAACGCUUUCUUCACAAACGCCGCGAAAAGAAAUGUUCUUUAGCGGCGCUUUCUUCACAAAUGCCGUUAUAGAACAUGACUUUUAGCGGCGCUUUUAUAAAAAACGCCACUAAUUUUGGGAUUUUUGUAAAAUAAAAUUUUCUAUUUUUUCAGCCCUCCUGUAACAACAAAUCAAAAGCAACCAGAUCUAAACCAGCCAAAAGAAAUAAAUUUAUAUAAUAUUUAAAAUUAAACGAAUAGAAUAAUAUUAAUAUCAAUAAAUAAAAGUGAAUUCAUAUUUUUCUUUACAAAAAUGUUAAAAGUUAAAAUGAUAAAAAUAUUUAUGCAAUACACUAUGACGGCUGAAGUUGCGACUGCUGAAACAUCUUCAUUAUAAUCUGAAGCUGCUGUUGAAGUUCGUCGUACUUUUUGCUCUGCUCUACUUCUCUCGAUGCCGCAUCUGCUUUAAGUUGUAUCUGGAGUUCUUCAUAUUUCUUUUGAACCUCUGCUUCUCUCGCUGCAGCUUCUGCUACCCUCGCGGCCGCCUCUGCUUUAAGUUGUAGCUAGAGUUCUUCAUAUUUCCUUUGAACCUAAACUGUGGUCGCUUGCAUCUGAGCCAUCUGGUCUUUUAACCUCUGAACUUCAGCUUGAGCCUGACUCCCCGAAGCCAUGUAUUGCUGUGAGCUUUAUCCAAAAUAUUGGGUUGGGCUAACAAAAGAUCCUUGAAAUCGAACCCAACCAUACCUUUCAGGAUCCAAAACUUUAGUAAUAAUCCGGUUAUCAAUGUCUUCAGGAUGAACAGAACUAUCACUAGAAGCAAUCGCUUCGUACUCCGCCUUUUUAUCCUUUAGUUUUUCCUAAUAAAUAAAUCACAUAGUUAGGAACGCAAUAUAUAUUAAAAAAACAAAUGCAACAUAACAAUAGUCAUAUUACAAGCAAUGAAUUAAACCAUUAGAAAAUAAAAACUAUAAAUAACUGAAACAAGUCAAAUCGUAUUAAGUAAACGUACCAUAAUUUCACCAGCUUCAGAAGUCAUAGCAGAUCCAUCUUUCUUCCUAUGUGUAAUUUCAAAAAGUUGAAGGCAUCCAACUUUUUGACCGAACGACCGUUCCUACAAUAUAGUAGUAAAAAUAUUAUUUAAUGGAAAGUUAUACAUAUUUGACAAUAUUAAAAAAUUAAAAAUACCUCCGCCUCAGCUACACAUGCAAAACUUCUCGACCCGGCUGUGUGAGUGAAUUUUUAUUUCUGCCUGCUGCUUUUCCCAACUUGUUCAUGAUCCUACGUUAUGAAAUUUUUAGUACGUAAAUAGUAAAUACUAUAAACCAAAAUAAUUACAAUAGUUUGGAAUUACGUCAUACCUCGCUUUUCUUCGAAUGCCAAAAUCUAACCGCAUCUUCCCAUUAGUACCUCAGCAUACCCGGCGGGACAUUUUUCAAUUUCUCAUCGAGGGUUGUUUUUGUCUUAUAAUAAUAUUUCUUCAAAGUACUUUUGUGGUCUCUCCAUCUUUUUCCCAAUGCCUUCUUUACAUAAGCAUCCGAGAUCUCUAAAGCAAACCUCACUUGCAAAAAACACAAGUUAAUAAAGUAAAUAUAAAUGAAACUAUUUCCCAAGCAUUACAGAUGACAUUAACAUUUUGUUACCUUAAUAUUAUCGAGGGCUUGGUUUUUGUUGCUGUCGGGCAUUUGAUGCCAUGACUCGUAGUUGAUAGGCAACAUAUUCGUAUUUCGUGCUAAAAUGCCCAUGUAUCCUGCUAAAAGUCGAGCUUCUGAUCUAACAGGCUGACCAAAACUGUUUCUGCAUACCUUGACACGCUCGACUGGAUCUAACUCGUAUAAAUCUCUAAGUAGUGUACGUCCUCGACCUCUGCUCGUCCCACCAUUUUCAGCUGCAAAUGGUAUAUUAUAAUAUAAGAAUUUGAAAAAUAAAUCAAUUAUAAGUCAACACACAUGUAAAUUAAAUGUAAAAUUACUUUGAAUUCUGUAGGAUUUUCAGGUGUAAUCGGAACAUUCGAAGAUCCAAUUACUGUCUGUUGUUCAAUACUAUUUGUUUCUGUCGAGUUUGGAUAAUUUUGAACAAUGCUUCCCCUUGGAAUUUUUCUUCUAGGCAUUUUAUCUGCAAUACACAUAAAAUAGUUGAAAACUUAAUAACUAAUUACAAUAAUAACAACACAUAUAAAAUAGUUGAAAUAUAUAAUAAGACCGAGAUUUAAAUUAUGAUAUUACAUAUAAUUAAACAAUCGUAAAAUCUUACUACGUCAUUAUUCGUAAAUAUCUUCAUCCGUAUCCUGCGAACCCAUUGAAAUUGUUUACUAGUACUAGGGAUAUUAUCGUUUAAGUUUUGUUCUGGAAAGGGCAAAGUUUCUGAUCUGUCGUCGAUGUUAUCUCUACUUCCACUGCCCAUGUCAAACAAGUCUCUAGGGAUGUUACGGAGUACAACGUACCAACCCUCAUCAGUUGGAUCUUUUGAGUAAAAAACUUGUUUGAAUUGAGAUGAGAAUACAUACGGCUCAUCUAUCAGUUGUUGUCCUGUGUGAAUCAAUCGAGCGAAGUUCACCAUUGUAAAAUCAAAUUGAUCUUGCUUAAUUCCACGAGUAGUAUUAACAUCGGCCCAAUCACCUCGAAAUAAGACAACUUUCCAUUUGCCGUAGUAAUCCAACUCAAUUAUGUCAGUAAGAAGUCUGAAAUAUUCCAUAUUUCCCUCGACAGGAUUAUUGUCCCUAGCACUAGCAUAACUUGUAAUUGAGAAAUUAACAACUAUUCCAUAAUUUUGCGUUCUCCUCAACCUCUCACGAUAUUUUGUAUGAAAUCUGAAUCCAUUGAUGAUGAAUGCACUAUAUCUUUUAACCACUCGAUUUGGACCUUGGGAGAGCCAUUUAACUUCGUCGUUUACGUUCUUCCCACUCCAAACCUAUUGAAUGGAAAGUAAACUGAGUAAUUAAAAAUGUUAUGAGAAAACAUUAUUAUUUGUAAACAUAAGCUCUGCAUACCGUUUGGCUUAACCAUUCAUGAAAAGAUUCUGUAAACAACUUAUUGAUAUCUCGAUGUUGUGUUCUACGGGAGCACGAACGAGAUCUCAAUAUUUGUUCGUACUCACUAUGUUAAAAAAAUGUUCACUUUGUUAGAAGAUAAACAAAUUUUAAUUUGAUAAAUAUUUAUCAAAUUUGUAGAACUUACUUCUGUAAAGGUUCCAUUGAUUCGUGGUGAAACAGAACAUAUCAAUGUGCUUGUACCCACGAUAAGUGAUCUAAUUCUGCAAUUUCAACUUUGCCGAUUGGUUCUCCAAAACUUUGGAACAAAUAAGUAUCGGCGAAGUUAUUGUCCGUGAGUCCAGCAUUCCUAUUUGGUCUGUUCAAACUUAUUUCAACAUCUUCCAAAUAUCUUGAGCAGAAGGUCAUACAUUCCUCUGUCAAGUAGCCUUCAGCAAUCGAUCCUUCUGGAUAUCACUUGUUACGGCAGUAAGACUUUAAUUUGGAUAGGAACCUAAACACGAUAUACAACACUAUCAAAAGUUGUAACUAAAGGCAUAGAGGUGAAUGAAGGAAAAUUUUAAAAAUUUUAAUUAACAUCUUUCUAUGGGAUACAUCCAUCGAUAGAAAACGAGUCCGCCAAGAAUUGCUUCAUGCGGGAGAUGGAUUAUCAAGUGAACCAUAAUGGUGAAGAAGGAAGGUGGGAAGAUUUUCUCCAUGUUGCAUAAAGUCAAAGCGGCUCGAUCUUGUACCUUUUGAAGUUCUUGAACAUCCAAAACUUUGUCACAAAUGGCUUUCAUUAUAUUGGAUAGUUCAAUUAUACAAGACGUCACCUUCUUGGGCAUACAACAUUGUAAAGCAACUGGCAGUAAUUCUUGCAUCAAGAUGUGAUAGUCAUGUGAUUUUAUAAUCUUCGAUCUUUAACACUAACACAUAGAGAUAUAUUGGAUGCAUACGCAUCUAGAACCUUUAAAUCCUUCAACACCGUGCAGAACACUUCUUUUUUCGUCUUUGACAUUGAAAAAAUAGAAUGCGGCAACCGAUAUUUCCCAUUCGGAAUUGGAUUGGGAUGAAGAUCAGUCCGAAUUCCCAUUUGGACUAAAUCAAGUCUACUUUGAAGAUUGUCUUUCGAUUUUCCGUCGACAUUCAAAAUUGUACCCACAAUGUUCUUGCAGACAUUUUUCUCAAUGUGCAUAACAUCAAGAUUGUGUCGUAAAAGGUGAUGCCCCCAAUAAGGCAACUCAAAAAAAAUACUUCUUUUUUUUCCACAAGUCCGCCUCAUUAGGAUUGUCCUCUUCAUCAGAGUCAUCAUCAGCUUCAUCUUUUGAUCUUCUAUUUCUUUGCGUGUUUGGCAGUUGGUUCAUCUUCCCAUAAAUGAAAUUCAUAUAUUCUAACAUGAUCAAGAUUUCAGACCUACUGGUCUGCGAAAGAGCUUCUCUGAACUCUUCAGUACCGUCAAAUACAGAACUCUGAAAUCUAAAUCUAUGAUUUUUCGGUAACCACCGACGAUGCCCCAUGUAAGAGAACUUCUUCCCAUUGUACAACCAUUGCGAACAUGUUUGUGUAGCACAAUAAGGACACGUAUAACGACCUUUGGUACUCCAACCGGAUAAAUUGACAUAAGCGAGGAAGUCAUUAAUGGUCCACAUCAGAGCUACACGUAAAUUAAAGUUCUCCUUUCUCAGCACAUCGUAUGUCUCGACACCAGCCCAUAAUUGUUUUAAUUCUUCAAUAAGUGGCUGUAAAUAAAUGUCGAUAUCAUUCCCGGGCCCUUUCUCUCCAGGGAUAAUCAUAGAUAAGAUAAGGGAAGAUUGCUUCAUGCAAAUCCACGGAGGCAGAUUGUAAGGAACAAGCACUACUGGCCAAGUACUGUACGCAGUGGUCAUGAUCUUGAAAGGAUUAAAUCCAUCAGAUGCUAGCCCAAGCCUCACACUCCUAGGAUCGCUUGCAAAGCUUGGAAAUUUAUUGUCAAAUGAUUUCCAAGCUAAAAAAUCUGUUGGAUGCCUUAAUAAUCCAUCAUCGGUUCGUCCAUCAUGGUGCCACGUCAUAGACUCCGCUGUCUUGGACGACAUGAAAAGCCUUUGAAGCCUUGGUAUAAGGGUAAAAUACCGCAAAAUCUUGAUUGGCUUCUUUCUCAACUGUGCAUCAUUUUCAUCGUCGUUCCCAUCUUCUGUGUUUCUAUUUAUCUAACGGGAUUGGCCGCAUACAUGACAGCACUAUUGGUUUUUCCGAUCGCCCCAAUACAACAUGCAGUCAUUUGGGCAACUAUGGAUUUUGUUGUACCCAAGGCCAAGGCCUAAAUCUUUUAUCAUUUUCUUCAUAUCUUUGCAUGACCGAGGGAUUUUUGCAAACAAAAACAUUUCUCUCAAAAACUUUAACAGCAUUUUCAAUGAGUUUCCGGUCCACCCUCUCAAACAUUUUAACUGAAAAAGACGAACACAGAAGGACAUUUUUGAAAAUUUUGAUCCCUCAUACAGUUCUUCGUUCAUGUCAUUAAGUAGAGCGUAGAACUUCACUGCUUUUCCAUUCGGCUCUUCAUGAGGUACACUACUUCUCGGUUUGGUAAAAGCAGUUCCACCAAUAUUACAAUCAUCAGAUGCCAUAAAAUCUGCUAGGAACGAAUGCACACCAUGGUUGUGCAUAUUAAAUGCAUCCCACAACAUACCUUCCAUGUCAUCCCCUCUAUCAGACUGAUGGUAAGCAGUACUAGGAUAAGAUACAUCCAUCAUUGAAGAGGAAGUACUAGGCGGGCAUUCUCCGUGAAAUAACCAUUGUUUAUAACCCCGAACAAACCUGUCAACAAUUAGAUGCUCGUAUACAACCUCACGAUAAUGCCAGUUUAUGUUGACACACUUCUUACAUGGGCAAAGAAUCAUGUUCUCUUGGCUUGCAUAUUGAAAUGCAAAAUUUAGAAAAGUCUGUACUCCAUUUCGAUAACCGUUGCUAACCCUUGACAAAUUCAUCCAAGACCGGUCCAUUUCUUAAUUCUUGAAGUCUGAUGUUGACAAUAAUUUGCACGGGUAAGUUAAAACGCCAGUUAUAACCAUAAAUGAGUUAUGUAAGUUAUGAUAUGAUAUAUUUUUAUGUAUUAUGUAAGUUAUGUAAGUUAUGUAUUAUGUAAGUACUGUAAGUACUGUAAGUUAUGUAAGUAAUGUAAGUAAUGUAUUAUGUAAGUUGUGUAUAAUAUUAAUUAUAUAAGUUGUGUAUAAUGUAAGUUAAGAAGGUUAUGUAUUAUGUAAUUUAUUUAAGUUAUGUAAGUUAUGUAAGUUAUUCAAUUUAUGUAAGUUAUGUAAGUUAUUUAAUUUAUUUAAGUUAUGUAAGUUAUGUAAGUUAUUCAAUUUAUGUAAGUUAUGUAAGUUAUUUAAUUUAUGUAAGUUAUGUAGGUUAUGCAAGUUAUUUAAUUUAUGUAAGUUAUGUAAGUUAUGUAGGCAAUGUAUUAUAUAAAUAAUGUAAGUUAGGAAGGUUAUGUAUUAAGUUAUGUAAGUUAUGUAAGUUAUUUAAUUUAUGUAAGUUAUGUAAGUUAUUUAAUUUAUGUAAGUUAUGUAAGUUAUGUAAGUUAUUUAAUUUAUGUAAGUUAUGUAAGUUAUGUAGGUUAUGUAUUAUGUUAGUUAUUAUGUUAUUAUAUGUAAUAUAUAAAAAGAAUAUAAAUUUUAGUAUUUACGAUAUAAUAUUUCUGUCGAAAAUUUAUUAUGUUUUUGGCACGAAUGAUUGCAUUUUUUGCAUGAAUGUAGCAAACCAUAUUCCUUUCUAAGUUGCUGCUGGAAAAUAUUAACAUGCUAGAGAGACUAUGAAAAUUAUGUGUUCAUUUUCUAAGCAUUGCAAACUGUUACCAAUUAAUUAAAAUAUUUCAUUUCAAAUAAAUAAAACCUAACACAUGAGGUACAUCUUAUGAUUACGAAUCAGAUUACAAACCAUAAAUCGAAAUUUUAGAAACUGAAUUUAUAGUUUACAAACCACAAACCGAAUAGGGACUAAUUGGUAACAUGGAUUCUAGAACACAUUGACCCAUUUCCAUUCGGCUAAAUAAAUUUUAGUUUCUUUACUAAUGUAUCACUUUGAUAUUAUCUCAUUUCAUCACUUAUACUUAUAUAUAAGUAUAUGUAUAAGAAGGUAAAUGACAGUUCCCAAUCCAAUCUACUUUAUAUAAUCCCACAUGACAAUAAGAAAAUGGAUGAAAGAUAAUUUUAACAAACAAACAAAGAGUAUAUAUAUCGAACUUAAAAAUCAUACUAAAAAACAACAUGGCGUAAUACAAUUCAACUUAAAAAUCCAAUUCAUUACCUGGAAAUGUAAUCGGCUGUUAUUAUAUUUAACAGAACAUUUUUAUAAAUUAAUAAAUUAAACCCUAAACUAGACAUCAAAAUUUCAUACUAAAAAAAUAGUACCAAAUGAUUUCACCGACACGAACAAAGAAUAAAUGGAAUCUUAACAUUUAACCCGUUACACUGAUAAUGAAAGUAAUGAAAUUAAAUGAAAGCAUGAGUUCUGUACCUUCAGAACGAUGAAGAAAACUGAAAUGAAAGCAACGAAAUGGAAUGAAAUGAAACCCUAUACACAAACAACAUAACAUCAGUUCCUAACCAAUGAAACCAUUCCCAAAAUAAAUGAACAAUCGAAGCAUUACAGUACCUUCAGAAGGAUGACCAAAACAGUCGAGGACCAAAAACCCUAAACACAGAGAAUAAUUUUUUUUAAUUCCAGGAUCACCAACCAAUAACAAAGCAAAAAAAUAAAAAACUAAAAAAUAUGAGAAAACCCAAUGUAUAAAAUACGCAGCAUUGAUUUAAAUGCAUAGAUGCAAUUGGCGAUUGCCAAGUUUAAAGCAAAGUCAAAUCCCCUAAUAUUCUUGUCUAUGAAGUCAAAAGUUUAAAGCAAAGUCAUAGUUUAAACCCCCAAAUCAGUAACUUACCUUUGUAGAAGAUCAACAACUCCCCAAGCCUUAAUCCUCCAAUAGAUUAGUUGGUCUGUGACCUUCACCAAAAUAAUCCAAAAGAUUAAUAUCGAAAAUAAACCUCAAUUCAAAAAGGUAACAAAUAACGAAAUAAAGGGCUUUAAUCGAAAGAAAUAUAACCUUAAUCGAAACAAAUAACAAAAAUCGUGCAAUGUGGAAACAAGGAAACUUAUAGUGAAUAGAAGAAGCAGACGACAGAGAAAGCGGGUGGCAGAGCGACCGCCGGAGUGGAGACGACUGCAAUGACAGGGGGAAUUUGGGGAUUUGGGGAAAUAAAAUCGAGGAAAUUGGGGGAAAAGGAAUUGGGGGAAAUGAAAUCGGGGAAGUUGGGGGAUAGGAAAUGGGAAAUUAGGGAGAUGAAAUUGGGGAAAUCAGAGUGGGGGAGAACUAAGGAAAUUCAGCGCUAAACAAACAACGUCGUUUAAGUUAGUUCAAUUAAAAUUUGCGGCGUUUAUCAAUAGUGCCACUAACGCAUUAAAAAAUCCCAUAUAGAAAACGACAACGUUUAGCCAACACUAAAAACAUAUUUGCUGCAUUUAUAAUAAAAACGCCACUAAAACAUAUCCUUUACCGGCGUUUUAGUACAAACGCCACUAAAAUCAUAGAUAAAAACGACAACGUUUAGCGAAAACUUAUAACAUAAUUGCGGCAUUUUUAUAAAAAACGCCACUACCACAUAACCUUUUGCGGCGUUUUUGUAAAAAUGCCACCAAUAAUGUAGAUAAAAAUGACAACGUUUACAAAAGACUAAUAACAUAAUUGCGACGUUACCUGAAAAUGGCACUAACACAUAUCAUUUUGCGGCGUUUUGGCAAAAAUGCCACUGAAAACCUGGAUAAAAACGACAACGUUUAACAAAGACAAAAAACAUAAUUGUGGCUUUUUUUGUAGAAAUGGCACUAAUAUAACUCCUUUUGCGGCAUUUUAGUAAAAACGCCACUUAAAAAUCAGACUAAACGAAACCGUUUUGCUAUCUUUCAAUGAAUAUUUGUGGCGUUUUCACGAAAAACGCCACUACUGGUCAAACUUAAAAUUAUUUUCAAAUUAUUUUAAAUAAUACUAUUUUAUUUUUUUCUAUUUUUAACAUAUAUUUUUCUAUGUUUUUAGCAUAACCCUUAAAUGUGGAAAAAUAAAAUUUAAACCCUAAACCAUAAGCCCCUAACCAUUAAACUCUAAACCCGUAACCUUUAAACUUUAACCUCUUAAACCCUAAACAAUAAACACUAGACCAUAAACCUACACCAUAAAUAGUAAACACUAAACUCUUAACACUAAACCAUAAACCUUAAACUUUAUACCUUAAACAUGCACCCUAAGCUAUAAACCCUAAAUUAACCUUAAAAUCGUAAAUCAUAAAUUAUAAACCCUAAAAUCAUAAACCUUAAACCUUAAACCCUAAACCCUAAAACCUAAACCAGUAAACCCCAUGAACCCUUAAACCCCUAACCUAUAAACCCUUAAACCCAAAACUCUAAGCCGCUACCCCUUAGACCCUAAGCCCAUAACCCCUAAACCCUAUGCUCCUAACCACUAAACACUAAACCAUAAACCACGAACAGUAAAUCAUGAACUCUAAACUUAAAACUCUAAUCCCAAUAUAAUAAACAUUACUUCAUAAAUCCUAAAACCCUAAACUAUAAAAAUUAAACCUUAAAUACUAAACACAUAAACCUAAAAUAAAUUUAUUUUUACUUGUGGCGCUUACAAUAAAGCGCCACUAAUGUCUCUAAACCUCCACAACAAAACGACGACGUUUGCUUAAAUAUAUUUGCGGCGCUUAACAUAAAGCGCCGCUAAUGCUUGACAUCUGCGGCGUUUUUAAAGUUGCGCCACUAAUGUAACUAAACCUUAACAACAAAACGUUGCUGUUCGCUUAAAAAUUUUGUGGCGCAACGUAAAAGCGCCGCUAAUUAUUGAAUUUUGCGGCGUUUAUAUCUACGCGCCACUAAUAUCUUUAAAAUUUGAAAAAUAAAACGACGUCGUUUGGCUAAAACUAUUGCCGCUAGUGCUUGACAUUUACGGUGUUUUCCCAAAGCACCACUAAUGUCCCUAAGCACAACAGGAAACGACGUCGUAUGCUUAAAACAUUUUGUAGCGCUUCCUCUUAAGCGCCGCUAACGAUUGACUUUAGCGGCGAUUUCUUCAAAGCGCCACUAUUGUGUCUAAAACUCAACAAGAUCAAAAUGACUUCGUUCGGUAAAAUCUUUUAUGGUGAUUCAGGAAAGCGCCGCCACUAUUGUCCCUAAUACGGCGCAUACUUAAGACAUUUUCCGGCGCUUCCUCUAAAGCACCGAUAAUGAUUGACUUCAGCGGCGCUUCUAUAAAAGCGCCAUUAUUGUGUCUAAAAGUCAACAAGAAACGACGUCGUUCGGUAAGAAAUUUUGUGGCGCUUUGGGGAAAGCGCCGCUAAUACAUGAUAUUUUGCGGCGCUUCUUUAUAAACACCACUAAUGCAAUCAAACGUAAACCAAAACGGCGUCGUCUGUUAAUCAGUUUUACGACACUUCUUUAAAAGCGCCACUAAUGUCUUUGAAGCUGACAAAGAAAACGGUGCCAUUUACCUAACUCUUUUGCGGCGGUUUUGGUAAAUUGCCGCUGUUGCCUAUAAUUUACGGUGUUUUUUUUCACUCACCGCUAUUGUUCGGUUUUUUGCGGCAUUUUGUGUUAAAACGCCGCUAUAGACGUCGCUAAAGAGCUGUUCUGGUGUAGUGAUACAUCAAAAACUCCAAAUAAGUAAUAAAUUCUAGGAAUUAACAGAAAAUAGUCUAAAAUUUACGUGUGGCCACCGUCGAGUUCUCCGCUGCACUGACCCUUCAAGUCUGAGGAUUACCUGUACAUAUUAAAUAGAGAAAGGGUGAGUUUUCACAAACUCACUGUGUAAUCCCCACAGAAAACAUGCAUACAAUCAAUAUAAUUCAGUUAGAUACAGUGUAGGGCUCGUGCCCAUCACAGAGUCAGUUUGGGCCUUAGCCCGUUCAGAUAUAGUCUCAGAAAUACAUUAGGGCCUUGGCCCAUAUCAGAUACAGAAUGUAGAUAUAGUAAAUCAGAAUCGUACCCACCAGCCUCUACACAUCAUCUCCGUCCAACCCUACACACCAUGUGGGGAUUAAAUCAACCCACCCAUCCCUACACACUAUGCUGUACCAAAAUGCAGCACAUAAUUAGAAGGUUGCAGCUGAGCUGCUAGAUAACAGGCUUAAUAGCCUUUCGGACACUUCCUCCAAAUAUCAUCAACCCACCUCGAUGCAAUGAAACAUACAAAAUAUAUCAUGCCAUUAUGCAAUUAAUAGUACAUACAUUCAAAUAUCAUAAGUCAUGCUCGGUAUAGAAAUCAGACAGACAGAUCACACAUAUAGGGGUCCAAGUAAAACUUAUCGACCCUAAAGUAUUACUCUUUUAAAUGAUUUAAAGAAUGUUGAGGUUCAUAUUGAUGAUGAAGAUCAAGCUAUGCUAUUAUUGUGCUCUUUACCCCCUUCAUACAAGUCUUUCAGGGAAACCCUGAUUUAUGGCAGAGACAAACUCUCGUUCGAAGAUGUGAAGGGUCAUUUGUUGAGUAGAGACAAACUCGACAAUGAGCUUCAUUUGGAUAGCAAGACAGAUAGACAAGCUUUCGUUUUGAUAGCAUCAAAGAAACGAGACAAAAGGUGUCGCUAUUGUAAAAUGUUAGGUCACGUCAAAGCAGAUUGUUAUAAACUGCGAAAUAAAAGAGCUGCUGAGAGUAACGAGGAAGAUGAUACAGUCGACUUGGGUGACCCGUGCAACCUUACAGAACUUUUUAAAAAAAUGGGCUCACACGCCCAUGUGGCCCACUCGGCCCAAAUUGGCCUUGGCCACGAGAUCCAUUUUUAAGGUAACAUGUGCUAGUUAAUUAUUCAUAUAUGUUUUCACUAUUUACUUAUAUGUUCCUUCAAAGUUGUCUAAUUGAGUCACUAUUACUAAAUUAUUUAUAUCCUAAGCUACAGAAUUCUGAAUUAAGAUCUGCCUGAUGUCUUUGAAACUAGACUCAAAUAGCUUUCUACCAUAAAAUUUUCAGAAUUUUUGGUUUAGCCAAUAAGUACAGUAAAAUCUUCAUACUUACCCCUGUUCUGUUGUCUGACAGCUUCGUCCCUUCUUUGCUAAAAAUUAACUAUCUCUUAGUACAAAAUUUGGAUGAUGUUUCCAUUUGUUUCUAUUGAAAAUAGACUCAUUGGUAAUUUAAACAUGUAAAUUUUAAUCCCUAAUUAUUUUCUCCAAUUUUUGAUGAUUUUCCAAAGUCAGAAUAGGGGAACCCGAAUUUAAUCUGACCUUAUCUCACAAAGUUUAUUAUACCUCACGAUUUACAAUUCAAUUACUUAUAUAGUUUAUUCUAUGAAAAACUAGACUCAAUAAGCUUUAAUUCCAUAUUUUUUUCAUCCUCUAAUUUGAUUUCCACAAUUUAUGGUGAUUUUUCAAAAGUAGCCUACUGUUGUAAUUUUUCAAUAAGCUUUAAUCCCUUUUUUUUGUGUUUUGAGUACAGACCUGGUUUUAUUUGAUGCUAAAAUAGUCCCGAGCACUCCAAAGCCUAUAAUCAAGAAACUCAACAUUAAUUUAAUGGAUUUAUAAUCGAAUUGACAACCAAAAACGAAUCGAAACCCAACUUAUCACCAACGAUAACCCUCCGUUUAACUAUUGUUCAGACGAGAACACUGAAUUUACUAGUCCAAGCCUCCCCCUAUGCCCAAAUCACAGAGAAAAAACAUUACCACUUUAGUCGUUAAGAGAUUCAUGACUGAAAUGAAGAGAAACAUUUACCGAAACUAAGCAAGCACUAACCGCAUGUGAAAACGAAGGAAAAUAAAUGGAUUAGGGAAAAUCAAGAAGAAGAAAAAGAAGAGAAAGAUGGAAAAACUCAAAGAAUUUUGGCAAGAGGAGAGAGAGAAGAAUAUACGACAUAUUUUUUUUGAAAAAAGAGUCAAAAUUCGGUUAUGGGAAAAAAAUAAAAUAGAAUCCUGAUAACCCCCAAAAUCAUGUCCCCUAAUUCCCACUACAUAUCCACUACUCAGAAUUCCCCUAUUACACAACUCUAUCCCGAAAUCUUAGCAAAAAAAUAAUACCCUUGCUUGCAUAAGGAUUCGAACACAAGACCUCCACCACAAUAACACACCAUUUAACCACUAGACCAACAGGCCCAUUCUGAUGUAAUUUACCCAACAAUCAAAUAAAAGCCUACUAAACAAGAGUAAUGCCUAAUUCAUUCAAAAUACCAAAUUUUCCCAAGCGAAUGCUUGAACUUAGGACCUCCCAAACACUCCCAGGACACAUAACCACUAAAGCUGACAGAUAUUUGUGCAUAUUUUCAUAAUAACAAAAUUAGAAAUUUUGAGGUGUUACAUUAUAAAUAGGCUCUUUUACAACCUUAGAAAAUACACCCAUUAGGGAUUAGAACUCAUAACACAUUUAGAGAAUUUUGUGUUUACGUUUUGAGAGUUCUUUGUUUUCGGGUUUUCGGGGUUUAGUUUUUAUCUCCAUCUUUUGUGCUCUUCAUUCUUUUGCCAUUAUAAUAAAAUUACCUUUUCCUGUGGUUUUUUUAACUUCUUUGGAGGGGUUUUUCCACGUUAAAUUUGUGUGUUCAAUUUCUCAAUUUAUUCUGCUAUUCUUUUUUACUUGUUGCUUAAUCGGGUCGAUCCCAACAAGUGGUAUCAGAGCUAGUUUAAUUUUUAUAGAUUAACACAUUUAGAGAUGUUAGCUACAAGGUUUGAAAUUGAGAAGUUCAAUAGUGAGACAAAUUUCAAUCUGUGGCAAGUUUGGAUGAUAACAAUUCUAGUUCAAACAGGCCUGAAAAAGGUUGUUACUGGGAAAAAGCCUGAGAAUCUAAAUCAAACAGAAUGGGAAGAGCUUGAUGAAAAUGCCUUAUCUGCAAUCCAAUUGUGCCUUACGAAUAUGGUAUUGCAGGAGGUAUUGAUGGAGAAGGCCUCAUCCGCCUUGUGGAAAAGGUUAGAAACUCUUUAUGUGACUAAGUCUUUGGCUAACCGUUUAAUGUUGAAACAACGUCUAUUUACGUUUUGCAUGAACGAAUGUGAGCUUCUUAAAGAUCACAUCAAUCAAUUCAUUACUCUUUUAAAUGAUUUAAAGAACGUUGAGGUUCAUAUUGACGAUGAAGAUCAGACUAUGCUAUUAUUUGCUCUUUACCCCAUUCAUACAUGUCUUUUAGAGAGACCCUGAUUUAUGGAAAAGACAAACUCUCGUUCAAAGAUGUGAAGGGUCAUUUGUUGAGAAGAGACAAACUCGACAAUGAGUUUGGUUUGGAUAGCAAGGCAGAUAGGCAAGCUUCCAUUUUGGUAGCAUCAAAGAAACGAGAUAAAAUGUGUCGCUAUUAUAAAAAGUUAGGUCAUGUCAAAGCAUAUUGUUAUAAACUGCGAAAUGAAAGAGCUGUUAAGAGUAACGAGGAAGAUGUAGCUGAUGCUAAUUUGGCCGAUGAAAGUGGUGAUGAUUUCUUGUUAGUGUCAACGAGCGAUAACUCAAAGCUCACGUCUGAGUGGAUCCUAAAUUCAUGAUGUUCUUUCCACAUGUGUCCCAAUAGAGAAUGGCUCUCCACAUACAGUUCUGUUGAAGGUGGAGUUGUGCGCAUGGGAAUGAUUCAUCUAGUAAGGUAAUUGGUAUUGGUAUUGUUAAAAUUAGGAUACACGAUGAGACGAUUAGGACACUCUUAGAUGUCAGGUAUAUACCUGAUUUACAAAAGAAUCUCAUCUCAUUGAGUAUUUUAGAAUUGAAAGGAUUCAAAAUCAACAUUGAGUCGAGCGACAUUAAAGUAUCUCGUGGAGCUCUCAUUUUGUUAAAAGGUAAAAGAACCAACAGUCUUUAUAUUCUGGAAGGUUCUAUAGUGACCGGUGAAUUGAACGUCUCUCGUCCGUUACGGAGUCGAAUUCAACUCGUUUGGAGUGGAGGCAACUUGGUCAUAGGAGUGAAAAAGGUAUGACCGUUUCGUUGAAGAGAGGUUCUUUUUUGGAUGUAGGUUUUGAAAAGUUAGGGCAUUGUGUUCAUAAAAAUCAGACUCGGGUUAAUUUUAAUUCGGUAGUGUACAAGUCGAAGGCUAGAAGUCUUCCAGUUUCUAAGCAUAGAUUCAACUCAAUUAAUUCUCUGCAUAGUUCAAGAUAGGCCUGUGGCAGGCUUUGGCAAAGAUGGCAUUGUGAAAUAUGAGUCAAGGUGGAGAUUUGUUGAGUAUGACUCCUAUUUCAGUCAAAUUUGAGAAAUAAUCUUUCAGUUAAACUCUGUUUAUUUCUUUCAAUCAAACUUUUAUUAGUGUAGAUUAUUUUAUUAUUAUUUGACCUGUGAAUUUAGCUUAUAAAUAGGCUUUUUUACAACUUUAGAAAAUACACCCAUUAGAGAUUAGAACUCAUAACACAUUUAGAGAAUUUUGUGUUUACGUUUUGAGGGUUUUUUGUUUUCGGGGUUUAGUUUUUAUCUCCAUGUUUUGUCCUCUUCAUUCUUUUGCCAUUAUAAUAAAAUUAUCUUUGCCCGUGGUGUUUUAAUCCUCUUUGGAGGGCUUUUUCCACGUUAAAUUUGUAUGUUCAAUUUCUCAAUUUAUUCCACUAUUUUUUUUACUUGUUGCUUAAUCAGGUCGAUCCCAACACUAAGGAUUUAAUUGGUUCACUUGAAUCCAAUUCAAUCUUCAAAAGUCAAUGAUUGAUUUCCAUAGAUGGACCAUAGUAUUUUCAAUAUGAUAGUACAUUAACAAAUCCAAAGAUAUUUUUCAUUAAACUGUCAAUCCAAAUAACACAAGUAAUUAAACUACCUUAGUGGCAAUGUGUAGUGAGCACUGCCGAGUGCCACUCAGCAUCAAUCGAUUCAUCUUGCCUCAACAACAUGUAUAAUAUACCUAUAAGUAUGAGUUUAGAAAAACUUUUGAAUUGACAAGAAUACCUUUUAUUUUUAACCAUAUUACUAAAUUGAUAUUUAAAAAUAUUUAUAAUUUAAUUUAGAAUUAUUAGUUAUAACUUUCUUUAUUUAUUAAGAAUGAGCUAUGAUAAUUUUAUUCACUCUAAAAUUGAAUCAUAACUUGAAUAAAAGUCUAAGCAUACUCAUUCUAAAUAACUAAUAAAUUAAGGUUAAAAUAUUAAAUUUAAAAAAUCCAAAUCAUUUUUAUUUUUUACAAGUAAUUUUUUAUUUCCAUAUUUAUUAAUGAAAUAAAAAUAAAGUUAUAACUUGAACAGAAGUCUAAGUAUAUAUAAAAAAGAUUCUUUUUAUCUUUUAAUUACCACUUAACUAGUGUUAGAGUUUUAUAUCAAUUAAAAUUUAAGUUUAAAUCUAUAAAUAUAAUUUAUUAUUAGCAUUUAAGAAAAAUCAUCAGUUCAAAGAAAGAAAGUGGUUAGCAUUAAUAAGUUCGAAGGUUCUCAAAAAGAAAUAUUCAAAUGACAAUGGCACUCGAGAGCACCAGAAAGAUAUGUAAGAUUAUUUUAUCACCUAACUAUCUUGGAUUUUGGGUGUUUCCGUUUUUACAUUAAUCAGCUGGUGACCAAAAAGGACAAUUGAAUAAUUGGCUGACCAUUUUGUAACUUUCAUAGUUGGAUGAUCUAAAAAGAAAUGUACUAUUAGUUAAGUGAUUACUAGUGUAGUUUGUCCUAUAAUUAAUUGUGCAUGCAAUAUUUAAACAUAAGAUGAUGUUCUAUGGAUAAUUGUAUUAAUAGUUUGUGAGAAUUGAAUCAAAUCAAAAUUUCAUGUAUAAAAUUGCGCAAAAUCAAAGUUCUUGAGUAAAAUUGCACAUUAAACCAAAAUUCAUGUGUAGUUUUGAAAUUUAUCACAUACAAUAAUUCUUAUUUUGUCAAAAGAACAUAAAUAUAUAGGGUAAACUACAUAGAUAAUCACUCAACUAUAAAAAAUUCUCAUUUUAGGCGCCCAAAAUAAAAAAAGUUUACAAUUUAAGCACCCAUGUUACAUGGUUCGUUCAUUUUGGUCACUCCCAUUAAAAGCCCAAACAAAAAUCUGACAUGACAUUUUUUUGACACGUGGAUCAAUCAUUGGAUGCCACAUGGCACAAUUUACCACUGCAUACCACUUUACACUUGAAAGGAGUAAAAUAUAAUUUACCCCAUACUAAUUAUUAACCAAAUGAAUAAAUUAGUAUUGGGUAAAUUAUAUUUUAGUCCUUUCAAGUUUAAAGUGGUAUGCAAUGGUAAAUUGUGCCGUGUAGGCAUCCAAUGAUUGAUCCGCGUGUCAAAAGAAAAUGUCAUAUCAGAUUUUUGUUAGACUGUUAACGAGAUUGAUCAAAAUGAAUAAAUUAUUUAACAUGAAUGUUUAAAUUGCAAACAUUUUUAUUUUUGGUGUUUAAAAUGAAAAUUUUUUAAUAUUUGGGUGACUAUCUAUCUAGAUUACCCCAAUAUAUAUCCCAUAUAAAUGAUAACGUAUCAAAGUACAACAAAUUACAAACAAAAAGAAAGUACAAGAAAUAAUGGGAUUUGGGAAACUCCCAUUUAUCAAACAAAUAUAUGUGGUGAAAAAAAAGAACAUACAAUACUCAAAAUCAAGAGACAAAGACAACUAAAAUCACAUUCAAACAAAUCCAGUAUGCAGCAGAUAAACCAAAGGGGGUAUUUCAAUAAACCAAAGGGUAUUUCAAGGAGUAGAAGGAGAAGGUGGUGGAGAAAGGAAAGGAAUAGAGGGGAUUGCAGUUGGGAUUGAGGGCAUGCUUGGUAGAGGAGGCAGUGUGGCCCUUGGUACACUUGGCAAUGUGGGCAACCCUGGCAUGAUAGGAAGUGGAGGAAGCGCCCCAGGCCUUGGCAAUGCUGGUAUGGAUGGCUGUGGGAGAUUAGGGAUAGAUGGAAGUGGGGGGAGUGUGGUUGUAGGCAAAGUUGGCAUUGGAGGCAAUUGAGGCAGUUGCAGAAGGUGACGAGCUGCUACCCCAACAUCAGUGCUUGCAAAUGACAAAGCCAUCACGAAUACUAAAGCAAAGCAAUUGAAAGAUGCCAUUUUUCUAGAGAUGUGAGUCCAAUUAAGCAGACGAAAGAAAGCUCUUGUUUUGAUAGUUGUGGAGUGAGGGAGAGAAAGCAUGGUGUUGGGGGUUUAUAUAGGUCUUGGAUCAGUGGAGUUGGUAAUGUUUGAUCAUGUAUGGUUGGAAUGGAGAAAACAUAGUCGAUAUUAAAGGAUUUGGUAGCUCAACUUCCCAUGGGUAUUGUAGUUUAAAACAGGUGAAAUGCUGUUGUGGUUGGCAUAGAAGCUUCAUCCAGCCACUUAAUUAAACAGUAUACUUAAACAAUCCUCCAGGUUAGCAAAGUUUUCGCUAGUUGUCCAGAUAUCUAACAGAAUUAGGAUUUGUUUACUUAACAUGUUAGGUAUGAUAGUAUUUCCAAGGUUGGUUGUAUAAAUAAAUUUGCUAUGGUUGAGCAUAAAAUUGUUGUGAGUUAACCUACAGCUUCGUAUAGACUUAUUAAUUUUGACUUGAACUUGGAAUGAUUCAAACAAAUACUUUGAAAUGACAAACAAAUAACUCGAAAUGACCUAAAUUUGAAGUGACCAAAAUCUGAAAUAAUCGAAACCUAUAAUGACUCGGCCCAAAAAACUCGAGCCUCAAACCCAAAUUAAAUUGAAUCAAAAUUAUAAUUUCAUGUAUAUAACUGUAGAAAAUUAAAGUUUGUGUGUCAUAUUGUACAUUAAAUCAACGUUUACGUUUGACAUUACGUAUUGAGGUAAUGUUCAUUCAUAAUUUUGUGAUUUAUUCCCUUAAUUAAAGUAAUAUGUCAAAUAGUAUACUCUUGGUGAAGUUUAUGUACAUUGUAAGCGAACUAAAUAAUUAGAAUAAAUCUAAAGUAGGGCUUGGGCCUCCAAGAUUUCACGGUCUCAAUUUAUGUCUUAAAAUUUCAUAUUAUUGUCCUUAAGGAUAUUUACGAAUUUACGUAUUUCUUAGGAUUUAACUUAUAUCAUGCGCAAUGAGAAAAUUGCAAAAAUUUACUCAUUUGAAUGGAAUUGAGCUAUUAGGCUCAAGCAUCAUACAGGCAUAUCCAUCCUCUUAUUUUGAGUCUUACAAGUUUAUAGCAAACCAAAUCUAUAUAAACAUCAUUUAACAGAUGUAUCUAAAAGAUGUGAAAUAUGUAUAAUUCUUUAAAAUACACGAAAACUUCUAAUAGGGUUUAGGUUAUUUUUCGAUUUGUCUAUUUUAGGUUCAAAUCAUUCGAAUUUGAAGCUAAAUUUUUAAUAUCUAAUCAUUAUUGAUUCGAAUCAUUUCAAAUUUUGGUCAUUUUAAAUUCGAAUUGUUUUGUGAUCAAAUCAUUUCAAGUUUGGAUUGAUUCAGGUGAAUUCGAAUUUGGAUUUAUUAUUAUUAUUAUUAUAAAUUGAGUUUGAGUCAUUGCAUUGCUUAAGUAAAAAUUUAAAGAUUUGCCUCUGUGGUUUGCAUUGAGCUGCUUACGAGGGAGAAGUUGGAAGUUAGACUUACCCAUUGAGGUGGUAGCGGUCUUGCCUUGGAAUAACGCCAAGUAGAAGUUUGAAAAAAUACAUUUGUUAACAGAAUUUUAUUUUAUAACAUUCUCGGAUCCUGAAACACUUGUUUAAAGGUGAUAGUACGACGACGUUGAUUUCUUUUAUCACCACAAGUCUAAUUAUAUAUAUUGGAUUUAAUUUUUUAGUCCCAACCCAAUAAAUAAAAUAUACAUGUAACAUCUUAUAAAAAUUGUCAAUAAAUUAUACCUAGUGACAAAGUUAUUCAAAUCUAAUUUCAUUGCUAAUACCUAGUUUUUUUUUUCUACUGUCUUCAACUUUCAAUAUAAACGGAUUGAAAAUUUAAGAAAUUUAUGUUAUUUGAAAUAUCUUUUCUUAAAAAAUUGGUGUUUAGUAUAAGAUAAUUAGUAUCGUAUCAGUGGAUGUUUGAUUUUUAUUUUUACUAGAAUUGAUACAUAUCUUUUUGAAUUUAUCAAUAUUUUUUAAAAUUAUUUAAGAUAUGUAUAUAAAUAUAUUACAAAUAUAAAACGAAUGAAACCAAAUACAUUUCAAAUAUAACAUAUUCAUUAAUAAACUCAACAAAUAAAAAUUUAUCAUUCAAAUAAAUCCAAAAUUAAUAAUAAAAAUCCAUCAUUCAAUAUGAAGUUUUAAGGAUUUAGCUCGUUUCCUUAGUAAGGUGAAUGAUUUUUUCAUAAUUAUAUUUUAGUCUUUAUAUUUGAAUGUGAAAGUAUGUCCCAUUUUUUUUAAAACUUUACAUUCUUGAUGUCCACGAAAUUAACUAAAAUUAAGACAAGUGCAUCUAUCAAUUAAUAGUAUAGCUAUGGUGAGCACAAAUAUCGUUACCACAAAGAUUAAAAGUACUAGUAAUUAUUGUCUUUCUAUUAGUUAACUGAAUAAAUCGAGUGAUGGAUUAAAAACAAAAUUUAACUAACGAACAUGACAAAGAAAAAAAUAGAAAGAUAAUCGAUUAACAACCAAGAAGUAAAACAAUACCCGGGAAAUAAUUCACCUAGAUUUCAUCUGUCACUAUCAAUCUAAAUUACAUAAUUUCUUUACUUGGUAUCUUGAUACGCAGAAAUCCCUGAAUUAUGCUAAUAUCUCUUUCGAGAGUAAGAGCAACUGACUCUAGGUUGAUUAAUUGAAAUUUCUUUCUAAUUAAAACCCCUAUUAUCGCAUUAACUCGAUCUAUGGAUUCCUCAAUUAAAUUUGACUCUAAUCUUGUAGAUUUAUGUUGUCCUAUUUCUAGGAUUGCAUGCAACUCCACUCAAUUAUACAAGAUCUACUCUUAAACUGGGUUUAUUCCUCCUUUGAUUUAAGCACAUCAAACGUGAAUCAAUAAUCUAGAAAUAUUAAACCAAGAAUUAAGCACACAUAAUUGAGAACAAAAUCUAAGUAUUUAUUGCAUAAAAUAAAAAUCAAACGAUAAAAUUCAUCAUAAGGUUCAUCUCCUUUAGGUAUUUAGAAAUUUAGUUCAUGAUUGAAAGUAAAAAUAUCAAAAAUACAGUAUAAUCGAAAGAAACAAAGAAACUCAUGAUAAUUUCCUAAGAAAUCAAAUGUGAAUCUUCAAUCUUGACGGGAAUCUGCUUUAGAAUCGGCUUAAAUGAUGUUUUUUGAGUUGUUUUCUUGAAUAUUCUAUGACAGCUCUCUCUUAUCUUCUUAUUUUUGCCAUAUAUACGUCUUAGAAUGCACGAAAAACCUAAAAAUUGCAUUUUCCCGCAGUUCAGAGUGCUAAUUCACGAAAUCGGCACAGCCUGCCACAUGGCCGUGUGUAAGGGGUCAGCUCGUGUGACCCUUGUACCUUGCUUCGAUUUUUUGGUUUUUGUUCGUUUUUCACUUGUUUUGCUCCUAACUGCCCUCAUGAGUAUAAAAAACAUGAAUUUAAAGGAUUAGGAGCAUAAAAUUAAUCAUUAACAUCGAAUAAUCACCCAAAAACACAUUGAGGCUGAGAUUAAAACAUGUUCCUUUUAGCACUUAUCAAAUAUCCCUACAAUUAAGCAUUUGCUUGUCCUCAAGCAAAAUCCUCAACUCACAUUCAAGUUAAUUUCCCUCAAUUUAUUUUUUUCACUGAUAAUGUCUUAAGAUAAUUUACAAAUAAUCAUGCAUUAGAAAUUCACUCUAAAGUGACACUAAACAGUACAAACAAUCCAAGCAGAGAAUUUUUAAGGCUUAAAAACAUUAGGCAUCUCCCCUAUCUCAAUAAUUACCUGAAAUUCAAACUCAACAAGAAUUAUCAUCCUCACUAAGGAUUCACUCAAAGCACUCAAAGUGUUUUAAGGUUCAAGUAAUAUGCACUCAAUAGUUGAACAAGAAAUGUCAUUACUAUAGGCUUUCUUGAAAAUCAAAUCUCCACCACUAUAUAAAUGAGAUGACACAGCAAUCAAGAGGUCUUAAUAAGGUUGUAAUGGGGCUUAGGUUAAGGGUAUUGAAUAGGUUAGAAGAGUUGGUUUUAAUAGAGAAUCAAAUGGAUAUGUUACCAAACUAGAAAAAAAUCAGUUGUUGAAUUAAAAGAAUUUACAUAAACAAGAAAUAAAUAACGAAAAUGAGCUUUUCAACAGAAUAUGAAGCUAACGAUUCAAGCUCAAUCAAAUUUUUUAAUUUUUAGAUUUUUUCACUUUUUUUUCAAACAGAAUACAAUUCAACAAUACAAAUUAUAGAACAUAGUUAGACAACUAAGCAAAUGAGGUCUCGAAAAAAAGUGGUCCAUAAAAAGGAUAAUUUUACAACAUAGAUAUAGGUUAUGUGUUAACAUUAAAGGGUGAUAGAAAAAAUGUGUUAGGAUCAACGAGAUUUACUAGGGGUUAAUUCAACGGGUAAGCUAUUUAAAGGUUAAAUGGGUUAAAUCUUAAAUGCCUCUAUCAUCUCAAUAUAUCAAAUCAUUAAUGUGGUCUCGACAUAUAUAACCGAAGCAAGUUCUAGAAUAACAAAUCAAGUUGACAUACUCACAAUAGAACCAAUAGGAAAAAAAUAUAGGUUAUAUAGGAUCAAAAGCUCACAAAAAAUUAUGGUUUUGAUGUCAAACUUACAAAUUUAAAAUUUCAAAAUAAUUCUUUAGUUCAGGGAGACAACCUAAAAUAAUAGUUUUUGAAAAACAAAUUAUCAUGCUUGACUCUCUCGUGUCUUAAAAUAUUAAUCACACAAUGCACAAAUAUCCACAAAUUAUUCCCAAAAUAGAAUCACUAAAAACUCUAAAUUAAAAAAAUAACUUUAAUGAUAGGUGUGAGAAAAUCACUUAAACACGAACAAUAAUUCAUGGAGACACCUAAAAUAAUAAUUUCUGAAAAACAACUUAUCAUGCUUGACUCUCUCGUGUCUUAAAAAUAUUAAUUACACAAUGCACAAACAUCCACAAAUUAUUCACAAAACAGAAUCACUUAAAACUCUAAAUUAAAAAAAAAAUAACUUCAAUGAUAGGUGUGAGAAAAUUACUUAAACAUACAAACAAUAAUUCAGAGAUUUCAUCACAUAGGCAUACAAACAUCCACCCCACACUUAAGAUGUACAUUAUUCUCAAUGUACAAACAAAUAUAAACAAAAUACACAAAAUAUCAUAGGGGAGGAAGAGAACUAAAACUGCCUUGAAUUUAGAUGAAUUCGUUGGAAUAGUGAAAACCAGAAUCAUAGGCAAUUCUAAAUGAAGUACAUGUUUCCGAGCAAACUAAUAAAAAAAUAGAAAAAAAAGAAGAUAAAGAGAUACAAAAUAGAAAAACAACUUAUAAAAUAAUAACAGUAAUGUUUAAAAUAAAAAUAAAAUUAAACAGAUAAGUCUGAAAAAUAAAAUAAAAAUGAAUAACAAGAAAAAUAAAAAUAAAAAAACAUAAAACUAAAUAAAAUCUAAAUAUUUCAAAAGAAAAUAACAAAAAAAUUCUAAUACUAGUUUAAUAACAAAGUUAGCAGAAUAAAAAUGAAAAUAAUAAUAAAUAGGAUGGUUGGUUUGGAGGGUACCAACGGUGGUGUUGGGAGAAGGAAAAAAAAUGAAAACCCACUAGCAUUAAAAAAGGGUACAUGGCCAUGUGAUAGACCAUGUGAGCCACACAGCCGUGUGGUCAGACCAUAUAUUUCUUUGAAGCUAUGUGGCCUAUUAGAAAAUUUUAAAAAUUUGCUCCAGUGUUCACACGACCUGUGACACGCCGGUGUCUCCAGGCCAUGUGUUGUUACCGUUAGCUUCUCCCACGCCCGUGUACAUGGGUGUGUGGGGCACACGGCCGUAUCUUUAGGCCAUGUGCCUUCGACUCAGACCGUGUGGUCAAAAAAAUAAUUUUGAAAAAUUAUCUCUAGUGUUCACACGGCAUGUGACACGCUUAUGUGUCUAGGCAGUGUGUCCUACACGGUCAUGUGGUCUACCCCAGACCAUGUGGACCACUUUUUUUCCAAUUUUUUUAAAUAUAUUUUUUUUCAAAUUAUUUUUUAAUUUUUUAGGUAAUAAUAAAAAAUAAGUGUACUAAUCACUCAACAUAAUUAAAAUAAAAUAUAAAAAACCACACUCGGGUUGUCUCCCGAGGAACACAUAUUUAAAGUCUAAGUUCGACUUCCCUUUUCAAGAUAAUGGUUAAAGCGGAUCUUGGAGCUGGAGCUCCUUUCUCUCGUUAUCAAUAUCACCACCAAAAUAAAGUUUGAGUUGAAUACCAUUUACCUUAAAUGUGUUGUAUUCAGGACAUGUUACCUCAAUGGUUUCGUAUGAUAAUACGUUCUGUACCACAAAUGGGUUCGACCCUCUUGACUUAAGCUCUGUAAGGACCAUUCAUGGAUCUGACUCAUCUACCAGCACUUUGUCUUCAACUUUGAAUUGAUUUGUCCUCUUUACAUGCGUGCCAUAGCGUUGUUUUGUUACUUCUUUGAACGUUCUCGGUUUCUCAUAAGGCUUUGGUCGCCAUUCAUCUAAUUCAUCAAGUUGCACCAUUCAUUUUCCACUUUUCCCUAGAUUUUUAUCACCUUGAACACUAUACGAUUCUAACACGUAUUCGUGAUUGAUUUCCUGCAAAGAUUGUUGAGUUGCACGAUUACUAACAUUAUUAGAAUAAUGAGUAUCAUCUCACUCAUUAGAAACUCUCACAAUUUCAUGUGUUGGAAGAGUAAACCCUCAUGAUGGUCACUAACUAUAAUUACGACAAAGGCAAGUGCACCUAUCAAACAAUAGUAUAGCUAUGGUGAGUAUAGAGUAUAGUAUCCACGAGGACUAAAACUACUAGUAAUAACUGUUUUUCUAUUAUUUAGCCAAUAAAUUAGGGUGAUUGCUUUUAAUCUAAAUUUACUAAUCUAAAUUAACUAAGAACACAACAGAAAAUGAAAUAGGAAAUAAUCGAAUAAUACCAAAGAGAAAGACAAUACCCAGGAAAGAAUCCACCUAGACUUCACUUAUUAUUCUGAAUAUGAAUUAAAUGAUUUAUUCACUUGUGUCUUGAUCCAUAGAAAUCCCUAAAUUAUAUUAAUAUCUCUUUCGAGAGUAAGAAUAAUUAACACUAGGUUGAUUAAUUGAAAUCUCUUUCUAAUUAAAACUCCUUUUGUCGCAUUAAAUCGAUCUAUGGAUUCCCCUAUUAGAUUUGACUCUAAUCUGGUAGAUUUAUGUCAUCCUAUUUCUAAGAUUGCAUGCAACUUCACUCAAUUAUGUUAGAUCUACUCUUAAAUAGGGACUUUUGCUCCACUAAAAUAAUUACAUUAAACAUGAAUUAAUAUCCCAAAAAUAUUAAAACAUUAAAUAAGCAUAUAUAAUUGAGAACAAGAAUCAAAUAUUUAUCAUGUAAUUCAGAAAUCAAAUAAUAAGAUUCAUCAUAGGUUUCAUCUUCCGUAGGUAUCUAGGGAAUUUAGUUCAUAAUCUGAAAUGAAAACAUCUCAAAGUCAGAAAAACCACAAGACAUAAAGAAAUUCACUAAAACUUCAAAAGAAGUUAAAAUGAGAUUUUCAAUCUUGAAGGAAAUCCGCUUCUGCGUUGGCUUCGAUGGCGUUCUUUGAGUAAUUUCUUCAAUCUUCUCUGAGUGAUCCGUUAGGUCUUCUUCUAAUUGUUAUUUAUAUAUGUAAAAAAAUAGAACGUCGGCAAUGACAAUCUAUUGCAAAGAAAAAUAGAGAGAAAAAUAAAGAACACAGAUUUUACGUGGAAACCCUUUCGAGAAAAAAACCACGGGCAGAGGAGAAGAUAAUUCACUAUGUCGAAUUUGAAUAAUUACAAGAGAAGUAGACUAUGUCUAUUUAUAGGCUUGUAAAACCAUAUUCUAAUAAAAGUGUAGUAAGAUUGAAACACCUUAUUCUAAUAAAUAUCAAAUAGAUGGAGCUUAAUAAGGUUUGAAAAACCUUAUUCUAAAAUAAAAUAAAAGAAGUGUAGUUCUAUAUAGAUUUUACUUUUAUUUUAUUUUACCAAUGUAUUUUUUUAAAUAAGGAUUCGGGUCACUUAAUUCUAACAAUCUCCACAUUGACACGAAUUAUCAAUGAACAAGUUCUUCAUCGCGAACUCUCAAUGAACAAGUUCUCCAUCUCUUCCAUAAAACCCUUUAAGGGUUUAACUUCAACAAUGAACACCAACCAAGUCUAAGUAAUGUUCAAACUUGGUUAUAAGAAGUGACUUAGCAUCAUAUCUGUAGGAUUUUGAUGAGUACUAAUUUUGCUCAUAACAAUAUCACCACGAGCAAUAAUAUCACGAACAAAAUGAUACCAAACAUCAAUGUGUUUUGUUCUCUCAUGAAACAUUUGAUAAGGAAUAUGACACUCUAUCUUUCACAAAAUACUAUACUGAUUUGAAGGUCUUCAUUAAGUUCACUAAAGAGUCCCUUCAACCAAAUGGCUUCUUUACAAGCCUCAGUAAUCGCCAUGUACUCAGCUUCAGUGGUAGACAAAGCAACUGUAGUUUGCAAAGUGGCUUUCCAAUUGAUUGCACAACCUUUUGAUUGUAAAGACAUAACCUGUGAGAUCUUCUUCUAUCAAGGUCUCUAGCAAAAUUAGCAUUAACAUACUCAAUGACUCCAUCUCUAGUUCUUCCAAACUGUAAGCAAACAUCAGUAGUACCUCAUAAGUAUCUUAAAAUCCAGUGAACUACUUUCCACUGUUCUUUAUUGGGAUUCGCCAUGUAUCUGCUAACUGCACUGACUGCAUAUGAUAAAUUUCAACAUGAACAAACCAUAGCAUACAUGAGAGAUCCUACUGCACUAGAGUAUGGAACAUGUAACAUGUACUCAAUCUCAUCAUCUGAUUGUGGAGACAAAGCUGAUGAAAGUUUGAAAUAGGCUGCUAAAGGAGUACUAACAAGCUUAACAUUAUGCAUAUUGAAACUGCAAAGAACUUUCUCAAUGUACCCCUUCUGACUUAGGUAGAAUUUACUAGCUUUUCUAUCUCUGAGAAUCUCCAUACAAAGUAUCUUCUUUGCUGGUCACAAAUCUUUCAUCUCAAUUUCUUCACUUAGUUGUGCUUUGACCUUUCUUAUCUCCCCUUUAUCUUUCAUUGCUAUCAACAUGUCAUCAACAUAAAGGAGUAGAUACACAAAAGAACCAUCACUAUUUUUCUUAAAGUAAACACAACUGUCAAAGCUACUUCUUUUUAAAUCAUGAGAAUUCAUAAAGGAAUCAAACCUCUUGUACCAUUGUCUUGGUGACUAUUUCAAACUGUAAAAGGGACUUUUUUAGCAAGCAAACAUAGUCCUCUUUUUUUGAGACUGUAAAACCCUCUAGUUGUUGCAUGUAAAUAUCCUCCUUAAGUUCUCCAUGCAAAAAUACAUUUUUUACAUCUAACUGCUCAAGCUCCAAAUCAUGCAUGGCCACAAUACCAAGCAAAACUCAAAUCGAACUAUGCUUCACAACUGGGGAGAACACAUCUGUGAAAUCCACUCCUGGAAUUUGACUAUAACCCUUUGCAACAAGCCUUACUUUAUAUCUGGGUUCUUCAACUCCUGGAGUCCCUUCUUUCUUUUUAAAAACCUAUUUACAACGAACAACACUUUUACCUUUAGGAAGUUUCACAAGAUCCCAUGUUUUGUUUUUGUGGAGUGAUUCUAUCUUUUCUUACGUAGCAAACAUCCACUUUUCUGAGUCUUCAUAGCUAACUGCAUUAGAAUAAUUAGAUGGCUCUUGGUUUGCAUCUAUAUCUUCAGCCACAUUUAAAGCAUAAACAACUAGAUCAGCCUCGACAUACUUCUUUGGAGGUUUAAUUUCUCUUCUAAAUCUAUUUUUGGUGAGAGAGUAUUGUGGUGAAGAUGCAACUCUAUUUGAAUUUUUGUACUGGCUUAAGUAGUCGACUCUAUUGUAGAUUCUGGAUUAAUCUGAUGUUCCACCAGCUUUUGAUUUUCUUUAUUAGAAGAGUCUUUAAGAGAUAAGUUAGGUAGCAUAGCAGUUUCAUAAAAAAACAUCUCUGCUAAUCACAACUUUUCUAUUUUCAGGACACCAUAACUUAUACCCUUUUACACCAGCUUUAUAACCAAGAAAAACACAUUUAAUGGAUCUCGGUUCCAAUUUUCCAUUAUCAACAUGAGCAUACGCAGGACACCAAACCAUACUUCUUGUGGAGUCUUUUUCUCAAUGACAAUGGAUUGAGAUCGAUUGAUCAAAAAACAUGCAGUGGAGGCUGCUUCGGCCCAAAACGACUUUGGUGAGUUGGCAUUUGACAACAUAUAUCGAACUUGUUCCAUGAUCGUUUUGUUCAUUCGUUCUGCAACACCGUUUUGCUGUGGAGUAUGAUGAACUGUCAAGUGUCUCACGAUCCCUUCUAACUUGCGCAGUUUAUUAAACUCAUCAAAAUAGAACUCUAAGCCAUUGUCUGUGCGAAGGUAUUUUAUUUGUUUUCCCGUCUAUUUUUCAAUCAUAGUUUUCCAAGACUUAAAUGCGGAAAACAUAUCACUUUUCUUCUUCAGGAAGAACGCUCAAACUUUUCUGGAAAAAUCAUAAAUAAAAGUUAGCAUAUAAUUAGCUUCACCUCUCGAAGGCACUCUAGAUGCCUCCCACAUAUCAAAAUGAAUAUACUCCAAUGUUCCCUUCGUGUUAUGGAUUCCUCUGGUGAAUCGAACUCUCUUUUGCUUCCAAAAAAUGCAGUGCUGAUAGAACUUCAGUUUUCAAAUUCCUUGCCCAUCAAGAAGUCCUAUUUUGCUCAAUUUUGCCAUGCCAUUCUCACUCAUAUGCCCUAGGCUCAUAUGCCAAAGUUUAGUAAUAUCAGCAUCUAACAAGGAAAAGGAAGCGACAGUUGCAUCACCAGUAACAGUAAAACCCUACAGAACGUAUAACUUGGCGGUCUUUCUCUGCCCUUUCAUCACAAUGAGGGAACUUUUGAAAAUCUUCAAAACCCCACUUUCAGCUGUGUAUUUGUACCAUUUUGAAUCAAGAGUACUCAACAAAAUUAAAUUUGUCUUCAAUUCUGGAACAUGUCGUACGUUACUAAGUGUUUUGACAACACCAUCAAACAUCUUAACUUUAAUUGUUCCAACUCCUGCAAUUCUACAUGAAGCAUUAUUUCCCAUCAAAACAACACCUUCAGACACUAUUUUGUAAGUUGUAAAUCAAUCCUGAUUGGGACUCAUGUGGAAAGUGUAGCCCGAAUCAAGGAUCCACUCCUCGCUCACUUCAGAAUUGUUGACAGAAGCGACUAGAAGUUCACCAUCGCUGUAGUCUUCUACAACAUCAGCUUUACUGAUAUUUUCUGGUUGUUUUCCAUUUUGAUUCACAGCCUCCCUUUUGAUCUUGUUCUGUAGCUUAUAGCACUCAAAUUUAAUGUGUCCUUUCCUCUUGCAGGAGUUACAAGUUUUACCUCUGUUUGAAGACUUUGAUCUACUCUUGGAUUUACCGUGAGGAUUUCCCUAUGUCCUUCCACGAUCAUCAUCAACAUUCCAAUCUUGUCUUCCACGAACAAUGAGACCCUCUCUUUGAGAGUCGAUUUUAACUACAAGAUGCUUCAUCCUAUCAUACAAGGUUAAAGAAUUAUAAACCUCAUCAACUGUGAGAGACUCGCGGCUAUAUAAAAUCGUACCUCUAAAGGUUGAAUAAGAUGAGGGCAAUGAACAAAGUAGAAUCAACCCUAGAUCUUCCUUAUCAUAUUGAACCUCCAUGGCCUCCAAGUUUGAGAGAAUUUCUUUAAACACUGUUAAGUGUUCGUGCACCGACGCACCUUCCUCUAAACAAUGAGCAUAAAGAUGCUGCUUCAUAUGCAGCUUGCUAGUUAGAGUUUUCGACAUACAUAUUUUUCCAACCUCUUCCAUAAUCCAGUGGCAGUCUUCUCCUUCAUCACAUCUUGUAAAAUUUCGUUACAUAAAGGUAGAUGUAACUGUGUUAACGCCUUUUGAUUCUUGCGCUUCUUCUCUUUCUCCGUCAAUGUUGAAGGCAUCUUAUUUACCCCUAGUAGGGCUUCCUCUAAGUCCAUCUGUGCAAGAACUGCCUACAUCUUUAUCUGCCACAACGUGAAUCUGGUGUUGCGAUCCAACAGUAGAAUUUCAUACUUCAAAGAUGUCAUUACCGUGAUUGAGAUGAACAACCCAAAAGCUCUGAUACCAAUUUGUAAAAAAAUAGAACGUCAGUAAUAACAAUUUAUUGCAAAGAAAAAGAGAGAAAAAUAAAGAACACACAAACUUUACGUGGAAAUCCUUUGGGGGGAAAAAAACCACGGGCAGAGGAGAAGAUAAUUCACUAUGUCGAAUUCGAAUAAUUACAAGAGGAGUAGACUAUGUUUAUUUAUAGGCUUGUAAAACCAUAUUCUAAUAGAAGUUUAGUAAGAUUAAAACACCUUAUUCUAAUCAAUAUCAAAUAGAUGAAGCUUAAUAAGGUUUACAAAACCUUAUUCUAAAAUAAAAUAAAAGAAUAGUUCUAUAUGGAUUUUAAUUUUAUUUUAUUUUACCAAUGUAUUUUAUUUAAAUAAGGAUUCGAGUCACUUAAUUCUAACAAUAGACUUUAAAAUGCUAAGGAAGCCUAAAAAUUGAGUUUUUCCGCGUGUUUAGGAAACAAGAUGCGAAAUCGACAUGAGUUGGCACAGGGGAGAGUGGCCAGCCCGUGUGACUCAGACGAGCGUGUGGCCAGUCCAUGUGGAAAUGCUGAGGCUGUGUGGAUGCUGAAAACAACUCUUUUUGCUCAAUUUUGGCUUCUAUUUCGCUCAUUUAGCUCCCCUAUGCUUUCUUAAGUAUAAAAACAUGAAUUUGAAGGAUUAGGAGCAUCAAAUUCACUAAUUUACAUAAUUAAUCAUCCAAAAAUGCAUUAAGAAUGGGAUUGAAAUAUGUUACUUUUAUAGCUUAUCAAAUGUCCCCUCACUUAAGCGUUUGCUUGUCCCCAAGCAAAAUGCUCAACUCACAAUUAAAAAUUAAUCUUUCUCAACUUAUAAUUCUCAUCAAUAAUGUUUGGUCAUAAUUCACAAAUAAUUAUACAUUGAUAAUUUAACUAAAAGAGCACUAAAGAUUCAAACAAUCCAAGUCGAGCAUUUUUAAAGCAUGAAAACAUAAAUAUUUCCCCUUAUCUAAGUAAUUACCUUUAAUUCAAAAUCGACAAGAAUCGACAUCCUCACUAAAGAUUCACUCAAAUCACUCAAAGUGUUUAAGGUUAAAAAAUAAGCACUCAAUAGUCAAACAUGAAAAGUCAUUACCAUAGGCUUGCAUGAAAAUCAAAUCUCCACCACUAUAAAAUGAGAUGAUACACAAUCAAAAGGUCUAUAAGAGGUUGUAAUGGGGCUUAGGUUAAAGGUGUGGAAAAAGACUGAAAAAGAUGGUUAGAAUCGAGAUCGAAUUGAUAAAUUACCAAACUAGAAAAAUAAACAAAUGUUGAAUUAAAAAUAAUUACAUCAAUCGAAAGCUAUUCAAGAAUGACUCGAGCUUAUUCUCAAAAAUGAAUUUAACUAUUUAAGCUCAAUUAACAUAGAACUAAGUGAUAAUCAAUAUAUAUGUAUUUUUAUUUUAUUUUUUAAAUUUUCUUCUUUUUUUUGAGAAUAAUAAGAAAUAAUUUAGCAACUUAAACAAAAAGCUUAAUAAAAAAAUUAACCAAAUCAAAUCUCGAUAACAAUGGAGUCAAUAAAACAGGAAAAAUUCUCAAUGAACAAAAAAUGAGUUAUGGGUUAACAUUAAUGGGUAAAUCAAGAAACGGUGUGUUAAGCUCAAAGGGGUUCACUAGGGGUUAAUUAUGUAGGUAGGCUUUUUAUGGGAUAAGUGGGUUAAAACCUAAGUGCCUUUAUCAUAUCAGUAUAUCAAAUCAAAGGUGUGGUCUCGACAUGCAUAAUCGAAGCAAGUUCUAGAAUAACAAAUCAAUAUUGACACACUCAGAACCAAUAAUAAAAAUGAGCAAGAAAAAUGUAUGCUUUAAAGGCUUAAAAUCUCACAAAAAAUUAUAGUUUUUGAUGUCAAUCUUGCAAAUCUCAAACUUCAAGGUAAUACCUCAGUUCAGGGAAACAACCUAAAAUUUUUUAAUUCUGAAAAUAGACUUAUCAUGCUUGAUCCUCUCAUAUCUUAAAGUUUAAAACAACCAAUGCACAAUUAUCUAUGAAUUUAAUCUAAAACACAUCAAUAAAAAUCACAAAUCGAUAAAAAAUCAUUCUAAUAGUAGUAUGAGAAAAUUACUUAAACACAAGACAUAAUUCAGGGAUUUUCUAUUAAUUAUAUAAAUAACCUCCCCACACUUAAGAUGUACAUUGUCCUCAAUGUACAAACAUAGAUAAUCACAUUAUAAGCAGAAUAUCAUAAGAGAGGAAGAAAACUGAAACUACCCUGAAUACUGGAUGAAAUCUCCAGAAUAGUGAAAAGUGAUGUUGUAGUCAAAUCUAAAUGUAGAGCACGAUUUCGUACAAACUAAUAAGAAAAUAAACACAAAUUGUGAAGAAGAUUAAGGGAUUAAAACUCAAUUAGAAACAACCAUAAAAAUAAAAAAUAUAGUUCAAUAUAUAAAAACGAAAUAAGUCUAAGAAAAUAACAAUAAACAUAAAAAUAAAAAUAAAAUAAAACAAAUGGACUCAAUUGUCCUCAUCAUUAGAUGCGUCGGUGUCGUGAGUCGUCGGCGCUGAGGAGGAGAUAUAGAGAUGCUGACAGGUUUGCUGCAAUGUCGCAUCAAUACUGUCGAACCUCUAAAAGCAAUGCUACUUGAAACGAGUGAAUUGCUCGGAGAGGUCUGCUAAAGUAGCAGCAGAAGAAACAUGAAGGUGACUCAAAGGUAGAGGAUGAGGUGAAUCCUCGUGAUGGAAGGGGACAUCAUCAGUGAAGUCCUCGGGUUCAUUCUAAGAGUGAGAAUGAACGAAUUGGUACUGAACAAGAUCUACUCCACGACGCCGCUCAAUCAUCCCCAUAUGGAUCAUGCUCGAGAUUCCCUGUGGGGACAUCUGGUCACGAGUGUAAGUGUAGGGGACUGCUUUGGUGUGUCAAGGAGAUCGAAGUGUCGAGCAAGUCGAGUCACAUAAGGGCCUAAACAGAUGUGACCCUUCUUGUGGCGGUCAGUUUGAUGGCGGAAGGCUAAGGCGAUGAAGUAUGCCGAAUCAAAUAUAUGCCCGGUGGCCAUGCUCCAUAGAAAAUAAACAUCAGUGGUAUUGACGACUCCAGUGCUCUCUCUCCUACCGGUCAAACUAUGAGCUAAAAGGGCAUGAAGAUACCGUAAGGUCGGAGAGAGUGAAGUCGCCUUCGAGCUACUCGCAUCAUAAAGUGUCCUACUCACCUUAAGCUCUGGCCAACAACGAGAUGGCGAGAAAUGGAUGUGCUGGUGUAGGUGCAGGAAGUUCUCGGCACUCAUAAACACCUCAACAUAGAGUCCUAUAGCAGCGCUAAACUCGGGGACACUCAUAUGGCACACCAAACCACCAAGUCUGAAAGUAAUGGUGCCCGAUUGGUCAUUAGUCAUCAUUACCUACUGUAGAAUAAAUGUAGAACAAAACUCCAAAGUAAGCUCCAUGUAUGUGGGCUCGAUGAUGGAGAAAAAUUGGUCCUACGGGGUUGUAGUAAUAAAGGCGCGCACUUGAUUAGCUAUUUGGACCUACUCCAAAGCGGCCCAAUCAAUACAUCAGCCUAGGCCGAGUGGGUGCUGUCGAAAUAGUUGAAAUAAAUUCUCUUGGGGCUCCGUAGAAAUUGGAGAUAAGGGUGGCAGGCCUUGACAGAAGCGCUCGAAGAAGAGGUCGUACCAAGGGUCUUUCGCUUUUUCGAAGCAGGGACGACUACCUUAGACUUGCCUCGUGUUUUCGUCAUGGUGUGCCUGGAAACUAAAUAAUUCAUCAAUAAAUAAAGCAUCACCAAGUAAACAAACAAAGAAGCUGAGAAAUAGUUGUGUAAAUUAACAUACGACACUAAGAAUCAUCCUAAGACGCGCAUCGAAGUCUAAAUUGCCUAAAUAGAAAAUUCAUUCCAAAAACACUAUUUACUAGUAUCAGCCAUGUAAAAAUAAUAACAGAAAAGAAAAAGAAUAAAAUGGGUAAACAAGCAGCAGGGAAUCAAAAAUAUGAAACUAGGGAUGAAUCAUAGAUGUAAUAAUAAACUACACAGUAGCAUAAAGAAUAAUAAAUGGAUGAUAAGAACAGGAAUUAAAAAUAGUAUUAAUGUCAGGAAACAAUUAGAACCAAAAAAAUAAAAUUAUAAAACUAAGAAUAGAAAAUAAUAGAGAGUAAAUAAUGAAUAAAUAAAAUAAAAUAAAAUAAAAUAAAACUAAUAAUAAUAAUAAGAAACAAGAAAAAAAUAAAUAAUAAAGGAAAUAGGACAAAUAGUGGUUGACCGACAAGGGAAUGGUGGUAGCGACCGGACGGCGGCGGUGGAAUGGGGGACGGUGGCGGUAGUGUGCGCAAGGUGGGGGUCAAAUGUUGGAUAGACGGUGAGAAGUGAGAAGGGAAUGGAAAGGGGAGAUGGUGAAAGAGGGAGAGGGUUGGUGGUUUGGGGCAGUUGCGCACGUGGGUGCAAUGGGUCGGGCCGAGGUUUGUGGCGCGGGGGGCUUGGUGGAGGUUGAAUAGGAGCAAAAAGGUAGAGGAGAAGGGGUUGGUGAGAUGGGGCAAAGGAAGGGGAUCUAGUCGUUCAGAUGAGGGCUUGGAAAGAGAAGGGAACAAGAAGAAGAGGGGGCGGACGUUCGAUCAGAAUUGGGACAACGGGAAAGGAAUGGCGACCGGAAAGGGAGUGGUUGGCGGCUAGUGUUUGUUGGGAAGGUGGGGGAAGAAGAUAAAACAAAUGAAAAGAAAAGUGGGGCUAGGGUUUUUCAAGGGUGAAACGGUUGUGUUAGGGCCCGUGUUAGGCCACACGGCCGUCUCACAUGCCCGUGUGCUCUCGUUCAGCCCGUGUGCGUUAAAAUUUUUAACCUAGUCUUCACAUGGCCUUAGACACACCCGUGUGUCAAGGCCAUGUGGCACACACGGCCGUAUCACAUGGCUGUGUGCAACCUGCUUCAUUUCUCCCACGCCCGUGUGGUUCAACCGUGUCUUGCACACGGCUAUGUGCUUGGCCCGUGUAACUCUUUGACUUGUUUUAAAAAUAAAAAAAUUAGCUCCAGGUUUCUCAUGACCUAGGACACACCCGUGUGGACUAUUUUAGGCCGUGUCUCUGCCGAUUUUUGAAAAAACUAAGUCCUAGAAUCCACACGACCAAGGACACGUCCGUGAGUCUAGGCUGUGUGGGUCAGAUGGCCAUGUCGCCAUGCCAUGUAACUCAUUAUCGAUUUUUUAAAAUUUUAAAACUAAGUCUUAAGAUCCACAUGCAAAGGACACGCCUGUGUGUCUAGGCCGUGUAGGUCACACGGCGAUGUCGCCAGGCCGUGUAACUCACUAUCGAACCCCUUUUAGUGGACACAGCCUGGGACACGCCCGUGUGUCUAGGCCGUGUGGGUUCAAAAAACCUACAUUUUUUUAAUAUUUGAAAAUUAAUUAAUUUUAAAAAUAUCAUGAGAUAAAAUUAAGAAAAUUAGCAGUGUUAACACUCAGGUUGCCUCCCGAGAAGCUCUUAUUUAAAGUCUAAGCUCAACUUACCUCAAAUUCGCACGGUCACGGUGGUUCGCAGAGUUGAAACUCCUCUUUCUUUCUGUCAAUUCUAUUAUCAAAAUAAGGUUUGAGCCGAGUAAUAUUUACCUUAAAACUGUCGAAUUCAGAAUGAGUUACCUCGACUGUACCGUAUAUGAAGACAUUCAGUACUGUAAAAGGAUUUGCUCCGUUUGCAUUAAGCUCUAAAGUGGCAAUUCGAGGGUUCGUUUUAUCUAAUAGUACCUGAUCCCUAACCUUAAAUUGGUUCGUUCCAUCCUUAUGCUCGUCAUGUCAUCGCUUGGGUUCUGCAUCGUGUAUUCUCGGUUUCUCUUUGACAUGUGUCCGCUAUUCAUCUAGCUCAUUGAUCUGUAGCCUUCGUUCUUCAUGAGUUGUUCUGUUUUUGUCGCAUGAACUGGAACGUGGGUCUAUUACGUUUUUCCGAGGGUUUUCCUGCAAAAAAUUUUGAGCCACAAGGUUACUCAUAUUAACAGAACUUGUAUAAUCAUCUCGAUCAUUAGAUGUCUUAACAGAAUCACGAGCUUGGAGUUUAAUCGUAUUAUCACCUACACAAAGUAUCAAUUCACCUAUACCAACAUCAAUAAUAGUUCUGGCAGUUGCUAAAAAGGGUUGACUUAGAAUCAAAGGUAUGUCGCUAUCCUCAUCCAUGUCUAAAACAACGAAAUCAACUAGGAAUAUGAAUUUAUCAAUUUUGACAAGAACAUCUUCAAUAAUGCCCCUAGGAAAUGUAAUGGUUCUAUUUGCUAAUUGAAUACUCAUCCUAGUUUGUUUGGGUUUCCUGGGACCUAGUUGCUUAAACAUUUUAUAGGGCAUGACAUUAAUACUAGUCUCUAAAUCAGCCAAAGCAUUAUUAACAUUUACACUACCAAUUAAACAAUGAAUAGUAAAACUCCUUGGAUCUUUCAAUUGGUUGGGUAGUUUGUUUUACAAAAUGGCCGAGCAAACUGCAUUUAGCUCCACUUGCGACGAAUCAUCUAACUUCAAUUUUUUUGCCAAAAGCUCCUUUAAAAAUUUAAUGAAAUUGGGCAUCUGCAAAAGAGCUUCAAUAAAUGGUAAGUUAAUAUGUAUUUUUUUCAAAAGUUUAAGAAAUUUACCAAAUUGUUCGUUUGCGUGGUCUUUCUUUCUCGCGUUGGGAUAUGGCACAUGAGGUUUAUAUUCCUUACCAACCCUUUUUUGCUCAUUUUGGCUUACCUCAACCUUACCUUUACUUACCACACUUUCUUGCAUCGGUUCUGGUUUAGAUUCAACUAACCCUUCUUCAUCUCGAACAGUAAUUGCAUAAAGCUGCUUUCUUGGGUUAGUUUUGGUGUUGCUAGGCAAGCUACCUUACGGUCGUUCUGAAAUCAACUUCACAAGUUGACCAAUUUGGUUCUCAAGCCCUUGAAUCGAUGGUUGUUGAUUUUUAAGUGUUGUUUCAUUGUUUUGGAAGUGAGUUUCUGACACUGAAAUAAACUUCGUCAACAUCUCAUCAAGGUUCAGCUUUUUUUUCUUAUUGGUAAGGUGGUUGAAAGCCUAGAGGGGGUUGUAGUCUUUGGUUUCCUUGACCACCCCAAGAGAAAUUGGGAUCGUUCCUCCAACCUGCAUUAUGAGUGUUACUAUAAGGAUUAUACUGAGGCCUAGAAUUAUUACCCAUAUAGUUUAUUUGUUCGUUCUCUCUGCUAGGACCGUAGGGUAGACAUUCUAGAUUGUUCAUCCUUCCUCCAUUCGUAUUGCACUGCAUCACUGGAUGUACCUGCGUAGAAACACAUAAACCAUCAAUUUUCUUAUUUAAUUGUUCUACCUAAUUUUAUAACAUGGUAGCUGCAUCUAAAUUGAAAACACCGGCUGCUCUAUUAGGCUUCAUCCUCAUGACUUGCCACUGAUAAUUAUUCAGUGCCAUCUCCUCUAUAAAUUCAUAAGCCGCUUCAGGUGUUUUAUUGUUUAGAGUACCACCUGCGGUUGCAUCGAUCAAUUGCCUAGUUGAGGGGUUCAAACUGUUGUAGAAGGUUUGAACCUGUAGUCAUAAAGGUGACCCAUGGUGAGGGCACCUUCUCAAUAAAUCCUUAUACCUCUCUCAUGCAUCAUAUAGAAUCUUUAAGUCAAUCUACACGAAAGAAGAGAUAUCAUUCCUCAACUUAGCUGUCUUAGCCAUUAGGAAGUACUUCAAUAGAAAUUUCUCGAUCAUUUGGUCCCAUGUAGUGAUAGAACCUCGUAGUAAGGAAUUCAACCACUGUUUAGCUUUGUUCCUCAACGAGAAAGGGAACAACCGUAGGCGAAUGGUAUCAUCAGAAACACCAUUUAUCUUGAAAGUAUCACAAACUUCCAGAAAGUUAGCCCUAAUGAGUAUUUGGAUCUUCGUCCUACAAACCAUCAAAAUGAACAAAUUGUUGUAUCAUCUGAAUAGUGUUUAGCUUUAGUUCGAAAUUAUUCGCAGCAAUGGUAGAACUCACAAUACUCGAUUCAGCCCCAGUUAGAGUAGGGUUGGCAUAAUCGUACAUAGUACGAGGAGUAGGAUUUGGAUUUUCAGGAUUUGCAGCAACCACAGGGGGUAGCUGAUUUUUCUGAUUAUCAGCCAUCUCGUUAGUAAUAAUAAUGUCUUCUUGCUCUCCCACUGUACUCUGUCGAUUUUGCCGUGCUUCUCUAUGGUUUCUGCAAGUUGCACUUUCAAUCUCACUAUCAAAUACUAAUGGUCUCGACGGGUUUCUUCUAGUCAUAAACUAAAGGAACCUGCCAUAAGCAAAUAAAAGAAAAAAUUAGAAAACAAAAAAUAAACUAAAAAAAUAAAAUGCAAUAAAAAUAAAUGGCUAAAUUAAUAAAGAUCGAGUGUUCCUAAUAUUUUAGUCCCUGGCAACGGCGCCAAAAACUUAAUGAUCACUAAACUAACGAUAAUUAUGAUAAAGGCAAGUGCACCUAUCGAACAAUAGUAUAGCUAUGGUGAGUAGAGAGUAUCGUAUCCACGAGGACUAAAAGUACUAGUAAUAUUUAGCCGAUAAAUUUGGGUGAGUGUUUUUAAUCUAAAUUUACUAAUCUAAAUUAAACAAGAACGCAAUAAAAAAUGAAAUAGGUAAUAACCGAAUAAUACCAAAGAGAAAGACAAUACCCAGGAAAGAAUCCACCUAGACUUCACUUAUUAUUCUGAACCUAAAUUAAACAAUUUAUUCACUUGUGUCUUGAUCCGUAGAAAUCCCUAAUUUAUGUUAAUAUCUCUUUCGAGAGUAAGAACAAUUGACUCUAGGUUGAUUAAUUGAAACCUCUUUCUAAUUAAAACCCCUAUUGUCGCAUUAACUCGAUCUAUGGAUUCCUCUAUUAGAUUUGACUCUAGUCCGAUAGAUUUAUGUCAUCUCAUUCUAGGAUUGCAUGACACUCCACUCAAUUAAGCUAGAUCUACUCUUAAACAGUGACUUUUGCUCCACUAAAAUAAGCACAUUAAAUAUGAAUUAAUAUCCCAAAAAUAUUAAAACAUGAAAUAAGCAUAUAUAAUAGAGAACAAGAAUCAAGUAUUUAUCAUGUAAAACAGAAAUCAAAUAAUAAGAUUCAUUAUAGGUUUCAUCUUCCCUAGGUAUCUAGGUAAUUUAGUUCAUAAUCUGAAAUAAAAACAUCUCAAAGUCAGAAAAACCACAAGACAUAAAGAAAUUCACUAAAACUUCGAAAGAAGUUAAAAUGAGAUAUUCAAUCUUGAAGGAGAUCCACUUGUGCGUUGGCUUCAAUGGUGUUCUUCGAGUAAUUUCUUCAAUCUUCUUUGAGUGCUCUCUUAGGUCUUCUUCUAAUUGUUAUUUAUGGACUUUAGAAUGCUCAGAAAGCCUAAAAAUUGGGUUUUUCCGUGUGUUUGGGAAACAAGUUGCGAAAUCGACACAGGCUGGCACAUGGGCGUGUGGCUACACAGGCUCGCUACACGCCCGUGUGAGAGUUGAAAUGCUCAGGCCGUAUGGAUGUUGAAAACAACUCUUUUUGUUCAAUUUUGGCUUUCUUUCGCUCCUUUCGCUUCUCUAUGCUCACUUAAGUAUAGAAACAUGAAUUUAAAGGAUUAAGAGAAUCAAAUUCACUAAUUUACAUUAUUAAUCAUCCAAAAAUACAUUAAGAAUGAGAUUAAAAUAUAUUACUUUUAUAGCUUAUCACCUCAGUACAAGUUCAUCGUUACCCACAUUAAUAAUAGUUCUAGUAGUGGCUAAAAAUGGUCAACCUAAGAUCAUGGGUACUUCAAUAUCCUCAUCUAUGUCCAAUAUAAAAAAAUCAAUAGGGAAUAUAAAUUUAUCAACUUUAACAAGUACAUCUUCAAUAAUGCCCCCAGAAUACUUAAUUGAUCUGUCAGCUAAUUGAAUACUCAUCCUAGUGGGUUUUGGUUCACCGAGACCAAGUUUUUUUAACAUUUUAUAAGACAUAAGAUUUAUACUAGCACCCAAAUCAGCCAAAGCUUUUUCAACAUUUAAGUUACCAAUAAAAUAAGGAAUAGUAAAACUCCCUAGAUCUUUAAGCUCGGUGGGUAGUUUGUUUGUUAGAAUAGACAAGUAAUCCUUGUUGAUCUCCAUAGUUGACAAGUCGUCUAAUUUUCUUUUAUUUGUUAAUAGCUCCUUUAAAAAUUUUGUAUACUUUGACAUCUGCAAAAGGGCUUCACCAAUAGGUAAAUUAAUAUGCAAUUUCUUUAAAACUUCUAGAAAUUUACCAUAUUGUUCAUUCAUGUGGUCUUUCUUCAUUGCUGUCGGUUAUGGGAUUCGUGGUUUGUAUUAUUUGACCACCGGCUUACGCUCUUUCUUGCUUUCAUCAACCCUAUCAUUUUUCAAAAUAACUUCUAGGAUCAUCUCCUUUUCAGGCUUGACUAACCCUUCCUCGCUUCGAAUAGUGAUUGUAUGGACUUACCUUUUGCCUCUUUGGGUUGGUUUCAAUGUUUCUAGGUAAACUACCUUGCUAUCUCUCGGAAACUAGUUUAACAAGCUAUCCAAUAUGAUUUUCAAGCCUUUGACUCAAUGUUUGUUGAUUUUUUAGAGCUGUCUCAAUUUUCUGAAAUCUAGUCUCAAACACCAAAAUAAAUUUAGCUAACAUCUCCUCAAGGUUUGGUUUCCUUUCCUGCUAAUAAGGUUGCUGAAAUUUUGGAAGGGGUUGUGACCUUUGAUUACCUUGACCACCCUAAGAGAAAUUUGGAUGAUUCCUCCAUCCUUGAUUAUAAUUAUUGCUAUAAAGGUUGUUUUGAGGUUUAAAAUUGUUACCCAUAAAGCUAAUUUGCUCAUGCUCGAUGUUCGAACCGAGGGGUAAACAUUCUUUAUUGAUUACCAUUGCUCCAGUCGCAUUGCAUUGCAUUUCUGGAUUCGCUUAUUUAUCCCAACUCAAACCAUCAAUCUUUUUACUCAGAGCUUCCACCUAACUUGCCAACAUAGCAACUGCAUCCAUAUUAAAAACACUGAUUUCUUUAAUCUGUUUCAUUCUCAUAACUUGCCACUGAUAGUUAUUCAGUGUCAUCUCCUCAAUAAACUCUUGAGCUACCUCAGGUGUCUUAUUAUUCAAUGUUUUGCCAGCUACUACAUCAAUUAGCUGCCUAGUCAAGGGAUUUAAACCGUUGUAAAAGGUUUGAACUUGUAACCACAAAGGUAACACAUUCUUAAAAUAUCCUUAAUUCUUUUCCAUGCAUAAUAUAAUGUCUCCAAAUAAAUUUGAGAAACUUCUUAGUCCUCUGAUCCCAAGUCAUGAUAAAACCAUGUAGAAGUGAAUUCAACCACUGUUUUGCCUUCCUCCUCAAAGAGAAUGCGAACAACUUUAAGGAUAUGGCAUUGUCAGUAAAACUAUUAAUCUUGAAUGUGUCACAAAUCUCUAGAAAGUUAGCUAAAUGAGCAUUUGGAUCUUCAUCUUGUAACCCAUCAUAUUGGACAUAUUGCUGAACCAUCUGAAUUGCAUUCGGCUUUAGCUCAAAAUUGUUUGCAGCAAUAGCCAAGAUGACGAUACUCAAUUCAACCCCAAUCAGAGUAGGCUUAGCAUAAUCCAACAUAGUACGAGGAGCAGGAGGUGCCGGAGGCUGCUGAUUAUUUUGAUUAUUUUCCAUCUCUACAAUAAUGUCCUUUUGCCCUUGAUCAUCUAUUAAUAUCUGUUGACCUUGCUUUGCUUCUCUAACCUCUCUACGAUUUUUGCGAGCAGUCUUUUCAAUUUCACUAUCAAACACUAACGGAUCCAACGAUUUUCCUCUAGUCAUAAACCAAAAGAACCUGUAAAAAUCAAACAAAAGAAAAAUUAAAAUGUAAAAAUUAAAUUUUAAAAAAUAUACAUUAAAAAAUAAAGUUUUCCUAAUCUUCUAGUCCCGGGAAGCGGCGCCAAAAACUUGAUGUCCAUGAAACUAACUAAAAAUAUGACUAAGACAAGUGAACCUAUCAAUUAAUAGUAUAGCUACGGUGAUCACAGAUAUCGUUCCCAUUGAGACUAAAGGUACUAGUAAUGUAACACCCCAAUAUCGUCUUCGUCACUAGAUUAGGGUUACGGAGUGUUACAUUACAAUAUAGAACAUUUAACUUCAAAAAGAAACAAUUAUACCAAACUAAAUAAUACCAUUCCAUAACUCAUAUAAUUCAAGGUAAAAUUAAAUUUAUGGACCUUAAACCGAGCCCACAGGGCCUUAAAAAUAAUUUCAAAACAAUUAGGGGUCAUUUUAAAACAAAACAUAAAAACCUAAAAAAUUUGAAAACAGAGGUCCCACGGUUGUGUGACAAAGCCCAAACCGUGUGGCUAAAAAAUAUCGUUGUGUGUCUAUUUCACACGCCUGUGUGGCUAAUUCACACGCCUGUGUGGCUAAUUCACAGUCCUAUGUAUGUGGACCGUAUAAGUAACUGUGCCCAUGUAAUAUAAAGUUAUACGGCCGUAUGGCCAGACCGUAUAGCUCGGGGUCACAUGGUCGUGUUGCCAGGCCGUGUAACUCUCUUUGCCCGUGUGGACCAACCUGCACUUAAAAUAACAAUGACACACGGUCGUAUGGUGUGUUUGUGUGUGGCACAUGGCCGUGUGAUAACCCGUGUCCCAAGCCGUGUGCUCCAAUUCGUACCUUCAAAUUCAAGUUUACCAAAACAUGCCUACCUGGACAUCAAGAAACCCAAUUUUCAUCAAAUAGACUUACUCAAAACACGAUUAAACAAGCUUAAAACAAGUCAAAACAUCCAUCCUAAGUGUCUAACCAAUGUGCCCUCAUUGACACCACAAUUCAAUUUUUCAACCAAGUUGCAUUCAAAGCCCAUAACUCUUUACUAAGAACACAUGCCAAUCUUACCUUUCAUACAAUCAAGUUCACUUUUAUCAUAGUAUAGUCAUACAAUUGUAGCAUAUAGCCGAAUGAACGAAAACACUUAUUUAUGAACCAUUACAAGCCAAAUAUCAAAGAUAUAUAUUCACAUGAACCAAAAUCAUUUCAAGACCAAAAUCAUUCAAGUCUAGCAACUACCACAAGUAACUUGUAAUCAAGACGUUUACAAAACACCUAUUACAUGCCAUAUAACCCAAAAGUAAACAUUCAAAACAACCAAAAGAUAUCUGUGAUUUCUUUGACUCAAUCUAAUCACCCGACUUCAACGAAAUGCUGUGUACAAAGAGAUAAGACAAAUAACAUGAAUAAGCUUUUAUAAAGCUUAGUAAGUUCGACAAUUGAAACAAAUAAGCUUACCGGAAUAACAUGAAAACUUAAAUAACAAGAUUAAUAGUCAGUAUUUCUUGUCAACCACAAUCCGUAACAGGUGAGUUAAACACAAACGAGUACGAGUUACAUUUGAAUAUAAUCAUAUGAUAUCAAUCCGUAAUGUUAACAUGAAUUCAUAAUCAAUUCAUCGACAACUCAAUAUCAAGUCAUUUAACAAUAGAAAUGUUGCCCGAUGAACGAUAUACGGAUAUGAGUACACAAUUAUCUACCCGAAACACACCAAACGCUCCAAUGAGCCAAUCCAACUGAAAACACUCCUUGACACCAAGUGCCUAGACCAAAAGGCUAUCAUUCCUCCAAAACCACGCCCGGGCACUAAGUGCCAAGCCCAAAGGCUUUACAUCCACCUCCAAUAACACACCAAAAUCAUUGCAAUAUAACUUGAUAGUUCGCAACAAAUGAUGAACCUUGGGAUAUUCAGUGUAUAAACACAAAUCAGGAAUAAUUGCCUCAUCACAUAUCAAUCCCGUAAAAUGCAUAUUAUAACCUAUUGGCACGCCAAUCGUACUUUAUCCUACGUUCAUCCAACCCAAUAAAUAUCAUCGCUAAACAAUGUUCCAAGAAUUAACCAAUUCAAUUUAUACUAAUUAAAAUUAAACAUUUAGUAACCAAUUUAACAUUCAAUAUACAUUUCAAAUUAAAUUAAACUAAACUGAAUGAACUUCUAGGGCUAAACUGCAGUAAUAACAAAAGUCCAAGGACUAUUCUAUAACCUUCCCUUUUCCUCUGUUAUCAACUUGCUCUUGAUCUAUAAUAUAAUUUUAUUUCAAUUAUUAGCCUCAAUUUAAUAUAUUAUUCAAUUUAAUACAUGUGACUUCUUAUGUACAAUGUUACACAUUUACCCCAAACUUUUACACUUUAUUCAAUUUAAUCCCUAAACCCGAAACAAUAUUAUUUUCCAAAAUUAAACUCUAUUCCCAUAGAACCAAUUUUUUAACUAUACAAAAUAAAUUCACACAUGCUGAAAUUUCAUAAGAAAACCUUGCUUAAUUUAAUUUAUUUUCAAUUAAAUCCCUAAACUUAAAAUCAUAAAAAUUACUCAACAAAAUAUUUCUAUUUAACAACCAAACAUAGUAAUUCACCAUUAAACUUCAAGAACACACUAAAUUCAUCAAUGACACAUUCAAAAACAUUCAAUAGUUUCAAAAUCGGAGGUACGAGUUAUCUGGACCUAGUUGUAACGAUCUCAAAAACAUAAAAGUCAUGAAAAAUUAACCAAGAAACACUUACAAGCAAUCAUGAAUUCAAACCAAACCUCCCCCAAGUCUUCCAAUGGAGGCUCAACCAAUAUAAAAGAAAAAUGAAGAAGAUAGUACCAUUCUUUACAUUUUCUUUCACUUAAUUUAUACAAUAAUUACAAGUUUGUCAUUAGUUCAUAUUUUUAAUCAAUUUUCUACAUACCUACUGUCCACUAAAUAUGGAAAUGAUUUAAUUGCCAUAAUAAAUCAUCCUAAAUUAUUUAAAUAUCCAAUUAGCACUAAAACACUAAUAAUAAUUGACUUUUUCACUUUUUACAAUUUAGUCAUUUUAAAUUAAUUACCUAUCUAAACGUUAGAAUUUAUAACCAAAAUUUAAUACAAUACUAUUUACCUCGUAUAUAUUAAAUAAUUAAUACUUACAGACUGACACGUCAGAAUUGUGGUCUUGGAACCAUUAUUUCCAACACCACUGAGAAACGAGUUGUUACAAGUAAUUACUUUCUUUCUAUUAUUUAACCGAAUAAAUCCAGUACUAAAUUAAAAACUGAAAUUAACUAAUGAACACGACAAAUAACAAAAUAGAAAAAUAACAGAUUAGCAACCAAGAAGCAAAACAAUACCUAUGAAAGAAUUCACCAAGAUUCAUCUACCGCUAUCAAUCUAAAUUAUGAAAUUUCUUUACUUAGUAUCUUGAUCCGUAGAAAUCCAUAAAUUAUAUUAACAUCUCUUUCGAGAGUAAAAGUAACUGACUCUAGGUUGAUUAAUUGAAAUUUCUUUCUAAUUAAAACCCCUAUUAUUACAUUAACUUGAUCUAUGAUUCCCCUAUUAUAUUUGACUCUAAUCAUGUAGGUUUAUGUCAUCUUAUUUCUAGGAUUGCAUGCAACUCCACUCAAUUACACAAGAUCUACUCUUACACAGGGUCUAUUCCUCCUCUGAUUUUAGCAAAUCAAACAUGGAUCAAUAAUCUAGAAAUAUUAAACCAAGACUUAAACACACAAAAUUGAGAACAAGAUCUAAGUAUUUAUACCAUAAAAUAAAAAUCAAAUGACAAAAUUCAUCAUAGGUUUCAUCUCCUCUAAGUAUUUAGAAAAUUUGUUCAUGCUUGAAAAUAAAAAUAUCUAAGAUACAGUAUAACCGAAAGAAACAAAGAAACUCAUUAUAUCUUAAGAAAUCAAAUAUGAAUCUUCAAUCUUGAUGGAAUUCUGCUUUAGAAUUGGCUUCAAUGGUGUUUUUCGAGUUGUUUUCUUGAAUAUUCUAUGAUGACUAACUUCUAUCUUCUUAUUUUUUUCAUAUAUACGUCUUAGAAUACCAUGUGUAAAAGGUUAGCCCGUGUAACCCCUGUACCCUAUUCUGAUUUUCUAGUAUUCGCUUGUUUUUCGCUCCUUUUACUCACAAAUGAUCUCUUAAGUAUAAGUGCUUGAAUGCAAAGGACUAAGAGCAUAAAAUUCAUCAUUAACAUCGAAUAAUCACCCCAAAACACAUUAAUACUGAGAUUAAAACAUUUACUUUUAUCACUUAUCAAUUAUGAUGUAGCAUUUUUAAUUAGUCAUGUUCCAAUUAAGUAUUUAGAAUAAUAGUAAACAAUUAAAAUUUUUAUAUUUUUAACAUUAUUCAUGCACUGGACGGAGCACUAUGUUCUGGCAGGUGCGACUAGAAUUAAUCAGAAUAAGUUGGUGCAACUGGUACGGGCCAAAUUUUUUUCCAGUGCAGAAAAAUGGUGUUUGGUGUUUCGCAAUGUUAUUGAAACCGGAAUGAACAGACCGAGAAAUUAACCCAAGAACAAGAGUAAACCACAUUUAAACCGCAAAUUGUCGAUCGGUUGAACUAUUUAAACCGUAUUUUCACAUUUUCUAAACCCAAAAAACAAAAAUUUCACCCUAAAUCCCUUAAGCUUUUGUUACACUUCAUCUCUGCUCUCAAUGAAAUCAAACACAACAUAAAAAAAGAACCAGUUCUUUUCUUACUUUAUCUACUAAAAUAAGUUUUUUUUUUUGGUAAAAAAACCUAAGUAGGACAUAUAACAUUCAAUCAAUCAAAGCAAAGAAGAAGAAAACUUAGGAAAGAUGAAAGAUGGGGAGAGGGUAGGUGGCAAAGAAAUGAAAAAAUGAAUUUGAAAAGUAUAGAUUAAUGAAAAGAUUCUUCUAGGCUUCAUUAUUUUACCCUUUCUUAUCACGGGCCUAAAAUAGAUGUGCUUGAUUGGGUUUUAAAACUUAAAGCCUCCAAAAUAGAUGAGUUUGAUUGAAGUUUCUAAUAAUUAGUAUUAUUUUAUAUUGUUGAAAAGUAAAUUAAUUGUAUCAGUGGUUGAACCUAUUAGAUCAAGAAUCAAUGAUUUGAUUAAUUCGAUCAUUGGUCUAAUUUUAAAAACAUUGAUAAUUCGAUAUAGAAUUAAAAUAAUACACACAAAUUAGUUUAAUUGAAAUCGAUACGAAACCGGCCACCCUAAUUUAGUACAUAAUUGGGCAUCCAUAUAAAAUAUUUUCUUGGGAUUAUAUUGAAAGAGGAAAGUAAUCGUAUGUAAAUGGAUAACUUGGAAGAGAUAAUGAAGAAGGAACCAUUAUAUCAGCAGUGGCAUCUUCUCGAUGUAUGGCUGCUCAAUAUCUUGACUGCAUUUAUCAUUUGAUUCUUUUCUUAAUUAGCCAAACUCAUGAUAAAAAUGGUAUAAAAAUAGUUAAUUACUUCAUGGACAGAACAUUAAUAUAUAAAUACCCCAUAUAUAAUAAGCAACAACGUAUCAAAGUACACCAAAUAACAGCAAUUGGAGAACUCCCAUUUAUACAAUCAAAUAUAAGUGGGCAAAAUCAAUAAUCAUAAUAAAGACACAAAGACGACUAAAAACCUUAUUAAACUAGAUCUAGUAUGCAGCAGAUAAAAAAAGGGGGUAUUUAAAGAAGUAGAACGAGAAGGUGGUGGAAAAAGAAAGGAAUAGAGGGAAAUGCAGUUGGGAUUGUAGGGACUGAAGGAAUGCUUUGUAGAGGGGGAAGUCCUCUUGGCAAUGUGGUAGGAAGUGGAGGAAACGCCCCAGGGUUUGGGAAAUUAUGGAAAUAUAGAAAUGGUGGAAAAGAGAAAGGAAUUGGGGGAAUUGUAAUUGGGAUUGUGUGGACUGAGGGAAUGCUUGGUAGAGGGGGCAGUCUUGUUCGCAAUGUGGUAGGAAGUGGAGGAAAUGCCCCAGGCCAUAGGAAUGAUGGCCGGGAUGGCGUUGGGAGAUUAAGGAAAGAUGGCAAACUUUGCGUUUGAGGCUGUUAUAGAAGGUGAGGAGCUGCUACCCCAACAUUGUUAGGAUCGAUCCAAUUAAGCAACAAGUAACAAAAAAUAGUGGAAUAAAUUGAGAAAUUGAACACACAAAUUUAACGUGGAAAAACCCCUCCAAAGAGGAUAAAAAACCACGGGUAAAGGUAAUUUUACUAUAAUGGCCAAAGAACGAAGAGUACAAAAGAUGGAGAUAAAAAACUAAACCCCGAAAAACCCGAAAAAAAGGAACCCUCAAAACAUAAAAACAAAAUUCUCUAAAUGUGUUAUGAGUUCUAAUCUCUAAUUGGUGUAUUUUCUAAGGUUGUAAAAGAACCUAUUUAUAGGCUAAAUUAGUAAGUCAAAUAAACUAUGCUAAUAAAUGCUAAAUAUAUUAUACUAAUAAAUACUAAAUCUUCUAGAAAGAAAAUAUAUUUUAUUUAACUUAACUUGCAAGCAAUCUCUUAGAAUUUGGGUCACACAACUCUAACAAUCUCCACAUUGACACAAAUUCUUACAACGCUAUCUUUGCCAAAGCCCGCCACGAGCCUAUCUUGAACUAUGUAGGGAAUUAACUGAGUCGAAUCUGUGCUAAGAUGUUGGAAGACUUCUAGCCUUCGACUUGUGCAGUUCCAAAUCAAAACUAGCCCUGGUCUAAUUUUUACGAACACAGUGCCCUAACUUUUCAAAAACUGCAUCCAAAAGAGAACCUCUCUCCAACGAAACGGUCAUACCUUUUUCCCUCCUAUGACCAAGUUGCCUCCGCUCCAAAAGAGUUGACUUCGACUCCGUAACGGACGAGGGACGUCUGAUUUUACCAGUCACUGUAGAACCUUCCAGAAUAUAAAGACUGCCAGUUUUUUUACCUUUUAACAAAACAAGAGCUCCACGAGGUACUUUAAUGUCACUCGACUCAAUGUUGAUUCUGUAUCCUUUCAAGUCUAAAAUAUUCAAGGAGAUGAAAUUCUUUCGUAAAUCAGGUACAUACCUGACAUUUGAGAGUGUCCUAAUCGUCCCAUCGUGUAUCCUAAUUUUAAUAGUACCAAUACCAAUUACCUUACUAGAUGAAUCGUUUCCCAUGCAAACAACUCCACCUUCAGCCGAACUAUAUGUGGAGAACUAUUCUCUAUUGGGACACAUGUGGAAAGAACAUCCCAAAUCUAGGAUCCACUCGAACGUGAGCUUGGAAUUAUUGAUCGUUGACACUAACAAGAAAUCAUCACCGCUUUCAUCAGCCAAAUUAGCACCAUCUACAUAUUCCUCGUUACUCUGAGUAGCUAUUUUAUUUCACAGUUUAUAACAAUCUGCUUUGACGUGACCUAACUUUUUUUACAAUAACGACACCUUUUGUCUCAUUUCUUUGAUGCUACCAAAACAGAAGCUUGCCUAUCUGCCUUACUAUCCAAACCAAACUCAUUGUCAAGUUUUUCUCUACUUAACAAAUGACCCUUCACAUCUUCGAACGAGAGUUUGUCUCUGCCAUAAAUCAGGGUCUCCCUGAAAGACUUGUAUGAAGGGGAUAAAGAGCACAAUAAUAGCAUAGCUUGAUUUUCAUCGUCGAUAUGAACCUUAACAAUCAUUAAAUCAUUUAAAAGAGUAAUAAAUUGACUGAUGUGAUCUCUAAGAAACUCACCUUUGUUCAUGCGAAACGUGAAUAGACGUUGUUCCAACACUAAACGGUUAGCCAAAGACUUAGUCGCAUAAAGAGUUUCUAACCUUUUCGAUAAGUAGAUGAGGUCUUCUCCAUCAAUACCUCUUAUAAUACCGUAUUCGUGAGGCACAACUGGAUUGUAUAUAAGGCCUUUUCAUCAAGCUCUUCCCAUACUAUUUGAUUUAGAUUCUCAGGUUUUUUCUCGGUAAGAACCUUUUUCAAUCCGGUUUGAACUAGAAUUACCAUAAUUCAAACUUGCCACAGAUUAAAAUUUGUCUCACCAUCAAACUUCUCAAUUUCAAACCUUGUUGCUAUCAUCUUUGAAUAGGCUGAUCUAUAAAAAUUACAGUAGCUUUGAUACCACUUGUUAGGAUCGACCCGAUUAAGCAACAACUAAUAAAAAAUAUAAAAAUAAAUUGAUAAAUUGAACACACAAAUUUAACGUGGAAAAACCCCUCCAAAGAGGAUAAAAAACCAAGGGCAAAGAUAUUUUACUAUAAUGGCAAAAGAACGAAGAGUACAAAAGAUGGAGAUAAAAAACUAAACCCCAAAAAACCUGAAAACAAAGAACCCUCAAAACGUAAACACAAAAUUCUCUAAAUGUGUUAUGAGUUCUAAUCUCUAAUGGGUGUAUUUGUAACACUGGGGUUUGUGCAAGUGUACACAGUCGUUAUCAAGUAAUAAGUAAGUAUCGAGUUAUCGUCUCCACAGGGAAUGUAUGUGUGUCGAGUCACUUAAUUUGUAAAAUUAUAUUAACAAUUUGAAAAACUAAAAACAAAAUAUAGUUGAGAAGUGGUAUAAAAUAGAUGUAAUGAUCCCUAAUGUAAAUUAUCCAAAUAUGCAGACUAUAUGAAUGAAAUAGAUUUUAGCAAAAUUUAACACAUGCAACAAUUAUAACAUAACUGAACUAGGACAAUUACUUUAAUUAAACUUAAUUUAUUAUCAUCACGCUUAAUAAUAUUCGAAAAAACAUUCCAUGGCAACUCGAUCUUUCAUGAGUUUGGAAACCAAAUUAGGUCCUUUUGGAAUCCUUUACUCAGUAAAUACGCAUUUUACUGAUUCCUAUUUACUAAGGGUUUCUUAGCAUUCGUGUGAGGUAACAGGGACGUGUUAGGUUUGAAACAAUUUAAUCACACAAAUCUAAAAACUAUGCAGAUAACAGAGCCUAGUUAGAGUUGUUAUGCAACCUACAAUUUAAUCGGGUUAGGAUCUAAAUUGAGCAUGCACAUUUCAAUUAUGCGUCCAUUAGCCGUCGCCUGGUUAGGAUCGCUCAGCUAAUUCAGGUGCAUUUCAAUCAUGUAUGAACGAAAUACAGACUUGAUUUUAAUUGAAAACAUGAUCGAUUGAGGCACAAACAUUAUAAGCAUGAAUCAAAUAAAUAUUAUUUAAUCAAAAUAAUCAUCCUAGCUUAAAUAAAAUUAAGCCAUCAUUGUUGUAAAGAAGAACAAAGAACACAUAGCAAACAUCUUUAUAUUAAAUUAAAGAAAAGAAAGAUUAAACCCAAUUUAGAGUGGCUAUCACCCAAGACUCUGACUGACGAGACUCCUUCUCUUCUUUGCGUUGCUCCUUUGCUGAUGGUUCUCCAAUGUGGCCAACCAAGGGCUUUUUAAGAGGCUAAUUUGCUAAAAUCCUUAUGCAAGGAUGAUGAUAGGCAUGAGAGCUAAGAGAGUUGAGAGAGAGGAUGAGAGAUGUGAGAGAUGAUGAGAUGAGGGAUGAGGGAUGAUGAGAAAUGAGCUCUUAUUUAUAGGUGAGGCAAGGGAGCUAGUUUGCUAAAAUUAGGAGUGUCCAUCCUUUGAAACCUCCUCCAAGAAUGGUUGGCCAUGAAUUGAGGAAAUGUGGCUGAUUUUUCCUUUAUUUUUGGUCAAUUUUAAUGCCACAACAACUCAGGACUAAGACUCGAUCUCCAACAAAUCUUCAGGUAAAUCUCUAAUUUCUUCAACUCUUCAAAGGCCUUGUAUAAUUAAACCGAAAAUUGGUUUAUAAUCAGCCAUGUGCAGCCAAAAAUUGGGUUGACUUGGUCCUCACUUUCUACGGUUUUGCAAUUAGAAGAAAACUCUCAGACCUAUCAAAAAUAACUACUUUAUUUAAUCAAUUUACUUAAUUAAUUAAACCCAAUUUUAUUAAUGAAAUAUUUACAAUGAAUUAUUAAAAUAUAACAUUAUAUUUUAUUAUUUAAUUUAAUCAUGCGUGGCCCACUUCAUAGCUUAAAAAUAUAAUAUGCUUAAAUUAAUAUAAAAUAAGUCAUUUUAUGCAUGAAAACUAUAUAAUAAAACAUAAAAUCACAUUUUAAUAAUUUCUAUGUCCUAAUUUCAUAUUUUCACAUAUUUCAUUAAUUUAUUAAACAAUUACUUGGUUUUAACAACAAUUUUAAGUAAAAAGGUGAUGAAUUAUAUAGGAAAAAUCCUAUAUAUUUUUCCAUUUAUACCUCCCAAACUCAAAUCAUUGCUCGUCCCGAGUAAUGUUCAUGCACAACACAAGGUCUUGCUAAGGCAAAUUUUGCUAAGAGUGUUAGUAGCAUCAAUCUUUGUCUCAUAAUCAUGCAUCAACAAAUUCAUGCUCAUAGAUCGUCUUUAUUAGCAAGUAACUCAUAUACAAACAUUUUGAAAAUUUUAUUCUAGGUUUCAAGAUAUGGCAACAUGAAUAAUAGUUUGCAUGUAUGUCAUAGCCAUAGAUAAUAUUCUUCAUUCAACACAAUUUAUCAUGAAUCAAGCAAACAAUCAUAAGGCUUAUUUAUGAUCUUCAUAUGUUGAACUUAAUACUUCCUCUCCACUAAUGUAGGUGACAUAAUCAUCAAAUCAAUUGGUCUUUUAUAAGGUUCUAAUGGGGCUUGGUUUAAAGGUAGGGAUUUUAAGAGAUGAGACAUUUCGGUUUCAAAAAUCUUAACCUUUAACUUGUCUUGGAUUUCUUGAAAUUCAACCUUUUUCUUCAAGUGAACCUUUGGAACACCCCCAAACUUAUUUUGAACUCAAGCUCGUACAUUUUCCUUUUUAAAGACUAGGCGAACUUUUCUUCGCUCUUUCCUUGUCUUUGUGAUUUUUUAAGCAUGAGCACAUACAUCUUUAUGAAAAUUUCCUCAAAUGUUGAUUCCCAAGACACUUAAGUUAAAAUAGGUGCACAAAAUAGGAUAAUUUUAAAAAGAUGGUAACCGGCUUAUAAUGUAGGUUCAUUUCAAAAACAGGCCUUAAAGCUCAAAAUUGUAGUUUCAAGGGUCUAAUAUCAUAAGGUGGGCUUGAAAAGGCUCAAACGAUCCAAAGAAAAAUGGUGUUUAUAUCAUUUUAGAUUUUUAUGUCCCCUAGAAUUUCGCCUCAAGAAAGUUACUAAGUCAAUUCUAAAGAUAUAAACCUUCAUGCAUGUUUGAUCUCAAGAGAAGCUAAGUUUUCACGGCAAACAUUACCUAAGACUAAGAUCAUAAAAACAUUCCAUUCUUCACGAUAACAUACAAUCACUCAGAUAAAAUCAUCAUUCAUACUUGCAUACAAGAUAUCUUAUUAAAAAGAAUUUCUCUAAACAUUCAUUUAUUAAAACAUACUUAUGAAAGAAAUGAUUGAAACAUACUUGAAAAUUUUAAAAUUUAAGCAAUUUAUUUGCGUAACCCCCCUUUAAAAAGAAGCAAUGUCCUCAUUGCAAGAACAAAGUAUGAAUGAAACCUGAACACCAGGUAGGGUUGUCAAAACCAUUUUUUAUUUGAUUAACAAAAAUUUAGUAGUCGACUUAAAAAUAAAAAUUGGAGUCGCCACCGAUCUUUUAUUAAGGUGUGAUCGGCUCACCUUAAAAAUGGUUUUGGUCUGCAGAAUUUGAGAAAAUAGGUUCGGGACUCGGUUACAUACGAGGAAGUGUUAGCACCCUCGUAACACCCAAAAUUGGUACCGAAUUGAUUAAUUAAUGUCUUAAUGCCGAAUGUUUGAAAAGAUUUUAAAAUAUGAUCCUUUGAAAAGAAAAUUUGAAUAAAAUUAAUUGGAUGAUGAGACUCACUUAUUUCAAAGAAAUAAAUUGUCACACUCAGUAAGUUAGAGUGCAACAUCUUAAGUCCUCAAAAUUAAGUUUAUUUUUUUGACUUUUAAAACCUAUGCAUUUUGAGAAGGAUAUCUGAUUAUUUGGGUCAAAUGAAGAGAUCAAAACCCAGUAAGUUAGGGUUCAAUUUCUCAAAAUUCCAAAUACAGAAUAUUGCCUUUAUUUUUAGAAGAAUCCUCAUCUCGAGGAAACAACAUGUCAUACCCAAUGCGUUAGGGCACAACGUAUCAAAUUCCAGAGAAUGAGCUUUUUUAUUUAUGUUUUAAUUAAAGAGGAUAUUCGGUUUCCUAGAUCCCGAGGAAGAUUGGAAUCCAAUAAGUUAGGACACAAUCCUUUCGAGGAUCCCAAAUUCUGAGUGUCGCGUUGUCUUGAAAGACUUUUGUAUAAAUGAUUUUGAUAUUUAAACGAUAUUAGACGUAAUCUUUAAUGUAACGCGAUUGAAUGGUAAAGUAUGAGAUACUUUGUAAUCCGAAGACACACUAAAAAAUAAUGACCAAGCAAUAGAUAAAUGUUAACAAGAAUAGCAACAAUAAUUUUAAUCCUAUUAUACAAACAUCAAUAUUAACAAUUAAACAUCAAACGAAUUAAUAAUCGAUUUUAAAACGUAUACUAAGAAAACAGUGGCAAUAAGAGAAAUCACAAUCAAUAAAUUAUACAUGCCAAAGUCUUGAAAUGAACAAUAUAUAUAUAUAUAUACCAAUACAUAAUAUUUUUCUUUUAAAAUAAUGCCUAAUAAAUCUGAAAUGAUAAUACAUAAUAAAUUUAAAAAUAAAUAUAUAAUAAAGCUAAGCUAAUAAUACAUAAAAAUUUAUGAUGUUAAUAAUAUAUUGAAAUUUAAAAAUAAUACAUAAUGAAAUUUAACGCUAAUAAAUACGAUUGUAAUAUAUAUGAAAAAAAAUUCAAGUGUAGUACAUAAAGUAAUAUGUACAUAUAUAUAUAUAAAUAGAUAAAUAAAAUAUAAAUAACGUAAUUACAAUAUCAAUAAGGCUAGUGGAGACAAUGAUAAUAAUAAUAAAGAAGAUUAAACUAAUUAAUAAAAAAAACAAAUAACGAAGAGGAUUCAGUUGAGUUUUAAACAAAAUUACAAGGAAAAAAAUGAGAAUAAAACAAAACAGAGGGCCAAAAUAUAAUGCGCGAAUUACUUGGGGGACCAAGUAGGAAAUACUCCCUUCCCUCAAAACGCGGCGUUUAGAUCAAGACUGAAUUGAAACAAAUUCAAAAUUCAUGAAAGUAAUUUACAAAAAAAAAUGCAAUUAAAAUGAUGGAGUAAAAUGGAGGGAUCGAAGGCGCAAAUAGACCACACAACAAAAAUGCAUGGAUCCUCCCCGGGUCGGGUCACCGUGCUAACCAUAAACCACCAAACGGCGUCGUUUUGGAGCCAUUGGAACCGGGCUUAAACGACGUCGUUUUUUUAGACUAGAUAAAGAUCACUUCAAACCCUAAAUCAUAAACCCCAUGCCAUUUUCAAAACUCACGCCGCAAAACCUAUGUCUCUCUUCGUCGUUCGAACCCCUUCGACUCUGAUUUAGACGAAAUGAAUAGGAACUCCGACGACUCCUCCAAUGGCAAGAUCCUUUCACUUUCUCUCUUUUUGGAUUUCGUAGAGGAACAAAAAUAAUUUGCAUUAUAUCAAAAAAUGAAAUCUGCCAUUACUCUUUUAAAAAUCAAUCUAUUAUUAUUUUUUUGUUCAUAAUAAAAAAAAUCAAAGAAAUAAAAGAAGAAGAGGAAAAAAAAGGAAAACGGAGAAUCACCUUCAAAAAAAUUUACUUUUUUUCUUUUUGUAUUGAUAUCGUGUGUGUAAAAAAAUAAAAAGGUUCUUCCUUUUCUUUUAUAGCCGAGAGAAAAAGAAAGAGAAUAAAAUAAAAAUAAAACAUAUCCAUUUUCUUUCUGUUGUAUUGUUUUCGUCCCAUUUGUAGGCGUACGGAGGCUCGUCACACGCGAGGGGCUUGGCUGCGGCGCCUGGAUCUUCUAGGGUUUCCGUGUGUUGUUUAAUGUUUUGGGCUCAUUUGGGAUUUGGGUAGAAUUAGAUGUUGGACCUUAAUUGUUUGGGCUAAUUUCUGCCUAGGAUUUCACGGAACAAGAUAUUUUGCAAGUCUAGUCCCUGAGGAUUUGACCCUACUUCCCUUUUACUAUUCUUUUUCAUUAUUUAUUAGGGAUAGGAUAUUUUUGGUGCUUCCAAUGACCGCAUCAAAUUUUAGCGCCGUUGCCGGGGACUGGCAACAUAUUAAUCUUGUUGUUUGUUUCUUAUGGCCAGAUCUGCUCCAGGUACUCUUGAGUUCGAUUCAAAAAUUGAGAAGACUGCUAGAGCCAAUCACAAGGAGAAAAGUUACAGAAAAAGCAGUCAGCGGUGGUUGGAACUCAAAGUAACCCACCGCCAGAAAUAGAAGUCGACGACGAAGCUGAGUCUAGGGUUAACGAAAACCCUACUCGAACACUUGAGAGCGAAAAAGUAGAAGUUGACUCACCAGAACAAGUGCUUAACGCUAGGGUUAACAAAAACCCAAAUCUAGCACACCAACCAAUGGCUCAAACGAUUCGGCAACUGGCCGAAGCUCCGACAGAACAAUCGCCAUUGUGCAUCGCAUAUCCUACUAUGGAUACUGAUUUUGAGUUGAAGAUAGGUUUAAUCCAGUUAUUGCCAACUUUUCGUGGGUUACAAAAUGAAAAUCCCCACAAGCAUCUGAAAGAAUUUCAUUUGGUUUGUCUUAGCAUGAAACCUCAGGGGGUAACUGAGGAUCAGAUUAAAUUGCGUGCUUUCCCUUUCUCCCUAGCAGAUUCUGCUAAGGAAUGGUUAUUUUAUUUACCCCAUAGAUCUAUUACAACUUGGGCUGAUGAACAGGAUUUUUCCAGCGUCACGAGCAGCUGAGCUAAGAAGAGAGAUCAUUGGAAUAAGGCAAAAAGAAGCUGAAUCCCUUUACGAUUAUUGGGAGCGGUUUAAGAAGUUGUGUGCAAGCUACCCACAACAUGGUAUAACGGAGCAAUCUCUCCUCCAAUACUUUUACGAAGGUUUGAAGCCCAUGGAGAUGAAUAUGGUAGAUGCUGCUAGUGGAGGAGCAUUGGUCAACAUGACUCCCGAACAAGCGAGAGACUUGACCUCCACGAUGGCUGCAAAUUCUCACCAGUUUCGAGCUAAUACUGAACCCCCUAGAAGGGUUCACCAGCUAAGUAAUUCAACCUUAGAGGAUAAAGUUGAUAGACUUACUAAUAUGAUGAACUCUCUUAUUGCAGAAAAAGCGAAGACAACUCAGUUAUGCGGAAUAUCUGCUACACUUGAUUAUGCAACUGAUGCAUGUCCCAGUUUGUAUGAUGAUACCAUAGCCCAUCUGGAUGUUGUGGGAAAUUUCCCUGGGCCGCCACAAAGGCAGUACGACCCCUACGCUAAUACCUACAACCCAGGGUGGAGGGACCAUCCUAACUUAAGCUACGGGGCCAAUCCACGAAACAACCAGCCAUACCAAAAUCGGUUUCCGCAACAACCACAAGGUUCAGGUAAUUUUCUAAAAACCAUGGUCAAUAAGUUAGCAGCUAAUGUUCUUGAUUUUCAACAGCAAAAUCUUAAUUUCCAAAAAGAGACGAAGGAUUUCCAACAGAAAACUGAGGCGUCCAUCAGAGAGUUGACCACAUUAAUCGAGGAAUUGACCUCUCAAGGGAAGCUGCCGUCACAAACAGAACUAAACCCUAGACAAAAUGCAAAUGCAGUGAUGUUGCGAAGUGAAAAGGUACUGGAACCAAUUCCUGAUAGGAAUCUUGCCCAAGAAAUAGCCGAGGAAAAACCCGAAAAAGAUGAACAGGUUCGACCGAAGCCUCCAUUGCCUAAAAUUCAACCUCCAUUUCCAGAGCGAUUCAACUAGUGUCGAAAAGGUAAAGAGGACAAGGAAAUUCUUGAAACAUUUAGGAAUGUCGAGAUCAAUAUUCCGCUGUUGGACGCCAUCAAGCAAAUACCGCGGUAUGCUAAAUUUCUUAAAGAGCUUUGCACCAAAAAAUGAAAAUUAACAGGUAAUGAAAGGGUGAAUGUUGUUGAGAAUGUAUCCGCAGUGUUACAGCGGAAAAUGCCGGCAAAAUGCAAGGAUAGGGGCAUGUUUGUAAUACCAUGCAAAAUAGGCCAUCUGGGAAUUAAGAAGGCUAUGUGUGAUCUAGGGGCCUCUAUAAAUGUAAUGCCAUAUUCUAUUUAUGAAUCACUUAACGCGGGUUUUUUGACAAAAAAAGGUGUUAUCAUUCAAUUAGCAGACAGGUCUGUUGUGCAUUCAGAAGGAGUCCUUGAGGAUGUUCUGGUAAAAGUUAACGAGCUUAUUUUCCCUGCAGAUUUUUAUGUGAUCAAAAUGGAGGAGGAUAGCACUCCUGGAUCUUCAGAUCUCCUGUUGGGUUGACCGUUCCUUAGUACAGCUAGUACUAAAAUUGAUGUUCGAAGUGGAACUCUCACGAUGGAGUUUGAUGGGGAGAUCGUAAAGUUUAAUGUCUACGACGCCAUUAGCCAUCCAAGCGAAAUUUUGAGUGUAAAUCGUAUCGACAUAAUUGACUCUUUGGUGGAAGAGAAUUUUGAGUCAAUUUAUGGAGAUAAUUCUGAACUUGAUGAAAUUGAAUUUGUUAAUGAACUAUUAUCUCCAAAUACUAAACUGUUACCUUCCGUUAUACAGGCGCCAGAGUUGGAGUUGAAACCGCUUCCUGAGCAUCUGAAAUAUGUAUUUUUGGGGAAGGGUAAUACCCUAUUAGUCAUAAUCUCCAAUAGACUCUCCACACAUGAAGAGGAAAGUUUGGUUCAUAUAUUAAAAAGUCAUAAGGAGGCGAUCAGUUGGACCAUUGCAGACUUAAAAGGGAUAAGCCCUUUGACGUGUACACACAGGAUCUAUUUGGAGGAAGACACGAAAUCAAGGCAAGAGGCACAAAGAUGGCUAAAUCUGAAUAUGAUGGAGGUAGUACAAAAAGAAAUAAUCAAGCUUCUGGACGCUGACGUAAUUUACCCUAUUUCUGACAGUAGGUGGGUAAGUCCAGUUCAAGUCGUGCCCAAGAAAACGGGCGUGACAGUAAAGAAAAUGCUGAAGGUGACUUGGUACCUACCCGAGUACAAAAUGGGUGGCGCGUCUGCAUUGAUUACAGGAAGUUGAACUCAUACACUAGAAAAGAUCAUUUCCCUCUUCCUUUUAUAGAUCAAAUGCUUGAAAGAUUAGCCGAAAAAACUCACUUUUGUUGUCUUGAUGGAUACUCAGGUUUCUUUCAAAUUCCAGUCACACCGGAGGACCAAGAAAAGACCACUUUUACAUGCCCAUUCAGUACAUUUGCAUACAGAAGGAUGCCAUUCGGUCUUUGCAAUGCACCGGCCACCUUCCAAAUAUGCAUGAUAAGUAUAUUUUCUGAAUAUGUAGAAAAAAUUAUCGAAGUCUUUAUGGAUGAUUUUACUGUAUAUGGGAGUUGUUUUGAUGAAUGCCUUAAAAACCUAACGAUAAUUUUGAGUAGGUGCAUAGAAUUUAAUCUUGUCUUGAAUUAUGAAAAGUGUCAUUUUAUGGUAGACAAGGGUUUAAUUCUGGGUCAUGUUAUUUCAUCUAAAGGAAUUGAGGUCGAUAAGGCCAAAAUUGAUAUUAUAAAUUCUUUGCCUUAUCCCUCCACUGUGAGGGAAGUUCGUUCUUUCCUUGGCCAUGCAGGGUUUUACAAGCGCUUCAUAAAAAACUUCUCGAAGGUAGUUGAACCACUGUGUAAGUUGUUGCAGAAGGAUAAGAAAUUUGAGUUUGACCUAAAAUGUAAGGAGGCAUUUGAUACACUCAAGCAAAAGUUAGUCUCCGCUCCUAUAGUGCAACCACCAGAUUGGAAAUACCCAUUUGAAAUUAUGUACGAUGCCAGCGAGCGCAGUGUAGGAGCUGUGUUGGGGCAAAGGAUAGACAAAGAACCACAUGUCAUAUGUUAUGCCUCGAAAACCCUAGAUGUUGCCGGAGCAACUACACCACUAUGGAAAAAGAACUCUUAGCCGUUGUAUUUCCUUUAGAUAAAUUUCGGCCUUAUUUAUUGGGAUCUAAACUAAUUAUUUUUUCUGAUCAUGCAGCCCUCAGGUACUUGAUCUCGAAGAAAGAAGCAAAAUCGAGGCAUAUUAGGUGGAUUUUACUACUCCAAUAAUUUGACAUUGAGAUUCGAGACAAAAGGGGAUGCAAAAAUUUAGUGGCUGACCACUUAAGCAGAAUAAAAGUACCUUUUGACGACAUCCCUAUUAAGGAAGAAUUCCCUGAUGAGAGCCUAUUCUCGACUGAGGCACGUCUCCCAUGGUAUGCAAAUAUAGUAAACUUUCUAGCCACAGGAUCAUUACCCACUGAGUUAGCACGCUCUGUGAGAGACAAGCUUAGACGCGAUGCUCGAUAUUAUAUUUGGGAUGACCCAUACUUGUGGAAACACUGUUCAGACCAGAUAAUACGAAGAUGUGUUCCAGAAACUGAGGUAACUUCUAUCCAUAAUUUUUGUCAUGCUGAAGCUUGCGGAGGUCAUUUUGGCCCUAAGCGGACCGCUCAUAAGGUGUUAGAAUGUGGGUUAUAUUGGCCCACAAUUUUUCGAGACGCAUAUAACUUCUGUAAGUCUUGCGAUAGGUGCCGACAUACAGGUAACAUCACUCCCAUUUCUUUCUUCAUUUGGUAAUGUAUAUAUAAUUAUUGCAGUAGACUAUGUUUCUAAGUGGAUAGAAGCAAAGCCUACUCACAAUGAUAAUGCCAAAACUGCUAUGAAGUUUUUAAAGCAAACUAUUUUUUCCAGGUUUGGCACACCUCGAGCCCUAAUUAGUGAUCGUGGCACCCACAUUUGUAAUAAGGUCAUGGAGGAACUGUUGGCAAAAUACGGAGUCCACCAUCGUAUAGCUACGGCUUACCAUCCCCAAACGAAUGCUCAAGUUGAGGUCUCAAACAGGGAAAUCAAGACUAUUUUGGAGAAAACAGUUCGUCCUAACCGAAAGGAUUGGAGCCUUCGACUAAAUGACGCACUUUGGGCCUAUCGAACUGUGUAUAAGGGACCGAUUGGUAUGACCCCGUAUCGACUUGUUUUUGGUAAAGCUUGCCACCUUCUGGUCGAAUUGGAACAUAAAGCCUAUUGGGCCAUUCGACAGUGUAACAUGGAGUUAGAACCAGCAGAAAAUGCAAGGAAAUUAGACAUCCAAGAGUUAGAAGAAAUUCGCAAUGAUGCCUAUGAAAAUGCUCACAUUUAUAAAGACAAAACAAAGUUGUUUCAGGAUAAGAGAAUAGCUCAGAAGCAUUUUUCGGUAGGACAAAAAGUUUUACUUUAUAAUUCCGUGUUAAAGUUAUUCCUAGGUAAGCUUCGAUCACGAUGGCAAGGACCUUUUAUUGUUACUAAAGUGUUCACAGAUGGAGCAGUUGAAAUAGAGAGUGAAGAAUCUGGAAAGCGGUUCGUAGUCAAUGGCCAGCGGUUGAAGCCGUUUUAUGAGAAUUUUCAAGCCCACACGAUUGAGACAAUCCAUUUGGAACCACCAUAGAACCAAUAACGGCGUCGAGCUAACGACAUUAAACAAGCGCUUGUUGGGAGGCAACCCAAUUUUUAUUUUUAUUUUUAUUUAUUUUUUUCUUUACUUUAUUUAUUACUUUAUUUUAUUUUAUUUUACUUAUUGGAUAUUAAUAAAUUUUUCUUCUUUUGCUUAGAUAAAACAUAGCGAAAAUGCGAAAAAAACCGUUGAGCAACGCUUAGAGCGCAUUGAGGCCCGACUUGAAACCUUUGGCCAGCAACUGACCAAGCUCAUUGCCAUCAUUUGCGAUCGACAGUAACAACACGGGGAUUUUUUCUAAACUUUUCUACCUAUUUAUUUCUUUUCGUCCACAUUGAGGACAAUGUGCUUUCAGUAGGGAGAGGUACUCUUCGUUAUUACUAUCAUUUUCUACUGUGAUUUUGGUUAUUAUUGCUGAUGUUACUGGUGUUGCUGCUUGAGACUUUAUUUUUUCCAUAUUUAUUUUUUUUGAAUCUCCUGCCUCUUUUCAUGCCCAAGAUUUUUACCAAGAAUUGCCUACUGUUUGACUUACAAGCAUGAUUCUUGUUUUCUGAGAAAAUUACGAGUUUUCCAUAAUUAAUGCCAUCUCCACUGUUUUAUUCUUAUCAGACUAAAAAUAAUUGUGAUUCAUAAAGUUAACUUUAUCUUGCUUUUCGUAAAAUUGAUCAAGUUUAAAUACAAAGUAGACACUUAAUAUGUUUGCAUGCUAAAAUAUGUUGAUGACUAUUAAGGUAAUUAUUGAAACUUAUUUUUGACACUUGAUUAUUUUUUCUCUAAAGUCCUCAUAAAAAAGUUAUUAUUAAAAUGUUGUUUCCGUGGUUAUGAGUGCAGCUUAAAAACGUGACUGACUGAGUAACCGGGGUAGGGUGCUUGGGUUGUCAUCCUAUUUCGCGUCAAAAAGUUGUGUGACGUGUGAGGUAAAACUCCGCUAACUGGAAUUAAUUUUUAAGAACAUGUUGGGCUGAGUAACCGGGGUGGGGUGCUUGGCUGUCAUCUAUCUUCGCGUUAAAAGGUUUGAUGUGUUCAUAAGAAAAAUUAUAAUAAAUUAGGAGUUUGCUGGGCUGAGUAACCAGGGUGGGGUGCUUGGCUGUCAUCUCUCUUCGCGUCAAAAGGUUCAGUAUAUUCCUAAAGCAUAAAAAAAGAGAAAAAAACAAAAAGAAAAAAAAUAAUUUGGAGACUGAAGGACGAAACAAAAAGAGUGUCUUGGUAGGUUUGGUAAUUUACCUAAUUUUCAUUAAAUAAUUCAAGUUGAUUCUAAUUUUUGUGUGUAUUAAUUGGAAAACUUUUUCUGUUUUACUUAAAGCAAGCUUAGGGUUCUCUUUAUUUUUCAUAUGCAUUUUUGACUGAUUUUUAUAAAACUUUGGAGUUGUAUUUCUUUUAUGUCAGAAUCUAACUUUCACAGUAGAUAGGAACCAUACUUGAGGGCAAGCAUGGGCUAAGUAAGGGGGAUUUGAUAACACUCUAGAAUAACAUAUUUUUAUGUAUUAAUUAUGUAUUUAUUCUGAGUAUGAUCCUGCUAAUUUGAGCUAUUUAUGAUAUUUUAUCUCAUAGGGACUAAAUUUGAGGCAAAAGCAAAAUUAAGGGCCAAAAGCAUGAAUUUAGAGAAAAAACAGGCCAAUGUGCGACAUAAGGAAAAGUUGGUGCCAAAAGUGCAAGCAUGGAGGACACAAGGGUUGAAAUGCAAAAAGAAGAGAUUUUAUUCUAUUAAACUCUAUUUUAAUUAUAUUAGGAUAAUUAAUAUUGAGAUAAUUAUUAAGGAUUAUUUUUAGGAUUUUAUUUUAUCUUUAUUUAUCUUCAAUUAAACGUAUUUAUCUUUUAGGAAUUUAAGUAGGAUUAGAAUAUCUCCCUUAGCACUAUAAACAGGGGGUGAAGUGACUCAAAAGGGGAUCCCAGAUAUUUUUCUGAAAACACUCUCUCCCCAAAAGUUUAGGCUUUUGUUCUUCUCAUAUUUCUUUUUAAUAAAAUCUUUAUUUCUAUUUAUUUAUUUUCUUUUCUACCACAACCAUGAGCCACUAAACCCAUCUAGCUGAAGGUUGUCAAAAAUCUCCAAAAGGGUUCAUGAGGCUUAGAAUCCGUACUUAGCUUCCGUCCAUGUCCCUAAAGAAGUAAGCUUUUCAACAUAUGCAAAGGCGGCCGCUUUGUAUGUUUUGGGAAGGUUGCACAGUCGGUUCAUUAGCUUACUGCGUCAGAGGUUGGCGAGCCCAAGAGACAAAAUGGCGUGGGAUUCGCCAUUGAGAAGUGUUGAUCUAGCAUAAGACGAUCCCACAGAAGCGAUUGUUGGCUAGAGUCAAGUUCCACCACAUCGUAAGUCUAAGUCAUUGGAGCUGGUGGUCGUAGGCGUCCUCUUCCACUAUAACUGGCUUAUUCGGUUUGGGAAGGUUCAUCUAAAAGUCGAGGAUUGAACCCAAGGCAGAACGAGACAACUGGAGGCUGGAAUCUCCCAUAAGAAUUUCCUUUCUCUCAACUCUAUUUUUAAUUUCUCAAAUUUUCGAUUCAAUAUUCUUAAUUCUAUUUUUAUUUUAUUCUUCGUUUCCAGAUCCAAACAUUUAAUUCUGUUAUUUUUAAUUUUUUCAGGAACGCAGGUUGUCUUGGGCAAGACUCUUCCUAGGAUUCCACGGAACAAGAUAUUGUGCAAAUCCAGUCCCUGAGGAUUUGACCCUACUUCCCUUUUACUAUUCUUUUUCAUUAUUUAUUAGGGAUAGGAUAUUUUUGGUUCUUUCAACGACCGCAUCAGUGUUGUUUAGUGUUUUGGGCUCAUUUGGGGUUUGGGUAGAAUUAGAUGUUGGGCCUUAAUUGUUUGGGCUAAUUUUUGGACUGGUGUUUAGUGGGUUUGAGGUUUAAUGUAAUCCGGGCUUGGAUUUUAUUAAAUUUGUAAUACUGGACUGUAUUGGACUUUUAUUAUAUUUAUUUUAUAUAUAUAUUUUUAUAUUUGGGUUUUAAUACUUGGGUUCGGGUCGGGCAAAAUUUGGGUAUUACAGCUGCCUCUCUUUGCUCGUUAUCGUGUAACGAGAACGGAGCAAAGACUCUAGAAAUGGCCAAUUUUGCCCGGUCGUGUUGGACCUUGGCGCUCUUCUUCUUCGAGUUGCCUCAUUCCAUCCUACUGCAUCUUCAGAAGUAUAGGAAUUGGUGCAUCGAUCCACUCCACCGCAACGUCGGGGAGAUAGGAUUUGUAACUCGUAACUUUAAUCUGCUUAACUGUGAUGUUAGGGAAGCAAGACUCGCUAUUGUAACUUCAAUCUGUUCUAUUACACCACCAGAGAAGUAAGAUUUGCUAUUCUCAGUCUGCUACGCUGCAACUUCAGGGAGAUAAGACCUGAUGCGAUCCACUCUACUACAACUUUAGAGAGAUAAGAUCUAUUAUUUUAAUUCACUCCACUGCAACCUCAGGGAGAUAGGAUUAGUGGCUUCAAUCUACUCCAGUGUAACCUCAGGGAGGUAAAAUCAGCCACCUUUAGUCUGCCCCACUGCAACUUCAUGGGGAUAAGACCUACUUACUCAGUCUGCUCCACUACAACCUCAGGGAGAUAAGACUUGAUGCGAUCCACUUUACUACAACUUCAAAGAGAUAAGAUCUAUUAUUUUAAUCCGCUCCGCUGCAACUUCAGGGAGAUAGGAUUAAUGGCUUCAAUCUGCUCCACUGCAACCUCAAGGAGAUAAGAUUUGCCAUCUUCGAUCUGCUCCACUACUACUUAGGGAGAUAAGAUCUGUAAUUCUUGAACCUACUCCACUACUGCUUAGGGACAUAAAUCUUACAAUCUUCAACCUAUUUCACUGCUGUCCCGGGAUAUAGGAUUCACAAUCUUUAACCUACUCCACUGCUAUCCAGGGAGAUAGGAUUCACAAUCUUCAACCUACUCUACUGCUGUCCAGGGAGAUAGGAUUCACAAUCUUUAACCUACUCUACUGCUGUCCAGGGAGAUAGGAUUCACAAUCUUCAACCUAUUCCACUGCUGUCCAGGGAGAUAGGGCUGGGGUCAUCGAUCUACUUCGCUGUCGGUGUAGGAAGGCAAGAUCUGUUAUUUUCAACCUGCUCUGCUGCAACCCAGGGAGGCAAGGCUAGUGUCUUCAAUCUACAUCGCUGUCGGUGCAGAAAGGCGAGAUCUGCUAUUUUCACUGAUAUGUUCUCUGGGGAACAUGACUUGUAUAAUGAACCUAAUUAUGCCUAAUGAUUAGGACGGCAUGAUCAAAAUGAAUCAAAUGCUCCUAACUAGACAUGUGUGAAUGGUGUUUGCAUGAAUGCAGAAUUUUAUUUUUUCGAGAAUGAUCCUUCUUUAUCACUUAGGUUAUCAUUACUCAAAGUUGAUUAAAGCUUUAUCACUGACGUACUAUAACGCCUUCGCUCAGCCGGCAUCUCCAAAGGAACACUUAAUCAAAUUGCCCCCACUGUGAACUUCAAAGUUAAUUCCACUAGGACGCAAAAUUUAUACCAUCUUUCUCGCGCUGUGAACCAAGGGUAGAAAAAUCUGGUUUUUUCUCAAUCCUCUUCUAUCAUAAUUGAAAGCUAUAGAAUAUGAAACUCUUUGGUCCUUUACAUUAUGCCUAUGCACAAAUGAAGAAUUCUCUUCUCCAAGAAUAGCUUCCUCUUAUUAUUCAGUGAUCAUUGCUUGCUUGUUCAUGACAUCUCGUCAUUUUGUUCAAUCAUAUUUGACAACAACAUCCAAAGAGAAAGUCCUAAUUUAGACUCUUCCUUUUCAGAUUUCCAACCUUUAAACUUGGUACGUUCUAAACAUUAGUCCUGUUUCAGGCUCCUGUAUUAUUUAGAAACUUCUAGAGUAAUAUGUAAAACUUCCCUUGUGAAAGUUUUAUUAGUCCAUUAAUCAUUAUCCCAAUGCAACAUGCUUGCAAAAAGGGUCAUAACAAUGGUUAAGAAUAAAGUUGGUUCUGAGCAUAGCUCGAAAGGAAUAAAUUACCAAAAAUAGUAAAGAUGGAUAACAAAGAAAUUGAUUGGGAAUGUGUAUCUUGGAAAAGAAUGAAAUAUUCCAAGAACAACAAAUUCAAUAUAAAUAGUAUGCAAAUUGGGUGCCCCAGAUAUCGUAGCUUGAACUUCUUUGUACAAACUUUCUGAAGACCAUUCUGAGUUUGACAUGAGUUUAGGAGAUCUACAGUAUUUUCUCGAUGCCCCAAGAUGUCGCCUACCCUUUCCUAUUGAUUCAGGUAUAACAAGAUCACCACAUGCCCCAAUAUGAUCAAUAUUUGAGCCGCCCUUUUCGGGUUUUCUACUCAAAUUCCCUUUGGCCUAAGGCGCCCUUUGCGGGUUUUCCCCUUAGCCUCUCCAUUUUUACUUUUUCAUUUUUUCAUUUUUCACAUUUUUUUUGACUCAAAGUGCCCUUUGCAGGUUUUCACCUUGGUCCUUUCUUCUUCUUUAAACGAAAUAUUUCUUGACUAGAUCUGAGUUUAUAGGAUUUGGCAAGUUUUUACCAUCCAUCUCACUUAGAAUCAAAGCUCCACCAGAAAAGACCUUCUUUACGACAUAAGGACCCUCCCAAUUUGGCAUCCAUUUUCCUCUAAAGUCUUUUUGUAUAGGAAGAAUUUUCUUCAACACCAGAUCCCUUCGUGGAAUUCUUUGGGACGACCCUACUUAUUAUGGGCUCGUAUCAUUUAUUUCUGGUACAUCCGAUCCUGAUGAAUAGCUUUUAACCCUUUUCCUAGGUUCAACUGAUCACAUCACGAUUGGAUUCAUUCUGCUUCAUCCAACUCUAGCUUAACUAAUACCCGGAGAGAGGGGAUUUCAAUAGGUAAAACUACCUCAAUCUCGUAAACCAAAGUGAAAGGUGUUGCCCCAGUACAGAUGUUUGACAAGCAAGUAGGGCAAAUGGUAAUUUCUCAUGCCAGUCCUUGCAAGUCACAGUCAUUUUUCCUUCAAUUUUCUUGAUAUUCAUCUCUAGGCAAUUUGGUGAUGAAUUGUGGUGUCUGAUUUUGGCUUGAUUACGGACCUCAGCUAUCGUGCUAUUGUUCAGGAUCAAUUCAUUAUCCAAUAUAAUCCUCUCUGACGGUCUAUAUAGUCAUAUGAUGACAUUAGUGUAUGGAGCAACCUCUACUAGUUUGAUGAAGUAAUUGAUAUCCUAAAAAAUAAGGCGAUGCACAUUAGAAGCCUUCGGUGAUAUUGGCCCAAUGUCAUCCAUGCCCCACUUUGCUCAAAAUUUGAGUCGCCCUUUUCGGGUUUUCAACUCAAAUCCACCUUUGGUCAAAGCACCUUUUGAGAGUUUUUGCCUUGACCUCUCCUUUUUCUUUUUUUUUUCAUUUCAUCAUUUUUUUGUUUUGAUUUUAAUUAUUUUUUUUUUGAUUUUUUGAUUUUGAUUUCUUUUUUUUAUUGAAUCUGAACUCAUAGGAUUAGGCAACUCAUUGCUAUCCCUUUCGAUCAGAAUCAAUAUUUUUGUAGAUAAAGUCUUUCACCUAAGAUCUUCCACUUUCAUCUUGCAUGCGAAAAAUCUUAUUUGGCAUCUGAUUUCUUUCUUAGAGCCUUUUGGGGCGCAACUACGAUAGAAAACUUUGGAUCUUACUCUUUAAUCGGGAUAAAAUCCAAUAAAACUUGAAGAGAUGGAAACUCGACUUCAAACAGGCAAAGCUAUGAUGAGUCAACGAGAAAGGCAUUGCCCUGGCAAAGAAUUGCAUCGUUCAUACUGCAAAUUUCUGACAUCGUGCUGUUGUGUAGAUUUCAUUAUCAGAUGUUAACCCAGGCAUAUCCUGGUAUGAUCAUACAAAGACAUCUUUGAACUCUAGAGGUAACUCAACAAGGUCUUGCUUCAUCUUCUCGAUCAGGUCAAUUCUAAUCUUCACCAAGCUCACAAUUCCAAAUGAUUCCUUGUGAGGUAGGAUUUGUCUAUCCUCUUGUUCUACCAUCCUCAACAAGUCCAGAGAUAAGCUACGAUCUAUGUCAUUUUCAAAGUCAUGAGAUCCCUCUAAACACAUGCCUCGCUCAAAAGGAAAAUCUAAGUCUGUAGCAGCGUCAUUCAUGUAAUUGAUAUCUGGGGACCCAUAAUAAGUACCAAAGAAUGUACAAAAGAAUGUAUAAAUUUAUGAAUAAUUAUUUUUACAAUAUGCUUAUGAAUGAAUGAAUGAUGUGGAAGGAAAUUCAAAAGAAUGAAAGAAUAAUUAUUCAAAAAGACUGAAAGAAUAUUGGUUCAAAAAUGAUCACAAGAAUGCAUUUCAUUAAAAUAACAAUGUUCAGACAUGAGCCUAUUUCACAAAGAAGUUCUGAUUGCUUCUAGGCUAAAAGCAACAAGUGCGUUCUGACUAUUACUCUAAGUAAGCUCUAAAUACUAUAGGAAUUUCUUCCGGAGUCCAAUUGCUAAGAACACUCCCAGAUUUAUAAGGACGGAUAUCUAACAAGGUCCCUUCUUCAAUUGUGUCUUCAUACAUGUCAUUGAUUUGAACGCUUCCCAACAUCUCUUCAUACAUCGCAUCAAUCAUGAUUGGGUAGAGGGUUUUCUGCACUAGAGUCAUCAAACUUGACAACACCCAUGUUGAUGUGCCUUUAAACAAGCUUUUUAAAGACGGUGCAAUUUUCUAUCGAAUACCCCGCAAUUCCCGCAUGAUAAUCACGUUGUGCAUUCACGUCAUACCAUUUGGGGUACGGAGGUUGCAGGGGUUUUAAGUAGAAAGGGGAAACAACGUGCGCAUCGAAUAAGCUUUGAUACAGCUCCUUAUACGACAUCAAAAUUGGCGUGAACUGGAGCUUUUUAGUAUUUUUUUCACACCAGAUUCUUGUCUUGAUGAACCUUGUAGACUAGCAACCACUUUUCUUGGCUGGUUCACCGUAAUUGAUUUGUUGUAUGUGCUCACGUUGUUUACCUCAUUCUCCUUUCUCCUUGCGGCUGACUUUUUGUUACUCUCUCAUGGCUUUAUUUUCCCAUUCCUGGUGGCAUUUUCAAUCAUCUCACCAUUCAUGAUUAUAUCUGAGAAACUCUUUGAGGCACUUCCCAACAUGUGCGUGAUAAAUAGGGCUUUCAGUGUGUUGAUGAAGAGCAUCGUCGUCUCUUUCUCCAAUAGUGGCGGCUGAACCUGGAUAGCGACUUCCCUCCAUCUUUGUGCGUAUUGCCUGAAACUCUCGCUCGAUUUCUUCUCCAUGUUUUGUAACGUAAUGCUAUCAGGGGUCGUAUCAGUUACACGACUGUACUGUUUUAUGAAUACCUGUGCCAGGUCCCUCCAUGAACCAAUCUUGGUACUGCUCAAUUGAUUGUACCAUUUGGACGCUGCCCCUACCAAACUGUCCUAGAAGCAGUGUAUUAGCAGCUGGUCAUUGUUAACGUAGUCAGUCAUCCUUCUACAGAACAUGGUGAUGUGAGCCUCGGGGCAACUAGUUCCAUUGUAUUUCGAAUUCAGGCAUUUUGAACUUGUGAGGGAGUACUAAGUCCGGAACCAAGCUCAGAUCUUUAGCGUCGAUUCCAUGAUGGCUAUCAGCGCUUUCCAAGGCUUUGAAUUUUUCCUCCAACCAUUUACACCUAUCCUCCCAUUGUUUUGGUAGCUCCACGUUUGCCUUUUCUUUUUCAUUCGUUUCAUCAAAAUUGGGAAUAAUAGGGUUAAUCAGGUUAUCUCUUAGGAUUAAACUUGAUCCACCUUGGAGAUUCACGGGCAUAGAGGCACCAGCUUGGAAUUGUUGAGGCCUAAUUGUAACAGAUAGUCUUCUUGGGUAUAUGUCAGCUUAGGUUUGUGCAUUUGGUGGAGUAAAACCCGGGGGAUAUAACGGAUCCUCAUUAUCUUCUCUAGGAUUGGUCAUAGGGUCCUUUCCCUUAUUUGCUCCUCCCGCCAGUAAUUGAGUUAACUGAGCAAUCAUCUUUUUCGUCAUAUUUUGUUGAAUUUUUUCUAAUUGCUCUUGCAUUCGCACUUGUAACCGUGCUUGCAUAUCCUUUUGCAUUUGCUCCAGCUUCUCUAAUCUUUGAUCCAUUUCCUUAGUUUUGGGACGAGUACCGUAAGGGUGUUUGGUUGAUUGGUUUUCCAGAUUAGCUGAAAUAAAUUUACUCAAUUAGAAUCUUUCAAUGGAUUUUGAUGAUGUCAUGUAAUGUAAAUGCAUGAAAUGAAUGCCUAAAGAGGGGUUGAUUUUGAUUCAAUUACAUUUAGAAAACUUUACUAGAAGAUAAAUUUCUUUACAUAAAGCGGAUAUAUAUACAGUCUCGCCCUCAUAUUCCAAGAGACAACAUCGAUCCCUUCCUUCAUCCGUGUGCUAAGAUAAACCUUGCGAAUUCUUCAAAAAAGGUGUCUCCUUUAUCUCUUUUUGUUUGAUCUUGGUCGCAAUCCGUUGUCUGCCUAUCCUCGUAAUGCUAAUCAGGUCCUUUAAGGAAGUUAGAAUGUCGAUGGCUCUUAGAUAGUCAUCUUGAAUCUUCGAGCCAUGAGGUACAAUCAUGAACUUUUCCUUCACCCUUCUUGUGUUUCUCGGAAUAUAUUCAGGAAGUCGUACUAUUUUCCAUUUUAUCAAGAAAUCUGUAUUCCAUGAAAAGCUUUCUAAUUUAGUAAUCGGACUCGAAUCAACAUCUCUUUCCUAAGAUGCAAAUGCAAUGCAAUCAUAGUCAAAGCAAAACAAAACGAGUUAGUACAAACUAAAAGCAAACAAAAGAAUACCUAGUCGGGAAACCACUAGGGGUUUGGAGUAGUCCUACCUAAGGUGGGCACCAAAGGUCUUUUACAUGCGGUUUGGUUCUAAAGUUGAGGUACCCAAACCAGCAGAUUCCUCGAUCCUCACCCAUUAUAGGCUCAUACAGGUCGAGUUCGGUUCAGGGGAAUACAUUCCCCUAUGGUUGCACGGAGAUGAAAAUCUCACGAAGACAUAGGUACGAAUGUAUUCCGAAAGUGAUCCACUAUCCUGCACGGAGGUGAAAACCUCACGAAGAAGUAGUUUCUCACUUCCAUUUAAAAGGUAAGACUAAACAAUCUUUAUGCAAUAUGAUGCCAAAAUAUAAAACCCAGUCAGUAGUAAUCAAUCACAAACAAAUGCAAUGAGAGGAUCGUAAUUUUUAAAAUCAAAUUUUCAAUUUUCGAUAAUAAGACAGAAAACAAUCAGUUUUACGGCUUGACUCUCUAAAGUCCCCAGUGGAGUCGCCAAGAUGUCGAAACCAUUUUUUUUUGAAAAACAAAAAUUUAGUAGUCGACUUAAAAAUGAAAAUUAGAGUUGCCACUGAUCUUUUAUUGAGGUGUGAUCGACUCACCUUAAAAACAAUUUUGGUCUGCAGAAUUUGAGAAAACAGGUUCGGGAGUUGGUUACGUACGAGGAAGUGUUAGCACCCUCGUAAUGCCCAAAAUUGGUACCGAAUUGAUUCAUUAAUGUCUUAAUGUCGAAUGUUUGAAAAGAUUUUAAAAUACGAUCCUUUGAAAAGAAAAUUUGAAUAAAAUUAAUUGGAUGAUGAGACUCACUUAUUUCAAAGAAAUAAAUUAUCACACUCAGUAAGUUAGAGUGCAAUAUCUUAAAUCCUCAAAAUUAAGUUUAUUUUUUGACUUUUAAAACCUAUGCAUUUUGAGAAGGAUAUCUGAUUAUUUGGGUCAAAUGAAGAGAUCAAAAUCCAGUAAGUUAGGGUCCAAUUUCACAAAAUUCCAAAUACAGAAUAUUGCCUUUAUUUUUAGAAGAAUCCUCAUCUCGAGGAAACAACAUGUCAUACCCAAUGCGUUAGGGCACAACGUAUCGAAUUCCCGAGAAUGAGCUUUUUUAUUUAUGUUUUAAUUAAAGAGGAUAUUCGGCUUCCUAGAUCCCGAGGAAGAUUGGAAUCCAAUAAGUUAGGACACAAUCUUUUCGAGGAUUCCAAAUUCCAAGUGUCGCGUUGUCUUGAAAGACUUUUGUAUAAAUGAUUUUGAUAUUUAAAAGAUAUUAGACGUAAUCUUUAAUGUAACGCGAUUGAAUGGUAAAGUGUGAGAUAAUUGGUAAUCCGAACACACAUUAAAAAAUAAUGACCAAGCAAUAGAUAAAUGUUAACAAGAAUAGCAACAAUAAUUUUAAUCCUAUUAUGCAAACAUCAGUAUUACAAAUUAAACAUCAAACGAAUUAAUAAUCAAUUUUAAAACGUGUACGAAGAAAACAGUGGCAGCAAGAGAAAUCACAAUCAAUAAAUUAUACAUGCCAAAGUCUUGAAAUAAACAAAAUAUAUAUAUACCAAUACAUAAUAUUUUUCUUUUAAAAUAAUGCCUAAUAAAUCUGAAAUGAUAAUACAUAAUAAAUUUAAAAAUAAAUAUAUAAUAAAUCUAAGCUAAUAAUACAUAAAAGUUUAUGAUGUUAAUAAUAUAUUGUAAUUUAAAAAUAAUACAUAAUGAAAUUUAAUGCUAAUAUAUAUGAUUGUAAUAUAUAUGAAAAAAAAUUCAAGUGUAGUACGUAAAGUAAUAUGUACAUAUAUAUAUAAAUAGAUAAAUAAAAUAUAAAUAACAUAAUUACAAUAUCAAUAAGGCUAGUGGAGACAAUGAUAAUAAUAAUAAAGAAGAUUAAACUAAUUAAUAAAAAAACAAAUAACAAAGAGGAUUAAAUUGAAUUUUAAACAAAAUUACAAGGAAAAAAAUGAGAAUAAAACAAAACAGAGGGCCAAAAUAUAAUGCGCGAAUUACUUGGGGCACCAAGCAGAAAAUACUCCCUUCCCUCAAAACGUGGUGUUUAGAUCAAGACUGAAUUGACACAAAUUCAAAAUUCAUGCGGGAAAUUUACAAAAAAAAAUGAAAUUAAAAUGAUGGAGUAAAAUGGAGGGAUCGAAGGCGCAAAUAGACUACACAACAAAAAUGCGUGGAUCCUUCCCAGGUCGGGUCACCCUGCUAACCAUAAACCACCAAACGGCGUCGUUUUGGAGCCAUUGGAACCAGGCUUAAACGACGUCAUUUUUUAGACUAUAUAAAGACGACUUCAAACCCUAAAUCAGAAACCCCUUGCCAUUUUCAAAACUCACGCCGCAAAACCUAUGUCUCUCUUCGUCGUUCGAACCCCUUCGACUCUGAUUUAGACGGGAUGAAUAGGAACUCCGACGACUCCUACAAUGGUAAGAUCCUCUCACUUUCUCUCUUUUUGGAUUUCGUAAAGGAGCAAAAAUGAUUUGCAUUAUAUCAGAAAAUGAAAUCUGCCAUUACUCUUUUAAAAAUCAAUCUAUUAUUACUGUUUUGUUCAUAAUGAAAUCACCUUCAAAAAAAAUUGCUUUUUUCUUUUUGUAUUGAUAUCGUGUGUGUAAAAAAAAUACAAAGGUUCUUCCCUUUCUUUUAUAGCCGAGAGAAAAAGAAAGAGAAUAAAAUAAAAAUACAAUAUAUCCAUUUUCUUUUUGUUGUGUUGUUUUCGUCCCAUUUGUAAGUGUACGGAGGCGGUGGACGUAGUGUGUACGGAGGAGAAGGCGUACGCGUACGGAGGCUCAUCACGCGCGAGGGGCUUGGCUUUGGCACCUGGAUCUUCUAGGGUUUCCAUGUGUUGUUUAGUUUUUUGGGCUCAUUUAGGGUUUGGGUAGAAUUAGAUGUUGGACCUUAAUUGUUUAGGCUAAUUUUUGGACUGGUGUUUAGUGGGUUUGAGGCUUAAUGUAAUCCGGGCUUAGAUUUUAUUAAAUUUGUAAUACUGGACUGUAUUGGACUUUUAUUAUAUAUAUUUUAUAUUUUUUUAUAUUUGGGUUUUAAUACUUGGGUUCGGGUCGGGCAAAAUUUGGGUAUGACACAUUCAUUUAUUAAAACAUACUUAUGAAAGAAAUGAUUGAAACAUACUUGAAAAUUUUAAAAUUUGAGCAAUUUAUUUGCCUUACCCCCUUUAAAAAGAAGCAAUGUCCUCAUUGCAAGAACAAAGUAUGAAUGAAAACUGAACACCAGGUAGGGUUGUAAAGAAAGAGAGGUGAGUCAUUAAGACUUCUUAAAUACCAAGUCUUUCCUAAUAACCCAAUCCUAGACAUCUUCAUUCUCAUUGCCACAUCACUUAGUCUUUUUCUUUCUAAAGAAGUAUUUAUUCAUGCUUUCUAUGUUUAUUUUUCAAAAAUUAAAUCCUAAUUACUAAAGAAAUAAAUUCCUAAAGACCUAGAAAACAAUUAAAUAAAUAACAAGACAAGAAUCCCCCAUUUUAUUUUUCUGACUCAUUCCCCUUGUCUUAUUUAGUUCCAUCUCUGCUUGCAUCGUUUGUAUCUUCCGUUCAUGUCUCAAAGAUAGCAUCUGAGAAUUCAAGAACAAAAGUGUUAGAGAUAUUCAUAAAAGUAUUUCAAAUUGAAUCAUCCCUAAUUUUUGCAUAUUUCCAGUAAGUUUGUUGUUGAUUGUGCAUGAACUUGCACAUAUCCAUCAAAAUUGUCAACUUCGAUUUCUUUGAAGUACUUGCAAGAGUCGGCAUUGGAGUCGUAAAUUCUGGUUCAACACUUAGCUUGACUGGUUCUUCUUCUAGCUCAACCAUUGGUUUAGAGUUUUCAGUUCCUUCAACUGGUUGAGGACUAUUUGGUUCCUUAUCAGAUUCUCCUUCAAUGUCUGUGUAACGCCCCAAAAAUGUAUAUUUUUGUUUAUAAAAAUAUGACACAAAUAUGUUUCUGCUUUAGUGGUUAAGUGUUCUAGGUGUGUGUAUGAGGUCCUAAGUUCAAGCCAUGCCUUUGGCGAAAUUUUGGAAUUUUUUCUAAUUAAAGCCUUAUCCUUAUUCAGUGGGCUUAAUUUUAAUUAUUUGUAAAACCAUAUCAGAAUGAGCCUACUGGUUCAAGUGGUAAGGCAGUUGGAGUGUUGGAGAUUUCGUGUUUGAAUCUUUGCACGAGUGAGAAUGUUAAUUGUUUUACUUGAUUUCCUAGAAGAGUUGUGCAGAAGAUGGAUUCUGAGUAGUUGGGAUUUGGGGAGUUAUCAGGAUUAUUUUUGUACUUUUUUAUUUUAUUCAUUUCAAAAUUUGUUUCUCUCUCUUUCUCUCCAAAAUUCUGACGUCGACUUUCUUCUUCACUUUUCUUCUUCGAUUUUUCUCGACUUCCUGUUGAAUUUUUCACAGUCAUUGCGUUCAUGGCCCUUUUUCAUCUGGUAAGUGAUCUCUUUUAGUCUUCUUCCUUUGAUUUGGGGUCUAGAGACAUUAGUUUAUGGUAGUUAAUCGAUGUAUCCUGUGUUUAUGAAAAGAUCAAGGUGCUGGGGUUUCCGAGUCGAUGCUUUAAAUGUGCAGAUUAAUGUUGCUCGACCUAAGGUAAGAUUUUAGUCGAUUUAAGUGGGUUGUUCAUCACUUUUGGUUCGGUUUAAUGUCAUUCUAAGUGUUUAAUUCUGGGUUUGUUUGGUCAAUAUUAGGUAUUGAAGUGCUUGUGUGCGUAUUUGCAGUGAAACGAUACCAGGUGUGUACCCAAAACACAAAAAUAAGAGAUUCGGCAAAAAGCCAAAAUUGCUUGCUGUUUGGAUAGCAGCAGUAAGCUAAAUUUGAAAAAUCACCAUAAAUUGUAAAAAUCGAAUUAAAGGAUGAAAAAAAUAUGGAAUUAAAUAUAUUUAAGUUUAGUUUUUUAUAGAAGAAACAAAGUAAGAAAAUAUUUUCAUGUUAUGGGAUAUUUGAAUUUUAGUGAGAUAGGUUCAGAAUGAUUUCAAAAUCCCUAUCCUGCAUUUGGAAAAUUAUUAAAAAUUUUAUAAAAAUAAUUAUGGGUUAAAAUUUAUAUGUUUAAAAUCUGGAAAAGCAAACAAGAACAUCAUCUGAAUUCUGUAGAAGAAGAUAAUUAAUUUUUAGUGCAGAAAGGUCGAAACUGUCAGACAGCAGAACAAGGAAAACUUUAAACAAUAAACUGUACUUAUUGGCUAAACCAAUAAUUCUAAAAAUUUUAUGGUAAGAAAAUAUGUGAGUCUGGUUUCAGAGAAAAUUUUCAGAUCUUAAUUCAAAAUUCUGUAGCUUAAGACACAAAUAAUUUAGUUACAGUGACUCAAAUAGACAACUUUGAAGGAUCAUAUAAGUAAAUAGUGGAAACACAUAUGAAUAAUUAACUAGCAUGGGUUACAUUAAAAUGGAUCACGAGGCCAAGGCCAAUUUGGGUCAUGUGGGUCACACGGGCGUGUGGGUCCACACAAGCGAACAUCAUGGGCUUGUAGGCCUAUUUUCACUGUUUGAUUGAUAAGGUCGCACGGGUCGCCCAAGUCGUCUGUGAACCUACUGUAGGGUCGGUAAGUUUAUCUAGACCCCUAAUUGACUGAAAUGACUGUAUGACUGAUAUGAUUAAGCAUGAUGGCGUCCCACUGAUUUGAUACUGUAUGCCCUGUUUACAUGCAUGAUAUUAUGUUAUAGCAUGUCAUAUCUGUAUAUUGCAUUACAUUGGGUUGGGGGAUUAUAAUGUUCGGAGGAAGUGUACUGAAAGGCCUCGAGCCUAAUUUACUGGCAGCUUAGCUGCAAACUACUGUCUAGUGCCACAUUCGGUACUACUUGAAGUAUAGGGAUGGGUGGUUUGAUUAUAUCCCUACAUGGAGUGUAGGGUUGGACGGAGAUGGUGUGUAGAGGCUGGAUGGGUAGGAUUUUGGUGACUACAUAUCUGUUACUGCUACUGAUACUGUGAUGGGCUAAAGCCUUACUACAUGACUGUUUUUGUACUAAGAUGGGCUAAGGCCCAAACUGAACUGAUACUGAUACUGAAAAGGGCUUAAGCCCAGACUGUGAUUAUUUGUUUACUAUCUGUUCAUUUGUAUGGGGAUUACACAUUGAGUUUACGUAAACUCACCCCUUCUGUUUAAUCUGUAUAGGUAAUCCCUAGAUAUAGGCAGAUCGGUGCAGCGGAGGACUCAGUGGUGGCUACACGACUUCUUUUACAUUGUUUACUACUUGUUUAUGAUUUUACUUUUAUUUGGGAGUAUUUUGAUGUAAUUAUGACCUUUACGUAUUUUGGUUUAAAAUUUGGAUUUUAUACGGUUUUAUGAUUUAAAUCUGCUUAGUGUUAGGUAAAACUCAGGUUUUCAAAUGAAAUUAAUGUUUUAUCAAAAAUACCACGAAUAAACAAACUGUUUAAAAGCUUCUGCAUAGAAUAAACAUUUUGAAAACUUUCGACUGAUUAAUUAACACGACUUUAGAAAUAAUAAGUAGACUUUGAAAAGUUUUCUAAGUGAAAAAUGUUUUAAGCAAAGCUACGGUUUUCAAACACUACCAUGUGACAUUGCCAGAUUCGGCCAUAACGUCUAGGUCGGGUUUGGGGUUUUACAGUCUGUAACUGAAUCAGCUUCAGUUUUACUUUUAUUUGUUAACUCUUUGGUUUCUGGAUCAAUUGGUUCCUCUUGCUUGCCUUGGUUCAGCUCAUGCACUCCCUCUACUAACCUUUCAAGAUCAUGACUUGUGAUGCACCCUUGGACAUACUGCCCCUUCAGAUUUGCUUGUGUUUUAACACGGGCCCUUAAGCAAAGUGAAGUGAUUAAUGGUGGGAAAUAAGCACUUCCUGCCUUCUUUUUAGCACAAUCAUGAAUUUUCUUGAGUAUAACUUUCCCAACAUUAAUGGAAUUUUCUGUCAAAAUUGUAUAUAACAAGAGCAUUCAUUACAUCGAGAUGGUGAAACUAUGUUGUCGAAACCUCUUUUAAAUUUAUUUGAAAAAACGGGGAUCGACUUUAAAAAAUGAAAAUUGGAGUCGCCACCGAUCUUUAAUCAGGUGUGAUCAGAACACCUUGAAAAUGAUUUUAGGUCUACGAAUUUUGAGAAAACUGGUUCGAGAGUCGGUUACGCACGAAGAAGGAUUAACACCCUCGUGAUGCCCAAAAUUGGUACCGAAUUGAUUGCUUAAUGUCUUAGUGUUGAAAUUUUGAAAAGAUUUUAAAAUAUGAUCCUUUGAAGUUUAAAUUUGAAUAAACCAAAUUGAAUAAUGAGACGCACUCAUUUCGAGGAAAUAAAUUGCCACACUCAGUGAGUUAAGGUGAAGCAAUUCAAUCGUCAAAAUUAAAUAUGUCUUUUUAAUUUUUAAAUUUUAAAAUUCAUGUAUUUUGAGAAGGUUAUUUGGUCAUUUAAGUCAAACGAGAAAUCAGAAUCCAAUAAGUUAGGGUUCAAUUUCUCGAAAUUCCUAACAUCAAACAUUGCCUUUAUUUUAAAAUCCUUAACUCGAAGUAACAAAAUGUCAUAUCCAGUGAGUUAGGAUCCAACAAUUGAAAUCUCGAAAAACUUUAUUUAGAAAUCGUAUGGUUUUAUUGCAAUAGAAAUACUUGGCUAUCUAAAUUCAUUGAAAAAAAAUUGAAGCCCAGUAAGUUAGGGCACAAUACUCUCGAGAAUCGGGAAUACCAAGUAUUUUGAGAAUUUACGGAAUAAAAUGAUUUUAGUGCUUUAAUGAAACACAUUUUGUAAACAAAUGUAAUAUGAUUGAAUGGCAAUGUAUGAUGUAAAAGAUAAUCGUUUGAGCAAUAGAUAAAUGCAAACAAGGAUAGCAACAAUGAUUUAAAUCAUAUUAUACAAAUAUCAACAUCAAUAUUAAAACUAGAUAAAUCUAUCAUCAAUUUUAAAAGAUACGCCAAGACGAUAAAAAAUAAUAAAAACAAUAUGUCCUACGCAUAGAAAUUUUAAAAUAAAUUACAUGCAUAAACUCAAAAUAGACUUGAAAUAAAAUAAUAAUAACAUUUAAAAAUAGUAUUAAAAAAUAUUAGGUAAACAUUUAACAUAUAGAUAUACUAAAAUAAAUUUUAAGAUAUAACCUAAAACAAAACAUUAAAAUAUGUACAAAAUAAUAUCAGAUUAUUGUAAAUAUAUAUAUAUCAAUAAUAUCGUGUCAAGUUUGAAAAUAAAAAUAUAUAAUGGACCCUUUUUAAAAAAAUGUAUGAUAAAUUUAAAACAUGUUAAUUUGGAAUAUUAAAAUAAUAUUAGAAAUGAAAACUAAAUUUGUCAAAAUAAGAUCUAAUUUGAUUUAAAAUUAAACUAAUAAAAGUUUAGUUAAAAUUGAAACACAAUCAAAAGAAAAAUAAAAAUAAAAUAAAAUAAACUAGAGGAACGAAAAUUAAAUUGAAAUUAAAACAAAACUAAAUAGGCAAUAAACAUAAAUAAAAAUAAAAGAAAGACUAAAUUCGAACUUGAUGUAAAAACUGAGGGACCACAAUAGCAAAUAAACGCAUACUUCUGAAGAUUUUAAUCUUCUUGAUGGAAACAACGUCGUUUGCUUGCCGAUCAAAAUAGAAUCAGAAUAAAAUGUGCAAUAAGAUUUGAAUACAUUGAAGAGAAACUGAUUUGAAAUAGAAUACAAAGAAAAGGGACCUAAUGCAAAAUAAACCAUUUCUCAAGACGCGCGGAUCCUUCCCACGGAUCGGGUCACUGCUCGGGUAUGGCCAACACGUUGCCGUUUUGAAGUCAUGGAAGAAGACUUUAGACGGCGCCAUUUAAAUAAUCUGCCUAAAAUUUAAAAACCUAAUUGAUAUUAAACAAUCAUCUAAAAUAAAACUAACAAAACCUAAUCAAUUCUCUUUCUCUCUUGCGCUGCUCAGCCAACCAACGUUUGGAGGCCCCGAUUCCUCACUCACCUUCGAUUGCGACGGAGGGAGCAAAAGAUCAACCACCAGGUACACUCUUUGAUUUCUAACCUUCUAUUAUUGUAUUGAAUAGGGAACAAAAGAGCGAAGAACAAAAAAGGAAGAAAAAAAAGAAAAGCAAUCUAUUCACCUUUCAAUUUUUCUGAGUAUUUUUUCUUUUUGCAUUCAAUCUCUGUAAAAUGCGUAAAAAAAGAUCCAUUUUUACAAAUCUUGAUGGCUUUUAUAGCUAAAUUUUCAAAGAUGAAAAGAGAAUAAAAAAUACAAUGUUUUUCCUUUCUCUGCUACGCUAUUUUCGUCCCAUUUGCAGGUACGAAGGAGUGCAUACGUACGGAGGCGCGGUGACGUGGAGAGGACGCGUGGUGGUAUGGCUCAGCUACGUACGGAGGCUGGUCACGUGCGGAAGGCUUGGUAAGUGGCUAGCGGCGGCUGAGGCAGAUAGUUGUUUUAGGGUUUUAUUUUGAAAAUGUUUUAGGGCUAGGUAUGUGGGUCAAUGGUUUGGGCCUUUUUGGGCCGAUUGGUUAUUGUAAAUGGACUGCUAUUGGACUGUUGUUAAUUGUAAAUGGACUUUUAAUAUUUUUUACUUUUAUGUUGGUUUUAUUUAUUUUUUAGUGGUCCCGGGUCAAAAUUGGGCAUUACAGCUACCCUUAUUUGCUCAUUGUCGUGUAACGGGAAUGAAGCAAAGACUUUGAAAAUGGUCAAUUUUACCCGGUCAUGCUGGACCUUGGUGCUCCUCUUCAAGUAGCCUCAGUCCAUCCUAUUGUAUCUUUAGAGAUAUAGGAAUCGGUGCCUCGAUCCACUCCACUGCAAUGUCGGGGAGAUCAGAUUUGUAACUCAUAACUGUGAUGUCGGGGAAGCAAGAUUCGCCAUUGUAGCUUUAAUCUGUUCCGAUGCAUUAUCUGGGAAGUAAGAUUCACUGUUGUAGCUUUAAUAUUCUUGACUGCAAUGUCGGGGAAGCAAGAUUCGCCGUUGUGGCUUUAAUCUGCUCCACUACAUUAUCUGUGGGAUAAGGUCUGAAAUUCUUCGGUCUAUUCCACUGUAAUCUCAGGGAGAUAAGACCUGAUACGAUCUGCUUUACCGUAACUUCAGAGAGAAGAUCCUUUAUUUUAAUCUGCUCCACUGUAAUCUCAGGGAGAUAGGAUUACUAGCUUCAAUCUGCCCCGCUGUAAUCUCAGGGAGAUAAGAUCUAAAAUUUUUCGGUCUAUUCCAUUGUAAUCUUAGGGAGAUAAGACCUGAUGCAAUCUACUCUACUGUAACUUCAGAGAGAUAAGAUCCUUUAUUUCAAUCUGUUCCACUAUAAUCUUAGGGAAAUAGGAUUACUAGCUUCAAUCUACUCCGCAGUAAUCUCAGGGAGAUAAGAUUCACCAUUUUCGAUUAGCUCCACUAUUGCUUAGGGAGAUAAGAUCUGGAAUUCUUCGGUCUAUUCCACUGUAAUCUCAGGGAGAUAAGACCUGAUGUGAUCUACUCUACUGUAACUUCAGAGAGAUAAGAUCCUUUAUUUUAAUCCUCUCCACUGUAAUCUCAGGGAAUUAGGAUUAUUGGCUUCAAUCUACUCCGCUGUAAUCUCAGGGAGAUAAGACUCACCAUCUUCGAUUUGCUCCGCUAUUGCUCAGGGAGACAAGAUCUGUUAUAUUCACUGAUCUGUUCUCUGGAGAAUACGACCUGUACAAUGAACCUAAUUAUUCCUAAUGAUUAAGAUGGCAUGAUCAAAAUGUAUCAAAUGCUCCUAACUAGACAUGUGUGAAUGGUGUUUGCAUGAAUGCAGAAUUCUAUUUUUCUGAGAAUGACUCCGCUUUGUCAUUACACGAAUUUUAUUAAGGCUUUAACACUGACGUGCUUACAACGCCUUUUUGCUUAACCAGCUUUGUUGAAGAAACAUCUAGCCAGGUUGCCCCCAGUGUAAAUCUCAAAGUUUAAUCCAUUGGGGCGCAAAAAACCAUCAUUCUCCCACUGCAACACGAGGGUAGAAAUAUAUGUGGUUUUUAUCACAAUCCUCUCUUAUAACAAAUCAAGGAUAUAGGAUCUAAAAUUGUUUUGGUUCCCUACACCAUUCCCAGGGUGUCAUACCAAAUACUUAUGUGCAAAUGAAGGCUCUCUUCUCUGAGGUAACCUCUUUCUCUUGCCUGAUGAUUAUUGUUUGCUUGUUUAUUUAAACUUUGUCAUUAACCCGACAUCCUAUCAUUUUGUUCAAUCAAUGCAUUUGACAACAAAAUCCAAAGAGAAAGUCCAAAUUUAGACUCUUCGUUCUCAAAUUUCCAACCUUUAAAUUUGGUGUGUUCUAAACAAUAGUCCUGUUUCAGGCUCCUAUAUUAUUUAGAAACUUUUCAGAGUAAUAUGCAAAACUUCCUUUGUGAAAUUUUUAUUAGUCCAUUAAUCAUUAUUCCGAUGCAACAUGCUUGCAAAAAUGGUCAUAACAAUGGAUAAGAAUAAUGUUGGUUCUGGGCAUAGCUCAAAAUGAAUAAAUUAUCACAAAUAGUAAAGAAGGAUAAUAAAGGAAUUGAUUGGGAAUGUAUAUCUUGGAAAAGAAAAAAAUAUUCCAAGAACAACAAUUUCAAUAUAAAUAAUAGAAGAAUUGGGUGCCCCGAGGAUUGCAGCUUGAACUUCUCUGAACAAACUUUCUGAAGACCAUUUUGAGUUUGACAUGUGUUUAGGAGAUCUACAGUGCUUUUUCGAUGCCCCAAGAUAUCGCCUACCUUUCCCUGUUGAUUCAGGUAUAACAAGAUUACCACAUGCCCGAAGAUUCGAGUUUUUCUGAUCGCUUCAUGCCUCAUUUUGAUCAAUAUUUGAGCAACCAUUUUCGGGUUUUCAACUCAAAUCCCCUUUGGCCUAAGGUGCCCUUUGCGGGUUUUCUCCUUAGCCUCUCCAUUUUUACUUUUUCAUUUUUCAUUUUUCAUUUUUUUUUAAGAAUCAAAGUGCCCUUUGCGGGUUUUCACUUUGAUCCCUUUCCUUCAAGUGAAGUAUUUCUUGACUGAGUCUGAGUUUACAGGAUUUGGCAAGUUUUUUCCAUCCAUCUAACUUAGAAUCAAAGCUCUACCAGAAAAGGCCUUCUUUACGACUUAAGGACCCUCCGAAUUUGGCAUCCAUUUUCCUCUAAAUUCUUUUUGUAUAAGGAGAAUUUUCUUCAACACCAGAUCCCUUUCGGGGAAUUCUCUGGGACGAACCUUUUUGUUAUAGGCUCGCAUCAUCCGUUUUUGAUACAUAUGACCAUGUUGGAUGGCUUUUAACCUUUUCCCUUCUAUUAAGUUCAACUGGUCGUAUCGAGACUGAACCCAUUUUGCUUCAUCUAAUUUCAAUUCAGCUAAUACCUGAAGAGAAGGAAUCUCCACUUCAAUGGGUAAAACAGCUUCCAUCUCAUAAACCAGAGAAAAGGGUGUUGCCCCAGUAGAGGUCCUAGCAAAUGUUCGGUAAGCUAAGAGAGCAAAUGAUAGCUUUUCAUGCCAAUCCUUGUAGGUUUCAGUCAUUUUCCCCGCAAUUCUCUUAAUAUUCUUAUUGGCCGCUUCCACUGCACCAUUCAUUUUUGGGCGAUAUGGCGACGAGUUAUGGUGACUAAUCUUGAACUGACUACAAACUUCCGCUAUUGUGCUAUUAUUCAAAUUCAACACAUUUUCGGAUAUGAUUCUUUCAGGCAUUCCACUCGACAAAUGAUCUCCUUUUUUAAGAAUUUACUAACCGCCGAUUUCGUGACAUUUGAUAUGAAGCAGCUUCCACCCAUUUGGUAAAGUAAUCGAUGACCACAAAGAUGAAACGAUGCCCAUUUGAAGCCUUCGGUGAUAUUGGACCAAUAACAUCCAUGCCCCACAUGGAGAACGGCCAUGGAGCAGUCAUAACGUGUAGAGGUGAGGGAGGUACACGUAUCUUAUCUCCAUAAAUUUGACAUUUAUGACACUUCUUGGCAUAGCUAAUGCAAUCCCCUUCCAUAGUAGACCAAUAGUAUCCAAAUCUCAUGAUCUGUCUGGCCAUUGUAAAACCAUUUGCAUGAGUUCCGCAAAUGCCCUUAUGGACUUUUUCCAGGAUCUUUCUAGCCUCCACGGCAUCUACACAUCUUAACAGCACUUGAUCUUUCCCUCUCUUGUACAACACUUCCCCAUCUAAGACAUAUUCAAUGGCUAUUCUUCUCAGUGUUCUCUUGUCAUUUUCUGUCGCUUGAUCAGGGUAUUUUCGAUUUUUCACAUAUUGUAGUAUACUCUAAUACCAAGGGUGAUCAUUUUUUCCUUCCUCUUCAAUAUUGUAGCAAUGAGCCGGAACUUCAUAUAUGCUCAUCUAAAUAGGCUUCAUGAUUUCUAACUUGUUCACCUUAAUCAUCGAGGCUAGAGUAGCCAGUGCGUCAGCCAUCUCGUUUUCAUCUCGUGGAAGAUAACAGAAAGUGAUGUCAUCAAACUCGUCAAUCAAUUCAAGAACCAGCUCUUUAUAACUGAUCAACUUAGGGUCUCUGGUUUCCCAUUCUCCUUUGAGUUGGUAUAUCACCAAUGCGGAAUCUCCACACACUUUUAGCACUUUGAUUUUACGUUCAAUGGCCACACGAAUACCCAUAAUACAUGCUUCAUAUUCGGCCAUAUUUUUUGUGCAAUCGAAGUCUAACUUGCUAGCAACAGGAUAAUGAUCUCCAGUUGGGGAUACCAAGACUGCCCCAAUUCCAUUACCCAUAGCAUUUGAAGCUCCAUCGAAAUUUAACUUCCAUAUGUGGUCUAUUCGAGGGUUUUCUUCAGUGUUUGCCACAUACAUCAAGUCCUCAUUUGGAAAAUCGAAGUUCAAAGACUCAUAGUCUUCCAAGGCUCUGCUGGCUAGAAAAUCAGCUAUUGCACUUCCUUUUAUAGCCUUCUGACUUACAUAUACUAUGUCAAAUUCAGAGAGCAGAAUUUGCCAUCUAGCCAUUCUCCCAUUUAAAGCAAUUGAUUCCAUUAUAUACUUUAAAGGAUCCAACUUUGAAAUCAGCCAAGUCGUAUGAUACAACAUGUAUUGCCUUAGUCUUCGAGUUGUCCAAAUUAAAGCACAACACAACUUUUCAAUGGAUGAGUACUUCAUUUCACAAUCAGUGAAUUUCUUGCUGAGAUAGUAUAUUGCUCUUUCUUUCUUUCCUGUUUUGUCAUGUUGGCCCAAGACGCAUCCCAUGGAAUUGUCAAACACCGUUAGAUACAAUAUCAAUGGCCUAUCUAGACUAGGCGGUGAUAGUAUUGAAGCAUUAGCCAAGUAUUGCUUUAUCUUGUCAAAAGCUUUCUGACAUUCCUCAUCCCAUUCUCUCGGAUUAUGUUUCUUCAGAAGACGAAAUACUGGAUUGUAUUUCUCAGUCAAUUGUGAAAUGAACCGAGCAAUGUAGUUCAACCUUCCUAGGAAACCUCGGACCUCUUUCUGAGUGCUUGGAGGAGGCAGAUCUCGUAUUGCUUUAACUUUAUCCGGGUCAAUCUCAAUCCCCUUCCUACUGACUAUGAAGCCCAACAACUUUCCUGAUCUGGCUCCAAAUAUGCAUUUUGCUGGGUUGAGCUUAAGCUGAAAUUUUCUCAAUCUUAAGAAUAAUUUCCUCAAGACUCGGAGAUGAUCUUCUUCAGUUCUAGAUUUUGCAAUCAUAUCAUCAACAUAGAUCUCAAUUUCUUUAUGCAUCAUGUCAUGAAACAGGGCAUUACUUUGUAACAAAAUGUUCCCCAUAGGGUAAUGAAUGUGGUUUUCCUCAUAUCUUCAGGAUGCAACUUUAUUUGAUUGUAUCAAGAAAAGUCAUCCAUGAAAGAAAAUAAUGAGUAGCUAGCUGUAUUAUCUACCAAAGUAUCAAUGUGUGGCAACGAAAAAUUAUCUUUUGGGCUAGCCUUGUUCAAGUCCCUAUAAUCCACACACAUUCGUACCUUUCCAGCCUUUUUGGGAACAUGGACAAUAUUUGCUACCCAUUCUGAAUACCUGACCUCUUGUAAGAAUCCAACAUAUAACUGCUUUUUGACCUCCUCUUUUAUUUUCAACACAAUAUCAGGUCUCAUUCUUCUGAACUUCUGCUGAACUGGUUUACAAUCUUCUUUUAUAGGUAAACGAUGUACCACAAUGCUAGUAUUUAGCCCUGGCAUAUCCUGGUAUGGCCAUGCGAAAACAUCUUUGAACUCUCGGAGUAAUUUAAUGAGGUCAUGUUUUGUCUUUGUGGUGAUAUCAGUUCCGAUUUUCACCUCUUUUCCUUCCUCUAAGCUCACAAUUUCUAAUGAUUCCUUAUGAGGUAGGAUUUGUUUAUCCUCUUGUUCCACCAUUCUCAAAAAGUCCAGAGAUACACCACCGUCUUCGUCAUUUUCAAAGUCAUGAGAUCCUUCCAAACACAUGUCUUGCUCAAAAAAAGACUCUGUGUUUGAAACAGCAUCACUCAUGUCAUUGAUAUCUGAGGACUUAUAGGGAUACACCAAAGAAUAUACAAAAAUAUAUAAAUUUAUAAAUAAUUAUUUUUACAAUCAGGUUAUAAUGAAAAAAAAUCAUUUGGAAGACAAUCAAUCAAAUGGAAAAUAUUUACUUGCCUGGAAAAAAUAAAAGAAUAAUUGCUCGAAAUGAAUGCAAUGUAUUUUAUUAGAAUAAUGAUAUUCAGACUUAAGCCUAUUUCACAAAGGAUUUCUUAUCAUUCUUAGGCUAAAAACAACAAGAAUGUUUUGAACAUUACUCUGAAUAAGCUCUAAAGAAUACAGGUAUUUCUUCCGCAGUCCAAUUGUUUAGCUCACUCCCAGGUUCGUAAGGGCAAAUCUCCAACAUGGUCCUUAUUUCAGCUGUCUCUAUAGCAUUGAUAUGAACAUUUUCCAACAUCUCUUCAAUGCCUUCCCUUCUGGACACCCUUCGCUCAGGGUAAAUAAACCCACCCGACACAAAGGAUUUAGAUAUAUGGGGGAAAGUCAAAGGCUCCCACUUGACUUCCUCUCCGUUUAAACGUGCCCUUCUUCUCUCCUUCCUUUUCUCCACUUCUUUUCUCUUUUGUUUCAUAUCUAGCUUGUAACCUAAGCUAAAACGAUCAAACUUUUCCUUCAGCAUGGGUGCUUCAAUCCUUCCUUGAAGGUAUUUUCCCAACCCUUUCCCUGGCGAAGCUCCUCUUCCUACCAUCAAUUGUAGACCCAUCUCAGUAGUCUUGGAUAUCUUUGGUACUGGAAUUUUGUUUCCUUCAGCAAUAAACGUUGCGUUCACAAAUUCCAAGGACCGGAAAGAACAUUCCACUCCCUCAUCAUUGGUCUCUACAUAAGGUACAUCACGCGUUACCAUCGCAAUGAUAUCCUCCUCUGCACUUAUUGUUAUCAAUCGACCCUCUGAUAUUAGCUUCACCUUCUCAUGUAACGAUGAAGGUACUGCCCCUGCCGAGUGUAUCCACGGUCUCCCCAAUAAACAGUUGUAGGAAGGCUUAAUAUCCAUUACUAGAAAGUCCACCUCAUAAGUAGUUGGGCCAAUUCUUAAUGGUAUUUCAAUUCUUCCUAUAAACCCUCUUUCUGUUCCAUCAAAUGCCCUUACUAUAUUCUGGCAGACUUUCAUAUGUGAACUGUCCACAGGUAGUCGAUUAAGAGUGGACAAAGGCAAUACGUUCAAUGCGGAUCUAUUAUCGAUCAAAACCCCCGGUAAUGUGUCCCCCCGACAUCGGGUAGUAAUGUGUAGAGCUUUAGUAAAACCCCUACCUGCAGAUGGUAUUUCAUCAUCUUGAAGAAAAUAAAUUGUCAGCACUUAUAUUAUUGAUCAACCGAUCCAACUUAUUGACUGAAAUGUCAUUGGCCACAUAUGUUUCAUUUAGUACCUUCAUCAGUGCAUUUCGAUGUACUUCUGAGAUGAAGAGCAAAGCUAAUACUGAAAUACGGGCUGGCUAUUUGUGCAGUUGCUCCACAACACUGUAUUUGCUAUGUUUCAAGAACUUCAAGAAUUUCUUUGCUUCUUCUUCUUUUAUUGGUUCAUUAACCAAUGGCUAAGGUUCCGCUACCUUCCCUUUCCUCUGUUCUACUAUCAGAGUCUAUUCUCUUAGCAAUUCUACUUGAGUGUCAUAACGCUUCCCAUUACGUGUAUAAAAACCCCUUUCCUGAUAUUCUUUUACCAUAUUGCCCUCAACUUCUUUUCCUGGGAUUGUCACAUUGCAUCCGUAAUUCCAUUGGACCAUUUUGUCAUCCUUAUAUGUGAAACUUGACGGUUUGGUGAUUACAAUUUUUGGUGUUACCUGAACCCUAGCCUCAUUACUCUUAGGGCGUGAGAUAAUGACCACAAGAUGAUUUAUUUUCAGAGUCCCUAUCCCGACUCUGUCGCGUAUAUGCUCCUCCUUUCUUCCGCAUCUUCAUAGAACCUCAUCUCCUUGUUAUCCAUCAUGCUUUGAACCAAAGCCCUGAAUCCUUCACAUUCUUGGAUUUCGUGCCCUAUUUUAUGGUGGAAUUCACAAUAAUUUCCCAUCUCAUACCCUUCCUUAAAAUCUAAAAUAACUAACCCUCUUUUUGCCAUCUCUUUCUAGACCCGUUUCAAUGGAGUUUUUACUUCAGCAAUGUCAGUCUUGACUUCUUCCCCCGUACCUUCGCUCAACAUAUUCACUCCCUUAUCAUCAUGAUUAGGCAACAGAAUUUCUGUGUUGGGUGAGUCAUCAAAUUUGACAACACCCAAUUUGAUAAGUCCUUCCACUACCUUCUUGAAAGCAGUACAAUUUUCUGUUGAGUGUCCUAAAAUUCCCGCAUGAUAGUCACAUUGCGUGUUCGUGUCAUACCAUUUUUGAUAUGGGGGUUGUAGAGGACUCAAGUAACGAGGAGCAACAACAUGUGCAUUAAAUAAAUUCUGGUACAACUCUUUAUAUGUCAUUGGAAUGGGAGUGAACUAGGGCUUCUCAGUAUUUUGCCUCAUUCCCGAUUCUUGUUUCGAUGAGCCUUGUUGAUUAGCAACCAUCUUCCUUGGUUGAUUCACUGUAAUUGAUUUGCUGUAUGCAUUCACAUUGUUUACUUCACUUUCUCUUUUCUUUGGAACUGGCCUUCAAUUAUUCUCUCCACCAUCUAUUUUUCCACUUUUAAUAGCAUGUUCAAUCAUUUUUCCAUUCAUGAUUAUAUCCGAGAAACUCUUUGAGGCACUUCCUAACAUGUGCGUGAUAAACGGUGCCUUCAAUGUGUUGAUGAAAAGCAUCGUCAUUUCUUUUUCCAAAAGUGGUGGCUGAACUUGAACUGCAAUCUCUCUCCACCUGUGUGCAUACUAUCUAAAACUGUCAUUUGAUUUCUUUUCCAAGUUCUGCAAAGUGAUUCUAUCAGGCAUUAUUUCAGAUACAUGACUGUACUGCCUCAUAAAAGCCUGCGUCAAAUCCUUUCAACUGCUGAUUUUGGUCCAGCUCAAUUGGUUAUACCAUUUAGAUGCCGCCCCAAUGAGGCUAUCCUGAAAACAAUGUAUUAAUAGCUGAUCAUUGUUAAUGUACCUAGUCAUUCUCCUACAGAACAUUGUAAUAUGGGUUUUAGGGCAACUGGUCCCACUAUAUUUCUCAAAUUUUGGCAUCUUAAACUUGUAAGGAAGUACCAAAUCCAGAACCAGACUCAGAUCUUUUGCAUCUAUUCCAUGAUAACGUUCAAUGUUUUCUACUGCCUUAAACUUCUCUUCAAUCCAUUUCCAUUUCUCCUCAAACUGUUUUGGUAAUUCUUCAUUUUCUUUAUCCUUCUCAGCUACUUCAUCGAAAUCCGGGACAGCAAGAUUAAUCGGGUUCUCACCAGGGUUAGAACCUGAUCCAGCUUGGGAGUUCAUCGGUAUUGGAAUAUCGGCUUGAAACCGCUGAGGCCUUAUUGAAACAGAGGAUCUACGCGGAUGCACCUCAGUCUUAACCUGCGCAUGCGGAGGCGUAAAGCCUGGAGGAUAGGUGGGUCCAUUCUUGUCUUCUUCUUCAUCAUUAAUCAUAGGACUUUUCCCCUUAUUUAUUUCUUUUAGUAAUUGCGUCAGCUCAGUCAUCAUGUCCUUUUGAGACUCUAGCAUCCUUUCUGUCAUGUCAUGUUGAAUUUUUUCCAGUUGCUCAUUCAUUUGCAUCUGUAACUGAUCUUGCAUUUCCUUUUGAAGUCAUUCCAACUUUUCCAAUUUUUGAUCCAUAAUUUUUUAUUUUGCACGGGUACCGUAGCGGUGCUUGUUUGACGAGUUUUUGUUGGUUUCAAGAUCCGUUGCCUACAGCCUUGUAAUGCGUACUCCAAUUCUUCUAUCCUCUUUUUCAUUUCUUCAAUAUUGCACAGACUUGUCUUUAAUUCCACUACAGAAUUACGACUUCUAUACGAAGCAAGUGAUCUCUCGAGUUCUGCUAUUCUAGCUUUUAAGUCCGCUUGAUAGUUUUGAGUUUCUGACACCUGCCGUUCUAAGGUCUCUUUCUGAACUUGAGCCUCCCGAGACUUUCUUUCCCACCGAUCGGCUUUGUCUCUUUCUUCCUGGAUCUCCUGUUGCCUCUGCUUCGAAGUCUUUCCCAACCUAGCAGUUCUCAUUGAUAGUCGUAGCUUUUUGUACUCUGUCUAUAAGCUAUCUAGAUCCUCCUCGACUUUAUUCUUCCUUUUUUUUAAUUUUUCAGCUUCUAACUUUUGGACGUCAACGUCUAGCCUCAAAUGCAUCUUUUCUUCUUCCAACUGCUCUAUUUUCUUUUCGAGUUCUAAAUUCCUAUUUAUAAAAUAUUGUUUUAUAAUCUCUAACUCUGAUGGGAUCACUUGUAGGUACUCUUCCAUUGGUCGAACACCCUCCGAGUUCAACUCCGGAAUGUUAUCAUUAAUUCUUUUACCUCGCCACUCACCAUACUCUGGAGUUGUCAUCGAACCCACAGCUAGCCUUUUCAUCCUAUGAACCUGAUUCCAAGCCUAAGAAAUUUCUUUCACCUUUUUCUUGUAAUUGUCUCAUCGAUAUGAGAACUCACAUUGAGCUAAACCAUACGUUGCUGGCACAAACUGUCUUGAACUGUAUUGCCUUAGGACCAGCAAAGGUGCAGACCCGAUGGCUCCCCAAAUCCCAAGCAACGGAACCCAGUCAAAGCUUCCACAACCGUAGAGAAUUCCAUCAGGAAUCAACCAAGGAGCUCUCCAUUCCACGUCAUCCUCUUGAAGAUUUUGCAGAAUUGCUAUCCAAUUUUCUUCUAAUAUGUCGUCCCUUCUUGGCGUAGCCACUAUCUCUUUUAAAGGGGAGUAAUGCCCAGAGAAAACCCGAUACGAAACUUUUUCGACCUUCCAGAAAUGACUAUGGAACCAAGCUAUCAACAAUUGCGCACAACCUAUAAAUUUUCCUUCACCAGCUCGCCUACACGCAUUCAAAGAUCUAAACGUUUCAGCCAAAAUCACAGGAACAGGCGUGACCCCUUUACCCAACCGAUCAAAGAGAUCUAAAACCGCUUCGUCAACAUGCCCCAAUGCUCUAGGGAAAAUCACUAACCCGUAGAUACUCAAAGCAAACACAUCGACCUUCUUUUUCCCAUCAGGAUGUGCUAGGAUCAAGUCUUGCAAAUUCGUCCAUGGGAUACAUUUACACUCGCCCUUCUGUUUGAUCCUGGCCGUGAUCCAUUUUUCGUUUAUUCCCGUAAUACUCAUUAAUUUCUUCCAAAACACUAGGACAUAUGCGGCUCUGAAAUAUGCUUUAUCAACCUGAAGCCUAGGGCAGUGCAGUAAAGUUGUAUAUUCCUCCACUUUGGAACCAAAUCUACGUUCCCAAAAGUAAAACAGCUAUAUGCAGGAUUCUAAUAUUGAGCGAGAGCGUGAAACAAUCGUUCAUCACCUUAAUGUUAAGUAAGUACGGCAAGUCCCCAUAAUUAGAGUAGAACAACUGCUUGGUUUCAUCAUUCCACCAAUCCCAAAUCUCAUUUAACUACUGAAGGCUAUUUUGCGUCACACUAAAACGAGUGUAGUCCCAAAAAUCUGACACAUAUCCCUUAGCUAAAUUGUCUCCUUUCUCCAAUUGCACCUUCUCUGACCAUAUACGGACAAUGGCAUUGUCUUCCACUUUAUCAAGAAAUUCUUUUUCCAUGACAAUUUUCUAAUUUAGUAACUGAACUUGAAUCGACACUCUUUGAGAUAUGCAGUGACAUGCAAAAAUAUCAACAAAACACAAACAAGUCAGUACAACACAAAACAAAAUUCAAAGCAAGUAUAAGAAAAUCAAGCACCUAUUUGGACAAUCGCUAGAGUUUGGAGUAGUUCUACCUGGGUUAGGUUCCUAAGUCCACUAUAUGGAGUUUGGUUCUAAAGUUAAGGUACCCGAACUAGCAGAUUCCUUAUCUUCACCCAUUAUAGGCUCAUGCAGACCGAGUUCGGUUCAGGGGAAUACAUUUCCCUAUCGCUGCACGGAGAUGAAAAUCUCACGAAGACAUAGGUACGGAUGUAUCCCGAAAGUGAUCCACUAUCCUGUACGGAGGUGAAAACCUCACGAAGGAGUAGCUUUUCACUCCCAUUUAGAGGGGUAAGACCAAAAUAGCCUUUAUGCAAUAUGAUGCGAAGAUUUUUACAAAACUCAACCUACAAUAAUCAUACAAAUCAAAUUCAAAGAAAGGAUCGAAAUUUUUCAAAUCAAAUUUUCAAUUUUCGACGAUAAGACAAUUAAUUUUACGGCUUGACUCUCUAAAUCGAUUCCCCAGUGGAGUCGCCAAGCUGUCGAAAUCUCUUUUAAAUUUAUUUGAAAAAACGGGGAUCGACUUUAAAAAAUGAAAAUUGGAGUCGCUACCGAUCUUUAAUGAGGUGUGAUCGGAUCACCUUGAAAAUGAUUUUAGGUCUACGAAUUUUGAGAAAACUGGUUCGGGAGUCAGUUACACACGAGGAAGGAUUAGCACCCUCGUGACGCCCAAAAUUGGUACCGAAUUGAUUGUUUAAUGUCUUAGUGUCGAAAUUUUGAAAAGAUUUUAAAAUACGAUCCUUUGAAGUUUAAAUUUGAAUAAACCAAAUUGAAUAAUGAGACGCACUCAUUUCGAGGAAAUAAAUUGCCACACUCUGUGAGUUAGGUGCAGCAAUUCAAUCGUCAAAAUUAAGUAUGUCUUUUAAUUUUUAAAUUUUAAAAUUCAUGUAUUUUGAGAAGGUUAUUUGGUCAUUUAAGUCAAACGAGAAUUCAAAAUCCAAUAAGUUAGGGUUCAAUUUCUCGAAAUUCCUAAACAUCAAACAUUGCCUUUAUUUUAAAAUCCUUAACUCAAAGUAACAAAAUGUCAUAUCCAGUGAGUUAGGAUCCAACAAUUGAAAUCUCGAAAAACUUUAUUUAGACAUCGUAUGGUUUUAUUGCAAAAGAAAUACUUGGCUAUCUAAAUUCAUCAAAAAAAAUUGAAGCCCAAUAAGUUAGGGCACAAUACUCUCGAGAAUCGGGAAUACCAAGUAUUUUGAGAAUUUACGGAAUAAAAUGAUUUUAGUGCUUUAAUGAAACACAUUUUUUAAACAAAUGUAAUAUGAUUGAAUGACAAUGUAUGAUGUAAAAGAUAAUCGCAUGAGCAAUAGAUAAAUGCAAACAAGGAUAGCAACAAUGAUUUAAAUCAUAUUAUAGAAAUAUCAACAUCAAUAUUAAAACUAGAUAAAUCUAUGAUCAAUUUUAAAAGAUACGCCAAGAUGAUAAAAAAUCAUAAAAACAAUAUGUCCUACGCAUAGAAAUUUUAAAAUAAAUUACAUACAUAAACUCAAAAUAGACUUGAAAUAAAAUAAUAAUAACAUUUAAAAUAGUAUUAAAAAAUAUUAGGUAAACAUUUAACAUAUCGAUAUACUAAAAUAAAUUUUAAGAUAUAACCUAAAACAAAACAUUAAAAUAUGUACAAACUAUAUCAGAUUAUUGUAAAAAUAUAUAUAUCAAUAAUAUCGUGUCAAGUUUGAAAAUAAAAAUAUAUAAUGGACCCUUUUUUAAAAAAAAUAAUGUAUGAUAAAUUUAAAACAUGUUAAUUUGGAAUAUUAAAAUAAUAUUAGAAAUAAAAACUAAAUUUGUCAAAAUAAGAACUAAUUUGAUUUAAAAUUAAACUAAUAAAAGUUUAGUUAAAAUUGAAACACAAUCAAAAGAAAAAUAAAACAAAAAUAAAAUAAACUAGAGGAACGAAAAUUAAAUUGAAAUUAAAACAAAACUAAAUAGGCAAUAAACAUAAAUAAGAAUAAAAGAAAGACUAAAUUCGAACUUGAUUUAAAAACUGAGGGACCACAACAGCAAAUAAACGCAUACUUCUGAAGAUUUUAAUCUUAUUGAUGGAAACGACGUCGUUUGCUUGCGGAUCAAAAUAGAAUUAGAAUAAAAUGUGCAGUAAGAUUUGAAUACCUUGAAGAGAAACUGAUUUGAAAUAGAAUACAAAGAAAAGGGACCUAAUGCGAAAUAAACCAUUUCUCAAGACGCGCGGAUCCUUCCCACGAAUUUGGUCACCGCUCGGGUAUGGCCAACACGUUGCCGUUUAGAAGUCAUGGAAGAAGACUUUAGACGGCGCCGUUUAAAUAAUCUGCAUAAAAUCUAAAAACCUAACUGAUAUUAAACAAUCAUCUAAAAUAAAACUAACAAAAACCUAAUCAAUUCUCUUUCUCUCUUGCGUCGCUCAGCCAACCAACGUUUGGAGGCCCCGAUUCCUCACUCGCCUCCGAUUGCGACGGAGGGAGCAAAAGAUCAACCACCAGGUACACUUUUUGCUUUCUAACCUUCCAUUAUUGUAUUGAAUAGGGAACAAAAGAGCAAAGAACAGAAAAGGAAGAAAGGAAAAGAAAAAAAAUCUAUUCACCUUUCAAUUUUUCUGAGUAUUUUUUCUUUUUGCAUUCAAUCUCUGUAAAAUGCGUUAAAAAAAAAAGAUCCAUUUUUACAAAUAUUGAUGGCUUUUAUAGCCAAAUUUUCAAAGAUGAAAAGAGAAUAAAAAUACAAUGUUUUUCCUUUCUCUGCUGCGCUGUUUUCGUCCCAUUUGCAGGUACGGAGGAGUGCAUAUGUACGGAGGAGCGGUGACCUGGAGAGGACGCGUGGUGGUAUGGCUCGGCUACGUACGGAGGCUGGUCAUGCGCGGAAGGCUUGGUACGUGACUAGCGGUGGCUGAGGCAAAUAGUGGUUUUAGGGUUUUGUUUUGAAAAUGUUUUAGGGCUACGUAUGUGGGUCAAUGGUUUGGGCCUUAUUGGGCCGAUUGGUUAUUGUAAAUGGACUGCUAUUGGACUGUUGUUAAUUGUAAAUGGGCUUUUAAUAUUUUUUUCUUUUAUGUUGGUUUUAUUUAUUUUUUAGUGGGCCUGGGUCAAAAUUGGGCAUUACAUGUGAGAUAGACAUAAAACUGUAGCGAACAAAAUAAAACCAUACCUUUGCUACUGGUUUUAAAUAUUUAUAAUGACAAGAAUGGCUUCUAUACUUUCUUAUAAUCCAUUGGGAUCCCGGAUUUGUCACAACAUUAAGCACUUGUUGAAAAAAAUCUCAUUUGAUAUUGUUCAUCAUAGGGUAGUACUCAUCUUCCUCAACAUCAGGUAAAUUAAACAAAACAUUGAUGGACUUAGAAGUAAGAGAUACCUUUUUCUUUCAAACGAUGACUUCAAUAGCAUCUUGUGUAGUCAAUCUAGUAUAGAAUUCUCAAACUAGUUCAUCAUCGGGAAGUGAACGAGCAUCAAAGAAUCGUUCCCACUUAGAGCAUUGAUUAUCUUUAUAAUUGGCACAGGGACAACCAUCACAUCAUUGCUCUUCAGGUUAAAACAUUUUUCCGGCAUCAUAUGUUGAUGCUUGAAAAUUGAAUCAAAUAGCUCUUUCACUUCUUCAUCGAUCAAAAUCUAGUUUUCAGAAGUAGUUUUUAACGAUCUAGUUCUUUUGCGAGGCAUGGUAUUUUCCCGAAAAUUUGGCAAAGUUUUUGCUUGCAGAGGUAAAAGAGGGUGGAUCUUGCUUCGACAAAGCUUACGAUGGUGAAGGUGUUGUGGCGGCGACAAAUACGUGCGGCAGCAAUAGUGGUAUGCGGUGGCAAUAAUGAUUGCAUGCGGCAGCGACGUCGAUGCUUCGGCAAUUCUCUUGUGGCGGCACUAGGUAGUUUCAGCCAAAGAAAAGAAAAAGGGCUAGAGAUUCCUUUUGGGAUCUGAGGCUAGUGGCACAAAAAGAGAGAUUUUAAGGAAUUUUAGGGUGUAAGUAAAUUACUUUGAGGGAUAUGAAAAUUUAGUAGAAUAAGGAGGGGUUUAUAUAGGAAAAUAUUAGGGCAACAUGUAGCAAAAAAAUUAGCUAAAUUAAAGUUACUUGGGCGGCAAGUAAUGGGUGUGACGGCAAGGGUUAAAUUUUCCCUCCUUUUUGCUAUCUUGGGCCUCAAACUCAGACUGUAUCUCACUAAAAAAUAAAUUAUUAGUACUUGGGCCAAAUUUUGACCCCCUUUAUUAACAUAAAAAUUUAAAAUUUAACAAAAUAAUUUAAACUAGAAAAACAUUUUAAAACCUAAUUAGAAGAUCUCUUCUUAACAAAUUACAUUAAAUUAAUUCUCAGGAAAGGUUGGAGGGGUCAGAGCGGUCCCACUUAAGUUUCAAUCUCCUUAGACAGAAUUAAUUAAAUGAACUUAAUUAAGAAAAAUAAAUUCUAAUUAUUUAUUUAUUUACAAGACGAGUUUAUGAAAAAUCAAGGGUCUGUUAAUUUGAACGAAAAUUCAACUCGCUCAACUUCACCAUCCUAGUAGUGUUUGAGACAUUGACCAUUAACUUUAAACGUACCUCCGUAAUUGUCGUAUAAUUCAAUAGCUCCAUAAGGAUAAACUCGGUGGAUGGUAUAAGGUCCUUUCCAUUGGGAUUCCAUCUUCCCAAGAAAUAACUUCAGCAUUGAAUUAAACAAUAACACCUUCUGACCUUCUUUAAACUCGCGAGGUUGUAUAUGACUAUCAUGCCAUCUUUUUUAUCUUUCUUUACACAUUUUGAAAUUCUAAUAGGAAAGAAACCUUAGCUCUUCCAACUCAUCAAGUUGAAACAUCCUUCUCUCACCGGCUUGCUUAAGAUCAAAAUUUAACUACUUCAAAGCCCAGUGAGCUUUAUUCUCCAAUUCUAAUGGAAAAUGACAUGCCUUUCCAAAAACUAACCGAUAAGGAGUCAUUCCUAAUGGAGUCUUGAAUGUUGUUUGAUAGGCCCAUAAUGCAUCAUCGAGCCUUCGAUACCAAUCUUUUCUGUUAGGGCAUACUACCUUUUCAAAGAUACCUUUGAUUUCACGGUUCACUCUUUCAACUUGUCCAUUAGACUGGGGGUGAUAAGCAGUAGCAAUCUUGUGCUUCACAUCAUAUUUGUCAAGCAACCACUUAAGCUAUUUGUUCACAAAGUGAGAACUUUCAUCACUAAUAAUAGCUCUUGGUAUCCCAAAUCGUGUAAACACAUGCUUAUGUAGGAAUUGCAUGACUACCUUAGCAUCAUUUGUAGGGUAUGCUUCAGCUUCAACCCACUUGGAUACAUAGUCCACAGCAACUAAGAUGUAUUUGUUCCCAUAUGAAGAAGGAAAUGGGCCUAAGAAGUCAAUGCCCCAUAUGUCGAACAAUUCAAUCUCUAAAAUGUUUGUCAAGGGCAUCUCAUUCAUCCUUGAUAUAUUUUCGGUUCCUUGGCACUUAUCACAGUUCUUCACAUAAGCGUAAGCAUCUUUAAAUAGUGUAGGUCAAAAGAAACCUGCUUGCAAAAUCUUUGCUGCAGUACGUGAACUACCAAAGUGUCCCUCACUUGGAGAUGAAUGGCAAUGAUAUAAGAUCUCAGCAAUCUCACUUUCAGCUACACACUUUCGGAUUAUAUUAUCUGCACACUGUUUAAAUAAAAACAGAUCCUCCCAAAAAUAAUACCGACUAUCAUGAAGGAAUUUCUUCUUUUAUUGGUAUGUCAUUUCUCGAGGAAUUAUUCCACAUGCAAGAUAAUUGGAAAAAUCAGCAAACCAGGGUAUUUCAUGAAUUCGAGUUACCUCAAAUAAGUGCUCAUCUGGGAAAUUCUCGUUGAUAGGCAUACCAGACUGGGUUACCUUAUCUUGCUCCAACCUCGACAGAUGAUCAGCUACUUGAUUUUUGAUACCUUUUCUAUCUUGGAUCUCAAGGUCAAAUUCUUGGAGUAAAAGUAUACAACGAAUUAGCCUUGGUUUUGCAUAUUUCUUCGUGAGCAAGUAUUUAAUGGUUGCAUGGUCAGUAAAUACUGUAACUUUGGUACCAAUAAGAUAUGAACAGAAUUUGUCAAAAGUAAAAACUAUAGCAAAUAGUUCCUUUUUAAUUACCGUAUAAUUGAGUUGGGCUCCCGUCAAGGUUCUACUUACAUAGUAAAUGGGGUGGAAUACUUUAUUUCUUCUUUGACCCAUCACAACUCCAAUAGCAUAAUCACUUGCAUUGCACAUCAACUCAAAAGAUGAGUUCCAAUUAAGUGUAACGAUUAUUGGGGUUGUAAUUAACCGAUUCUUUAGAUCUUCAAAAGCUUCCAAACAUGCUUUGUUGAAAUUGAACAUUGUAUCUUUCUCUAACAACAAACAAAGCGGCUUAAAAAUUUUCGAGAAAUCCUUGAUAAACCUUCGAUAAAAACUGGCAUGGCCUAAGAAACUUAUGACUCCUUUCACAUUAAUAGGGGCCGGUAAUCUUUCAAUUACGUCCACCUUUGCUUUGUCAACUUAAAUUUCUUUCUUGAGAACUUGUGACCUAAGACAAUUCCUUCAUUGACCAUAAAAUGGCAUUUUUCCCAAUUAAGGACAAGAUUCGUCUCUUCGCAUCUCUUUAGUACCUUAGCCAAAUUACUCAAACAGAUAUCAUAAGUGUUACCAAAAACAAAAAAAUCAUCCAUGAAAACCUCGACGAAAUUUUUGACCAUAUCAGUAAAUAUUACCAUCAUGCAUCGUUGAAAAGUUGCAGGUGCAUUGCAUAAACCAAAAGGCAUGCACCUAAAAGCAAACGCACCAUACGGACAAGUAAAGGUUAUUUUAUGUUGGUCCUCCGGGGCUACAACUAUUUGGUUAUAUCCCUAAUAGUCAUCUAAAAAAAUAAUAGAAUUCAUUACCUGUCAGUCGAUCUAACAUCUGAUCCAUAAAAGGCAACGAAACUAUGCAGAUAACAGAUUUUGGUUAGGAUUGUUAUGCAACCUGCAAUUUAAUCAGGUUAGGAUCUAAAUUGAGCAUGCACAUUUCAAUUAUGCGUCCAUUAGCCGUCGUCUGGUUAGGAUCGCUCAGCUAAUUCACGUGCAUUUCAAUCUAAAAACUAUAUAGAUAACAGGUGCAUUAGCCGUCCCUUGAGCUUUUGUCACACUUCUUCUCUGCACUCAAUGAAACAAAACACAACAUAAAAAUAUAAGCACCAUUUCUUUUAUUACUUUUUCUACUAAAAUGAGUUUUUUUUUCUCGUAAAAAACCUAGGAUGGGGAGAGGGUUUUAAAAUUCAAAGCCUUUGAAAUAUAUGAGUUUGAGGUUGUUAAUAUUAUUUUAUAUUGUUGAAUAGUAAAUUAAUUGUAUUGGUGGUUUAACCUAUUGGAUCGAGAAUUAAUGAUUUGAUUGAUUUGAGUUUGGGCUGCUCACUAUCUUGACUGCAUUUAUCAUUUAAUUCUUUUUUUAAUUAGCCAAACUCAUGUUAACAAUGGUAUAACAGUAAUUAAUGACUUCAUGGACAGAACAUCAAUAUAUAAAUACACAAACAAAUAUAAUGGGAAUUGGAGAACUCCCAUUUAUACAAACAAAUAUAAGUGGGCAAAUUCAAUACUCAUAAUAAAUACACAAAGAUAACUAAAAACAUUAUUAAACCAGAUCCAGUAUGCAGCAUACAAGAAAAAGGGGGUAUUUCAAGGAGUAGAACGAGAAGGUGGUGGAGAAAAGGAAGGAAUAGAGGGAACUGCAGUUGGGAUUGAGGGAAUGCUUGGCAGAGGCGGCAGUCCUCUUGGCAAUGUGGUAGGAAGUGGAGGAAGCGCCCCAGGGUUUGUGAGAUUAGGGAUAGAUGGCAAUGGCGGAAAAGAGAAAGGAAUAGGGGGAAUUGCAGUUGGGAUUGUGGGGACUGAGGGAAUGCUUGGCAGAGGGGGCAGUCCUGUUGGGAAUGUGGUAGGAAGUGGAGGAAGCGCCCCAGGCCAUGAGAAUGAUGGUCGGGAUGGCGUUGGGAGAUUAGGGAAAGAUGGUAAACUUUGCGUUCGAGGCUGCUGCAGAAGGUGACGAGCUGCUACCCCAACAUCAAUGCUUGCAAAUGACAAAGCAAUCAAGAAUGCUAAAGCAAAGCAAUUGAAAGAGGCCAUUUUUGUUCAAAGAUUUCGAAACAAAUGAAGCAGAUGAAACGAAGUUCUUUAUCUGAAUAGUUGUGAGUGAGGAAAACAAAGCAUGGUAUUGAGGUUUAUAUAGGCAUUGGAGUAGUGAAUAGAAAUCCCCUGCCCCUAAACAAUGCCCCAUGCAUGCCCCCAAACCAAAAUAGCGCCACAUGUUUUUUAUUUUUUCCAUUUUAAUUGUAGUUCAUUUUUAAAAUAAAAAAUUUAUAGUGAUUUGAAUUAAUUUUUAACUUAUUAUCAACGUUUUUAUUUUUGUUUUAUUUUUAUUUUACAUUAAUUUUACCUAUUCUUUAAUUAACAAAUUUAUAAUGACUUAGAGUUUAUCUAAUAGAGUUUUUUUUUUAUAAUCGGUCUUAUGAUAAAAUUUUAUAAGGUGGGAACAAGUCCCACAGUGACAACAUGAUCCUUCAAUUUUUGGUGGUGGCAUGCCUUUAGUCAAAGGAUCAGCCAACAUCUGCUCAAUGCUAAUGUGCUCAAUGACCAAUUUCUUGUCUUUAACAUGUUUCCUUAUGCCUAGGUACUUAAAGUCGAUAUGUUUACUUCAACUUCCACUUUUUUCGUUCUUAGCCAUAAAGACAGCAGUUGAAUUGUCACAAUAUAUGAAAUAAUCAAAACCCAUAAUGACUCAGCCUAAAAAUCUCGAGCUUCAAACCCAAAUUAAAUUAAAUCAAAACCAUAAUUUAUUAUGUACAAUUGCACAAAAUUAACAUAAUUUAAGUGUGUCAUAGUGCGCGUUAAAUUAAAGUUUACGUUUGACAUUAUAGAUAAUAUUCACGUGUAAAAUUUUGAGAUUUAUUCCCUUAAUUAAUGUAAUAUGUCAAAUAGAAUACUUGAACAAUCCUCCAUGUUGGCAAAGUUUAUGUUAAGUAGUAGAAGCGAACUAAAUAAUGAGAAUAAAUCUAAAGUAUGGCAUACAUAUAAUUUAUUCACAAUGUGACUUAAACUUUGUCCUUCAAGAUUUCACGGUCUCAAUUUAUGUCUUAAAUUUUUAAGAUCAUUUUAGGUUUGUUAAAAAAUUAAAAGUUUAGAAAGUUAGAAUUGUUGCUUGAGGCGUGAAUAUCCCUAUUCUUUAGGAUAUUUGUGGAUUUACCAUCUCUCAGGAUUUCUUUUGUAUCAUGCACAAUGAAAAAAUUGAAAAAAAAAUUUCCCAUUUGAAUGGAAUUGAGCUAUUAGGCUCAAGCCUCGUGUGCGCAUAUAUAUUCUCUUAUUUUGAGUCUUACAAGUUUAUAGUAAACCAAAUCUAUAUAAACAUCAUUUAAUAGGUCAAUCUAAAAUAUGUUUAAUAUGUGUAAUUCUUUAAAAUAGAUGAAAACUUCAAAUAUGGUUUAGGUCAUUUUCAGAUUUGUCUUAUUUUAGGUUCAAAUUAUUCGAAUUUGAGGCUACGUUUUUCAUGUCUAAUCAUUAUUGAUCCGAAUCAUUUUAGAUUUUGAUCAUUUUAAGUUCCAAUUAUUUUGUGAUCAAAUCAUUUCAAGUUUUGAUAAAUUUGGGUCGAUUCGAAUUUGACUUAAUUACGUAGUUAACUUUUUUUAUACUGAACUGAGCUGAAUGAAAGUUAGAUUGGAAUUUAUUUAGUGUGCCUUUGUGUUUAAGUCGAAAUUUAAACAUCUCCCUUCAAAAUAAACAAUUUAAGACAAUUUUAUUUUAAAGACAAUAAUACAACAUAGUUGAUUUGGGAGAUAAACAUGUUAAUUUUUUAAUCCCAACCAAAAUUGUACAUAAUUCUUUUAUGCCAUAUUAAAUACAUGCAACGUCUUAUAAAAAUUGUAAAUAAAUUAUGCCUAGCGACAACGUUAUUCAACUCUAAUUUCAUGGUUAAUACCUAUUUCUAUUUUUCUUCUACUGUCUUCAGCUUUAAAUAUAAAGGGAUUGAAAUUUUAAGAAUUGAGAUUUCUUUUCUCUGUAUUAGUGGACGUUUGAUUUUUUGUUUGAUUGUUUUUUUUACUGGAAUUGGCACAUAUCUUUUCAGAUUUAUCAAUAUUUUUUUAAAUUUAUUUAAGAUAUGUAUAUCAAUAUAUUACAAAUAUAAAAUAAAUGAAACUAAAUACAUUUCAAAUAUAAAAUAUUUAUUAAUAAACUGAACAAAUAAAAAUUUAUCAUUCUAAUAAAUCCAAAAUUAUUAAUAACAAUCCAUCAUUUAAUAUGAAAUUUUAUGGAUUUAGCUCAUUUACUUAAUAAAAGAAGCUGAAAGGUGGACGAAUAUAUUUUUUCUUUGAUAAUCGGGUGAACGGUUUUUUCUUAAUUAUAUUUUGAAUGUGAAAGUGUAUUCCAUUUUUUAAAAAACUUUACAUUCUGAUGUAACAUUUUUAAUUAGCCACGUUUCAAUUAAGUUUUUGGCAUAAUAGUAAAUAAUUAAAAGUUUAAUAUUUUUAAUGUUAUUCAUCCACAGGACUGUGCAUUAUGUUCUGGCAAGUGUGACAGGAAUUGAUCGGAAUGAGUUGGUGCAAUUUGUACGGACCGAAAUUUUCACCAGUGUAGAAAAAGUGUGUUGGGUGUUUUGCAAUGUUAUUGAAACCAAACUAAACAGACCAAGAACCGAUGAACCCGAGGACUAGAGUAAACUGCAGUUAAACUGCAAAUCAUCAGCCGAUUAAGUCGUAUUUUAACAUUUUCUAAACUGGAAAGAAGAAAAUUUCACUUCAAGGCCCUUGAGCUUUUGUCACACUUCUUCUCUGCACUCAAUGAAAUAAAACACAACAUAAAAAUAUAAGCACCAUUUCUUUUAUUACUUUUUCUACUAAAAUAAGUGUUUUUUUCCUCUUAAAAAACCUAAGAUGGGGAGAGGAUUUUAAAAUUCAAAACCUUCGAAAUAGAUGAGUUUGAGGUUGUUAAUAUUAUUUUAUAUUGUUGAAUAGUAAAUUAAUUGUAUUGGUGGUUUAACCUAUUGGAUCGAGAAUUAAUGAUUUGAUUGAUUUGAGUUUGGGCUGCUCACAAUCUUGACUGCAUUUAUCAUUUAAUUCUUUUUUUAAUUAGCCAAACUCAUGUUAACAAUGGUAUAACAGUAAUUAAUGACUUCAUGGACAGAACAUCAAUAUAUAAAUACACAAACAAAUAUAAUGGGAAUUGGAGAACUCCCAUUUAUACAAACAAAUAUAAGUGGGCAAAUUCAAUACUCAUAAUAAAUACACAAAGAUGACUAAAACCAUUAUUAAACCAGAUCCAGUAUGCAGCAUACAAGAAAAAGGGGGUAUUUCAAGGAGUAGAACGAGAAGGUGGUGGAGAAAAGGAAGGAAUAGAGGGGACUGCAGUUGGGAUUGAGGGAAUGCUUGGCAGAGGCGGCAGUCCUCUUGGCAAUGUGGUAGGAAGUGGAGGAAGCGCCCCAGGGUUUGGGAGAUUAGGGAUAGAUGGCAAUGGCGGAAAAGAGAAAGGAAUAGGGGGAAUUGCAGUUGGGAUUGUGGGGACUGAGGGAAUGCUUGGCAGAGGGGGCAGUCCUGUUGGGAAUGUGGUAGGAAGUGGAGGAAGCGCCCCAGGCCAUGAGAAUGAUGGUCGGGAUGGCGUUGGGAGAUUAGGGAAAGAUGGUAAACUUUGCGUUCGAGGCUGCUGCAGAAGGUGACGAGCUGCUACCCCAACAUCAAUGCUUGCAAAUGACAAAGCAAUCAAGAAUGCUAAAGCAAAGCAAUUGAAAGAGGCCAUUUUUGUUCAAAGAUUUCGAAACAAAUGAAGCAGAUGAAACGAAGUUCUUUAUCUGAAUAGUUG